rnacentral:lncRNA from 1 species
UAUGACCCAACUUACAAGCCUUGGUAUUACAAAUGUGAAAGCAUGUGACGAGAUGGACCUCUGUGACUCCCUUCAAAAGUUAGAGCUCCUUCACUCUUUGUUUUUAAUGGCUAGUGAUGAAGAGGGGUUUCUUCAAGUUAAUGCACUACAUUCGCCUCCUCCAGACCUUCAAAAGGUUAUUUUGGCCGGAAAACUAGAAAAGGUUCCUCUUUGGUUUGGUUCACUCCAUAACCUGACACGUAUGUGUCUACAUUGGUCUAGACUUGAAGAAGAUCUGCUGCCUCACAUUCAAGCAUUGCCGAAUCUUGAAAGGCUUACCCUAUCUAAUGCAUAUGUUGGCGAAAAUCUGUGUUUCUCCAGAGGCUUCAUAAAGCUUAAGCAUUUGCUGUUGGGCAGCUUCUCGGUAUUGAAUAGUAUAGCUAUAGAGAAAGGGGCGAUGCCAAAUCUCCAUGUCUUAGACAUUGGGAACUGCAUGGGGUUAAAGGCAUUGCCGCAGGGCAUUGAGUUCCUUGCUAACGUAGAACGCCUGGAUCUGUAUUCUGUUCCAAUGCAACUUAUAGAGUCCGUAAGAGAGGCAUGGAUCAUCCAAAGGUACAACAUAUUCCUGAAAUCCACCUGUAUUAUGAGAGAGAAAAUAUGUGGUGUCAUGAAAGCUUUUCUAGUAUUCACUCAAGGUACACACUUUUGUCCUUGCAUAAACAUUUGAUUAAUUCUAGACUUAUCAUAUUUUUUGUAUCAUAUUUGUACUAUCUCUUUUAUAGAGGUAGGGCAAUGGGUCUUAUUUCUAUUAGAGAGGUGGUAUAAAUGUGGUAUGAAAAAUGUGGUAAAAGUAGCAUUUUUUUGUAAAAAAAAUUCCACAACAUAUUCAUUUGAACUAUUACGUUAGAAAGUUAAAAGGUUGAUGAUUUUCAUGCUCCUAUUUUUUUUUCUUAUGCACUCCUUAUGUUUUUGUUCGUUAGUGUUUUGAUUUAUUCAAUUGUUAGGCUACGAAAAAGAGGAAGUAGUGUAUCGGAGUGUAAAAAUCAUUUUCCCUUACAAUUUGCAUGACCAAUCUUAUACAGAAGUCUAGCAAAGACAUAAAAUAUGUAUGCAUUGAGAAUAUGUAUCCAUUGAGAUUUUAUUUGGUAACUGUGUUUCUUUUGUAUUGUAAUAUCCUUUUUGUAGAAUCAAGCCUCAGAAGCACUUGUGAGACUGCAGUGAGUUCUCCUUUGUGCUAGUUGAUUUUGCGGUGAAUCUCGACUUUCGUUAUAAUAACAGAGCUGACUAUAUACGUGUCGAGUCAUUCGUCCUGCAAGGAAGAAUCCGUUCGUUGUUUGUGUGUUGUGUGAAGUUGCAAACAUUGAUCGAUCUUGGUUUCUUAUUUGCCCUUUGUGAAAUUGAAUAAUGCCCAAGAUUCUAUUUGUGUAACUGAAACUUAUAUUAUUGAUUGUUUGCGUGUGUUUUGAUGUAAUAAUAUUGGUUUGGAACUGAAUCUGUCACUGAUGAGAAUAAUUCCCAAGAUUCUGUUUGUGUAACAGAAACUUAUAUUAUUGUUUGCUUGCGUGUAUUUUUGAUGUAAUAAUAUUGGUUUGGAACUGAAUCUGUUAUUGAUGAGACCAAUUCUAACUAAAUCAAUAAUUAUGACCCAUUUUUCAUUUUCAAUAUUUAUUGUUUUUUUUAUCAAGUUUUCAAAUAUAUUGUUUUUGAGAGGCAAAUUUUGUGGCGGAUACUUUAGCUCACCAUGAUUUUACUUAAGAAAUUAUUAGAUGGUACGGUAUUACCACGUCAGCCAGUCAUACUUCUAUUCAAAUUUUUAACAUGUCUGCAGUUUCUUACAGCUGAAUUAAAAAGCUUUUUCAAUUCAAAAUUAAUUAAUUUUUUUCAGUUUAAACAAAAUUAAAAGAGUUAAAAAUAAGAGGCGUUUUGACACAUGCAUAGCUUUUAAAAUUUUGAGUUAACCUCUUUUCCUCCCCUCCCUCCUCUCUCAUGGCGACUGCAGUGCUGCCAGUAUCCGAGCCCGCCAGAAAGCAAUCCCGACCGGGUCGGGGCGGAUUCGAGGCCCAAUGAGCAGCAUCUUGUUGCUUAGUUUCAACAAUUUGCCCAACCGGUUGAAGCCAUGUUUCCUAUAUUGUGCCCUUUUCCCAGAAGAUUAUCUCAUCAAAAGAAAAAGGUUGAUCAGGUUGUGGAUAGCUGAAGGGUUUGUUGAACCAAUUGAUGGGAUCACACCAAAAGAAGUUGCAGAGGGUUAUCUUGUGGAACUUAUUGUUCGUAGCAUGCUACAAGUUGAAAAGCAUGGAGCUGGAGGACUAAGAGCAUGUAAGAUGCAUGAUCUUGUGCGUGAGCUUGCUUUGUCGAUAUCAAAAAAGGAAAAGUUCGGUGCUACGUGUGUUUCCAGAGAAAUAGUAGAUAAAGCUGAAAUCCGCCGAUUGUCAAUUCAAACAACUGAAAGAGAAAUUAAUUCUUGCACGGGUAUGUCAGAGCUUCGCUCCUUUCUUGUCUUUGGCGCGUUAGAGAAAUUGCCUUCUGGAUUCGAGUUGUUGAGAGUUCUAGAUUUGCAGGAUGCUCCAAUUGAUAGAUUUCUAGAUGAACUAGUGUACUUGUUCAACUUAAGAUAUUUAAAUUUGAAGAGAACUUUGAUUGACGAGCUUCCAGAAUCCAUCGGACGACUUCGCAACCUUCAAACCUUGAUCAUCAGUAACAGUAAGAUAAAGGCACUUCCAAAAGCAAUCUCCAAGUUAGUAAACCUACGCCAUCUAAUCAUGUUUCGUUACACUGGUGACCAUUAUGGCUUUAUAUAUCUCAAUGGGACAAAAGCAGCAUCCGAUCUAAGUAAAUUACAGAAACCGCAAGUUUUGCAUUCCGUUGAAUCAGAAGGAAAGAUAAUUAAAGGCAUCAGGAAUAUGACCCAACUUACAAGCCUCGGUAUUACAAAUGUGAAAGCAAGUGACGAGAUGGACCUCUGUGACUCCCUUCAAAAGUUAGAGCUCCUUCACAAUUUGUUUUUAAUGGCUGGUGAUGAAGAGGAGUUUCUUCAAGUUAAUUUGACUCCUCCAGACCUUCAAAUUGUUAAUGUGACUGGAAAACUAGAAAAGGUACCUCUUUGGUUAGGUUCACUCCAUAACCUGACACGUAUUUAUCUACGUUGGUCUAGACUUGAAGAAGACGUGCUACCUCACAUUCAAGCAUUGCCGAAUCUUGAAAGGCUUUCGCUAAUUAAUGCAUAUGUUGGCGAAAAAUUGUGUUUCUCCAGAGGCUUCAUAAAGCUUAAGCAUUUGAGGUUGUUCAAGUUCCCCUUAUUGGAUAGUAUAGCUAUAGAGAAAGGGGCGAUGCCAAAUCUCUAGGUCUUAUGCAUUGCGUACUGCCUGGAGUUAAAGGCAUUGCCGCAGGGCAUUGAGUUCCUUGCUAACGUAUAACGCUUGAAUCUGUAUUCUGUUCCAAUGCAACUUAUAGAGUCCGUAAGAGGAGGCAUGGAUCAUCCAAAGGUACAACAUAUUCCUGAAAUCCACCUGUAUUAUAUGAGAGAAAAUAUGGAGUGUCAUGAAAGUUUUUCCGGUAUUCACUCUAGGAGAAGGUACGCACACUUUUAUCCUUGCAUAAAAAUUUAAUUAAUGUUAGACUUACUACAUUUUUUGUGUCACAUUUGUACCACCUUUUUUAUAGAGGUAGGGCCGAUUGACAUAUAUGGGUCUUAUUUUUAUUAGAGAUGUGGUAUAAAUGUGCUAUGAAAAAUAUGGUAAAAGUAGCAUUUUUGUUAAAAAAAAAAUUCCACAACGUAAUCAUUUGAACUAUUACGUUAGAAAGUUAAAAGGUUGGUGAUUUUCACACUCCUAUUUUUUUUUCCUUAUACGCUCCUCUUGUUUUUGUUCGUUAGUGUUUUGAUUUAUUCAAUUGUUAGGCUACGAAAAAGAGGAAGUAGUGCAUCAGAGUGUAAAAAUCAUUUUCCCUUACAAUUUGCCUGUCCAAUCUUAUAUAGAAGUCUGGCAAAGACAUAAAAUAUGCAUGCAUUGAGAUUUUAUUCGGUAACUAUGUUUCUUUUGUUUUGUAAUAUCCUUUUUGCAGAAUCAAGCCUCAUACGCACUUAUGAGACUGCAUUGAGUUCUCCUUUGUCCCAGUUGAUUUUAUGGUGAAUCUCGACUUUCGUUAUAGUAACAGAGCUGACUAUAUACGUGUUGUGUCAUUUACCCUGCAAGGAAGAAUCCGUCCAUUGUUUGUUGUGUGAAGUUGCAAACAUUGAUCGAUCUUGGUUUCUUAUUUGCCCUUUGUGAAAUGGAAUAAUGCCCAAGAUUCUAUUUGUGUAACUGAAACUUAUAUUAUUGAUUGCUUGUGUGUGUUUUGAUGUAAUAAUAUUGGUUUGGAAUUGAAUUUGUCACUGAUGAGAAUAAUGCUUAAGAUUCUGUUUGUGUAACAGGAACUUAUAUUAUUGUUUGAUUGCGUGUAUUUUGAUGUAAUAACAUUGAUUUGGAACAGAAUCUAUCACUGAUGAGACCAAUUCUAACUAAACCAAUGAUUAUGACCCAUUUUUCAUUUUCAAUAUUUAUUGCUUUUUAUCAAGUUUCAAAUAUAUAUUGUUUUAGGUAGGCAAAUUUUGUGGCGGAUGUUUUAGCUUACUAUGAUUUUACCUGAGAAAUUAUUAAAUGGUACGAUAUUACCACGUCGCCCAGUAAUACUUUUAUUCAAAUUUCCAGUAAUACUUUUAUUCAAAUUUUAACAUGUGUGCAGUUUCUUUCAGGCUUACAGCUAGAUUAAAAAGCUUUUUUAAUUUAAAAUUAAUUUUUUUUUCAGUUUUAACAAAAUUAAAAGAACUAAAAAUAAGAGGCGUUUUGACACAGAUGCCUAGGGUUUAGCUUUUAAAAUUUUGAGAUAAGGCCAUCUCCAAUCGAAAAGUCCAGAGGGCUGAAAAUGGCCCAAAAACCAUCUCCAACCGAGGACUAGGCCAAAAGGCUCGUGGGCCCCACUGAACAAAAAAAGGCCAAAAGGAACCCAACCAGCCAACCUCGGGCAGAGCCAGAAAUUUGAAUGCAACGGCUAGCUGAUGUAAGCGUGACGCUAACUAGCCAUUAUAUUUGAAUUUUUUUUUGGGCCAAAAUUUUAAAAAAUAUAUAUUUAAUUAUAGGCCUAGAAAGGUGAUUAGUUCAAUGUUGGGCGUUGAGAUGUUCCUUUUAUAAGCAUGUUUGGUUACUCAAAUCUCUCCCACGAACAAUGUGGGACAAAUAUAAUGGGUGCCACACAUGCAAGCUUUUGCUUGCUCAAAUCUCUCCCACGGACGAUGUGGGACAAAUAUAGUGGGUAGUUUUUAAAUUUAAGUUGUUGUAGUUUUUAAAUUUAAAUAACAAAUUAUGUUUGGUCCUAUGACCCUCAAUUGGAGAUGAUUUUUGUCACAUGGCUAUGUUUGAUAAAAAAUUAUAGUCAUGCACUGUUCAUUAAAGUAUUAAUUUCUUGGACGGCCACACCUUCGGUUGGAGAUGGCAUAACCUCUUUUCCUCCCCUCCUUAUUCUCUCCCAUGGCGACUGCAGUGCUGUCAGUAUCCAAGCCCGCCAGACAGCAACCCCGACCGGGUCGGGGUGGAUUCGAGGCCCAUGGACUAUCAGAAGAAGAGGCCUAAAACCAUAUUUUAUCUUAAUAUUACAUAAUUACUGUUUUGUCUUCCUUAUGUAAAUAUUGUGAAUCAAAAGUGAGGGUAAAAUAGGAAAAAUAGGGAUAUGAUUGUCAUUUUAUCAAAAGAUAUAAAAUUACUAUUUUGCCCUCCUUAUGUAAGUAUUGUGUAUCAAAAGUGAGGGCAAAAGAUACAAAAUUACUAUUUUGCCUUCCUUAUGUAAGUAUUGUGUAUAAAAAAUGAGGGUAAAAUAAGAGGAAAAAAAAAGGCAAAAAGUUGACAAGAAUGAUUCUCUUAAUAAUAGUAUAGAUUAUAAAUAAUAAAUAAUAAUAAAAACUGAUAAGAAAAAAAAAAAAAAAAAAAAAACCCUAUCGUUCAAACUUCAAAGUUAAGGGGAGGGUAAUGGACAAGGAUUGUCUGCCCUCCCACUUUCCAUGCCCUCCCAUGCCUUCAUGUUUGUGUGGUCACGGUUAAGCCACGUCAACAUUUUAUAUUACUAUUCAUUUUUGUCUUAUUAUCUCUAUAAAAGAAACAAUAUAAAAUGUUGACGUGGCUUAACCGUGACCACACAAAACAGAAGAACACAGGAGGACAUGGAAAAUGGGAGGGCAAACAAUCCUUGUCCGAGGGUAAUAGACCUCUCUUUCUCUGCCGCAUAUCUCCUGGUUUUAUUUUUAUUUAUUUUUGGUAAAAAAAACCUUCCUGAUCUCUUUAUUCUCUAGAAACUCAUGUGUUAUUACCAUUUAUCGGACGAUAUGUUUUCCCGCUUGUUCAUAUUGUUCUCACGCUUGGCCAAUGGGGGAAAAAAUUGUUUUCCACAAUCUAAUUUAUCACUCAAAAUACUAGGAAUGAAGACUUAGGAUUUUGGGUUUAGUUUUGUUUACCGAACAAAAUAAUUCAAGAGAUCGAGCGAUUGCUUGAUACGCUUUGUGUGCUUUUUAAUUUUGUAUCAAUCGAAUCAAAUCGACAUGUAGUAAAGACGGAUUUUCUCUCCUCCUCCUUACGUUCGUGACCAGUUGAUUUUUUUUCCUAUUGAGUUUUAUUGGAUUAAUUGAUUCUUAUUCAUUUAAUAUAAUUGUUUAUUUAUUACUUAUAAUUCACAUCAUCGUCCAUGUCACUUAAGGUUUAAAAUUUUCAACAUUAGUCUUAAUCAAGAUCAUUGAAUGUUAUAAAAUCUAAUGACUAAAAAAGAGUGUAAAAAUACUUGUCUCCUGAUCCUAUUUUAUAUGUAUUUUUAUAUAUGAAUAUAAAUUAUUAUCUAUUAAUUUUUCAAUACAGUAUGAUAAUAUUGUUGGUAAUAUUAUGGAAUACUAAUCACAUACCAAAAAUUUCAGUUUGCUACAAUAUCGUGUCAUUAUUGAUUAGCACAAAAUCGAUAUGGUACGAUUAUCAAUCGGUGGCACGAUAUUGACAAAAAAAAAAAAUCACCCUAGAGUUAGUAACUCACCCGUGACAAGUGUUGAAUCAGAGACUAAAAAAGUAAUUGAAUUCUACUGGAAGUGUAUAUAAACUUUUGUAAUGUGAAUUAAAAUUAUAGUGUGCUUGAGUGAUUUUUCAAAAAGAAAACUAAGGAAAAGGGCUUGAAAACUUUGAGUUUUAAUGAUAAGGACAAAAUAAAGGGUAAAGUGAAUAGUACAAGGAUUGACUUUUUAGUGUAAAAAUGUGAUUUUUCGUUAAAGUAAACAGUACCGGGAGCUUUUCGUUAAAGUUCCCUUUUUCAAAACCGUGUUAGUUAUUUGAAAUAAGAAUUUUCUGUUAUAUUUUUAAUUUAUUUGUGCACCAAUUAUUUUUCUGCCGACACCAAAUUCGAAGCGCAACUUUAAUAUGACCCCACCUGGCAAGUACUGCGAGCAAAAUACAUCCCCACGAUUUACAAAUUGCCACACACAUCACAUUAUUAUCUUUGUCCAAAGGUUUUUGUCUUCGUCUGAAAUUAUUGGUCUUUGUCAGAAAGUAUUCGUAAGAGCCAUAAAGUAUUGGUCUUUGUUUCAUGAAACAUGACUUCCAUCCUAACGUGCAAUUGUUUCUAAUUCUAAAGUGAUUGUCUCUAAUUUUACUUGUUUCUCUGUCGGAUCGAAUGAGAAAAGAUAAAAGGCUCAUGAAAUUGACGUGUGGGGUUAGGAAUGGUUAUAUUCUAUGAGUGAGCUCCAGUCCCUUCGUCUCAUAUUUGAUAUUUUUAUUUUCGUUGACAAGGGAGCCCAAAAAUAACGACGUCGGAGCAACUGAAGCAUGUAAUUGCAACUCUUUUGUGAGCUUCCAUAUGUCCCAGGGUAUGUUAUUCUGCAAUCUUACUACCAUAUCAAAUAUCCUUCUAGUAAUUUUCUGGAAGAAAGUAUAGGGGCUUAUGAGCUACAUCUGACUUUUGUUUCACUUUUUUUUCUUAUUAUAUAUGUAAUUCAGAUUCUGAGCAUUCAUCAUCGAACACAAGACUUCAAAUUCGAUUUCUUCUUCAACAACAUUGCCUGUAUAAAAAAAGGGGUAAGUUAUUGAUUUAUACGCCAUUACGUUGAAUUUGGUUGGAAGUCUAGUCAAUAUUAUUUGGUGUUUUAUUUUAAUAAUUUAAGCAAGCAAACGAGUUAUAUUUAUCGUGUUUUCAUUGUUUUGUCAUAUUUGUCAUUUUAACAGAUAAUAUUGUGUCAAAUAUGUUAUCCUAAUAAAUUCUUCACAAAUGACCCCAAUAACGACUUAAUUCGUUAAUGAAUUGUGUCGCCUCACGCAGUGAUGAAGCCAAAAAUUGUCAAGAGGAGGGGCAAAAGUUAAACGGUUUAAGGUCCCCAAAAAAUGUGGACAUCCAUUCGAGGCCGAAGUCUAGUGUUUACAUGAAGAAUAUGUGAACUACCUCGAAUAUUUGUAGGAUAAUUUGCACUAACUGAAAUAUUCAAAGUAGGAAUUGGACAUGACCUGACCUAGGAGGAUUAGGCGAAUUUGAAUUUUUUUAAUUAUAUAUUGUAUAAAUAAGUGUCUAUUUAUUAUAUACAUAUAAUAUCUAAGAACAUUGACUAUAAAACAUAUAAUAUAUAAAAAUAUAAAAAAAAAAUUUUACUUUGUUGUAUUUAACAGUAGGAGAUAAAAAUUUAAAUGAUUACAAGUUUUUAAUACUUUACAAAAUAUUUUUUAAAGUUCAUAUGAAUUUAUAGUAAAUUUGAAGAUAAAUAAUAAUGUAAAAAAAGUUAAAAAAUAUUGAAAAAGUGGGCAAAUUAUUCAAACAAUAAUUAAAAAACAAAACAAAUCUCAAUAUAAUCAGCAUAUUAAAUAGCUAGCUAUGUGGCCCAAACUGAUUGGGUACAAUAAUUGAAAAACCAAAUCAAAGUGGGUAACUUUGAAACGGCAUGUGGGGUGGGGUGGGUAAGAGAGAAAGUUACCUUUUAGUAGCUGAAAAAUACAAAGCUUGGGUAUUUUGAAAAAAAAAAAAAAAAAGGAGAGCCUGGGAGUAGGAAACCCAGAACACCAAAAAAUCAGAUGGGACCAAAGGGACGGAACCAUUGAUCCUAGGCUUGAUUUUCGGUUUGGGGAGGGGCGACCCUUAUGUAGCUUUGCCCAUGAUCUCAUGCCUAUUUAAUAGGUUAUGCAAGAAAUUAAUAUACCUAAUAUUAAUUUAAUAGUUGGGAACUCCCCCGUGAUAAGUGUUGAAUUGAAUCAGAGACGGAAGUGUAUAUAAACUUUUGUAAUGUGAAUUAAAAUUACAGUGCGCUUGAGUGAUUUUUCAAAACCUUGUGUUUGUUAUUUGAAAUAAGAGUUUUCUAUUAUAUUUUUAAUUUUAUUCGUUCCUUGGUUUACAAAUUGCCACGUACAUCACGUUAUCAUCUUUGUCCAAAAGUUUUUGUCUUGGGCUGAAAUUAUUGGUCUUUGUCAGAAAGUAUUCGUAAGGGCCAAAAAGUAUUGGUCUUUGUUUCAUCACUUCCAUCACAACUUGCAAUUGUUUCUAAUGUAUUUUAAAAGCACAUCCAAACAAGCCCAUAUAAAUUAUAAAGUAUUAGAACAUAUUGAAAAUAUGAGAACAAGCAUAUAAUGUGUCACAUCCCAUUCCAAAUUUAAUCGUAUUUUAUUCUCUAACAUUAGAAAAUUACAAAAAUGCCCCUGACGGGGUGAGUGGAAAUCCUAGGUGGACAUUUGGGUCCUUGUCACUCUGUACCUUUUUCAUGUCUUUCUAGGUAGUACUUAUCCUUAUAAACAUGUGAGCGCGAACGAGGAGUAAAUCGAAUGAUUUACACACAUUUCCCAAUAAGGGGCAAAAAAGUAAUUAUGCACCCUCACAAAUCCAUAACUUGUUUAUCAAGACAACAAUAGGUUGGGACACUGUGAUAUUGAAGGCCUAUUUGUUGGGUUCGUUAAGUAAGUGGGCAACUGGGCCCCAUCUCCGUUAGUAUUUAAUUAAUUAAGCAUGAUGUCUAAUUAAUUAUUGUUUGGGUUUGACCCAAAGAUACACACACAUAUACUCUCGUAAUGCUCAUCACUACGAGUGCGUGGAUGCAAACAACAUAGAAUUUGGAGCUAUGAACCUCAAGGACAUUAUGGUCAUCCUACUCUUCUUAGUGCACAACAACCAAUUAUUGAACAUUUUUAAAAAUCAUUGGUCCCACCCCACGUGACCACUCCUUUUCGCCAUAUAGCUUCCCCUCACGUUUCCUUCAGAUAUGUCACACUCAUUCUUUAAAACACUCAAACUCUCUCAUUCUCACUCCUCUGCCUUAAUUCUCUAUCUCCCCCAAUGUCUCUUUCUCAACUCUCGCUAUCUCUCCUUUCUAUGUGUUCACAAAGAAAUUGAGAAAUACUUUGUUCUUUAAGAAACAUUGAAAUUUCAUCGUGAUACUUAAAUAAGCAAAUGAUUUCGAAUUCAAUUGAAUUUUCGCAACGAUGAUCUAUGAAUCAAGAAUUAUAAAAAUAGACGGUUCGGAUCGUUAAAGUUCGAUGUAGAAUGUAUCCCACAACUAAUCCCCAUUUUUUAAAGGGCAUGUAUAAGAUUGUUGAAUCUUAUAAAGGCUACAAAGAGUGAAAAUGUUUGUCAAAAUGUUUGUGUCUUGAACUAUCCCACAAAUGUGUGUAUGUAUAUAUUCCCUUUAGCCAAAAAAUUGGAGGAUGCGGGCAGCCGUCCGAUCUCUUUUAAUCGAUCGUGCGGCUGGGACUCAACCAUGCCUUGUUGCAAUCUUUUACAUUUUAUUUUUCUUUCUCCGGCUCUCGAGAAGGAGACGCGUAGCCAAGCCACCCAGAGAGGUUCAGUCAAACCCCAAUCCUCUCCUCCUUUCGACGAUUCUGGACAAUUUGGAGAAUGGGUUUAAGGAUUUGGGUUUUUACUUUCAAGUAAUACUUUUCUUGGAGCAUGGAGUCAGUGAAUACUCCUUGGUUCAAAUUGUACAUCUCAGUUUCUGAACUUUUUUUUCCCUCCGGUUUUAUUUAGAUAAGAAACUCAAUCACCAUCUUUUUCAUGAUGCAGAGACCCAUACUAAAACUCGCAAAAAAAAAAAAAAAAAAAUCCCAAAUCUUAGUCUCUCCUUUUCUUUUAACAAUCAGGUUCUAGGACUUUUUUCAAGUUACUUUUCUGAAAAAUGGGUUUUGUGAUUUGGGUCUCCAUUUGAUCAAAAUAUAGGUACAGAUCAAUCCCACACUCGGCCAUAUUCAUACCCUAAUUUUGAAACAUGCAGACACCAUUUUUUUUUUUUUUUUAAGAUUCAGACCCCAAUUGGCUUCUAGCUUUCAAAUUCGCAAAGAAAAAACAAAAUGAUCUCUGAUAUUUUAUGCUUAUGAUUGGGUCUACUGAAGUCUGAAACUGUGGUCGCGAUGGAGAAGUGGUGCUCCGGCAUGAAGCUUUGUUUGUAUUCAAAUUAGGAAGGAGAAGGGGAAACAAAAGAGAAAAAGUAGUCAACUCCCAGCCACACGAUCUCAUUAAGAAAGAACGGACGGCUGCCUGCAUCCUCCUUUUUGGCUAAAUGGGGAUCCUCUCUCUUUUUUUAUUUUUUAUUUUAUUUUUAACAAACUUUUCGGUAAUUUCGGUUUGGGAUCGGGAUUUUUUUCGAUUUAGUUCAGGAUUUUUGGGAAUUUGCAAAUCUCGAACCAAACCAAAUGAUGUGUCACCAAUAGGAAAUAAACACGUUAAUCAAAACUUAAGUGAUAAUCCAAUCAUAAAAAACCAAAUCAUUUCGUUUACAGAAUUUGUUUUAAAAGUUUAGUCUCUCUAGAAUUACCCUUAUAUAUAUAUAUAUAGUUUUCCUCAAUAACUGUUUAUGCAUAAUUGAUGUGACAUGCCAUGUUUAGCUUUACAAAUACUCUUUUCAUACACUUCAAGUUUAUAUUACUAUUUGUAAGUAUAAACAUAUGGCAUGACAUCCUUGUAUCUAAUAUGCUCAUUAUUACAUGUUUGCACAGUGUCUUUUAGUUAUUUGUACUGUUCUAGGCCAAUGACCAACUUCACAUGUAUCUUCACUUGCACCAUUUACGUUCGCUUUGAAUCCAGAGUUAGGUGUCAGCCUAUCUCUAGGUUAGAUUUUUGGACUCGUAUAUGAUGCGCUUAGCACCAGCUUUCGUGAUAUAGAACUAGAACGUAAUAUCUACACCCAACCUGUUCCAUUGUCAGAAUACCUCUGCAAUGAAUUUGUGUGCCUACAUACAUUAAUGAGCAGUGACUUAUGCUUUUGAGAUGACUGUUGUAUACUAGUAUACGUAUGCCAUAUUCUUCGACUUACGAUAUUUGCUGGCUGCUAUAUAGUAUUACAUAGUAUUAUUAUUUUUGGGAAACACAUUUUCGAAAAGGUUUUCAAAACUUUAUUUUAUAGGUCUACUCACCCUUGUUUUUUGCCCAUCUAGGAUCUAGUGGCAGAGCUUUUGUGACGACGAGGAUUGCUGGCAAGAUCUGACAUGUAGGAGGAUUUCUCCUUUCGGUAUAAAUGUUCUUACUUUAUCUUUUACUGUAAUUUACUUAUACUCUGACAUCACUUGUGUGAAGAGGUUCAACCUCGUUUACAUGCGUACUCUAGAAUUAGUUACUUUAGGUUUAAAUUAGUCAACACUUUUCACAUCACCAUUACUUUAUGGCUUCGUCACCUCCCAGGUAUUGGCUAGCAUAGCUCAAUUCGGUUGUCUAGGUGGACAUUUCGGGUUGGGUUGUGUCAUAAUGAGUGCUCAUCCAAGCUAGUAUUCAAAAAGUCUAUUACAAUUUGUUGAAAAAAUAAAAUGCAAAAUGAAAUUUAUCUAUUUUCUGUGUAAGUGAGAGUUGUGACUUAGGCAAGUCUAGGCAACACCUAUGCUACGUAGGCCUAAGAACCCUUUCUUAAUUUUCAAAUGUUUGAGAUUAAUCGGGUCGGUGGCCACUCCUAGGCAGCGCUAGAUGGAGAUUUUUAGAAUAGUAAUUAAUGUGUUGACCCAAAACUUGUAAUUUUUCAUGUCGUUCUGUGUCUAAUUAACAGGUCGUGCAAAAAAUUAUGAGGCCUUUGUGUAGAGUUCAAUCCGCUAUACCCAAAAUAUUGGACGCCUACAAAGAAUUGAAACUUUUUGUUAUCCUUAAUACUGACAGAGAACCAUGACAUUUGAUGGAAGAAUUAGAUUGAAUGAGUUUGAAACAUUUCAACCACAGAUUUUUGUUCUUGAAUCAAAUUCUUUAAUUCUGUGUUCUUGGAAAAAAAGACUCGAGAAAGUAGUUUUCGGACUAAGUUUGGCUCUUCCUUUGUUAAAAUGAAUGAAAGUUAAAAACAGAUUUAAGUUUCUUGAUUACUAGACAAUUCGGGUACCUUAUUUAGAUCUUGAUUUCUUUUGGCUUGUGGUUUCGUUUGAAAACUAAGCACAUAGUUUGUAAAAUACCAAAAUUUAUCCAUUGCGUUCUCUUUUUUUUCCCGUUGUUUUGAAACUUUUCCUUUCUGUAGAUAGAUUGCAUACCAAGUAUCGAAGGCCAAAAUGGAGUCAGCUGCAUCACUGUUGAUUGGGAAAAUUGCGGCCAUUCUUGAGAACGAAGCAUCUUCCAUAACGGCAGUCCGUGAUGAAGUUGAUGAGCUUAAGCUGAAGCUUAUAAGCAUGAAAUCUUUCUUAAUAGAUGCUGAAGGCAAGGAACCACAAACAGAAGGAGAGAAAACGUGGGUUACAAGCGUCAGAGAUUUGACCUGCGAUGCUGAAAAUGUCAUUGAUGAGUUCCUGUAUCACAUAUAUGACAAGCAAAGUGCCACUCCAUUUACAAAAUUGCUCCACAGAACCAUUUACUUUCCAAAGAAUCUUUGGUAUAGGCAUCGAAUAGCCAAAAAAUUACAGAAAAUCACGAAAAAGAUGAAAGCCAUUCCAGAGAGGAAUGAGAGAUAUGGUGUCUCUACAAUAGAAGGAACAAGUUCGGGUAGUGUUCCCAGAUGGGUGAAGAACAAAGCCGAGUCUUCUCUUUAUAUUAUGGAAGAUGAAUUAAUCGGCAUUGAAGACAAGAAGCAAACGUUAAUGGGAUUGUUGAUGAAUGGCGAGGAAAAUGAAAUGGUUGUGUCUGUGGUCGGGAUGGGAGGAUCAGGCAAGACAACUCUAGUUGCCAAUAUCUUCAACAACGAAAAUGUAAAGCGGCAUUUUGACUGUUAUGCAUGGAUCACUGUUUCUCAACUUUUGUGAUCGAAGACUUAUUCAAAAAUCUGAUCAAGCAAUUCCACCAAGGAAGAAAGGAAGAGGUGACAGCACAAUUGGAUUCCAUGAGUUACAAAGAAUUGUUAGAGAUGUUGUCGGCAUACUUGAAGUCUAAAAGGUACCUCGUUGUAUUGGAUGAUGUGUGGGAUAUUAAACUUUGGCAAGAAAUAAAGAUACCACUUCUUAAUAGGCAUCAUGGAAGUCGAAUCAUGCUUACAACUCGAAAGAAAGACAUAGCAUCCUAUUCUUUUGAAGUUGAAAGUCGUCCUAUUGAAAUUGAACCCUUGGGAAACAAUGAAGUUUGGGAGCUCUUUAGCAAGAAAGCAUUCUCAACUUACGAUAAUAAAUCUUGUCCACCAGAGCUUGAAUCCUUAGCAUGGAAACUUGUGGAUAAGUGUGAAGGCCUACCUCUGGCAGUGGUAACUUUAGGUGGUCUAAUGUCUUCCAAGAGGUCAUCAUCGGAAUGGAGAAGUGUAUAUAACAGCUUAAAUUGGCACUUGACUAACAAUCCUAUGCUAGAACCAAUGAGCAGCAUCUUGUUGCUUAGUUUCAACAAUUUGCCCAACCGGUUGAAGCCCUGUUUCCUAUAUUGUGGCCUUUUCCCAGAAGAUUAUCUCAUCAAAAGAAACAGGUUGAUCAGGUUGUGGAUAGCUGAAGGGUUUGUUGAACCAAUUGAUGGGGUCACACUAGAAGAAGUUGCAGAGGGCUAUCUUGUGGAACUUAUUGUUCGUAGCAUGCUACAAGUUGAAAAGAAUGAAGCUAGAGGACUAGGAGCAUGUAAAAUGCAUGAUCUUGUGCGUGAGCUUGCUUUGUCGACAUCAAAAAAGGAAAAGUUUGGUGCUACGUAUGUUGGCAGAGAAAUAGUUGAUAAAGCUGAAAUCCGGCGAUUGUCAAUUCAAACAACUGAAAGAGAAAUUAAUUCUUGCACAGGUAUGUCAGAGCUUCGCUCCUUUCUUGUCUUUGGCGCGUUAAAGAAAUUGCCUUCUGGAUUCAAGUUGUUGAGAGUUCUAGAUCUGGAGGGUGCCCCAAUUGAUAGAUUUCCAGAUGAACUAUUGUACUUGUUCAACUUAAGAUAUUUAAAUUUGAAGGGAACUUUAAUUGAGGAGCUUCCAGAAUCCAUCGGACGGCUUCGCAACCUUCAAACCUUGAACAUCCGUGACAGUAAGAUAAAGGCACUUCCGAAAGCAAUCUGCAAGUUAGUAAACCUACGCCAUCUAAUCAUGCAUCGUUACACUGGUGAUCAUUAUAGCUUUAUAUAUGUCAAUGGGACAAAACCAGCAUCCGAUCUAAGUAAAUUACAGAAACUGCAAUUUUUGCGAUGUGUUGAAUCAGAAGGAAAGAUUAUUAAAGGCAUCAGGAAUAUGACCCAACUUACAAACCUCGGGAUUACAAAUGUGAAAGCAAGUGACGAGAUGGACCUAUGUGACUCCCUUCAAAAGUUAGAGCUCCUUCACUCUUUGAUUUUAAUGGCAAGUGAUGAAGAGGAGUUUCUUCGAGUUAAUGCACUACGUUUGCCUCCUCCAUACCUUCAAAAGGUCUGUUUGGCCGGAAAACUAGAAAGGGUACCUCUUUGGUUUGGUUCACUCCAAAACCUGACGUGUAUGAUUCUAUAUUGGUCUAGACUUGAAGAAGAUGUGCAACCUCACAUUCAAGCAUUGCCGAAUCUUGAAAGGCUUGAGCUAUAUAAUGCAUAUGUUGGCGAAAAAUUAUGUUUCUCCAGAGGCUUCAUAAAGCUUAAGCGUUUGGAAUUACUUGACUUCCCCUUGUUGAAUAGUAUAGCUAUAGAGAAAGGGGCGAUGCCAAAUCUCCAGGCCUUACGGAUUAGGCGUUGCGCGGAGUUAAAGACAUUGCCGCAGGGCAUUGAGUUCCUUGCUGACGUAGAACGCUUGAUUCUGAUUUCUGUUCCAAUGCAACUUAUGGAGUCCGUAAAAGGAGGCACGGAUCAUCCAAAGGUACAACACAUUCCUGAAAUCAACAUGUAUUACGAGAGACAAAAUAGGCGGUGUCAUGAAAGCUUUUCUGGUAGAAGGUACGCACUCUUUUAUCCUUGCAUAAAAAUUUAAUUAAUGCUAGACUUACUAUAUAUUUUGUAUCACAUUUGUAACCUCUCUUUUAUAAAGGUAAGGCUCAUUGACAUAUGUGGGUCUCAUUUUUAUUAGAGAAGUGGUACAAAUGUGGUAUGAAAAAUAUGGUAAAAGUAAGUUUUUGUAAAAAUUUGUAAAAAAAAAUUUCCCCAACGUAAUCAUUUGAACUAUUAUGUUAGAAAGUUAAAAGGUAUGUGAUUUUUAUACUCCUAUUUUUUUUUUCUUAUGCUCUCCUCUUUUUUUUGUUUGUUAGUGUUUUAAUUUAUUCAAUUGUUAGGCUACGAAAAAGAGGAAGUAGUGCAUCGGAGUGUAAAAAUCAUUUUCCCUUACAAUUUGCUUGUCCAAUCUUAUACAGAAGUCUGGCAAAGACAUAAAACAUGCAUGCAUUGAGAUUUUAUUCGAUAAAUGUGUUUUUUUUUUGUUUUGUAAUAUCUUUUUUGUAGAAUCAAGCCUCAGAAGCACUUGUGAAACUGCAGUGAGUUCUCCUUUCUGCCAGUUGAUUUUGCAGUGAAUCUCGACUUUCGUAAUAGUAACAGAGUUGGCUAUACACGUGUUGAGUCAUUUGCCCUGCAAGGAAGAAUUCGUUCGUUGUUUGUGUGUUGUGAAGUUGCAAACAUUGAUCGAUCUUGGUUUCUUAUUUGCCCUUUGUGAAAUUGAAUAAUGCCCAAGAUUCUAUUUGUGUAACUAAAACUUAUAUUAUUGAUUGCUUGCGUGUGUUUUGAUGUAAUAAUAUUGGUUUGAAACUGAAUCUAUCACUGAUGAGAAUAAUGCCCAAGAUUAUGUUUGUGUAGUAUGAACUUAUAUUAUUAUUUGCUUGCGUGUAUUUUGAUGUAAUAAUAUUGGUUUGGAACUGAAUCUGUCACUGAUGAGAUCAAUUCUAACUAAACCAAUGAUUAUGACCCAUUUUUCAUUUUCGAUAUUUAAUGUUUUUAUCAAGUUUUCAAAUAUAAAUUUUGUGGCCGAUGUUUUAGUUUAUUAUAGUUUUAUCUGAAAAAUUAUUAGAUGGUACGGUAUUAUCAGGUCGGCAGGUGAUUCUUCUAUUCAAAUUUAAACAUGUGUGCUGUUUCUUACAGCUGAAUUAAAAAGCUUUUUGUUGUGAUAAUAUGUGGAUGGCCCACAUGAAUAGUUUGUUACUAUUUAUGCACAGUAUUUUCACUAUUCAUUUGUGGAAAAUUUGUAAAGUGAAUAGUGCUUUCUUUUGUUUAUAUAAAGGAAGAAGAGGAAUGAAGUGAGGAGAGUUCACGGGAAAGAAAGAGAGGAAGGAAGGAAGAGGAAGAGAGAGAAGGAAGAGGAAGAGAGAGAAUAGAGGAAGAUGAGAGGAGAUAAUAGAGAGAGUUAUCUUUGUACUCCUAUUAUUCUAAAUUAUAAUGGAAGCACCACUGCUGCCCCGAGGACGUACUCCAGUCACACUGACUGUAGAGGAACCUUGUAAAUUUUGUGUCUUGCUUAUUUAUUCCACUGCACACACCGUCGAUUUCACAACACGUUAUCAGCACGAGAAGCUCUCAUGUCAGUGGAAAGCACAAUAUCAUAAAUCUGGUGAAGCAUUAUCUACCUCUCACCUCGGUCAGCUAAAAUCUCACAGAGUAAAGACGGCAAGCCAGACAUGUCAAACAGGGAAGAUCAUCUUGUCACAAAAAUCCAUCAACCUUUCUUUUAUCACUUUUUCUUUUAUCACUCUAACUAUUGAUGUGCUAAUCCUUAUCCCUGCUAGACCUGCAAUCUAUUUUUCUCUCGUGGACAAGAAAGAUGGAGAGAUCUUACAGACAAACAAAGGUGCAGCAAAACAAGCAAAGGUAUGUCCAUUUUUCAUUUCUCCCACCGUGCCAGAAGCGCCCCACCGAAUUCCGGUGCGAAUUGAAAUUUCCAACGACCUGAAGUCGUCACGAGAUAAGAAAACUCGUACCUGACAACUAGUUUCCAGAGAUCCAAAAGAAUCUCAUUAGACUUGGAAACCCAGAUCGUGUCGUUCUCAAUGGAUCUCGAGGACCUCCAUGAAUCCUCAGUUGUCUGAGAUGGUGAUGGCAUGACUGACCCCACACAGGCCUCCCUCUCUUGUGCCUUCGUCAACCUCACUGUCAUCUAUGUCUCUAUGGAGAGGUUCUUGCUUUGCGAUGCCAUGUUCUUUGGGCCAUGCAAGAACAACGCCAGUCUCUGGUAGCCUUUUUGGAUUGAAUUGGUUUUGUGUAACCCCCACAACAACCCAGCUGGUACUGGGUUUCGAGACUGGUAGAGAUAGACAAAGAAAAGGGGAAAUGGGGCCAAUGAUUUAGAAAGGUGCGUUGCACCAUGUAAAAUAAAAGAAAUAAAAACAAAAGUUGUUGGAAUGUUGUAACAUGUGAUUGAAUAAGAAAAUAAUAAAAUAAAAUAAAGGUAAAGGUUUUUGGAUGGUGUUACACCAUCUGAAAAGAAAGAAGAAAAUAUGUAUAUAUUUAUGUGAAUGGUGUUGGCUUAAAACACUUUCACAAGUUCUAUUUAUUUAAAGCAAUUUAUUUACAGUGGGUAGAAUUAUUACCCUUUGCUUUAAAGCUUUGAUAUUUAUGUGCAUGAUGUUGGUUUAAAGCCCAUGUCACAAGUUCUAUUUACUUUAAAACAAUUUAUUUAUCAUGGACGGUUUUACCGCCUACUGCUUUAAGUUUUGAUUUAUGUGAAUGGUGCUGAAUUAAAGCCCUUGUCACAAGCUUUAAUUUAUUUAUUGUUCAAUUUAUUUACUAUGGCUGGAAUUACCGACUAUUGCUUUAAUUUAUUUAUUGUACUUAUCUUUUGUUACAAUGAGUAUAUAUAAGACCCAAAGUUCCUUGAUCAGAUCAGAACCUGCAGUUUCUUGAUCCUCAUCAUAUAAAAUGAUUGGACCCGAAGUUCCAUCAUACAAAAAGAUCAGGCAUGAAGUCCUUUGAUCCUGAAGAUCAGAACAUGAAAUUCCUUGAUGAGUACCUUAAGUUUGAAGUGCCACAGUGCCUCAACUUAAUUAUAAUAAAGGUCAUAAAAGUCUCAGUCCAUAGACUAUUUAAUAAGGACCAGAAGUUCCUUAUGUCCAUACUUAAAAUGGUUUAGCAGAAGCAUUUAUUAAGCGGAUGAAAUUGAUUACCCGCGAUCUGCUCAUGAAAACGAAAUUACCAGUUUUCUACAUGGGGACAUGUCCUUUUACAUGACGCAUUUUUAAGUUCGGAUGAGACCAGUUUCCAACCAUCAAUAUUGCUCAGUACAACUCGUGUUUGGGAACUAGCCAAACAUUAUACAUUUACGGGUUUUUGGUUGUGUUAUCUAUGUGCCUGUAAGACUGCCACAACGUACUGAAAUGAGGCAUCAUCGUAGAUUAGGCAUUGAUGUUGAACACCAUCUAUCAUUCAAUAUUUGGAACCCUUAACUGGGGAUAUGUCUACCGCAUGAUUUGCGGACUAUGAUUUUGAUAAGACAAUUUUCCUGCCAUUAGGGGGAGAAAAUAACAUCGUUCCAGAAGAACGAUGAGAAAAUAUCAUUCCAAAAUAAUGAUGAGAAAAGACCGUUCCAGAAGAACGAAGAGAAUUUGUCUUAUUUUGAUUCACGAAGCAAUCAAUGAGAAAAUGAAAUAUGAAUAAUUGAAUGAUGCAACGAAAGUGAUGAAAUCAUAUAUACUUACUGCAAAUGUGCCUACAAGAAUUGAUGUCUCUGUUGGAUAAAAUAAUGAGACAGUAAAUGAUUUAUCUGUUGCACGCCUGAAGCAUGGCAGAUUUUUAGACUCAAAAGGUUCAGUUAUUCGAAAGAAGAAUAAUAUGACACUAUUGAACUAUUGCAUUCCCGAAGCAUAACUGUUGCAUGCCAGAAGCAUAACAGUCACUGCAUGGAUACACGUCCCAGAUAGGACAAUCCACAGACAUGGGAAUGUUGAUGUCUCAUACAUGGAGCAUAAUAGACAUAUAGGUUCCAAUGACUCAACUCCCGGAAGUGGAGAUUAAAAUCCAAGCUCUAUAACGCUCAAGAGGAGGUUAUGAUCCACAUUCUCUAAAUUAUGACUAUCCUGGAAGAGAUAGCGUCAUGCCCUUGAAGAGGCAAUGGAUAUCCAAAGAAAUGAAAAGCUUUUAUGCAUGCCCAUGCACAUGAGAAUAUGGGAUCACGGAUUGAUGAUAACCAAUGGUAAUUUUGGUUUUUACAAGUAGCUACUAAAUUCAUCAAUGAGCUAUGUUAAUAUUGAGCCACGUUCUUUUGUUUGUCGACAAAAGAAAAAUUAUUGGCCAAAAUGGAGAAAGGCAAUUUCAUUACAAUUUUGUAAGAACGUGGGCAAAUGAACCUAUAUAUAUUUGAAUACAAUACAAAUAGCCAAAAGAUGUUGAACCCAGGAGGUUACAUUGGGCAUUUGUAAUACAGUGAAAUACACUCACAUGAUAUGACACAAGGUUGUAAACGAGUUCAUAUGAAUGGAGAAUUAUAUACGAAGGGUUGUGAGUCGCCCACAUUAUAUCUCCAUAAGUAAAUCCCUCAAGUAUACAUGAGAGCAAAUUGCUCUGUAUAAAUUCCAAAGGAAAAUGUGUCAUGAAGUGUAGAAAACCCUUGAAGGAUUCAAAUUGCUUGAAGUAAGCCUCUGAAGGGUAAAACAUAAAAUAUGUACUCAAUACCAAUGGAUGAUAUAAAUUGCCUUAGUGAGUACUAUCAUUAUGAUAUUGUUGCAACAUACUAAAAUCUCUUGCAAGAGUCAAUGACAUUAAAUUAUAACUCUUGAAGAGUUGAUGAUAUUAAAUUGGGACUCCUGAAGAGUCUAGAAAAAUUAUAAAGUGUUGAAGGAAUUAUUGUCUCGAGCUGCAGAUCGAACAAUCUACCAACACGAAUCUUAUCCAUGAUAUUUGUGAUAUUAAAAGAACCAUAUGGAUUGAAGAUUAUGAGUUGAAUACUCAUAUGAUUUAGACACUAAGAACGAUCAUUUAUCUUCGUGAAUGUAAAGAUAAAUUGAUAUUUGGUCCAGAAGUACCACAUCUUAGUGAAGUAUAUGCUUUAUUGUAUUUGGCACAAUACAUUGAAUGAAAUAAAGCUUAUUUAUUAAUAUCUCCAAGAAAUUACAGAUAUAUACAUACACAUGAGUUAAAACAAACAAACAGGAUGGAGCCUUCAUAAAGGUUGCUCAUGUGAAGCCUCAGUACUCGGAAGUACCCCAGAAGGGGGAGGCACUGGAGAUUGAUCAUGUGGCACCCCAGUACUUAGCAAAACACCAGAAGGGGAAGGCAUCAGUUGCUUUCGGAAUCUAGCAACGAACCUCUGGUGAUCACUUUGAAUCCGAUUUUCGGAUUCCUGCAGUUGGACGAGCUUUCUUUUCAUGCUCAUAGAGUAACUAUUUGCAAGCACGUGUAACACCCUAUUCUCGUGCUUGAGCCCUCUGAUCUCUUGUUUAAGACUUGCCACCUCCUCCAUCAAUGAUUCAACUUGGCGAGUUUGAGCAAGUAGGCGUUGGCCCAUAUUGGACAUAGAGCCAGCACACUGAACACUGAGAGCCAAGAAGUCUUGAACGGCCGACUCUUCAGACCGUUCUGAAAGGAUCUUGUUAUCCCUUGGAGUAAGAAGAUUCCUAGCUACCACAGUAGCGGUUAUGUUAUUCAUCACAGAGUCCCCAACCGUAAGAGGACCAUUAGAAGAUAAGAAGGACGGGCGCCAUAUAUUAUCUUGAUGCUGCUCGUCUGUAUCACUCCUAAGACUCAAAUCUAAGCAAAUGUUAGAUGGGCAAGUCAUUUUUCAGAAAUGAUGAAGGAAAAAUAGAGGUCAAAUAAAAUUUCAAAGGUGCAAGAUAGAGGAAAUUUCUACAAGCAGCAACUUUCUGAGCAUACUCUUGAACAUAAUUGAUGUCUCUAUAAAAGAAGAGGCAGCAGAGCCACUCGUUCAAAGAUCGAAGAGGCACCGCUCUUCGAAUUUCAAAAGCCAGAUUUUCCUGAAUAAAGUUCGUUGGCAUUUUUCAGACGUAAUCCCAGCUUUUUCAGAUGUCGCGUGCAAUUUUGUCAAAGAUCUCUGACAAAGUUGAAAACACGUAAAUCUUACUGUUCUAUUUACACCACAGUUGCUGACAGGAGUAAAAGCACAGCACCACCACUUGCUAUUGAGAAAUCUCUAUAUAUGUCGACCUCUGUUCUCCAUAACAAGGCAGACCUGCAACACUGCAAGAAUACUCAACUCUUCCUCAUCUCCGAGAAUGCAUCUUCAACAUAGCAUCUCGAAAUACUCAGUUUUCUUCCUCUCCGAGAAUACCUCUUCAAACAUGUCACACCAGAGCAAGAUUAUCACAUAUCUUCAGGGACCAGAGCAAGAUUAUCUCAUAUCAUGCAAUCUCCCUGUCUUUUCUUUUGUCCUUGUUCUUACCUGCAAAGACAAGGAUAAAGAAAGCAGUAUGUCGGAACCUCCACUCAAACUCCAGGUAAGGAACAAACUGCUUGGAACCUUUCCCGAUUGCUUACCUAGCUCUUGAGUAGUCAUCUUCAACUGUUGUUGGAACUGGGUCUCCGGUCACCAAGAAGUGAUGAACCAUCCAAAUGCAAGGGUUUGCAUUCCACUUCUGCACCAGGGGACAAAUCCUACAAGAGAAGAUGCCACAUAUGCAUGGGGGGAAAAGCAGUGAAAAUACUACUUAAGCAAGGGGAGCAAGUAAGGAAAGUGAAAAUGAUGCAUUGAAGCAUGUGGAGACAAGUGCAAUGAACAUAUGCUGAUUCAUCCCCAACUAAGCCGAAUAUCACUUGUCACGUGAAGCUCCUCAUGGUCCAAUUUCAUUCAAGAUCAAGCCUCGAAAGUCCUUGAAGAAAUCAAAAGUCGGAUUCAAGAUCAAGUGUCCACCACACUUGAAUCAAAUCUGCUCCAGAUCAAAGGAGUAAAUUCAGACCUUUGGAUGCAAGUCUAGUAGAAAGUCCUACAACCCAGUUCAAGAAAAAGCCUGUGGAAAGUUAACAACAAGUAAAACACCUUUUUCGGCAACUCUCCCCGCUAAGAGACUGAAGCAGAAUGAUCAGUGAUCAGCCUAAAUGAUUUGAAAUCAGGGGGAGAUACUCAUCAAGGGAAGCAUCCAAAAACAGAUCAAGAUUUUAACGAAUCAAUCGAAGACUUAUGACCAUCCAAGGGGGGGUGUUGUGAUAAUAUGUGGAUGGCCCACAUGAAUAGUUUGUUACUAUUUAUGCACAGUAUUUUCACUAUUCAUUUGUGGAAAAUUUGUAAAGUGAAUAGUGCUUUCUUUUGUUUAUAUAAAGGAAGAAGAGGAAUGAAGUGAGGAGAGUUCACGGGAAAGAAAGAGAGGAAGGAAGGAAGAGGAAGAGAGAGAAGGAAGAGGAAGAGAGAGAAUAGAGGAAGAUGAGAGGAGAUAAUAGAGAGAGUUAUCUUUGUACUCCUAUUAUUCUAAAUUAUAAUGGAAGCACCACUGCUGCCCCGAGGACGUACUCCAGUCACACUGACUAUAGAGGAACCUCGUAAAUUUUGUGUCUUGCUUAUUUAUUCCACUGCACACACCGUCGAUUUCACAACACUUUUUGAAUUAUUAUUUUUUUAAUUAAAAGAACUAAAAAUAAGAGGCGUUUUGACAGACUUAAAAUACCUCUUUUCCUCCCCUUCCUCUUCUCUUCCAUGGCGACUGCAAUGCUGCCAAUAUCCGAGCCCGCCAGAAAGCAACCCCGACCGGGUCGGGGCGGAUUCAAUGCCCAUGGACCAUCCGAAAAAGAGGCCCGGGUUCAAGCCAUCGCCGAAAUCGUCAGCUCCAUGGUCGACCUCUCCCGGAAGGGCCAAAACGUCGACCUAAACGGCCUCAAGACCACCGCGUGCCGCAAGUACGGCCGUUCACGUGCCCCCACAUCGCCAUCACCGGGAAUAUUUGCGUGUACUGCCCCGGUGGUCCCGAUUCGGACUCUGAGUACAGCACUCAGUCUUACACUGGAUACGAGCCUACUAGCAUGCGCGCAAUUUGGGAAAGGUAUGGCUUUCUCUAGUUCAUUGACGCAUUUUAUCGAACACUUGAUGGGGAAUUCAAGUUUUAUUUAUUCAUCAUUCGUUUCAAAGCUUAAAGUUUUUGGCUUGAUUGAUUUUUCACCAUGAAGUUGAGAGCUUUGUAAUGAAGAGAUUAUUUGAAGGAAUUGGUGUUUAAAAUUGGAUUAGUGAAGUUAAUUUGGUAGUUAAUCUUUUGGUUUUGUGUGCUUAGAUACAACCCAUAUGUCCAGGCUAGAAGCAGGAUAGAUCAGCUGAAGACAUUGGAUCACAGUGUAGACAAGGUUUGGCCUGUUCUAUGUUUAGAGCUUAAAGAAUUUAUUUUCGGGUUUGCAGAUUUCCAUGAUAGAGUAAUAUGCAUAGUUGUCGCCUCAUAACUGGUACUGAAUUUAUGUUUUCAGGUUGAGUUCAUCUUAAUGGGCGGUACUUUCAUGUCGUUGCCCGCGGAUUACCAUGAUUACUUUAUUAGAAAUCUGCAUGAUGCGUUAUCGGGACACACUUCUGCCAAUGUUGAAGAGGCAGUUGCCUACUCUGAGCAUGGUGCUACUAAAUGUAUUGGAAUGACCAUUGAAACGUGAGUUUUUAGUUUAUUUUAGAAGCCAUUAAUUUCUCAUUCUUGUGUUUAACUUGGUUGACAGUAAUUUUUAGCUUACAUUCUAGUUUCCAGUUCAUCUGGUUGGUCCAGAAAGUUAACGAAGGUAGUUGUAACUUUUUAUUCUGCCGGAGGCCAGAUUAUUGCCUUGGACCUCACUUGAGACAAAUGCUUUCUUAUGGUUGUACAAGACUAGAAAUUGGAGUUCAGAGUACAUACGAGGAUGUGGCUCGGGACGCCAAUAGAGGUCAUACCGUAGCUGCAGUGGCUGAUUGUUUUUGCUUGGCAAAGGAUGCUGGUUUUAAGGUCAGCCUAGUACCUCACAGAUUUUGGACCUUUUAUAUCAUAAAACUCACUUACCUUCACCAUGGGAAAAGAAAGGAUUUUGGACCUUUUAUAUGUACAGUGACAGGAGAUUAAUCUUUCAUCAAAACAAUUUGUGAGCCUGGAUAUAUUUUUCAAAUUAUUGUGCUCUCCCAUAAUUCAGCGUGAAUAUUUUAUCAUAAUCUAGUUGGUUUUGGUAUUACCAUUCACUUUGUCUAAGUUCAAGAAGAAGCAUUUGUUUGUAAUUGUAUGACCGUAAUCUUUAUGAACUGCAAUAUUAAAAGCCUUGAGGACUGUUUACAAUAUGCAUUUUUGCUGUGUAUUCCUGUCGUUCAUUCUGAGUUACUUUUGUUUCACACUAAUAAUUUUAUGCAUUUGAUCACGUCGAAUCCUUAUGAAAAUGAAUUCAGAACAAAAUUGCGCUAAAGCUAGGGCGUCACCCGUAAGUGGCGCGCUGUGUGGCCCGAGCACAGUGAUAAGUGAGCAAGGGUCGCUGUAUCUCCAUUGGCACCCGGAUGCAGUGUUAAAUGAGCAAGGGGGCCAUAGAAACUUUUUUUCGAACGACUCCACUCCAAGUUGUUUGGGAGCAUAUGCUCCUAUCAACUUUACACGGGACACACAAAAGAAGUACUUUGAUCCUAUUAGACGGGGGAGGGUGAAGAAGCUAGGACAGAAGGGUAGAGUUCAAGAGAGCAAAAUGCGUUUAGGAACGUGGAAUAUAGGAACCUUAACGGGAAAAUCUAUGGAAGUAGUGGAAGUUAUGGUGAAGAGAAGGAUAAAUAUUAUGUGCCUACAAGAAACUAAGUAGGUUGGUAGUAAGGCAAAUGAUCUAGAAAACUCAGGGUUUAACUUUGGUAUUCGGGCACAAAUAGAACGAGAAAUGGUGUUGGCAUCAUCGUGGACAAGACCUUGACACAAGAUGUUGUAGAUGUCAAGAGGGUAGGAGAUAGAAUCAUGGCAAUCAAGAUUGUAAUAGGACAAGAACUUAUCAAUGUGAUUAGUGCGUACGCACCUCAAGUAGGGUUGGAUACGAGUUCGAAGGAGAAAUUUUGGGAAGACCUUGGAGACUUGGUGCAAGGAAUUGCUCAGACGGAGAAGUUAUUUAUAGGAGGAGAUUUAAAUGGACACGUGAGCAGGGAGACAGGCAACUAUGGAGGUUUUCAUGGUGGCCAUGGUUUUGGGGAGAGAAACGAGGAUGGGGAAGCUAUCUUGGAUUUUGCAAUGGCAUAUGAUCUCUUCUUAGCCAACACCUUCUUUAAGAAGAGAGAAGAACAUGUGAUCACCUACAAGAGUGGGUCGUAAAAAACACAAAUAGAUUUUCUUCUAAUAAGGAAAGGGGAUCGUAUAACUUGUAAGGAUUGCAAAGUUAUACCAGGAGAGAGCGUGGCUAAUCAACAUCGCUUGUUGGUGAUGGAUGUACAUAUCAAAAGAGUGAGACAAAAGAACAAGACUUGGAAGUGCCCAAGGACUAGAUGGUGGAAUCUAAAAGAAGAAAAACAAGUCAUUUUCAAAGAGAAAGUAAUCACCCAGUGUGUGUGGGAUAGAGAUGGGGAAGCUAGCCAAAUGUGGGAUUCCAUGGCUAGUUGUAUCCGAAAAGUAGCAAAAGAGGUAUUAGGAGAGUCCAAGGGCUUUGCCCCACACCAAAAGGAAUCUUGGUGGUGGAAUGAGGAGGUACAAACAAAGGUGAAGGCUAAGAAGGAAUGUUGUAAAGCCUUAUACAAGGAUAGGACUGAUGAAAAUGGUGAAAGGUAUAGAAAAGCGAAGCAAGAGGCGAAGAAAGCUGUGAGAUAAGCUAAGUUAGCGGCUUACGACGAUAUGUAUAAACGACUAGAUACCAAAUAAGGAGAGUUGGAUAUCUAUAAACUAGCUAGAGCAAGGGAAAAGAAGACAAGGGACCUAAACCAAGUGAGGUGCAUCAAGGAUGAGGAUGGAAAGGUUCUUGCUACAGAGAACGCGGUUAAAGACAGAUGGAGAGGUUAUUUUCAUAAUCUUUUCAAUGAAGGACAUGAAAGGAGUGCUUCUUUAGGGGAGUUGAGUAACUCAGAAGAGUGUAGAAACUACUCUUUUUAUCGUCGAAUCUGGAAGGAAGAAGUGGUUGUAGCUUUGAAGAAGAUGAAGCAUAGAAAAGCAAUAGGCCCAGACGAUAUACCAAUCGAAGUGUGGAAAGUUUUGGGAGAGACAGGUAUAACAUGGCUCACUGACCUUUUCAAUAGGAUUUUGAAAACGAAGAAGAUGCCAAAUGAGUGGCGAACGAGCACUUUGGUGCCUAUCUACAAGAAUAAGGGCGACGUACAAAAUUGCAUGAACUAUAGAGGUAUUAAGCUAAUGAGUCAUACAAUGAAGCUCUGGGAGAUAGUCAUUGAGCAUAGAUUGAGGCAAGAGACACGGGUUUCGGACAACCAAUUCGGGUUCAUGCCAGGGCGCUCAACCAUGGAGGCAAUCUAUCUCUUACGAAGAUUGAUGGAAAGAUAUAGAGAUGGGAAAAAGGAUUUACACAUGGUCUUUAUAGAUUUGGAGAAAGCGUAUGAUAGGGUCCCAAGAGACAUUCUUUGGAGGAUUUUAGAGAAGAAAGGAGUACGAGUAGCAUAUAUCCAAGCUAUAAAGGAUAUGUAUGAAGGAGCAAAGACUGCCGUAAGAACUCAUGAAGGACAAACUGAAAGCUUUCCCAUAACUGUAGGAUUACAUCAAGGCUCAUCCUUAAGUCCUUACCUUUUUGCGUUGGUAAUGGAUGAGUUAACAGGACAUAUUCAAGAUGAUAUUCCUUGGUGUAUGCUUUUCGCAGACGAUAUAGUGUUGAUAGAUGAAACUCAGGAAGGGGUAAAUGCAAAGCUUAACCUUUGGAGAGAAGAGUUGGAAUCUAAAGGUCUUCGCCUAAGCCGAUCAAAGACAGAAUAUAUGGAGUGCAAGUUCAGUGCAAAUGGAGGCCAAAACGAGUUAGGGGUGAGGAUCGGAGAUCAAGAAAUACCAAAGAGCGACCGUUUUCGUUACCUAGGAUCUAUCUUGCAAAAGAGCGGAGAAUUAGAUGGAGAUCUCAACCAUAGAAUACAAGCUGGAUGGAUGAAGCGGAAGAGUGCAUCUGGCGUGUUGUGUGACCGCCGUAUGCCACUGAAGCUCAAGGGAAAAUUUUAUAGGACGGCAAUAAGGUCGGCGAUGCUGUAUGACACAGAAUGUUGGGCGGUGAAGCGUCAACACGUACACAAAAUGGGUGUAGCAGAGAUGAGGAUGCUUCGUUGGAUGUGUAGGCACACGAGAAAGGAUAAGAUUAUGAAUGAGGAUAUCUGGGGUAAAUUAGGAGUAUCCGAAAUUGAAGGAAAGAUGAGAGAAAAUCGGUUACGGUGGUUUGGACAUGUGUAAAGAAGGCAUACUGACGCUCCGAUUAGAAGAUGCGACUAUGGGACAGAGGUUCAGGGCCGAAGGGGUAGAGGAAGACCUAGGAAAACUUUGGAAAAGACUCUAAGAAAAGACUUAGAGUACUUGGAUCUAACGAAGGACAUGACACAGGAUCGAGCACAAUGGCGUUCUAAGAUUCAUAUAGCCGAUCCCACUCAGUGACUUGGAUUUUCCAAGUCUCCAACCGAGAAGUUUUCCUCACUCAGGAAAUUAAGGGAACACUACCUCAACCUAUAUGCUCCACUCACAAAGCUUCAACAAAAGAAAAUUCAAAGAACUUAGCGAAGAAGGCUUUGGUGUAUUUAACACAAUACGUUGAAAUGAAGGAGAGCUUAUUUAUUGAUAUCCCCGAUAAGCUACAAAUAUGUACAUAUACAUAAGUCAAAAUAAACAAACAAGAGGGAGCCUUCACAAAGGUUGCUUAGGAGAAGUCUCAGCAGUCGGUAGAGCCCCAGAAAGAGAAGGCACCAGAGGGGGAUCAUUCGGAGCCUCAGUACUGGACAGAACCCUAGAAGGAGGAGGCAUCAGAGGUUGAUCAUUUGGAGCUUCAUUACGCGGUACAGCCCCAGAAGACGAAGGUAAUAAAUGCCUUUGGAAUAAACCCACAAAUCUCUGAUGAUCAAGUAAAACCUGACCAUCAGAUUCCUUCAUCUGGUCAAGCUUCCUCUUCAUGUUUGUAGCAUAGUCAUGUGCGAGCCGGUGCAACUGUUUAUUCUCAUGCUUGAGCCCUCUAAUCUCCUGUUUGAGACUCAUCACUUCAGUCGCCAAUGAUUCAACUUGGCGGGUUCGAGCAAAUAGGCGUUGGACCAUAUUAGACACAGAACCUGCACACUGAACAUUGAGAGCCAGAGAAUCCUUAACAGCUAACUCAUCAGACCGUUUGGAAAGUAGUCUGUUAUCUUUGGGAGUGAGAAGGUUCCUGGCCACUACCGCAGCGGUCAUAUCAUUCUUCAUCACGGAAUCCCCAACGGUAAGAGGACCAGUAGGGGAGACGAAGGAUGUACGCCAUAUGUUGUCAGGAGAAGGCGGGGCUGCCUCUUCAACAAGGUUCAAGUCAAAACGACGGUCGGAGGGGCCAGACAUUUUCAAAGGUGUUGAAGAGAGAAGAGGUCGGACAAAUCAAGAUCUUAGAAGUGCAAGAAUGGAGCUUCUACUGGUGGAGAUUCAAGGGUGCUUUGGAACUUAAUGCCAGCCUCUAUAAAAAUCUGCACUCGACGGAGCUUCAGAAAUCGAAGAGGCGCCUGCUCAGAAAUCGAAGAGGCGUUUGCUUUCUCAAAAGCAAGGCUGCUCAGAUACCACGAGGGUCGAUCUCAGAAAUCGAAGAGGUGUUUGCUUUCUCAAAAGCUGGGCUGCGCAAAGACCACGAAGGCCGAUCUCAGAAAUCGAAGAGGCGCUUGCUUUCUCAAAAGCUGGGCUGCUCAGAGACCACGAGGGCCGAUCUCAGAAAUCGAAGAGGCACCUACUUUUCCAGCCUUGUCAGCACCUGUCACACGCACACUCAGCUUUGCGGAAAUUAUGGGCAUUCGGUCGAAGACUUCUGGUGAAGUAGAAAGCACAUGAGUCUUACUGUUCAAUCACCCACUUCCCACACGCAACAGUAGCUCAUGGGUACCACAGAUAACUUUGCCAAAGUUCUCUGCCAAAGUUGAACACGUGAAGCUUGCAGCUCCCACUACAUCGCUCUGACCAAGAAGGGUAAAAGAAUAGCAAAGAAACAACACUAACAAAGUUUAGACACAUAAAUUUUGAAGGUCUAGCUACCAUAUUAUUACCCACAAGGGUAAAGGAACAGUACCACCACUGGAUAAUUGGAAAGUCCCUGUGUGUCAACCUCUGUGCUUCGUGGCAAGGUAGAUUAGCAAACAUGCCCAACCUUUAAUCACAUUCGAGAAAACACUCCCAACAAGAUUGCUUGCUCCAAAAUCGAAGAGGCACCGUCCUCCGAAUCUCGAGAGCCAGACUCCCAACAUGCCUACUUUCUCAAAAAUCGAAGAGGGUAAAGGAACAGUACCAUUGCUGGAUAAUUGGAAAGUCCCUGUGUGUCAACCUCUGUGCUUCGUGGCAAGGUAGACUAGCAAACAUGCCCAACCUUCACUCACAUUCGAGAAAACACUCCCAACAAGAUUGCUUGCUCCAAAAUCGAAGAGGCACCGCCCUUCGAAUCUCGAGAGCCAGACUCUCAACAUGAUUACUUUCCAAAAAAUCGAAGAGCCACCGCUCUCCGAAUCUCGAGAGCCACACCCCCAGCAUGAUUGCUUUCUCAAAAAUCGAAGAGGCAUCGUUCUCCGAAUCUCGAGAGCCAGAUCCCCGAUAGGAUUGCUUGUUCGAAAAUCGAAGAGGCAACACUUUCCCAACUUCAAGAGCCGGAUCUCCUUGGAUAAAGCUGUCUGUAAUCUUCACACGCAACAUCAGCUUUCCAGAUACCACAAACCACUUUUUCAAAGUGCUCUGACAACGUUAAAACAUGUGAAGCUGGCAGCUCCCACUACUGUGCUAUGACCAAGUAGGGUAAAGGAAUAGCAUUACUACUUGUUAAGGAGACUCCUAUAUAUGUCGACCCCCAUCCCCAACGGACAGGCAGACCUGCAAAAAUGCUCAACCCUUCCUCAUAUCUGAGAGGGCACUCCCAACGAAGCCUUUCGAAAUAUUCAGCUUUCUUUCCCCCCGAUAAUACCUCUACAAACAAGCUAUACUAGAGCAGAAUAUCUCAUAUCAUCAAGGUUAAAAGCAAGAGUAUCCCAUAUCCUGCUUUUUCCCUGUCUUUUCCUUUGACCUUGUUCUUACCUGCAAGAUAAGGAGAAAGAGAGCAAUCAGUCAGUACUUGGAAUCAAGCUUCCAUCCAGGAACUGACUGCCUGGAACCCCUUACCUGAUUACUUACCUGACAUUGCUCUCGAGUACUCAUCUUCAACAUCUUAUGCUUCCAGGGAAGAUACCGCAUCUGCCUGAGGAACAGAUAGGGCAAGGGAGAAGGAUACAAGGAAGCAUGUGGAGACAAGCGUAACAGCACACGUGCCGAUACAUCCAUUACUCUGUCAAAGCAAAAGUAUCCCAUAUCAGCAGGGUCGAACGUACUCUAGAUUUGAUGGACUUGUUUUGACCCUCAAAUUCUUCAGUCGGCCUUAUACUCUAGAGGAAACCAGAAAACCCUUCAGCUCAGUUCAAGAAUAAGCCUGUGGAAAGUUACUUCUUCAAAAGCAAAAGUAUCCCAUAUCAUCUCUUCUCAUUUUCUUCUCUUUAUCCUUCAUGCUGCCUGCAAGAUAGGGAGACUGUGAACAAUCAGCCGGAGCUAUGAUUGCUUACCUUGUCUGUCACCUCUUUCAACAGAUCCCCUAGCUCGGCGACUUGGGGGACUCCUACUACAUGGUUUGUAUCGUGCUUGACCAAGCCUGAAACUACAAGUAAGCUUCAAGUGAAAUUGAUACAUUACCUUGUGCAUCUCCACCAGUUAAAGAUACCACCCCUGGAUGGAGGAAGAGUACUUCCAGAGAAGAUGCCCUAUCUACUUAUGAGACAGAUAAGGCACGUCAAGACGAUACCACACUCCGAUACUUAGAAGUUUCGUGAUUACGAGAUCAUUCUCCCACAAUAUUUCCUAAUGUCAUUUGUACUAAAUCAUUCACUUGUACUCACUAAAGGAGAGCUUGAACCUAUGUACUUGUGUAAACCCUUCACAAUUAAUGAGAACUCCUCUAUUCCGUGGACGUAGCCAAUCUGGGUGAACCACGUACAUCUUGUGUUCGCUUUCCUAUCUCUAUCCAUUUAUAUACUUAUCCAUACUAAUGACCGGAGCAAUUUAGCGAAGAUCACAAAAAGCGACCGUUUUUGCUACCUAAAAUUUAUCGUGCAAGAGAACAGAGAAUUAGAUGGAGAUCUCAACCAUAGAAUACAAGCUGGAUGGAUGAAGUGUAAGAGUGCAUCCGGCGUGUUGUGUGACCGUCAUAGGUCACUGAAGCUCAAGGGAAAAUUUUAUAGGACGACAAUAAGGCCAGCGAUGUUGUAUGGCACAGAAUGUUGGGCGGUGAAGCAUCAACACGUACAAAAAAUGGGUGUGGCGGAGAUGAGGAUGCUUCGUGGGAUGUGUGGGCACACGAGAAAGGAUAAGAUUGGGAAUGAGGAUAUCCGAGGUAAAGUAGGAGUAGCCGAAAUUGAAGGAAAGAUGAGAGAAAAUCGGUUCCGGUGAUUUGGACAUGUGCAAAGAAGGCAUACUGAUGCUCCGGUUCGAAGAUGUCACUACUGGACAGAGGUUCAGGGCCGAAGGGGUAGAGGAAGACCUAAGAAAACUUUGGAAGAGACUCUAAGAAAAGACUUAGAGUACUUGGAUCUAACGGAGGACAUGACACAAAACCGAGCGCAAUGGCGUUCUAGGAUUCAUAUAGCCGACCCCACUUAGUGGAAAAAGGCUUUGUUGUUGUUGUUGUUGUUGUUGUUGCUCUAGGUGGUUGCAUGCAUGAUGCCUGAUCUUCCAAAUGUAGGGGUGGAGAGAGACAUGGAGAGUUUUCAGGAGUUCUUUGAAAGCCCCUCGUUCAGAGCAUAUGGGCUUAAAAUUUAUCCAACACUCGUGAUCCGUGCAACUGGACUCUAUCAGCUUUGGAAAACGGGCAGGUAUAGAAAUUACCCACCUGAGCAACUUGUGGACAUUGUAGCUCGGAUCGUAGCCGUGGUCCCCCCUUGGACGCGUGUUUAUAGAGUUCAGUUAGACAUUCCAAUGCCUUUAGUUACUUCUGGGGUUGUGAAAGGAAAUCUUCGGGAGUUAGCUUUGGCUCGGAUGGAAGACUUGGGCUUGAAGUACCGUGAUGUUCGUGCACGAGAGGCUGGAAUUCAGGUAUGUGGGUAGUCAUUCUUGUUUGAACGUGUUUUAUGCAACUGAGGCCACAAACAUGACCCCUCAAAUCCCUAAAAAAAUCUUUAUAGAACAUUUUUGCUGGUUCUAGGACAUACAUCACAAAAUUAGGCCAGACCAAGUGGAGCUUGUUUGUGGGGAUUAUAUGGCAAAUGAAGGAUGGGAAACAUUUCUUUCAUAUGAAGAUACUCGUUGGGUAUUCGUUCUUUUUAUGUGAGAGAGUGCUUCGUCACACGAAAUGUGUAGCGAUUUGUAUAGAUUAUAGGGAUUAUAUUUGAUUAGCCUUAUUAGGUUUUUAUUUGUUUCCCUGUAUAGUCUACUUACUUGUAUAACACUCUUUGUAAACCCUAUUUAUACUCUAUUCUCAAAGAGAAUAAUAUAUCAUAAUUUUACCCAUAUACUGUUUGACUUGGCAUCAGAGAAGUAAAGUUCUGGUGACCGUGCGUGCCCACCAAAACCAAAAAAAACCUCCUACCCGUGCAAAACCCUAAUUUGAGAAACUCUAAAUCUUGCCGUUGCUGUGGAAAUUUUUCUGUGAAAAUUUUCUGCGUUCGUGUCUUGUUGUGUUGAUUGUUUCCGCUGUUAUUUGGUGUGUGUGUUCUACAACCAUGGCUGGUGAUGAUGUUGUUAAACCCAACUUCGGUUCAUCUGGUACCAAGGAUGAACGACCCUACCGUGAUUAUUCUGCUCCUAUUGCACAAGAGAAAUUAGAUGGCUCCAACUAUGUCUCCUGGUCUCGUAACGCCUUUCUUACGAUAACUGGACCACGUAUGGCGGGGUUUAUCAAUGGCAAAAAACUUGCUCCUAAGGAUGGUGAUUCUGUGGAAUACUCCGAAUGGGAAGAGGAUAAUUGUUUGGUACAAAUAUGGCUUCUCAACUCUAUGACUCGGAGUGUGAGAAGUCUCUUUGAGCGUUGUACUUCAGCAUAUGAUGUGUGGGAGGCUGCAAGGAAGACUUUUACAGUCACCCAAAACAGCUCCUGGUUGUUUCAACUUCGAAGACAGUCCGUGACUACAACCCAAAAUGGUGAAUCUGUUGCUAUGUUUUAUGAGGAGCUUCAUGUUAUCUGGGAGGAGAUUGACAAUCUUCGUGCUAACCCACAUACCAAUCCUAAGGAUGUGGCUCUUCGACAUAAGGAAAUUGAAUCUGAGAGGGUGUAUGAUUUUCUUGGAGGGCUAGAUCCACAGUUUAAUGGUGUUCGUAGCCGUAUCUUGGCUAUGACUCCGGUGCAUUCUGUCUUGGAGGCGUAUGCAUUGGUCGUGGAAGAAAGCACACGUCAAGUCACUAUGCUUGGGGUGCUGCUGCUUUGAAGAUUGGUACAAGCCAGCAUCAGACAAAUGGUGCUUCCUCAACUGGCGGUGGUGGUCGUCAGUCGUCCCUUGUGAGUGCACGUUCCGGAGGCUCUUCGAACUCCAAGUCUGCCGUCUCCCGCCCUCCUGCAGCAAAGGCUCAACCUGGUUCUCGUGAAUGUGCCCAUUGUAGAGGUGAUCAUCUUUUAGAAAAAUGUUUCCAGCUUCAUGGUGUUCUAGAUUGGUUUCCUGAGUACAAGGCCCAUAAGUUUGGACCCAAAGCUGCUCAUGUCGUGACUGCAGACGAGCUUGAGUCGCCUCGUCCUUCCAUGAAUUUGAGUGUGAUAAAUUCCGUACCAGGUAACAGUUCCAAUACAUGGAUAAUUGACACUGGUGCUACUGAUCAUGUGACUUAUAAUUUUAAGAUUUUUGAUGAGUUGUCUAGCCAAACUUGUGACCCUUCUAUCACGUUUGCCAAUGGUAUGCCGUCUCCAAUUACUGGAGAAGGCACAAUCACACUUACCCCUACCUUGUCCCUGGCACAUGCGUUUUUGGUACCCAAUAUUAAUUGUAAUUUAUUAUCUGUGGGACGAUUACUGGACUCACUAAAUGCCUAUGCUACUUUCUAUCCUACAUGGUGUAUGUUUAAAGAUCUCAAAACCCACGAGACGAUUGGACGUGGUAAAAGGAUAGGGGGUUAUACUACUUGACUCUACCAACAGACGUGGUUCAUGGUAGUCUUGCUAAUAAAGUUCAGAGUGGCAGUGACAAGGACAAGCAUGAGUUGUGGUUAUGGCAUCGUCGCUUGGGACACCCUUCUUUUGGAUAUCUUAAACCUUUAUUUCCUUCACUAUGUCGUUCAUAUGAUGAGACUUGUUUUAAGUGUGAAACAUGUGUAUUGGCCAAAAGCCAUUGUACUGUUUUUCCGUUAAGUAAUAAUAAAGCUCUUCAGCCAUUUGCGUUGGUACAUUCCGAUGUAUGGGGUCCUGCUAAGAUUACUUCAAAUGGAUUUCGUUGGUUUAUCACUUUUAUUGAUGAUUGCACCUGUUUAACUUGGGUUUUCUUGAUGAAGAAUAAAAAUGAUGUGACAUUUAUUGUACAAGAAUUUACUGCCAUGGUAUCUACUCAGUUCUAGACUAAAGUCAAAGUGCUUCGGUCUGAUAACGGAGGAGAAUAUGUGAACACUGCCUUGAGUUGUUUCUUUCGUGAACAAGGUAUUAUUCAUCAGUCGACUACUCCGUUUACACCCCAACAAAAUGGUGUCUGAGCGGAAGAAUCGUCAUUUACUUGAAGUUGCUCGUGCUUUGCUCUUGGGAAUGUCGGUCCUUAAUUAUCUUUGGGGACAUGCAGUUUUAGCCGCAUGUUAUUUGAUCAAUCGGACUCCUAGUCGAGUUCAUGAUUUCCGCACACCUUUUGCAGUUUUACAAGAACAUAUCUCACCUAUCGGUAUCUCCAAGCUUCCUCCCAAGGUGUUUGGAUGUGUUGUGUAUGUGCAUAUUUAUUCUCAUCAACGGAGUAAGCUAGAUCCUUGUGCUCUUCGAUGUGUGUUCAUUGGGUAUUCAAAUACUCAAAAAGGUUACUAGUGUUAUCAUUCUCCUACUCAAAAGACUUAUGUCUCCAUGGAUGUCACCUUCCAUGAAGAGGUCCCGUAUUUUGCCUCAUCAUCUCCUAUCCCUCCACUUCCCGAUGAGAGGGUUUGCGAAGUGUUUAGUGAAGGAGCAACAGAAAGUGCAGGAAAUAGUGAUAUUGUGAGAUUGCUCGAGCCACCUUGUCUUACCAGACCCCGGAAAUGUGGGAGGAGAGCUUGAGGUUUACGGUAGAAGCUUGUCUUACCCAUGUGUCAGUUUAUGAUUUGCAAGUCGAACAAGGCACGAAAUUCGGGUUGUCGUAAGUGGAGUGAGUGAUGAAAUCUACGGUUUUAGUUUUGGAAUGAAUUUGGUCCUGAAGUUGGAGUUUCCGUUGCCUUCAGAAACGCGGUCUGCUGAGUUUUAUAAGAUGGCAUCUCGGACACUUUCGGAUGCAGGUUACAACCUCUAGAAAUUAGCAGUUACUGCAAGAGUGGAUAUCACUGCAAACACAAUCCAACUUAUUGGAAGAACAAGCCUUUCUAUGCUUUUGGCCUUGGCUCCGCUGGCUAUGCCGAUGGCGUUAGGUUUUCGAGACCAAAGAAGAUGAAAGAGUACACAGGACGAGGAGAGAAGGGACAUCGCUGCAGGUGAAUUCAACACCUUGCUAGUAAACGAGGACGAAACUGAAAGAAGUCCUGCCUACAUUCGGUUUAGUGAUCCAGAUGGUUUCCUUUUGUCGAACGAAUUGAUAGCACUUGCAUUUGCGGUUGUAGCUCCAUAAGCGAAGAGCAAUUCCAUGUACCUGCAGCAUCUGGUGGUAGAGUAUACUUGAACACAAGCAUUCAAGUAGUGUCAUGGCAUCGUCCAAAGCUGAAGGCUUCGAAUUUUCUGUAUAGCAUAGCAUCAGAAGAGAGAUUCAACCCUUGCGCCUAUCGUUGCCAUAGUCAUCGAGAAAAUGGUGCAGCAGAGAACCAUGGCCGGGACAUGCGUCAUUCAAGUGAUAAGCGACCAGCUGAGCAUAUCAAGAAACUAACAGGUUCAAGUUCCCGGCAUUGGAGAGGCAUCGCGGAGAAGAAUAUGUUGAGGUCGAUUGAAACAUGAGUAGUAAAAGGAAGGCUUGUAAGAUUUGUAAUCAAAUAUCGUUCGCAAAGGCAUUUCCUUCAGUUUUUUGUUUGGUCAUCCAACCAGAAUCAAAGUACUUGUUGUCUUAUAUAAAUUAAGAAAAUCAAUGUUCCACAAAACGUACCAACAUGAGGCCGAAUUACAAGUUUAGACGAUGAACUACAACAAACUAUAGACGAUGAAUUACAGGUGUACGGAAGAAUAGAUUGUUAGCACCUAGUUCUACUUUCGUCAUCCACCAGCGGCUAUUAAGGGAAUGAUACGUCACGUCAGGAGCAACAUACUCCUCCACGUGACGUAUAGCAUGCCGAUCUACAAGGAAAUAUGUUGAACGGCAAGUUUGUGCCUGAAAAAUCCUUGAUGUUCAUUUCAUCGACACCAAGUCCCUGAAUUGAAACAUAGGAAACAUAUAGAGUUUGAAAUCCGAGUCGCAUUUUGUGAUUUACAAGCGACUACGAGGGUUUUGUUUUCUGCCCAACUUUUGAGAUGCGCCUAAGCUCUUGGGUUCCUUUCCUCAUCUCUCAGCAAAUUGCAAAGAAAUUAGGAAAAUCUUGCAACAAAUCCAAAUGUGAAAUCUAAGUGUCCGAAAAAGUGAUACCUUUGGUGCAAAUACACCAUCAGAUAGAAAAUAGGGAGCAGCAUCAAAGUCAGUAUGGAGAUAGCCAGGUAGAAUACACUUAUAUGUUUCUGCAAAAACAAAACAACGUGACAACAUAUUCUCCGUGACGCAAAAAUCCUCAAAAGAAAGAAAAAUACGGAAAUAGAAAACAACAGACAAUCAUGGCAAACUGCAAUGGAACAUAAGCCAGGAUUGAAACUGCGGCACAAUUCAUUCUUUAUAGCGAAACCAACUGCAGUAACAGACUGAGACCUUACCUCUCCUCCUCUGGGAAAAAGUUUCCGUUUCCCCGAGCAAGUAUGAGCGUGACAAAAUUGGUGCAAGAAAAACUCUAUAAUAAACCCAAGUAUAAGCACAAGUACAAUAAAAGCAGUAGUGGUAGAGCUUCGGUUGACAACAAAAAAAAUACCAUUAAGACGGCGUGCUGAAGGACUUUGAUUAAUCGGGAAACAUCUAUUGGCAAGACCCUGCAUUAUAAAAGGGGAAAAAAGUAAAAAAGAUUAAACAAGGUAUGUAUAAGAAUCAACAAUACAAACAAAUAAAGUGCCUUGACGCAACCUCACAUAGGUGGUGAUUCCAUGCAACAGAUGCAGGAUUGCAUUUGGUUUUGCUCGACUUGGUAUUCAUCACAGCAUCGCAAUGCAAAGCUCCGCAUAAAUCAGCUAAGCACUUGCUGCUACUCUGCAUUCAUCAAAUUUUUUUCAAAGAGCACAAGAGAAACCAUAUGACGGAAACAAAAAUCAUACAUACGAUUAAAGAUAUAAUAGAAAAGAUAGAGAUCAAAUAAAUUUAUAAUCAUGUAUUGUUGUAUAAUGCAACCAUGCUUGAAGCAGACGCAGAAUAGCUCUUCGGACUUUGAAACAACUCCAGAUGCUAACUACCCUUCCCCGGAGCACCAAAGUACAAAAUACACAUCUUAAGAAAGGAAAGAUUAUCACUUGGAUAUUUCUUUAUCUGUGUUAUACAAUGCCAUCUUGUACAGAAGUUUAAGCCAUGUAAUUGUUCUUCGUCAUUUUUUAAGAAAUAGUUUUAUGAUCUAAUUUAUUGCAUCAUGCUACAAGCCUACAGCUAAAAUGAUAACUUUAAAUUUGCUUAAUUAUUUUUUUGAAAGCACGUUUAUGAAACCCCAACACAACAGGGAACUGAUAAACAUGGACUAGAUGCAAACGCUUUUAAAAGAAAAGUUCUUUCAUUUGCAGAUAAGCUGAAUAGAGAUAACUAGUAAUAUGCCCACGCGAUGCUGCGGGACUUGAAUGCACCAGCCUUAACUAUAUGAAUAAGACACGUUUAACCUAAAAAACAUUCAAUAUAAUCAUGAACGAACAAACAUGAUAGAUCUAGGAAAUUAUAAAAAGCAUUGUAACUCCAAGAAAUUAUAAAAAUCCAUCCAGUCAAGAGACAAUAAAAUAGUUGUGGGAAGGUGAGUAUGCAACCAAGAAUCUAAGAUAUACUUGACUUGCAAUUCCAUUAUAAUUUCACACACAAAAAUAGAUCAAAUUUUGAUUGAAACAUCAAACAAAACAAUCUCGUAGAUUGGACCAACUAAAUAAAGAAUAUAUCAAUAUGAUUUUCAACGUAACCAUAAAAAAGAGCUUUAUAAAUUCCAUAAAAAAAACUGAUUGCAUGUUAUCAAUUCCAUAGGUAAUUUGAUUUUGCAGUCUCAGACACCCAACACCUCUCUCCCUCAAAUAGAGAAACAUGCAGUCUCAGACACCCAAGAGGGGAAAUAUCUAUUUAUAAUUCCAUAGGUAAUUUGAUUUUACAUAUCAUGAACGAACAAACAUGCAGUUUCUCUAUAUAACUUUUUCGUUCCUCGAUUCUUUUCAUUGUUUCGAGCCUCAAUCAGUUUCUUUAAAUUUUUAACCAAAACUCCUAGAAUUUGUUGUUCGCUUUGAUCAAUCUUUUUCACCAUUUCAUCUACCUUGAAUCACAAAUUAAAUAUAGCGUUAAUAUUUAUAUUUUUUAGAAAAAUCUGUUUAGCUUGUAGGUCUUACAAUAACAAAGUUAAAAUUUUCAAAAAUUUAAAUAUGGAAGUUGUGAUUUUUUUUUGGAAAUAUGUCUGGUUUGUUGAGAGAUUGCAGUUCUUAACAACACUUAUUAAAGCACUUCGGGGCUGAUGAGACAGUUGACUACUAGAAAAACCUAACGAAAACAUCAACCAACCAAAGUAACCAACCUUCAAAGAAUGAUUUGGAAAAGUUAGAACACAAUAAGGAAAGGAAGCAACCAACAAAAAACAUAUAAAACGCCUAAUAACAUUUGAUAAACAAUUAAGAACACUGGGUUAAAUAAGAAUCACAACAUGAAGAGACCUUCAAACAACAACAGAAUUGCAUAGACAAAAUUUAAACCAUAAAAAAGAAAGAACUAUCAGACCUCUGGACAAUCAGAGGUCACAAAGAUAAUCAUGAAUGAGAAACAAAGCACAGAACAAACAUAUAAUAUAAGCUGAAAAAAAACCCAAACAGUGAUUUUUAAAAUUACAAAAUCGCAUUGUUUGAAAUGGAAAGCAUAGGGAAGUAACGUAUUCAAGUUCAGGACAUACCAAAGGCUUGAUUGAAAUGUAAUGGCUCAGAACCCCUUCAUCAAAGGCAGCAGCAAGAGCAGAUUAUGAUUCAACGAUGUGGGCCUGAUCUAAACUGCAAAAAAGUAAUGAGAUUGCGAUUAAGAAUUCGAAGUGCAAACAAACAGAUACAAUAAAAGUAACUUAAAUUGUUAUGGUAUAAAGGACUCAAUCUGUGAAGUGCACCAAAUAAAGGGUAAGUCUCAGAACAUUAAACAUAAAAACUAAAACACCCCCAUCUCUCUACAAAUCUUACAAACAAAAUCCUAAACGUAAUCGUUGAAAUCCAAACAGACCUAAUUUUGAAACCGUUUCUCACCCCAUACCAUAGAAAAUGCACCCUAUACCCCAAAAAUAAUGCUCAGUGGCCAGAUAGCAAUCUGUGCACGUUGAUCAAGAUGUCACUAAUUAGUUUUUGCUAACAGAUGGUUAACCAUUUUGCCAAUAUUUUUUUUUAUUUUUUUUUUGCAGAAAGUGGAGCAUGUUUAACUUUAAAAGACGAUCUCUAUUUUGCCUAGACAGAUUGCAUGACCAAUGCCUUGCCAUACAUUCACAAAAAUGAGCAGUGCCGAUUGACAAAUGGACAUACCUGAAUGGUACUAACCGAAGCACAACAAUCCUCCCAAGGAAAACAAACAAUGAAAUGACUUCAAGAAAAAUCUGUAUCAUUUAUUCAAUGAAACACCCUAAGUUGGAAAAGAGUGAAAUUAAAAUUGAAAAACAAUAAUCUAACAGAGACAAAUUUAAAAGCAAUUAAGCAUUAGAAUCUUUACAAAAACCAACAAAAAUGGUUGCAAGUUAAAAUUUGAUAUAUGGCUGAAUUUCCCUAAUGUUUAUAAUAAUUAGUGAAAACAAAAUUGGAUACAUCAGUUAAGAAUACACCAAAGCUUAAUACACCGAUGUAACAUGUUGCAACCAUUAAUACAUGUACAUAGAGACACACAUUUGAGAUGGGAAACCCUCCCCCCCCCCCCCCCCCCAAAAAAAAAAACACACACAUUUUGAAAAUAUAGCAAAAUAAAUUUAUAAAAGCAAAUGUGUGCUGCUUCACCUAUCUGAAAUGAAAUGAAAGGCUAUACUGAAAUGAAAGCCUACCAGGUGCAAAUAGAAUUAAACCAUAUAGAUGGGCCUUGUACAUGGUUAAAUCCUUGGUCUCCAGAAAUUAUGGUAAAAGGAAGACUAAUCAAAUGAUUACUCUUAGAACUAUACUAUUGUUUCAAUUUUUAAAAAGUGUUAACUGAGUGAAAAACCACACUAUUUAAAGAACCAGCAGAAAUCAGAAUAACAAUAGAAUACUACAGAGGUAAAUGAACAACCAUUGAUAUAAUUUUUUUCUCAACAUGGCAACAACAAUCAGAAAAAGAAAAGGAGAAAAUCUAUGGGAUAAAUGUAAAGUCUGUUUGAAAAGUUCAAUAUAUCUGUUUGUUAAACUGGGUUAUCAAACUUCACACCCAUGCUUUUCAAAAAGAAAAGAAAAAGAAGAACUGAAAUCAUUGACAAUUUCAAGUAAUAUAGCAGCUAUUAUUAAGAUCGAAAAUGAAUUCUGGAAAGUAUGGAGACCAAAGACUAUUAAAAGUUGGAAAUAUAUGCCGAUGCAGCUGUUUGAGAACACAGUUUGGGAAACUUUGUGUAGGAAAUAUGCUCGAAAGGAAAAUCAACAAUAGGUGAGUAUCACUGUCAAAGCUGGUUUAUGUUUAAAUUACUGAAUCACCAUAAUCGUUGUUGGUUGGUUUUCACUCAUGGUCUACUUUUUAUUCAAGUUCUUGUAAAGAAAAUUGGUCUUUUAACAUGCUCUUUUCUAAAUUUAAAAAAGGAUCAUAAUUUUGUAAAUACAUUCAAUUCCCAAAUUGAAAUUGCAGUAUAAGCAAGCCACAGUUGAUCACAUGGUUUUUUAUCAUAGCCAUAAUUAGACUAAUGUGAUUUAUACUUAGAGACAAAUAUGUUUUUUCAAAUGGUUUUUUCUGUCAAAAUUAAUAGAAAUAUGAAAAUGAUCAUCACAAAUUUCAAAACCCGAAUUAACCAAAAUUAAAAGGAAAUGGACACCAUGAGUGCUUGCAAGAUGAGAGAAGGGAAACAAAAAAGGAAAUGGUGCGUUUGAACAAAAUGAUGAUAAUUUAAAACCUUAGGUAUGAAAAUGCUUAAUUUUCAUGUGUUAAAUGAAUGAGGAUAUCUUAAAACUGUAAUUGGAAUGACCAGAAUGUUUUAAAACCUGUUAAAAAAAACAGAAUCACAGACAUAAUUAAAAAAAAAAAAAAAAAGAACCCAUCCAACAUCUGGAUAAUCAGGGGAUCACAAAGAGAAGAGAGAAAAAAAAGGAAAGAAAGCCGAAACCAAACGAAUAACAUAAGGUGAUCAAACUGAACAUUAAAUAAAAAUUUCAUAAAGUCGCAUAGUCUGAAAUGGAAAGCACCGGAAAAGAAAAUUACAUUUGUUAAAACAAUGGACUUAUAAAGCUGGUUUAUUUUUGCUUCAGGUUAAUAGAGUGGUAACUACAGAACUCAAAGUUAACAUGCACUGUGAGGCUUGUGCAAAGCAACUCAAGAAAAAGAUAUUCAAAUUAAACCCUAUUACCAAUGCAGAAUGUGAAACACUUCUGUAUAUUUGUUUUGGUUUUGGUGUAGUACAACACUGCACGUUUGUCAAACACUUAUGCAGAAUGUGAAACACCUGUGCAAAGGCAUGUAUUUAUCGUGCUAUAAAUAGCCUGUAGUUUGUCAUUUGGGAGAGUUUUUUUUUUUUGAAUUUUUUUUUUCCACAACUCAAAGUUCAUUUGCCAUAGCAUAUCUGCCCCCCCUCCCAACCCGUAAAAAUAACCUUACAAAUAAUAUUAAGCAGCACCAUUUAAGAAUCUAAAAACAGCCCAAACUAACCACACAGACAGGACAGACACCGAAACACGGAGACAUGCAACACAAAACCUGUAAUUAGAUCUCAAUCACAAAAUGGCAAAACAAAAUUCCUAAUCUAACUAUCCCUAUACUAAUAGCCCAUCCAAGCAAAUACAAUUCUAAUGGGGUUUAGAACAAAUAAACCAAUCAUCCAAUUCAAAUGGCGUUUGGAACAAAUACAGCAAUCAUUCAAUUGGAACAGGGUUUGUUACAAAUACAUGCUAAGCUAUCUCAAGCUUUGCAUAAAUAGAGAGAUACAGAUACGUGCACAAAAUAGAAAGAAGCCCAAUUCCAUUCUAAGGUAAAACAACCAAAUGGAUGCUUAAUUAUCUCAAUCGUGGCAUAAAUGGACAAAUACUGAUAUGUACACUAAAUAGAAAGAAACUCAGUUCCAAUAUAAGCUCAAACGACAAAAAUUGAAUUAUAUAUUUAAAAUCUAAGCAUGAAAGCUUCACAAAUAUAAAAUAAAAAAUAAAAAAUAAAAAAAAAGGUAGAUAGCUAAAUAGCCUUUGAACAAAGAUGAAGGGGUAUAAUUAUAUACCUCAAAACGGCAUGGAACCAACUUCUUCCUCAAAUGAUCCAAAUUUCUAUAAUCUGCACAGAAAAUAGAUCCAUUAGCAACUUAGACACUUUCAAAUUUAACAGAGAAAAUCUAAAAAAUUCUUGCUAAAUGACCAAAAUAUAUGGAAGAGCAACAAAAAUGAUAUCCAUUGAAAUUGCAGUUCCUCUGUUAACAGAACGAAAACAGAACAUGAAAAUGAGAUUCAGUUUAUGAAUCCAAUUUGGUGCAUAAGGGAGAAUUUCAGCAUUCAGUCAAUUAAAUGUGUUCAAUGCCAUUUCUUCAAAUUAAACCCCUACCAAUUUGUGAUCAGCUAAUUGUUUAACUCAAGCAUCUGAUUCCUCUGUGUUUAAGGUGAGUGCUUUUGUAUAUCGAAAUUAAAUUCCAAUCCAAACUCAAAUUCCAAGACAAUUUGUUGUGGUGCCCUUCGUGCAUAUAUAAUCCAUGUUUCCCUCUUUUUUCAUCUGGUCUAUCAGAUAAAUGUGAGUACUUAUUGAGUGCAUUUAAACCAAAAAUGUUGACAGAGGCAUAAUUGGAGAAAGAAAAGGUCUUUAUAUCAAUAAAAAUCAAAAGAUACUUAAUAAUUGGACAUAGAAAUGAGUCUCUCUGAACCCUCAGUUGAGAACUUUGUUAUCCGACUAUUAUAUCAUCUAUAAGCUAGUCUGCUAUGCGAAUCGUGUUUCCGGUGUCUUCUAAGUUUCAAAAAACUCUGAUGUGGAAAUUAUUUAUUGUGAAGGGUAUAACAAUUAAAUAUGAAAUUUUUUUUAUGGUGAUGCACUCGUAAUGUUUGUGCACCUUCGUGAGUUCGGAGUGCAUCACCACCGUCCCCCAUAUGACCCACUGCCAAACCCACUCAAACACCAUCUUGGUAACCUAACCCUGAUGCUACAUGCCCAAUCCCCCCUCUACUAACCCCUCGCCCCUCUCCAGAUUUCCCAGUCCUGUUGAGCCACCCUUGACAGGCAUUCUCAGCAAGUCAAAAAACAGAGGCAUUCGCAAACAGAAGAUACAAUAUACAGUAAAAGGAAAAUAACAACUGAGGAGAAAAAAUAAAAACCAAAAAAUAUAUAAACAAACAUCCCUCCCUACUUAAAAGCUUGUGGUGCCAACUAUUUCAUUUGAUUGAAAAUUAUAUGUUUGAAUACUCACAACCUGCUUGCUUGAUAGCCAUUUUUUCUAUCUUAGUGUUUUUCAAAAUCACUCAUAAUCAUUUUGGUCCAAUUCUAAAACAGAAAAAUGGCAAGAAAAGGGCUUUUUACAAAAGCAUAAGUACAUACCAAUUCGGCAGUGAAUCCUCGUGAUUCCUCCUGGGACCUUGAUGAGAUUAUUGCUGGUGAUCUGAAGAUAGAAAGCUUCAAUUAGGGUGGCUUGUUUUCCGAGUGCACAGAAAGACAAAAAGGGGAAAUAGGGUUCCUAGCAUAACACAAAACAUAUUAUUGUAUACAAUGGAAUUCCUACUGCUAAAUAAGAGCAAUGCUUUAGAAGUAAAAAGUUGAAAUUGUUUACCUUGAGCACAGAGGGCUUUCUAGGCUGCAAAGAAAAGGCCCAAAAAACGAAAAACCAGAGUCUCCUGAAACUGAAAACAAAACCAAAUUAAAUACACAUGUAAGAUCAAAACCCCUAAAAUUACAAAAAGUAAAUUUGAAUAGAAAACCCUCUUAUUGUUCAUCUUCAUCUGUGCCAAUCAAAACUGAUUCUUUACAGAAUGUGUGUGUGUGUGUAAAAUUUGCGUUUUUGAAAUAUAUAGUUACCCCUAAUUGGUUACCCUGAUUUCAUAGUCUCCAUUAUUGUUAAGACUUGGAAGCCCACUUCCUACAACCAAUUUCAAAACAUGCAUAGAAAUUUUGCAUGUUUGAUUUCUGAAAAAUAAUUUGUACCUAAGCUAGUAGAACUUUAGAAAUUUAUCUUGCAACCUAAUCUAUUGCCUAGUUCCAUUCUAACGUAAAACUACCAAAUGGAUGCCUAGUCAUCUCAACCCUGACAUAAAUGGACAAAUACUGAUACGCACAUUAAAUAAAAAGAAACUCAGUUCCAAUAUAAGCUCAAACGGCAAAAAUUGAAUUAUAUAUUUAAAAUCUAACCAUGAAAGCUUCACAAAUAUAAAUAAAAAAAAGGUAGAUAGCUAAGUAGGCUUUGAACAAAUGGAACCAACUUCUUCCUCAAACGAUCCAAAUUUCUGUAAUCUGCAAAGAAAGCAGAUCCGUUAGCAACCAAGACACUUUCAAAUUUAAAGCCACAUUAUGCAAUUUAAGCUAAGUAAAGUUAAACCCUCAAUUAAUCCCCAACUACAAACCUGAAUUAAACCUUCAAUUAAACUCCAAAUUAAACUAUUAACAAAACCCAAAUUAAAUCAACAAUUAGGAAAGAUAAAAAUACACCUAUUAAAAGCAUUGCAUAACUGAGAAAGCUACAUUUCUAAGAAAGAUUAAAACCUUUUUACAAAACACACCUACUGAAAAGCCUCACAGUUUUAAAGAUUGGAAGUUUUUGCUCAAAUUUUGUUUCCUUCAUUUGUUUAAAGUUCAUUUUCUCUCUCUGUUUUACAACUCUACUCACACAUAUAUCAACACUCAAAGUUCACUCUAAAGCACAAUACUAAAUCAAACUAAAGUUUUACCGUGCUAAAGCUGCAAACAGGGGAGCUUGGAAAUUAAAAUUGUUGUGGCAUGUGAAUUCCCAAGUGGUAUUAAACUAUCAAUGAUCAUAAGAAAGCUAAUGAUGAAAAAGAAACUGACGAACGAAAAACAAUGAUGCAUUUGAACACAUAGAGAAGAAACUUGUUUCAAAAUUAUACUACCUAGCAACAGAGAAGCAAAACAAUAAAUAAAACAGCCUUCUAACACCCUUAUCACACAAAUAGAGAAGCAACAAAACAUGGAGAAACAACCUAGCAACAGAGGGAUAUUAAAAGGAUGAAAAGCAGAAAAGGAACCUGAAUUCAACUUGUUGAGAAGGAAACAACAGCAAAGCAUGAAGAAAACAAAAAUGAGCUUAGUGCAACACCCCAAGUUUAAAAGACACAACCUUACUUUAACAGUGUACAAAAUAGUGCACCAAACAGACUUAUCUUCCUAACACCCAACUAAACAGGCUAUAAACAUCCAUUACAAUUUUGCCGAAACAAAAAAAAUGCCAAUCAUAGUUUUAACAAAACAAAUGGGAAACAAACAAUAAACAAUGAUUUCUGAACAGUGUUUUACCUGUUGAAUCAGAUGACAAAACUGAAAACCCUCUCCUCUCCCAUACCUCCCUCAGACAUCCUCUGCUCACCAACCCCGUGGGGUAAGCCCGUUAACCCCAGAAAAAUGCACAGCAUGCUCUCUGCCCUCUCUCUCUCCCUGUCCAUCUGUCUCUCAAAAAGUGGGAAAAAAAUCUCCAAACAUCUCUCCCACUCAUGAAAUCGAGGAUCUGCAGCAAUGGCGCUGAAAUUCCCACUCCUCCCUGUCGCUCUAUCUAUCACUCUCUCUCUCUCUCUCUCUCUCUCUCUCUCUCCCUCUCUCUCUCUCUCUCUCUCUCUCUCUCUCUCUCUCUCUCUCUCUCUCUCGGAGGCAUGGCCUCUCAUCCCCGAAACCCUCACUGAAUGACAGCAAACCCAAACCUACCCCAAUCCGUCUCAAACGCACAGGACAAAAUUACCCUUCCAACCCAACCCCAAUACCACCCCAAACCUCACGGUUUUGUUGUAAAUAGCAUGAAAUCGAGUGGCUCCCUGAUAAGCCAUAUGGACAAAAUUACCCUUUGAAUUUUUGAGAAUUACCCUCCCAACCUAUGCAAUUCGGCCGGUAUUGUUGUAAAUAGGGUGAAAUCGAGUGGCAAAGAAUGAGUCAGCUACAGUGCCGUUCCCCCUUCAAUUUUAGAAUAGACGAGAAAAUAUGCCCGCACGUUGCUGCGGGAACCUGUUGUUUCAGGUGUAAUCGGAUGAAUAAAUUCAACACAAUAAUGAACAAAUAGUUUUUUUUAUAUACAUUCAAGUGAGCUGGCAUAUAAACACAUUGUACAAUGAGUGGUAAGAAACUUAUUGUCUUUGAUUAGAAAGAGAUGGUUUCCAAAAAAGUUCUGUUUCCUUAAGAAACAGAAGAAACAUACAUAAAAUUUCAGUUACAAAUCCAAAAAAAUAAAACAAAAACAAAAAUGUGACUCUAUGGCUUUCUUACUACACAAAAAUAUCCCUUAGUUAAAGCAUGCCACACAUCAUCACAUUGCUAUUAUAUGAAGUAUAUUCCUCAGUGGCAAGUAAUAUACUCUCCUUAGCAUGACCUCUCAAUCCCCUCUCUUUAUCUCCCUAGAAUCGUACAACAACCCAUAAAUACAGUGCCCCUUUAAAAUCCAAGCAUACAUUAAGCCAAGUAGUCAAGUUUGGAGAAGUCGUUAAAUAAUCACUAUCUGAGGAUUGAGAAUAACCUACAUUCACAUUGCACAAAGUUCUAUGGAAAAAGGGGACAAAUUAACAUAAUUAAAAUAAGUAUUAAGAUGCAAAUAUUCUUAAUAUAAAUUAAGCAGAAAAAUGAAUACACUUUACCAAUUGUCAGACAUUGCUAAUUGCCAAUAUAGCAAGAUAAUGAAUUCCAUGAACAAAAAAAAUGAUUUGCAACUUCAACUUACCAUGCCAAAGAAGCUCCAUAAUAGUAGCUUCCUCCUUACUUCAUGCAUCCGUUGAUCAUGGAAAUUAUAAAAAUCCAUCCAAUCAAGAGACAAUGUAAAAGUUGUGAGAAGGUGAAUAUGCAAUGAAGAAUCUUAAGAUAUACCUGACAAAUUUGAGAUUCCAUUAUAAUUUCACACAAAACAAUCUCAUCUGUUACAGAUUGGACCAACCAAAAAAAAUAUUCUAUUAACAUGAUUUUCAACUCAACUAUAAAAAGGAGCUUUAACAACACAAUCAAUAUCAUUUCAACCCAACCAAAAAGAAACUAAUUGUAUGUCAUCAGUUUGUAAAGAGAAAAUGUAUCAUAUUUCAUGACUAAUGAAAAGCUUACAAAUGUCAUGUAAGAACCUACUUAAGUUCAAAUGCAAGAAUGCAAAUGAAGACAAUUCACUCCAUUGUGUUCAGCAAGGGAAAAAAAAGUUACGAAAAUAGUAUGACAGUGAUUCGUACCUUUAACUUGAUCUGAUGGCAGGGCCUUGAAUGUUGACUGAACAAAACUUUGCAAGUAAUGAGGUUGUGUAAAAACUUUCACCUGAAAAUUUAAACCCACCAUUAUAUGAAGGUAAAUAAGGAAAAUCCAAUCCAAUAAUCACAGCAAUCUGAGAAGUGUAUUUUAGUUUAGAGAGCAUGCAUGUAUUUUCUAACAGCGAAAACAUGAGCAAAUAUGAUUGGGCAGAAACAUAUAAUGGGCAGAAACAUGAGUGUAAAAAUUCUAAACCUCAAGAAUAUGAUUGUAUUAUAGCAAAUAUGAUUGGGUCGUACUCGAGGAUCAAAUGGGGACUUGAGAUUUUGGUAACUGUGUAGAAGAAAAAGAACACCAAUGGAACAUUCCUACAAACUAACCCUCAAACCCAUCCGAAUCAGAUCAACUAAUCAACCAAAUUAGCCCAAUCAAUAACCCUAUAUUUACUCAACCAAAUUUGCCCAAUCAAUAAUCCUCAAGGAUAAGAUUAUUUUAACUAUACACAAAUUCACAUGCUAGUCAUUUGAUACAUUUAACUAAUUCUGCAAGUUGUAUUUCUGUAAAUGGGAAUGAAAAUGUAACUUUUGGUCAUAUACUUUCAAAACCAAUACACAUCUCAAAUGUGGGAGUCUCAAAAGUUGUUUCAUUUGUUUCAUUCCAAAGAAAUUUUUUGUUUAGACAGAUAUUCUAACAAAAUACUCUCUGAUUGACACUCACUUUAACCUUAGAAGAACUCACAUUUCUCUAUCUGAAAAGGAGUUCAGGGAUAUGAAAAAAAUACUUAAUACCAAAAGCAUAAACCACACUCAAUACAAUCAAUAACUAAACUAACAAUUUAUCAAAAACACCAUCAAAUUAAACACCUUUAAACCAUAAAAACCAAAGGAACAAACCAUCUAAUUAAUGAGUGGUGAGUGCAGACUUUCUGGCAUUCAGGGCACCAAUUAUCCCAACAGAGAACGCGUUUUGGUCCUCCUCCUUUACCAUUUCCUCCUCAUACCCUGAAUCCUCAUCCCCUGCACGUUCCAAUGCCGUCUCGAGAAGCGCCUUAGCAAACACCGGGGAAGGAAAAACUAAUUAAUUUUUUUAAGACAAAUAUUAGUGCACUACAGAAAUACAUCAUCUAUAAUAAGGAAACACGUGAAUGCCUAAAAACACUAUUAAGUCUAAUAUAUCCUUGCAUUUCUAUUUGAAUUCAGAGUACGUGGAAAUCACAUCAACAAAUGAAAGCCCUAAAUUUUUAUCAUCAUGAAUUGGAAAAAUCUGCAAAACCUAAAAAAUUUCACCGCAUCAAAAUAAUUACAAAUUAAACCCCCCAUUCUCUUAUAUAGCUGAUAAUCAAAACCAAAUUAGUAAAUUACUCAGCUAAAAGCCUUUUUUCACCGAAAACACGGAAGGCAAGCCUGAGUCCUAAUAAUCCAAAAUCACGUCAAAUGGAGGAAAAUGAUAUAUCAGAAUCGAAUACUCAUAUAUUAAUAGAAAUUUUUUCCUUAAUUUAUCUAAUUAUAGAAAUAAAAAAAAUUAGAUCAAGAAAACCAAGAGCCAGAUACAAUUUUGAUGCAAAGAAAGCAAAGUUAGAAUACCAAGAGCCAGAUUAUGCUAUUAAAUCAGAGAAAACUGAGAUGCAAUGGAAUAUAUACAAUCUAAUCCAAGAAAGCAAACCAAAACCCUUACUGUCUGAGAGAAAUUGGGAUAGAACAUCAUAGAGAUAAAGCAAGAGGAAAGAUAUACCUGGCUCUGGUUGGAAUUGCUGCCGAUGAAUGUUUGGAGAGAAGCUUUACCUUUCACUCGCUUUUGAUUCCUGUAGCCACAACAGACACAUCACUUGUGACAGUUUCCAAAGGGAAUUCCGAAUUCAGAAUUCUACAACCUAAACCAUAAUUAACUCACAAUUUAGUUCCAUCAAUAUGAUAGACAUACCAAACUGUCAACAAACUAACAAAAGUAAACAUAAACGUCCCUAGAAAUAGCCCAAUGGUAGGAUUAUGUAGUCCGACUGUGCUGAACUAAAUAAGAAAAAAUUCAAGCGAUCAAAGCUAAUCUAGAGCUUUCUCCGCUCCCAAACAUAGCAAGAAUCAGAACGUGCGUCGUCAAUUUCAAGAAAUUCACAGAAAGAGAGAAAGAAAGGGAUAGAGUAGUACAAACCUCAGAUCGAUUGGCCUCGAUCCUUUGGAUUCCCUCAUUAUCUUAGCAGAAAUCGACAAAAGCAUAUAUACAAUGACAUUUUAUCAGCUACUGGUUGGACCACGUUUAUUACCUGCCAUAAACGGAGAAACAAUUUGGUAUAAGAAUCUCAUUCCACAAAACUUCUUCAGUGUUGGCCUAAACAACUGCAAGCAAAAAAAUCCCCAAGAUACAUACUUUCAUCCAAAUCAUCCACUGCCAUUAACAAAACCACACCAUAUCUUCCUCUAGCUAAGAUUAAAAGAGUGAACUUAUCACCCAAAUAAAAUAGGUAUAUUAACGAAUAUGAGUUAAAAAGUGGAGGAAAGCAACAAAACCAAUCAAACAACGAAUUGUCAAUAGAAUAAAACAACAAAUAUAGAUAUCUGAAUCAAAGUUUUUUUUUUUUUUGUCAAAUGAAGACUUAAAUUUCACUCAACAUUGUUUCUAAUCGUAGCUUCCUCUCUACCUGUAAAGCAUGGUUGUCUUAGCCCGACAUACAUUUUGAUCAUGCAGAAUCGAGAUGGAGACGUUAUCUGCUAACAACAGAAAUGGAAGUUCAAAAUAUUAUUGAAUCAUCAAAUGUAGAAAUUACCAAUCAAAUACAGAUAAACCACCACCAGCAACCAAAACAGUUUUUUUUUAAUGAAAUUAUACUCCUCUCAUCCAAGCAGCAACCAGUUUUUUUUAACUGCGCUUCUGUAAAACACAUGAGCACGGAUAUAUUAUAGAGAGCAACAAUCACUAAAUUUCUAACAUCACCAGCAUUUACAACAUUAAGCAUGUAGGGAAACUAUUUCAUUUCAUUUUAAUUUUAGGUGACACAACUGAUAAGAAGGGGUUGAGCAAGUAGCAUGGCAUCAAGAAUAAAGGAAGAUAUUUAGGAUGGAACAAUUAAAAGUUUCUGUAAACCAUUAAAUUUAUGCUUAGUGAGUAUACCAGAAUAUCUGCGUGCAAUGAAAGUACGGCAAACAGGGGUCUGUGGUUAGCUGGAGAACUCUGGAGACACGAAAAUUUCAGGGGUCUGAUUUAAGCGUCGAACGAACUCUUUCUCUCUCUGCAACCAAUUUUAGUUUUAAAAAAAAUCCAAAUUAUGAGCACCGACUAAAAAGGUCAACAAAAAGGAAAAUUCAUACUUCUAGACAUAGUGGGAAAAAACAUGAACUCAGAAUGAAACAUAAUUUUUUUUCCCUAAUAAGCAUAAGAAACAGAACAUUUUCAUUUAACAUUUUCAUUUUUUUCCCCUAAUUUUUAGAAGUAAUGUAGAUAGAUUUGUUUAGUUGCAUCAGGCUCCUCAGUUUCCAAUUGACAUGUCAAUUUAUGGUCCACUGCCCUUUCUUUUUCAGACAAUAAAUCUCAAACAUUUAUAUAACCAAAUGCAUCCAAUAAUAGAAAACUCUGUAAAUUUCCUAGGAAAGUGCACAUUCACAUAGCGAAGGGUUGCGUGAGAAAAUGUAUCUAAAAAAAGUAUAUUGGGGUACCUUAUCUGCAUUAUAUUUCACAGGUGUAGCAGGAUAGGCUUCAAGCAGUAAUCUUUCUUCUGCUAUUUCCUUCACGGUUUGUAACUCAUUGGUGAGUUUCGUUGCAAGGCAUUCAAAAGAAUAUAAAUAUAUUAGAGUUCAUUUUUAUGACACAACAACAAAGUUAUAAAUAAAUUAUCAAGGAAUACCAUAUAUAAAUGACAAAACCAAUUAUUAUAGUUAUUGCAAUGAUUUCAGCUUUGUUUAUUUUUCUUUUAUAAUGGUCUUGUAUAUGUGUUAAUUUCUUAUAAACUAUUAUUUGGUUGAGUCUAUAAUUUUCAGUCGAACAUUCCAACCAUAAAAACCAAACCUUCGAUCAUUCAAACUACGUAUUAAAUCUUCAUGGCCAACAACUUCGCUUCCAAAAUCCAAUUCACCACGUGAGGGAAGGAUUUAUGAGUAGAACGACGGGUACCGUCAUUGAUCAUUGCAAACAAAAAGCCAAGAAGAAUAAUACGACUGGGACUAAAUUUGUGCAAGCAUAGUUUCUUUUGACAAAUAUAUGUUCCCAAUUUAAUAGGCCAUUACUACUUAGCACAACAAAUUAGUUUUCGUAUCGAAACCAACAUAAAUCUAAGCAACAUACACAUUUUAAUAGUAAAUAAAUCAAAAAGCAGAUUAAUAACCACAUCACAAAUUCCCCCAGAUUAAAUAGUGAUGUUACCUCACCAGCAUGAGCAAAAGGGUGGUGUGCAGUUGUGCUGUGGCCUUGUACCAAGAAGGAUGACGACACUUAGGAAGAUAUUUGGUUGCCGUUUAACCAGAAAUUACCCGUCAGAUUUCUGAAACUCACCGGAAAAAUGCAAAUGUGAGGAUUACCUUUGAUUAACCUUAAAAUGAACUCAAAUCCAACAUGCAAUACCUGAAUUUAUCUCUUGGGAGUGAGAGUAGUCGUUUCCAGGUAAUGGCAAGGGCCAAUUCGCCUGAAUUUAUCUCUUGGGAGUGAGAGUAGUCGUUUAAUAAGAAAGAAUUCAGACCACAAUACUAUAGUUGAUUAUUAAAUCAACAGUGUAAUGUCUUGUUGAGAUUAUGUUUCAGCAUGCACUAAGAAUAAUCUCAAUGGCAUAUUCCUCUUCCACAGGUCCUGAAGAUUUCGGAAUGCGGAUCUUGGGUUCAUUUGGUUUGCAAAAUAUGAAUUCAUAAGCUCAAAAUCUCAAAACUUUCCCAAAAUUCUUCAAAUGAUGAUUUUUUUAUUUUUUAUUUUUUGAAAAGUAGAGAACUAACUGACCAUCUUCUUCCUUGAUGAAACACUUGAGAAAGAAAGCGAAGCAGCUUUGAAUCUCAGCUGCUACAUAGCUUAUAUAAAAAGCCAAAAUAUAAAAAAUUAAUCAAAAGGUUGAGAGAACUCACAUCCCAAUCAUGCUCGUUGCUGAUAUUGACACCCACUGACAGCAGCCUUCGAUUUUUGGAAUUCCCACGUUCAACUCCAUGACCUCUGUCUCUGCCAUCCUUCUUUCCCUCACAACCAUACCCAUUUUGGACCCACCCCUCAAUCCCGACACCAACCCUUGAUUUGAGGAGGAAAAAUCAAUCCAACACUCUUUUUGGCAAGCUUCACUACUCCCUCUUCCUUCCCCUCCCUGCCAAUCCACGCCAUAUCCCUCAUUGUAGCCCUGCAACCCACGUUUUUGGCAGACCUCCCUUUCCCUUCCUCUCCAUGACAUUCCACACCCUCCUCCCCCAUUCCAUAAACCCAGCCCAAGCUUUACCUCAACUCCGGCCCCCUCACUUUCUCGAAACCAACUUUCAAACCCUAGAAUGUAGCUCAUUCACUCUCUCGCAACCCACUUUGAGUGACACGGAUGCAACAACCCUCGCCCUCUCUCCCGCAUUCGCCUAACCCCAAAAUCGCUCUCUCCCUCUCCCUCUCUCUCUCUCUCUAUCUCUCUCUCUCUCUCUUUCUCUUCCCAAAUCGAGCAUCACCACUCAAUCCCCUCUCUUUCUCACCCUCAAAUCGUACACCCCAUAUGACUCUGUCUGCCUGCAAGCCGCAUGCCUUCUUCUCACCAAAUCCCUAUCUAUCUCUCCCUCUCUCUCUCUCCUCUCUCUGCUCGCUCACUCUCUCUCUCUCGACAGCAUGGUCUCACCGAGUCCCACUGUAGCUCAGAAAGAAAGGAAAUGAAACUCUCUAACUCACCCAACCCGUUCGAAACCCUACAGACCAAACUGACCAUCGCACCCCUGCCUUUCCACGAUCAUCAACACGCGGCAUGAAGAGCAGCGGCAGAGAGAGUCAGUGGCAACCUCGUAAUAAAGGGAAAUUCGGCUCCAAAAACUAUUAAUUUGUACAGUGCAAUUGAAAAGCUUUCUUUAGACUAAAGUAAUAAUUUGAGGAUUAUCAACUAGAAGAACAAAAUAUAAAUAUAACAGAGGAUAACAAAUGCGAAGAGGGCCAGCUGAAAAUGAAAUUGCUUCUUGCACUAAUUGGACAAGUGUUCCUAAUUCCUAACAUAUUAAGGCAAGGAAAUACAGUCCACAUACUACAUUCAGAAUGUUGUAGUGUCUGUUGUCAAAAUGUUGAUCAAGAAACAUUUCAGCACGGAAGCUUUUCUUACAGUAUCCGCACUGCCAUUCGUUUAUAUCCAAAUGAAUCUUGUGCUCUUCCUGAUCUCUAAAUAGAUCAUUGUCGGGAUGAAGUCGACAGUUACUUGGAAUCUCAUAGUGCUCGUGUUUGUUGGAAGUUUUGAGACUCUUGUCCCACAUUGGGGAAAACAAGAUUCUCAAGGGCCUUUAAUAGAUUUAGUGCUUUAGUCUAGUAAUUAGAAUAUGGGUCAUUUGGAAAUGGAUUGAAGGCUUGGGCCUUAUGGUUGUGUGGAUUAGGCUUGUAUAAUAUAGCCUAAAUACAAUUAAUAUUAAUUAAUCAAGACAAGAGCCUUGGGAUUCAUUAAUUUUAAUUUUCGGAUUAAGUUUUUAAUUAAUUUAUUAUUAAUUAAAAACGUUUUGAUUAAAAGACACAACUCUUAGAAAGAGUUGUGAACCUUCAAAUACACUGAACUGGUAUUUGAAAGGGUGUGAAACAGCCUAUAUAUCUGCAAUCCAUAGUAUCCAAAUAGAUAAUCUUUUUCUUGCUCUUUUCUUCUAUACGAAUUUUCUAGAGAUUAAACACACAAAAAGCAAAUUCGCUAGAGUUCUAGAAUCCAAUGCGGAUUGUAGAAUUUGAUACGCCCCGACCCUGAUAUUCCCCAAAUACCAGGAUAGACAUGUGCUGGCCGACACCCGAGGGUGACGAAAGCCAUUAAAUGAUACAAAAGCUAAGAAUAAGAAGUAAAUAAAGGUUAGAAAUUUUAAAUACUAUGAAUUAAUAAUUUAAGGAACGUGCUCAGAGCAUACAACUAAACCUAGUCACUAAAAAGAAUUAAGAUAAAAUUUAAUGAAUGAAGAAGUGAGUCCUACAUCGAGAGGAUCCGAAGAUGCUGCUGCGAAAGUGUCUUGACGCCGGGAUUGUAUGCCUCGAUUCUAAGUCCUGAAUGGGGACGCAAAACAAAUGUGAGUGGACCAAGUUCAUAUAUAUAUAUAUAUAUAUAAUAAAACAAUGAUCAAGAUACUAACCCCCACAGUUUAUAUAAUGAAAACUACUAGCAUAAUAAAUUAUGGAUUUAAUAAAAAUCCUAGCAUGCCAAAAAUAUAUCUCAAAAGCCAUAUAGCGGAAUAUCAUCGCAGAAAUCAAAAUAGUAAACGUCUCAUAAAUCGUCUCGUAAGCGCGGUGUGCUGCUAGUAAGAUCAUUGAAUAAAUAUAACUCCCGGUCCAAUGCCUGUUCCAUGGUCUCUGUGCCCGUAGCCAAAGAUUACCAACUCCCGGCCCAAUGCCUCUUCAUGUCCCUCAGCCCGUAGCUAGGGAUUAUUUCUCCCGGCCUAAAUGCCAACACCAAAUCCUCGCCCUAGGCGGUAUAGUGUCCACUAGGUACGCACAAAAUGUUACGCCUCUCAUAAAUAACCACUUCAUAGUAUAAAUACCGACCAUCGUUUAUACUAUAAAGAGGGGUUCAAAAACAUGUUCUAGCAUCAUAUCGUCAUCUAUUAGAUAGUCUACCAGUUCAUGAUUUUUAUAGAAAAUACGAUAUAUUAAAAUAUAGCUCAAUAUAGGCCACAAUUAAUUCCUCAUCAAAACACGAGACGAUAAUCAAUAUAUUCCAUAAACAUGCUUAUCAUAAAUCAAAUCAUAAACUCAUAAGGCAUGUUAUUCAUUUAUGCAAUUAAAGCAUAAAAUCAUAUAAUUUUAGAAGGGGUCCACUCACAGUACUUAGUUGCCAAAAGCUGCGCCACUAGCGAAGACGGAAACAUCACAAUAAUUGCCCCUAAGCACAUAAAGGGUUUAGGGUGAAGAAAUGUGGUUUGGGCCUAAGCCCAAACACACACACGCACCACACAAGCACACACACAACAAACACACACAUGCACGGCAUGCACAUGCAUGCAAGCAUGCAUAUACACACACGUACACAUGCACUUAAACACACACACACACGCCUAAUACACACACACACAAACCACAAAGGCCUUAAGGCCUCACACAAAGGACCGGGCUUUAAGCCAUUUCACUUAAAACCGGCCUAAGGCCCCUUGGGCUGCUGAAAAUAAAUAAUUAAAUAGAAUAAAAACGGGCUAGGAUGGGCUAGGCAGGGAAGGCCCAAAGGCCUUGGAUUUUCUGGGCUACAGGAUUCAAAAGGCCGGAAAUUCGGCCGGAAAACCACCCAACUUUAAACGACCAUAACUUUAUCACUACUCAACGAAAUCAAGCAAGACAAAAAUGAAAGUUGUAGCCCUCAAAGAGAUGAAGAGAAUGGUACCUCACGUGACGUCUAACUAGCCGUGUUUUGGCCGGAAAAUGCCUCAAAAGCCACUGAGGUCGCCGGAAACUGGGUAAGAUUCAAAUGCGUAUAACUUAUUCAAUACUCAACAAAAUUGAGUGAAACAAAAAGGAAAGUUGUACUACUCGACGGGACAAAGAGAUUGAUACCUUACACGCUGGCCAACGCACCGUGGUUUGGCCGGAAAUGGCCUCGAAAGGCGUCGGUCUGCGUUGGAGCUCAUGUAUGAGGCUUCCUGGUUCGACUUCCAAGAUGCCAAGACUAAGGUUGAGUUCGUAGCGACGAGAUAAAGACGGGGUGAUGUUUGUUGGUAAGAAAACUCUCGGAUGGGUUGAGAUAGAGAAGGCCGAGAGAGUGAGUUGCGGGAGAGGUGAGGGAGAAGAGAGAACUGAGAGAAGAGAGAGGGAGACCGGAAAACACAAAAAUAAAACAAGGUGGGCCCCAUGGGCUUACCAAGGCUUUAAAACAAUUUUUAAAUAAAAUGGGGUUGGGGUGUUUUAGAAUUGGGUAGUUGAAUCUGGUAGAACAGACGUUGAAGAACCACAAGCACAGAAGUGUGACGUAAAUAUUGUUCGAAGGACAUAGCUAUUAUUUGGUAAAAUAUAUUUUCAUUUCACACUCUGAUAAUGUUACAGCUUAGGUAUAUAUAUACAUCAAACUAACAUGUUAUCUUAACCACUAAGCUAACAACUAAGAACAUUCAUUUACGAUUCAUUUACAGUAUUGCCCUUUAUAUCCCCCCUCAAACUAAACUUGGGUAUCCGAAGUUGAAGUUUGUCACGAAGGAAGAAAAAUCGAAGCUUGGACAGAGACUUGGUGCAGAUAUCAGCUACUUGGUCUUGAGUGCAGACAAAAUGGACAGCAAUCUGUUUAGCAAAGACUUUUUCCCUAAUGUAAUGAUAGUCUAUUUCUACAUGCUUUAUCCGAGCAUGAAAAAUAGGAUUUUUUGCUAGAGAUAUAGCUGAAAGGUUGUCACACCAGAGGUGAGGUGUUGUAGGUAAGCAAUAGCCAAUAUCCACCAAUAAUUGACAGAGCCAGGUUAUUUCAGAUGCAGUGUUAGCAAGAGACCUGUACUCUGCUUCGGUGGAAGAUCGAGCAACAGUCGGUUGCUUCUUAGCACUCCAGCUAAUCAAAGAAUUGCCCAAAUAUACACAAUAACCUCCAGUUGAUCGGCGGUCAAGAGCACAGCCAGCCCAUUCAGCGUCCGAGAAAGCAGUGAGAGUAGGAGGAGUGGAACACUUGGAGAACCAGAGACCAAUAUCAAGAGAUCCCUUUAGGUAUCGGAGGAUACGCUUAACAGCCUGAAAAUGUGAAAUUUUGGGAGUGUGCAUAUAUUGGCAGACAAGAUUAACAGCAAAACUGAGAUCAGGACGAGUUCAGGUGAGAUAUUGCAGAGCACCAACGAGGGAACGAUACUCAGAAGCAUUAGCACAUAAGGGAGAAUCAUGAUCAAGUUUGGAGGUGCUGAGAGGAGUACUGCAAGGUUUAGCUCCAGUCAUGUUGGCUUUGGAUAACAAAUCCAAUAUGUAUUUGGUCUGAGAGAGAAAGAUACCAGAAGAAGAUCUUUUGACUUCAAGACCAAGAAAAUAGUGUAGCGGACCUAAAUCCUUGAUGGGAAACAGGGAACUAAGUUGCUGAAUAACUUGUUUACAGGCAGUAGAAUUUGGACCAGUAACCAAAAUAUCAUCAACAUAGACAAGAAUGAAAAUCAUAUCUGAACCCUUUUUGAUAAACAAUGAAUGGUCACUGGGAGAUCCAACAAAGCCAAGAGAAGUAAGAGCACCAUGAAGCUUGUCAUACCAAGCCCGCGGAACUUGCUUUAAAUCAUACAACGAACGAUGCAAGUGACAAACAUGAGAUGGUUGAGUUAAAUCCUCAAAUCCAGAAGGUUGCUGCAUGAAAACAGAUUCAUUGAGUGUCCCAUGUAGGAAAGCAUUACUGACAUCGAGUUGAUUCAAGAACCAAUCAAACUGAAUGGCAAGAGUGAGGAUGAGUCGAAUAUUGACUGGCUUGGCUACCGAACUGAAGUUUCAGUAUAAUCUAGACCUUCCUGUUGAUUGAAGCCCUUGGCAACGAGCCGAGCUUUGUACCGGUUUAUAGUGCCAUCGGGCUUUCUUUUGAUGUGGAAGACCCAUUUACAGCCAACAAUAUUCUGUGAUAGAGACUGGGGAACAAGAGACCAAGUUCCAGUUUUGAUGAGAGCAAUGACUUCCUCUUGCAUAGCUUGGCACCAAUGAGGAUAUUUUGAAGCUUGGAGAUAAGUUUUAGGUAUGUAAUCCACUGAGAGAUGAGAGGGUAGAAGGUGUUUAGUGGUAGUGAGUGCUUUUGGUUUGAAAAUGCCAGAUUUGGAUCGGGUUUGCAUCUGAUGGGUGUUAGGGGGUUGAAUAGGAAUGGAAUGAAUGGAAUCUUGAACUGGCACUACAGGACUAGAGUGGAUAGGUGGGGAAUUGUUAUGGGAGAAGAUGGAUGGUGAAGUGGAGGGGGAUCGAGGCAAAGUGGUUGUAGGACUAGAGGAUGAAGAAAUAGGAAAAGUAAAAGUAAGGGUGGAUGGUAUAGGUGAUGUAGGCCCAGGGGGCAGGGAGGAAGCUGAAGGUGUGAUGGGGGAGAAAUGAUGGAAUGGAAAACUGGAUUCAUUAAAGAGGACAUGGCGGGAAAUAUACACUCUGUGGGUAGCAGGGUCAAGACAUUUGUAGCCCUUGUGAUUUAAACUGUAUCCAAGAAAGACACAGGCUCUGCCUUUAGGAUCCAGUUUUGAGGAAGAAUAAGGCUUGAGCCAUGGGAAGCAAGCACAACCAAAGACCUUGAGAAGUUCAUAGUUUGGAGCUCGAUGAUAUAGAGAUUCCCAAGGAGACUGUCUGGAUGCAGUGGGCAAUCGGUUGAUAAGAUAGAUGGCAGUGGUGAAAGCCUCCACCCAAUAGAUGUGGGGUACUUUGGAAGUUGUCAAAAGAGUGCGAGCAGUUUCAACCAAGUGACGAUGUUUGCGCUCUGCACACCCAUUUUGUUCAAGUGUGUGGGGGUAAGUGAGUUGAUGAUGAAUGCCAUGUGCAGCCAAGAAUUGAGAGAAAUGAUUGCUCAAGUACUCUCUGCCAGAAUCAGAUCUCAAAGUGAUAAUAUUUGUACACAAAGAAUUUUCAACCAGAGAUUUGUAUUCCAUAAAAGUUGACAGUACAUCAGAUUUGCAUUUCAAAUGAUAAAACCAGCAGUAUCUAGUAAAGUCAUCCACAAAAAUGAUAUAAUACCGAAAACCUUGAGAAGAAGCUAGAGGUGAUGGUCCCCAAACAUCCGUGUGGACAAGUUCUAGAGGUUUGCUAGUUGUACAAGAUGUAGAUACAAAAUGAAGCUUUGAGCUUUUAGCCCAAUGCACAAUCUGAGCAGAAUGACUUAGUUGUAUGAGCCAAAACAGGAAUACAAGAUUGAGAAGCAAGUUUAUGAAGAAUCUUGACUUAUGGGUGACCCAAUCUUUGAUGCCAGACAUCCUUAGAAGCUUUUGCAGUAGCUGUGAGAGCCUUAUGAUUGCCAGUUGCAGAUGAGGAAAAUGAAAAGGAUAGAACCCUUGCUGAACAGGACCUUUAAAAUGCAUCCUCCCCGAAGAAAGAUCCUUCACAGUGAAGUGAGAGGGAUAAAAAUGCAAUGAACAAUGAUUAUCAAGCAGAAAUUGAUUCGCAGAGAGAAUGUUAUGUUUCAAAGCAGGCACAUAAAGUACUUUAUUGAGUUUAAAAGCACUAGUAGAAGUAUGCAAAGUAGUAGAACCAGAAUGAGUGAUGGGCAAACCUUUGCCAUCACCAAUAUACACUUGUUCUGGACCUGUGUAUGCUUCAGGGUUCUGCAGAGUUGCAUAAGAGUUGGUCAUGUGUGAUGUGGCGCCAGAAUCGACAAUCCAAGUAGGAUUGGAUGAAGAAGCAUUAGCAACCAUCGCUGCAGGAGAGGAUUUUCCACUAUAAGCGAGAUUGAGGCGAUGAGGACAAUCACAUGCUUCAUGGUCAAAUUGAUGACAAAUCUGACAAGGUUGUUUCUUGGUGUAGGAAGAAAAAUUGUUGCGACCUCCAUGAUUAUAACGCUGAUUAUUGCCACGAGGAGUAAAAGAUCUCGGAUUGUUAGAAGAUCUGUAAUUGCCAUGAUUGAAAUGACCGCGAUUAUGAGAGCGAUCCAUCCCACGACUUUGAUGACUGAAUGUAGAAGGAGAAUGAGCCACAAAAGCCUGAGAGUUAGGGUUUGAUGCAGGAAGAGGAAGAAUGCCUGCAGAGGUGUUAAGAGCCUGAAACGAGGACAUCUCAGAGAUACUUUUCUUGCGAGUGGCUAAUUGAAUCUCUUUGCUCAGAAGCAAGCCAUGUAGUUCAUCAAUUGUUGUAGAUCCGAGACGAAAUUGAACAACAUCAACAAAUGAGUCAUACUCUGAGGGAAGACUGUGGAGAGUGACAGAGAUCAGAUCGGAAUCGUCAACCGGAAAGCCGGCACUGGCAAGAGCAUCAGCAAUUGCCUCAAUUUGCUGAAAAACUGAGCAGCAGUGGAAUUUCCUUUUGUAAGAGUACGAAGUCGAGAGCGAAGCUCAUGAAUGUGAGACUGAGAUGCCGUGGUAAGUCGAGAUUCCAAUUUCGCCCAAAGAUCGCGAGCUGAAUUCACACCAACAGUAUAUGGAAUUAGGGAUUCCAAGAGCGUGGAGUUGAGCCAGUUGAGAAUAUUUUGAUCAUUCUCAUACCAAGAAACAUAAGCAGGAUUAAGAGUGCGAUUUCCUGAGGAAUCAAGAAGAAAUUGAACCGGCGCUGCCGUAGAGCCGUCUAUGUGACCAGUCAGGUUGUAGCGACGAAAAAUCGGAGCAAAAAAAGCACUCCAGGUCAAGUAAUUUGUGGUAGUGAGCUUGAUUGGCACCAUGGAUCCAAUAUUUUGGAUUGUGAUUGAGGUAGAAUGUGAAGAAUUAGGGUUGGGAGAUUCAGUCGGAAGGGGAUGAACGGGAGAGGCCGAUUCUGACGAAGGAGACGCCAUUGUCAAAAGGAUGAGGAGGAAAGAGCACGAUCAAAGAUCUUCAAACACGAGCGAAGAAUCGAUCAAGAACACAGAAAGAAGAAGCAGAAAAGAUAGGAUCGAAGAACGAGAGUCGUUGGACAGAGAAGGCGGUUGAUACCAUAUUUGGUAAAAUAUAUUUUCAUUUCACACUAUGAUAAUGUUACAGCUUAGGUAUAUAUAUACAACAAACUAACAUGUUAUCUUAACCACUAAGCUAACAACUAAGAAGAUUCAUUUACAAUAUUGCCCUUUAUAGCUAUUACGCUAGCCUCUACCUUCUGUAAUCAAGUUAGUCAUAUUUAUUUCUGUAUUAUUGUGUAAUUAUCAUUUUACAUAGCAAGUAUAUUUUGGUUAAUAAAAUAUUAGAAUUUCUAUUAUUAUUGUUUAUUUCUGAAUUGUUCUCCUACAGUGUUCCACAAAUGGCAUCAAAUACUACAAAACACAAAUUAGAAGUAGCAUUAAGUAGACUAUUAUGCAUGACACGAUUUUGUAAUAGCACUCAACGUUUUGCCCAUACCUUCUCAAUAAUUUGCCAAGCUGCCCUGCUUCUUUCUCUGGAACAAUGCACUUCAUGAGCAUUCUUUGAGUUUCAUUGGCAAGAUUUUAACUUCUGAGAAAACUUCACAACUUGAAAAGAAAAACUCAUUCAUUUUGUAUAUCCUUGCACAUUUGAUAUUUUGUAGUAGACUAGUAGUGUAUUGGUGCUUUUUUAUUAGGCUCUUAUUUUGUAGUGUCGAUGUAGUACUUAACGACAAAUGGUUUUUUUAUGUUUUGAAGUAAGAUUUAUGUGGCAAUGUGGUAUUUGCAAAUUUAAGAGUAAAAAAAAAAUCUUAAUAGGUCAUAAUGGGUGGGAUAAUUUUACUUGUUGGGUAAAGUGACCUAACCUGUUAAAGAUCCGUUAAGAUAAACACGACACGAUCAGUUAAGAUAACAGGUAUUACACGAAACACGAUAAACACGAUUCGUUUGCCAGACCUACGUUUACCUGCCGUAUAAGAACUUGAACGUCAAUUAAACCCUAUAAAUAUGUUGAUGGUGCAGCAUGAGUACACAACAUAUUUGGAUGUAAAAACUCUACAAGUUUGGAAUUUGGAGAUCAAAUUUUCUGCACUCAAAGUGGGUGUGACUUCUCUGCGAUCUCAAUUAUUGACUAACACGUAUUUAUAAACUUAACUUUUCUAAACUUUAUUGUCAAAAACUUAUUAUGUGUCGGUCAAUAAUUAGGACCACAAAGAGCCUACACCUAUUUUUGGUGCAGAAGAUUUGAUCUUUGGAAUAUGAGACCUAUGAGACUCAAAUGCAGUAGUGCUUCGAUUCGAGAAUACUGUUAAAAGGUGAGGUUUGGGUGACGGAAAAAUUGAACACAGGAUUUCGUGGGCAUUGGGUGAAUGCUGUUAGAAGUUCAUUUCAUAUAUCCAAGAAUAUGUUACUCUACAUUCUCACUACUAUCCUUUUAUAAUCUCCAAGAGUAUUUAUUUGGCGAUUCUCUUUUCAAUUUCAUAAGGUUCCUAUCAUGUCCCUGAAUUUUUGGUUCCUACGUUCUCACAUAAAGAUAUGGAAAUGGAGGGUAGAGUCUAAACUUCACCCUAUAUCAAAGAAACUCUAAUAUUUCAGUUAAAAUUAACAGAUUUCGUUGAUAUUUUCGAAAUAUAGGUUAAAUAUCGAAGAAACUCUUAUAUUUCGUUUCAACCAGUGUUUGACAGUUCCUAAAGUUUUAUUUUAAAUUUUCAUAAUUUCCAUCAAAAUGAACCGAUAUUAAUAUCAAUAUCGAUAUAUCCAUAUAUUUCCACAAAUUUAUCGUUAUUUCUACCGAUAUCGAUAUUUUAAACACUGCUCACUAGAACAUGCGGACCUAAUUAAGUCCAGCCAAGGUAUUAAAAAUCGAUAUUAUCGGCGAUAUUUCGCUGAUAAUAUCGUUUUUUUGCCCCAGCGAUAUUUUUUUGACUAAAAAUAAAAUAUCUUUAAAAUAUCGCUAAUAUCGCGAUAUUACCGAUAUUAGCGAUAUUAUCGCGAUAUUCGGUGUCGUCGCCGCCGCCGGGAGGUGAGAAAGGGAGGAGGAAACCAGAUCGAAGAAGAAGGAUGAUGGAGGUGAGAAAGGGAGGAGGAAACCAGAUCGAUUACGGAGAGAGUCGAGACCGAACCGAGGGAGAGACCGAGACAGAGAGACCGAGGGAGAGACGGAGACGGAGAGACCGAGGCAGAGACGGAGACGGAGAGACCGAGGCAGAGAUAGAGACGAAGAGACCGAGGGAGAGACUCCAUCGUCCCAACGGCAACCGAGCUUCCUCUGCGCGUCGCCGUGCUUCCCAGAGACGGAGGAGAGGGAGGGAGAGUUCAGGAGGGUGGUGGAGAUGCAGCGCUGGCAUCGGGGUGGACGGAUUUGGGUGUGCUGGGUGUGGGUGCGAUCGGGGAAAUGGAGUGAGAGAACGAGAGUUCGAGAGAGUUCGAGAGAGAGAAAGCCUUUAGGUUCUGACGGGGUGCAAGUGAGAGAGGGAAAGCCUUUAGGUUCUGACAUGGGAAUGGACAAAAGAGAGCCGUUGGCUCUGGGCUCGAGGUGAGUGGAAGGGGAUCCAAUGUGUGUUCAAGAAUAGCUAGGGUUUUCAAAUGACAGAUGCCGCUGCUACACCAGUUUAAAUUGUAGCUGUUUCUAGCAUUUGACACAGGUGGACUUGUGCGGGUUGGUCAGCGAAUCUUCGCCAUUUCUAGCUCUCAGGUCUUGCGUUCGAAGCCCCGAGGUGUAAUGUAGUGGUUUAUUUUUUCAUAUUUUUGUUAGCUCACCUUGGCAAGCUCACAGUUCUUCUCUUCGAAUCUCUUUGGUGUGUCAAUUUUUUUUUUCCUUUUCUUUUAUUUUCUGUUUUCUGUUUUAUUUUAUUUUCGUUUAUUGUUUUUCUAUUUCUCUUUCCUAUUUUAUUUUCUUAGUUUUUUUUGUUUUAUCUUUGAUCGUCCUUCUACAUUUCCUAGGAUUUCGUAGUUUUGUUAUUUUCUUGUUUGUUUUUCUUUAUUUUAUUUCUCAUACCUUGAGGACAAUGUGUGAUUUAAGUUUGGGGGUGGGAAAUAAGAAAUUUUAGGUUUUUAAUUCUUUGUAUAUAUAUGGUUUUGUUUUGAAUUCUUUAUAUAUAAAUGAUUAUGGUUUUGUGAAAAUAUGAAAAUAUGCUAAAAUAUUCGAACCCCUCCCAUUGUACUAAUUCAUUAUAUAAAUGAUUAUGGUGUGUUUAAACUUCUUUCAUUAUUUACUACAUUUUUUCUACACUCACAAUGUUUGCCAGCUCGCUAUAUAAUCAACUUAAAUCAGUUAAAUCCAUCAUGCAAUGCAUUUCCUUCCAAUUUUUUGUGAUAAACUAAUAGAUAAUUGACUAAAUAAACAUCCUGCAAAGUUUCAAUAAAAAUUUCCAAGUUUUUCUUACAAUUUCCGUGGUUUCCAUGUAAUUUUUAUCGAUAUCGAUAUUAUCCCGAUAUUUCUAUUGAUAUUUCCGUGUUUUCGGACUACCGAUAUUUCCGAUAUUACCGAUAUUUUCUUCCUUGAGUCUAGCUCAAUAGUGCCUCGUGUCGUGCUCAUGCUGGCUCAUUUAAUGAAUAAGAUGGGCCGACUCAUCCCAUAUUUGAAACCUUCAGCCCAGUGCACCCCACAACAAUAAUCUAAUUCUGCAUGUGUCGUGCUUGCCAUGCUAGAUGCUGCUUUUUUUUUUAAAUGAAAAUACAUACUUAAUAUAUAAUCACAUAUUAACGAAACUUUGAGUCAAUUAAAAUCUCAUAAAUUAACAUUAUGUCCCUUUAAUCAAAACUGAACAUAAAUAAAAAAAUAUGGACAGUAAUAUAAUCGCACAAACCAAAUAUUGCUAUUUUUUGUAAAGCAUUACCACAUAUGAUUAUAACAUAUCUCUAAAAUUAAAAAUAAAAUAAAAACCUCUCUCCCCUCUCUCUCUACUCUCACCUUCUCUAUCUUCCUCCCUCCUUCCAUUUUAAAAACAAAUGUUCACAUGCACAUAUACUAGUACUAUUAAUAUAUUUCUCAAAAUGACGAUCAUAUCUCUAUUUUUUCUAUUUUAACCUUACUUUUAAUACACAAUAAAAUGUCCACCUAUGUGAUUGAAGAUAUCUGAAAGAGCGGUCAAGAAAUUUGACCAAGGAAGAAAGGAAUAGAUCCCUAAACAUUUGAAUUCCAUGAGUUAAAGAAUUGGUAAAGACGUUGAGCUACUUGGAGUCUAAAAUUUGGGAAGGAAUAAGAAUACCACUUUCGUAGAAGCUUGGAAGUCGAAUCACGUUCACAACACGAAAGUAAGACAUAGCCUUCUUUUCUCAGUUGAUAUUCGUCGAAGAAUAUUAUUGAUUUGAAAUGUUAUUUGGAUAUUGAUAUAAAAUUAUUAUGAACGAUAAAUGUGUCAUGCAUAGUAAAAUCAUUGGAAAUGUAUCAAUGAAAAUGAAUAACUAUAAUCAUUCGUUGGAGUCGUCAAUUAGAAAGGUAUGAGAUUUAUAGAAACAUGGAAGUAAAAGAAGUUGAGAGACUCUCGAAGCACCAAGAUUUAUGUUCAGCCCAAAGUCACGAAAUAAGGGAGUGAAGUCCUUUCAGUUAGAGUCCGAUAAAAUGACCAAAUCGUGUUUAGACAUUGCAGAUUGAGAGUUAAAAAAAAUGACUAAUAAAAAGAGAAAUUUAGUUAUCUGUUAACUGGAUUAACAUUAUAGAAUGAAGAGAAAACAUUACAUUCAUGUACUAUUAUUGCUCCCGGUGAAUUAAAUGCAUUGUGAUUAUUACCUUAUCGAACUAGUAGCUCAUCCAUGACAGUAAUUGAAUUAGAGACUUGAAAAGUAGUUUAUUUUACCGGUGUUGAAGUAGAGACUUGAUAAGUAGUUGAUUUUUAAUAAAGUGUGAAUUUAAAAAUGCUAAAAAGAUUCUCUCAAAGUUUUCAAAAAAAAAAAAAGUAAGUUCCUCAUGAACUUUCCAUCGGAUCAUAUAUUUUUUUCAUAAUAUUUUAUAAUGUAAUAAGAGAAUUAUGCUAAAAACGUAAUGUGCUGGAAGAAUUCUAUUUUAAAAAAAAAAAUCUCACUAACAUUUAUCAUAAACUUUUGUACAGUAAUUCCAGUGUGCUUGAGUGAUUUUCUAAAACCUUGUGAUGAUGUAAAAUAAGAGCUUUCUAUUUUUUUCUCUAUUUUAUGUGAGUUUUUGAAUUUUUACUAUGCUUUUUCGUCGUGGUCUCAUAUUAGUUUGAUAUUUUUGGGAGCGAACUCCAGUGUCUUCGUUUCAUAUUUGAUAUUUUCAUUGAGUUCAUUGACAAAGGAGUAUCAUUGCAAGUUUUCACAAAAAAAAAAAGGAGUUUCAUUGCAACUCUUUUUGUGAGCUUCCAAGUGGCCCCAAGUAUGUUAUUCUGCACUUUUAUUACCAUAUGCAAUAUGCUUCUAUAAAUUAUCUGGAAGAAAGUAUUACUUAUGAGCUAUAUCUAAUUUUUUGUUUCACUUGUUUUUUCUUAUUAUAUAUGUCACUUAGGUUCGAGCAUUUAGCCUUGAAAACAAGAUUUCAAAUUCGAUUUCGGCUUCAACAAUAUUUGCUAGCAUAAAAAGAGGGUUAAGUUAUUGAUUCGUACGCCGUUAAGUUGAAUUUGGUUGCAAGUCUAAUCAAUAUUAUUUGGUGUUUUAUUUAAAUAAUUUAAGCAGGCAAAUGGGUCAUGUUUAUCGUGUUUUUGUUGUUUUUGUGUCAUACCCGUUAUCUCAAUGGGUCGUGUUGUGUUAAACCUGUUAUCUUAAUGAAUUCUUAACAGGUGAUCCGAUAACUACUUAAUUUGUUAACCAAUCGUGUCGUUUCAUGUCCAGUUAAGAGGCCAUGCAAGAAUUUAAUAUACCUAAUAUCUAGAUAUGGAAAACCAUAUCUUAUCAAGUUCUUAACGGGCUACCUGAUAAUGAACCGCAUUGUUAAUGAAUCACGCUAGGCUCUAGUCUGGUGGUGAACAGAGGCGUCUAGGUGGGCAGGUGCCUAGGUAGGUUUAGGCUUCCUUUCUUAAUUUUCAAAUGCCUAGGAAUUAAUCUGGGCGGUAGACAACCGUCUAGCUCCUAGGCGGCGCUAUGUGGAGAUUUUUAGAACAGUGGUUAACAUGUUGACCAAAAUCCUGUUAUUUUCGUAUCGUUUCUUGUCUAAUUAACGGGUCGUGUAAAAUAUUAUUAGGCCUUUGUGUAGAGUUCAAUCCGCUAUCUUCUUUUCGACGUGUGUACUUUCACUUAACAACAAUUUUGUGGAACUUGUCAACUGCCACCUACAAAGAAUUGGAACUUUUUGUUAUCCUUAACACGGACAAAAAACCAUGACAUUUGGUGGAAGAAUUAGAUUGAAUGAGUUCGAAAAUUAUCAAGCAUAGAUUUUUGUUCUUGAACCAAAUUUUUUAAUUCUGUGUUCUUGGAAAAAAAACUCGAGAAAGUAGUUUUUGGACUAAGUUUGGCCCCUUUGUUAAACUGAAUGAAAGUUAAGAACAGAAAUUUAAAUUUCUUGAGUACUAGACAAUUUCAGGUACCUUAUUUAGAUCUUGAUUUCUUUUGGUUUGUGGUUUCGUUUUGAAAACUAAGCACAUAGUUUGUAAAAUACAAAAAUUUAUCCAUUGCGUUAUUUUUUUUCUUUUUCUGUUGUUUUGAAACUUGUCUAUUCUGCAGACAGAUUGCAUACCAAGUAUCGAAGGCCAAAAUGGAGUCAGCUGCAUCACUAUUGAUUGGGAAAAUUGCGGCCAUUCUUGAAAACGAAGCAUCUUCCAUAGCGGCAGUCCGUGAUGAAAUUGAUGAGCUUAAGCUGGAGCUCAUAAGCAUGAAAUCUUUCUUAAUAGAUGCUGAAGGCAAGGAACCACAGACAGAAGGAGAGAAAAAGUGGGUUACAAGCGUCAGAGAUUUGACCUUGGAUGCGGAAAAUGUCAUUGAUGAGUUCCUGUAUCACAUAUAUGACCAGCAAAGUGCGACUCCAUUUGAAAAAUGGCUCCACAAACCAUUCACAUUCCAAAGAAUCUUUGGUUUAGGCAUCGAAUAGCCAAAAAAUUACAGAAAAUCACAAAAAAGAUCAAAGCCAUUCCUGAGAGGAAUCAGAGAUAUGGUGUCUCUACAAUAGAAGGAACAAGUUCGGAUAGUGUUCCCAGAUGGGUGAAGAACAAAGCCGAGUCUUCUCUUUAUAUUAUGGAAGACGAAUUAAUCGGGAUUGAAGACAAGAAGCAAACGUUAAUGGGAUUGUUGAUGAAUGGCGAGGAAAAUGAAAUGGUUGUGUCUGUGGUCAGGAUGGGAGGAUCAGGCAAGAUAACUCUUGUUGCCAAUAUCUUCAACAACGAAAAUGUAAAGCGGCAUUUUGACUGUUAUGCAUGGAUCACUGUUUCUCAAACUUUUGUGAUCGAAGACUUAUUCAAAAAUCUGAUCAAGCAAUUCCACCAAGGAAGAAAGGAAGAGGUGACUGCACAAUUGGAUUCCAUGAGUAACAAAGAAUUGUUAGAGAUGUUGUCGACAUACUUGAAGUCUAAAAGGUACCUAGUUGUAUUGGAUGAUGUGUGGGACAUUAAACUUGGCAAGAAAUAAGGAUACCACUUCUUAAUAGACAUCGUGGAAGUCGAAUCAUGCUUACAACUCGAAAGAAAGACAUAGCAUUCUAUUCUUUUGAAGUUGAAAGUCGUCAUAUUGAAAUUGAACCCUUGGGAAACAAUGAAGCUUGGGAGCUCUUUAGCAAGAAAGCAUUCUCAACUUACGAUAAUAAAUCUUGUCCACCAGAGCUUGAAUCCUUAGCAUGGAAACUUGUGGAUAAGUGUGAAGGCCUACCUCUGGCAGUGGUAACUUUAGGUGGUCUAAUGUCUUCCAAGAGGUCAUCAUUGGAAUGGAGAAGCGUAUAUAACAGCUUAAAUUGGCACUUGACUAACCAUCCUAUGCUGGAACCAAUGAGCAGCAUCUUGUUGCUUAGUUUCAACAAUUUGCACAACCGGUUGAAGCCAUGUUUCCUAUACUGUGCCCUCUUCCCAGAAGAUUAUCUCAUCAAAAGGAAAAGGUUGAUCAGGUUGUGGAUAGCUGAAGGGUUUGUUGAACCAAUUGAUGGGGUCACACCAGAAGAAGUUGCAGAUGGUUAUCUUGUGGAACUGAUUGUUCGUAGCAUGCUACAAGUUGAAAAGCAUGAAGCUGGAGGACUAAGAGCAUGUAAGAUGCAUGAUCUUGUGCGUGAGCUUGCUUUGUCGAUAUCAAAAAUGGAAAAGUUCGGUGCUACGUGUAUUGGCAGAGAAAUAGUAGAUAAAGUUGAAAUCCGCCGAUUGUCAAUUCAAACAACUGAAAGAGAAAUUAAUUCUUCCACAGGUAUGUAAGAGCUUCGCUCCUUUCUUGUCUUUGGCUCUUUAGAGAAAUUGCCUUCUGGAUUCAAGUUGUUGAGAGUUCUAGAUGUGCAGGAUGCUCCAAUUGAUAGAUUUCCAGAUGAACUAGUGUACUUGUUCAACUUAAGAUAUUUAAAUUUGAAGAGAACUUUUAUUGACGAGCUUCCAGAAUCCAUCGGACGGCUUCGCAACCUUCAAACCUUGAACAUCCGUGACAGUAAGAUAAAGGCACUUCCGAAAGUAAUCUCCAAGUUACUAAACCUACGUCAUCUAAUCAUGUAUUGUUACACUGGUGAUUGGGAGGCCUUUAGAUGGGCCAAUGGGACAAAAGCAGCAUCCGAUCUAAGUAAAUUACAGAAACUGCAAGUUUUGCAAUGUGUUGAAUCAGAAGGAAAGAUUGUUAAAGUCAUCAGGAAUAUGACCCAACUUACAAGCCUCGGUAUUACAAAUGUGAAAGCAAGUGACGAGAUGGACCUAUGUGACUCCCUUCAAACGUUAGAGCUCCUUCAACAUUUGUUUUUAAUGGCAAGUGAUGAAGAGGAGUUUCUUCGGGUUAAUGCACUACGUUCGCCCCUUGCAGACCUUCAAAUUGUUAAUUUGGCCCGAAAACUAGAAAAAGUACCUAUUUGGUUUGGUUCGCUCCAUAACCUGACACGCAUGCAGCUAAAUUGGUCUAGACUUGAAGAAGAUGUGCUACCUCACAUUCAAGCAUUGCCGAAUCUUGAAAGGCUUGGGCUAAUUAAUGUGUAUGUUGGCGAAAAAUUGUGUUUCUCCAGAGGCUUCAUAAAGCUCAAGCAUUUGAUGUUGCGCAUCUACCCCUUAUUGAAUAGUAUAGCUAUAGAGAAAGGGGUGAUGCCAAAUCUCCAGGUCUUAGACAUUGAUGACUGCAUGAAGUUAAAGACAUUGCCACAAGGCAUUGAGUUCCUUGCUAACGUAGAACGCUUGACUCUGCAGUCUGUUCCAAUGCAACUUAUAGAGUCCGUAAAAUGAGGCAUGGAUCAUCCAAAGGUACAACACAUUCCUGAAAUCAACCUGGAUUAUGGGUGGUAUCGUGAAAGCUUGUGGUAUUCACUCUCGUAGAAGGUACGCACCUUUUUAUCCAUGCAUAAAAAAUUUCCACAACAUAAUCAUUUGAACUAUUACAUUAGAAAGGUUGGUGAUUUUCACUCCUAUUUUUUCUUAGGAAAACUAAUGAAAAUGAUUUAAAAACUUUAAAACCUUUUUUCUUAUGCAAUUUUCCUUCUGUUUUUGUUUGUUAGUAUUUUGAUUUAUUUAAUUUUAAGGCUACAAAAAAGAGGAAGUAGUGCAUCAAAGUGUAAAAAUCAUUUUCCCUUAUAAUUUGCCUGUUCGAUCUUAUUCACAAGUCUGGCAAAGACAUAAUGUAUGCAUGCAUUGAGAUGUUUUUAGGUAAGCGUGUUUCUUUUGUUUUGUAAUAUCCUUUUGUAGAAACAAGCUUCAGAAGCACUUGUCGUGAGACUGCAGUGAGAUCUCCUUAUUGGCAAUUGAUUUUGCGGUGAGUCUCAACUUUCGUUAUAGUAUCAGAGCAGACUAUAUACAUGUUGAGACAUUAGCCCUGCAAGGAAGAAUCCAUUGUUUGUGUGGAGUUGCAAACAUUGCCCUUUAUGAAAUUGAAAAAUGCCCAAGAUUCUGUUUGUGUAACUGGAAUUUAUAUUACUGAUUGCUUGCGUGUGUUUGAUGUAUUAAUAUUGGUUUGGAAUUGAGGAACUUAUAUUACUGAUUGCUUGCGUGUGUUUUGAUGUAAUAAUAUUGGUUUGGAAUUGAAUCUGUCUCUGAUGAGACCAGUCCUAGCUUAAUCAAUGGUUAUGACCCAUUUUUCAUUUUCAAUAUAUAUUGUAUUAGAGGAAAAGAAGUGAUUUUUGUUAAGUAAAUAAACAAUAAGAAUAAUGCUAGGUACACUAAAUGAUGUGGCUAAUUACUUUUUUAUUUUAAUUCAAAUUAGAUUUGAUUAAUAAUUAUAAUAAAAAUUUAUAUAGUGUAAUACGUGUGACAUUAUUUAGUACAUAAAUUUAAUGUAUAUAACAUCACCCAAAUAAUAAUAAUAACGAUUGACCAAUUUGUGUAAAUAUUUUACUGUAUAAAAAAAACUAUAUUCAUUAAAAACCCACAAACCUCAACAUUCCUAAGCAAGUUAUUUUUAUUUUUUCAACAAACGAUAUUAUCUACACUAAGAGGGAAGGGGGUAAGCUAAGCCUCAUAAUGGGCUAGCAAUAAUGUGGUUCAAAUUUGUCUUUGGCAGAAUCAAAUCUAAGAUCUCUCACUUACAAGUGAAGAGGAAUACCACUAGACCGUAGUACUAAGCGGCAUGAAUUUAUGUACUUUAUCUUAAGACUAUUAACAAUGAGCGCAUUCUAGAAUUUAGAGGUUAUUGUGUUCAGUCCUACUCUCAUAAUGUCCUCAUUAGUCAUAAGAUUGUAUUAUUUUAGAUCUAAAGAUUUAAAAUAUUUGACAACUUAAUAGAGCAAAAUCAACUAAAAAUCCAUGAAGUCAUUUGGAAAUGCAUACUACACACCUGUUAAUGUAUGCAAGAGGCAACACCCAAGGUAUUCAUGGACAUUCAUCGGGUUUUGGUAGCCCUGAAGUCGGUUGGAGGUCAUGUAUGAAGCCAACUCUAAUCUUCAAAAUGGCAGCACUCAAGGUAUCCAUGGACAUUCAUCGAAGUUCAGAGGGUCAGCACCUAAGAUUUCUAUGGACGUUCAUCCAAGUUCGGGGGGUCAGCUUGUAACGCCCCGGUCCCGAAAUAUUUAUUUUAUUUCGAGAAAUAAUAAUAUUAGUGAUAGGCCCAAAAUAAAAAUCUUAUUUAGUUUAUUAACUUUAGCUAACAACUCCAAUUCAAAUCCUUCAUUCCACAAGCAAUUUAUAAGCAUUAUUCAUUCUUCCAAAACAUCCAAUUUAAAUUCCAAUUUAGUACCAUUUCUUUGUAAGGACCAAUUUCCAUUAUGUAACCUUUAUUCUUGAAUUAAUUUAACUUCACAUAUUUUAUGGCUGCAUCUAACGUCUUGUUAGACUGCCUACGUACCCUCAACAGGGAUCAAGCCUUUCGUAGUUCAAAAGUUCAAAGUUUCGAACCAAAGACAAACUAUUCAUUUAAUCCUACAUACACCACAAUCAUAUUAAUAUUUAAACCAUAAAAGUUAGAUAAAAAAAAAUAACCUACUUAAAAUAACGAAAUUCAUAUAACAACGCAAAUGUUAGCUCCUUGGCCGUGUGCCACCGCCCCCACCGCCGCAGGUGGCGGUUGGCUGCCCGACUCGCCGGAAAAUUCAACUAUUUCUAAAAUUUCUCAAAAAUUACAGAAAUGAAGAUCUCAAUGAGUAGAGAAACUUUCAUACCUGAAACCAAGGCCAAUUUUGCCUGGAAAGGAUCCAAUUUCAUCAAAACCCAUUGGAACCCUAGAAUUUGGGUGUCCUCAAUUUGACUCCAUAGCAACUCCGACGCCCAAACUAAUGAAUGGGCUUUGUUCCAGCUCUUAAGGGGAGUCUAAUGGUAGUGGCAUUGGACGUAAAUCAUUUCAAAUUUUGGUUAAUUUGGAAACCAUGCCACCGCACCCCCAACGUCCGGAUCUACCCAUUUCAAGCUCAAAUCCCAUGAUUUUUGAGGUGUAGUAAGAUAAGGGAAGGUUAUGGACGGUUUUACAAUAGUUAAUUUGGUGUAAUUCACGGGAAAAAUGACUAAAUUUUGUCGUACAAGGGCAAGGAAACACGACCGGGUCGGGUUUGGCCACUUGGGUCACGGGAUCCUCCGCUUCCCCCAUCCUCUCCUUUUUCCUCCUUUCUCUCUCUCUCAUUGGUCACCUCUCAUCCUCCCCUUUUCUGAUUGGCCCAUCUCUCCCUCCUUUCUCUCCUUUAUCUUCCAUCUCCACCGCCUAACUUUUCUUACUUUCAAUCUGGGCCACACACGUGGCCUUCCAGAUUUGGCUCCAAAAAUCUGGAGCAUUCUAGUAAUGGUAAAUUUACAAUUUUAUCCCCAACUUUAAACGUUAAUAACUUCUGCAUUCUAACUCCGUUUCAUGAACGGUUUGCGCCUACGCGUUCGUGAGGUCGAGCUCUAUUCAAAAAUAUAAAUCUUGACCUCGAAAGGUCUACGUAUUUUAAAAAAUAAAGGUCCAAACUUUAAACCUCGUAACUUGUUUAAUUUAAAACUAAACUUACACAAAUUAUUAUAAAUUCUUGAAAAAUCAUAUAAAAGCUCAGUUAUAUUCUCGAUUUAAUUCUUCAAAAUCAUCAAUCGAUUUAUUUUGAUUUUCUACACAUAUUCAUAUAUUUAAAAUUUUCAGGGUAUUACACAGCUGGCCCCCAUUGCCCCUUAAUGGAUCCGUCAGUGAUCUAAACUAAUAUAAUUUUGUGGCUAAUAUGCAUUUGGUCCUCACAAGUCAUCAAAAUAAAGACCUUACGAUAGCAUGACUCUAUGGUGUUUCCAACGAGUCCAGUUGAUAAUGUUCUCAUAUGAUUAACAACGAGCGCAUUCUAUAAUUUAUCAUCGGCCAACAUGGUCGGUCGAGUAUAAAUGUUUAGAAGACCCUAAAUUAUAUGUGCCUGGAGCUAGAUAGACCCCUAUUAGGAAUGGACACAAGAACAAAUGUUUGAGGGCGUAGGGUGAGAGAAUGACUUACAUAAUUUAGGUAUACUGUUACGUUUUAUGCCAAUAAUACAAUGUUGAUAUGUGUAAGUUUUUAUCUACAAAACAAUGUAUCACAUCAAUAAAAUGUCACAAUAAUAAUAUACUUGUGUCAUAUAAAUUACUAUCAUCAAGAGCACACUAAGCGGUGACACUACCAAUUAUUAUUUUAAAGACACAGUAGAGUAGGAUUAGGACAAAAACUCCGUAAUUACUUAGUGUUGUCAUUAAAUCUUGACCAUUCGAUCGAUCUAAGGGCUGUAAUCAAAAUCCGGGAGAGAGACGGACGCAAUCUCCGACCAGGAGUAUGAGUACUUGGCUUCGACAUCCUAUAUAUACAACGAGACACACCAUUUACAUGCAUACAUACAUCAUCGACGUUCAAGUUUCAAACCCUAACGUUGGCUCUUUCCGUCUUGUCUCGUCGUCUGUUUUUGUUCCUUCCAGAAAGGGGAAUCUGAAGAAUCCGACGGUAACGAUGUCGAUGAUAGAUAACGUGUUCAGGAUGAUGAUAACUUCGAGGACUGGUUUAUAACCAAACGCCAAGAGCUUCAGAACUCUGCGAGAGUCGCUAUGGAAGCUUUGCUCUCGGAACCCAGAAGUUUCCUGAACGUUUUGAAUUUGGCAAUCAAAUUGACCAAGGCAAUCGUAUUGGUGCCCCUUUGUGUGCUGGCCUUCUAUGCUGUGAUCCUGAUUAGGGUGGGAAUCGCUUGUUUGAUCUGCGUCCCAAUACUUUUUAUUAUUUUCAUCGUCCUUGUCGGUGUCCGUAAGUUACUGACCAUAGACUUCGACUUGCAAAUUAUGUAACUAUGAUUUCUAGUUGUUUGUUCGUUGCUCACCAACUGUCUGUUUAAAUGACUGAAUGAGCUUUUUUGUUUCGUUUCUUUUCUUGCAGGUUACGGUCGGGCACACUAUCUGUUCUUCACAAGACGAAACCGCGCGGGGAUGUCGUAUGCCGACUUCAUUGACAAGUUCGGCGCGUGGUUGACAAACAAUCCUCUUCCACCUUUCGAAUCAUUUGGUGAAUCCGCUCAACAUUGGGCACAUCACGUGUGGGGCUUCAAAUUGGAAGAAGAUUGAGGAAGAUUUCAGAGUUACUAUGGAAUGUAUGUAGAGAUUAUUAGGUUGGAUGACCAUAAAAUGAAAAUUGCUGCUUCUGUUUAUUUUUCUCUCUCUCUAUUAAUUUAAUUUUUCUUUCUAAAUAACUACGCCAUUUAUCGGAGAGCGUAUUGAACGACAUAGUAUCCGUAAGAACGACUUGUGACAUUACAAUACAAAAAAAUAAAAAUAUGAAGACCAGUUUGUGACAAAGUAUCUAGGAUUAUGGUUAAAGUAUAGCAUCUAUGUGUUAUUCUUCAUCACUUGGAAGCAACUUUUUUCAAUUAAUUACAGAAGCACGACAGUGAUUGAAACUUUAACAUAGAUAAUCGAACUAUUAGAGUCUAAGAAAAUUUAUUUGGCAAGGAAUUCGGAUUGCGAGGGUUAAAAGAGAGGCCAUACCCUCACUUUUUGUUAGAAACAGACUCUAUGUAUGUUGUUCAUCUCCUUUCAACUUGUUCUAUGAAAGUCCCCUUGUUUCUCAAAGCUGUUUAGGGCAAAUUGCUUAUGAUAUAGUGCUCGCUUAAGCUUGCAUUUUUUGCAUAAAUGUAAGGAGUGGAAUUGUUUGGCCAAUGAUUUUGCUAAUUAUGGUUAGGCAAUUUGGCUAACCGUCUUAGGUUUUAAAACGAUCUUUCACAAUCUUUUUCAUCACUUCUUGUUGCUUUUUUUAUUUUUUUUUUCUAGCGGUUGAUUGAAUAAAGAUUCCAAUAAAGCGUCGAUGUUAUUCUUAGGCUAAUUAGAUGUCUUGAGUUCAUUUUUGGUAGUUGUAUGACGUAGGUUGAUUGUUGGAAUCUAAAUUAUCUACGUUACGUUAAUAGAUCAUUGUAUGAAUUGACGAUCCGACCGUUGGAUCGUCACCAAACUUUAGUAGCUUAUAAUACGUAAUAUUUGAGGACCAUAGGAACUUACGGAUUGAGAAUCCAAUAUAUGGACCUUCCCAAAAUUGGAUUUGUAAGUUCAUAAAAUAAAAGGUUAACCGCCGCUUGGUUUUGACAAUUUGCGGAGAUCCGACCGUUGAGUAAUGGGACUGUAGGAUGUUGUUCUAGAAGUAUAAUGUGGAUCUUUGGAAGCAACGGAUUGGAAAUCCGUGAUGCAGAUCUUCCGAAUUGAAUUACGUAGGGAUGUGUUUUAUGUAAAUUGUGUAUUUUAUCGUUAUGAACUCUAAGAUGUGAUUUGAUAAUUGGUUAUAGGCGACGAUGGUUCGUGAUGUCUCGAUAUGCGUGCUAGAGAGUCGUGGCGCGGACCUCAGUUAAGUGGGUCUUUUUCUUUUUAUCGUACAUUAUAUAUAUAUAUGAUUGACAAUUCCACAACGUUUAUAAAAUUGCUUAUUGCGUAUAAUUAUUAUGAAUGCUUUGAAGUACUAAUGUGAACUACGAAUGGCUUGAUCCUUGUUUAGGGUACGUAGGCAGUCUAACGAGACGUUAGAUGCAGCCAUACAAUAUUUGAAACAGAAAUCUUGUUUGGGAAUUGAGCAAUGUGAACGAAAUUGGUGAAAAUAUGAGAUUUAACCUUAUAUUUUUAGUAAUUGGAUGUUGGUCAUAAAUCAAUGUGGAAGGAAUCAAGAAAUUGAAAUAAGGAAACAUAAGUAAUGAUAGUUAAUUAAACUAGUGUUUAGUUGGAUUUAUCCCCGAUAAUUAUUUCCGAAAAUAAAUAAUUCGGGAGUAGGGCAUUAUAGAUUGUGCAUUUUACACCACAUUAUAUAUAUAUAUAUAUAUAUAUAUAUAUGUAUAUAUUGGAAAAAUAUUAUGAUAUGGUUGAGUUUUAGAUUUGCAUUAUGGCAUAUCCAUGUAUAUAAUACCUGCACAUAAUUAUUGUCAACGCUUGAAGUGCAAGGGUGAAUGCAGGACACCCAGGUAAGUUCAGGUAAGUUUAUGGUAUUAGUUGAAAUGAUGGAGUUAUGGCAUGACUACAUGCAUGUUUUAAGCAACUCUGACACUGUCGUACGAGUUGCCCAUGAGUCGUACAUGUUAUGUUGAGAUACAUUGAGAGCUCAUAAACUUGCACCCCGAUGUUAGUGCUCCCGCCCGUGGCUAGGGCACAGUCCUUCACGUAAUGUUCACCUCCCACACCUUACGCUCACCUUAGAUCCAAGGUAGGUGCACAGUUCUAUCGUGCAGACCACUAUAGGUGGUUCUGACUCGUAGGUGACCUGCGAUUAUUCACACAGUCUUCAUGUGAUCGUAGCACUUAAGCGUAUUUAUUUACACUCAGUCAUGUCGUACAAACCGCUUUAGGUGGUUCCAACUUGUGUGCAGAGCUAUGGAUAAGUCGUACAGGUCACUAUAGGUGACUUCGAUUUAUGAGCUAGCAUAUGUGAUGAAAUAUGUAAUGAGCUAGCAUAUAUGAUGAGCUAGCAUAUGUGAUGAAAUAUGUGAUGAGCUAGCAUAUGUGAUGAAAUAUGUGACGAGCUAGCAUAUGUGAUAAAAUAUGGGUAAGUCGUACAGGUCACUAUAGGUGACUCCUGUUGGGUUUUUUUCUAGCCCAUGAUAAGUUGUCCUAAGUCUAUUAGGAAUUAAUAGUCUUAGAGGAUUAAAUUGUUUUCUCAAUUGGAGUUAGUUUCUCAAUUGGAGUAGGAUUCAUAACUAGAUUCCAAUUAGGAUUAAUAAUUCUUAUUGAAGAAGACCUUUAUUAUGUCUAUAUAAAGGGGCUAUUGUACUAGUUUUGAGGAGGGAGCAAAACAAUAAUUGUAUACCACUCUAGGGAUUAUAGUGAGAGAAUAUUGUAAAGUGUGUGCGAGAGAAAAGAAAAGAGAUAGUGUAUUACUUGUUCUUGUUCUUUCAGGUUUUUCGUCAAAUCCUAGUUCUAGAGAUUUGGCAAGAUUAUUGGUUGUACUCAUUAUUGAUAUAGUGAAAGAUUGUUGUUGCUGUCCCGUGGACGUAGGCACUGAAGGAUUAUUUUGUGAAAACAUGUUCAUUUAAGCAACAUCACAUAGCAUGCAAUUAACAAUUAAAGGCGGAAUCAUGCUUGCAUGCACUUAAAAACAAAACAUUAACCAAGAAAUUCAAAGCCUAGUAGAUUGGUGAACCAAGAUUCAACUCAAAUCAAAGUGAGUUGAGAAAUAUACCUUUGUAGAUUCCUCUUUGCAUAAGCAAAGGCUAAUCACCCAAAGAGAGGGCCUUCAUUCCUUGCAUCUUAAAUCUCUGGAUUUGGAUGGAUGAAAAGGUUUCUCCAAGUUCCCAAAAUUGAGAACCUCUAAGUAUCUUCACCAAGGUUAGAUUGGAGAAGAAAUGAGUGACCUUGGAGUAGUUAGUAUGGCUAGAUACACCCUCCAAGGGGCCGGCCUCUUUAGAGAGAAAAGGAGAGACAAGUUCUCACCAAUUUUCUCUAAAAGAAACCCUAAAUGAAUUUUGGCUAUAAAGUCAUAUUUAUACCUUUAUUCAUUUGAGUGGCAAACUUGUAAAUAAGUCCAAGUUCACUACCCUUAACAAUAUGGCCGGCCUUAGGGUGUAUUUGGGUUGUUUGGACCUUUGUGAAUAUUUAGUCAUUAAGUUGUCAUACAACUUAAGUCAAUGGGCUUAACGUUCGAAGCCCAUUGGGCCUUAAGGUCCAAAACUAUCCCGAGGUCUUUAACGAACUUAUUCGUUUGAUUAAUUAACAUAUUAAUUAAUCUUUGCCAUAAAUAAUUAAACCAUUUAAUUAUUUUUACUCAUCUCCAUUGUUUCUUCAAUCUCCACCUUACACGGUGUACGAUCCAUUAGGUUCCUUUUAGCGAGGCAGUGAGCGAUUCAAACUCUUUCAAAUCGAUUGUGAAUUGAAACUUACUUUCAAUUCUCCCUUUAGUGAUUAUACACGUUUAGGGCUUCCACAAACCAAGAGUGACACCUAGCAGCAUAUCAUGGUUACCCAAGCUAAUCAGAAGAGGUAGAGAACCUAUUCAGUUUAGGAUUACAAAUGCAAUACGGUCUUUCUCUAAUACAAUACUCUUGACCACAUUGUUUGGUUUGAUAGUUUAUUUAUUCAUGUCUACUAUCCAAUGUGAUUCGUGUGCUUAUAUGAUUACCUUGAAUGUGAUUUGGAACGCUUUCCUAAAUCUCAUUCAUACUCUGGCCAGAGGUUCUAAAUAUCAUAGAGUAUUCUCCCUCAAACAGUUUGAAUGUUAGAGAUCCCUUGUUGCGCAUUCACUUGCCUCCAUGACUAAGUGGCUUAACCCCAACGAUGCCAUGGACACCCCGAUGGGGUGACUUUGACAUAAUCAAAGAUCAAGGACUUAGCCACAAGACAACUGUGAUGCCUCAGGUCAAAGAACUACUUUGCAUUAUCCCAACCAUGAGUUCUCAUGUGACAUGAAUAUGAGAACUCUUCAUUGAUCGUGUUCAGUGAACUCAUUCUCUAUUGAGCACCUACGUACUUGUCUUGAUGUCACACACACCAAUAACUCGAGACUAGUCACUCUCCCUGAGAGAAGACACAGUGCGUACUGAUCUUAACGGACUAUCAAUGCCCAAUUGGCAAUCCUAUGAUCAGGAACGUUUAGGAUGUGUCUACGAAAGAAUGGUCUCAUGAAUCUAACUUCUUUAGAUCGUAUUCUCCCAAUCACAUAUUCCUUGGACUUUAUCGUUUAAGCAUAUAACAUUUAUAUGAGACGGCUUAAACAAUAAUCUUUGCCCUUAAUAUUAAACUAGAUUAGUUUAACAUAUGAAAUGUCCGUAAAGUAUCAUCAUAUGAUUGGCUUUAUGGCACAUUUCCAACAGGCACAUAUUGCCGAACCACGUAAAUUCUUGGUGUUAUUUAUAUUGGUUAUUUGUUUUCAAUUUCCAGAGUUUAUUCUAUUUUUCCCAUUCUUAAACGCGAUAUUCUCAACAACUCCGACUUAUGAGUUAACAUCAAUUAAUGAGAUAUGGGUACAAUCGUACAGGUCACCAUAGGUGACUCAGACUUGCAUGCUAGUAUGAGUUAUUAAUCACAUAAUUAUUGAUAUUGCUGAUGAGAUGCGGUGUUGUGGUAUAUUUAUGAUUUUUCUGGAAACUAUACAGGUGUUGUAGCGAGGGGUUAUAAUGUUUUAUAUGGUUUCUAUUAAAAUUUUAUCUCUAGGGCCACUCACCCUUGUUUUGUUUUCACCCUCCAGGUUUUAUUAGCUGAGCUUUCUUAUCAUCGAAGAUUCGUGGCGAUUCUUAGUAUUGGAGAUUCUUUCGAGGGUACGAUUCUUAAUCCACUCUACUAUACUUACUUAUGCUCUAAUGUCACGUGUGAAGUGGGUUCCUUCCCGAUCACUAGCGCACUCGGGUAUUUAGGCACUCUUAGGUUUAAAUUUAUUCACAUGUUUUCACAUCAUCACACUUUAUGGUUUCGUCACCUUCCAGGUGUAGGCCAGCGCAGCUCGAUUUGGAGUCCAAGUGGAUAUUCCGGGUCGGGGUGUGUUAAUGUAUCAAAAAAAGUAUUCAUUUAUUUAUUUAUUUUAUCUAAUAUAUAAAGCCAAUGGCCUAAUAAAUAGUGUUUUUGGGUGUCACAAGCUUCACCAAAAAAAAAAGGACAGAAAUGCCCCUCAAACAAAAAACUUCAAAAACAAUCCAAAUAAUGCAUCAAAUGUGGUAGGGGUAUUUUCGUCAUUUUAACAAUGUUUUUUAAUAAUUAAUUUUUUUGUACAUUUUUUUUUAAUAAUUAGUACCCCACAAUAAGCUAGCAAUAAUAUGAUUCAAUCAGUUGUUCAUUAAAUAUUAUUUUCUCUAUUUUUAAACACGUUCAAAACAUUUUAAGAGGCGUGUAAUGCCGAUUAUUAAAAAGGUCUUCCCCACGCGGAUAAUAAUGUGAUUAAAUUAGUUGUCAAAUGAUUGUUUUUUUUUAACAAACGAUAUUAUCUACACUAAGGUGGGGGAGUGGGUUUAGCCUCACAAUGAGUUAGUAAUAAUGUGAUUCAAUUAGUUGUUUAUUAAAUAUUAUUUUCUUUAUUCUUAAUGUAAAUUCAAUAGAUACCAAUUUUAUUAUGUGGAUUCAGCUGCUUUAAUUGGUUUAUGAGGGGUUUCUUCUAGCAUGAUCUAAGAUUAUUCAUUUACUUCAAAUAUAUUUGACUUUCCUUUUGUCAAUUUACGCAUAUAAAUACAUUUAAAACGUGUAAGUCGCGCAUAUGACGUCAUAAUUCAAAAAAUGUCUUCUGCACGAGCAUGCAUGAAGGAUAGUAUAUUAUAUGAGAAUGAGACCUAUAUAAAUAUUUUAUAAUAUAUUAUUUUACAAAUUUAGCCAACUUUUAAAUUAGCCCGUUAUAAACCGGCCAAGAAUAUUUAAUGGAUUUAUCGGGAAUUUUGAAUGACCGCCUCGUGCCCCAUGCACGGCCAGCAGCUCGAAUGAUCGCGGCUCUGCCUGAGUCCGACCGCGCUCCGGGCCAAGCGAACUGCCGUCGGAGCAGUGGAGUCGAAGCCUCACCGGUGCCGCCACAUCGCCACCACCGCGAAUAUUUUCGUGUACAGCACUCAGCCUACUAGCAUACACGCGCGCAAUUCGGGAUAGCUACGGCUUUGGUUAGUUCUUUGGCGCAUUUUAUCGAACUUUUUGUAGGCAAUUGAAGUUUUAUGUUAUUCUUGGUUCGUUUCGAAGUUGAAAGUGUUCGGCUUGAUUGAUUUGACUGUAUGAAAGUGAGAGCUCUGUGAUUAAGAUAUUAUUUUUGAAGGAAUAUGGUGUUUUAAUGGAGUUAAUUUGAUUGUUAAUUGUCUGCUUUUGUGUUUUUAGAUACAACGCAUAUGAACUGAAGAGAUUGGGUCAUAAUUAAUGUAGACAAGGUUGUGACUGUUUCUGUAUUUCCAACUUCGGAUAUGCAGUAAUAUGCAUAGUUGUUGCCUUCUUUCGGAUAUGCAGUAAUAUGCAUAGUCGUUGCCCACAGAUUACCGUGAUUACAAUAUUAGAAAUCUGCCAACAUGGUCAUCAAAAUAAAGACCUUACGAUUACGAGAGCAUGACUCUAUGGUGUUUCCAACAAGUCCAGUUGAUAAUGUUCUCACAUGAUUAACAACGUGCGCAUUCUAGAAUUUAUCGUCGGCCAACAUGGUCGGUCGAGUAUAAAUGUUUAGAAGAUCCUAAAUUAUAUGUGCCUAGAGCUAGAUAGACCCCUAUUCGGAAUGGACACAAGUACAAAUGUUUGAGGGCGUAGGGUGAGAGAAUGACUUACAUAAUUUAGGGACACUGUUACGUUUCAUGCCAAUAAUACAACAUCGAUAUGUGUAAGUUUUUCUCUACAAAACAAUGUAUCACUGCAAUAAAAUGUCACAAUAAUAAUAUACUUGUGUCAUGUAAAUUACUUUCGUGUAUCAUCAAGAGUACACUAAACGGUGACACUACCAAUUAUUAUUUUAAAGACACAGUAGAGUAGGAUUAGGACAAAAACUCAGUAAUUGCUUAGUGUUGUCGUUAAAUCUUGACCGUUCGAUCGAUCUAAGGGCUGUAAUCAAAAUCCGUGAGAUAGACGGACGCAUUCUAGAAUUUAUCGUCGGUCGAGUAUAAAUGUUUAGAAUACCCUAAAUUAUAUGUGCCUAGAGCUAGAUAGACCCUUAUUCGGAAUGGACACAAGUACAAAUGUUUGAGGGCGUAGGGUGAGAGAUUGACUUACAUAAUUUAGGGACACUAUUAAGUUUCAUGCCAAUAAUACAACAUCGAUAUGUGUAAGUUUUUCUCUACAAAACAAUGUAUCACUGCAAUAAAACGUCACAAUAAUAAUAUACUUGUAUCAUGUAAAUUACUUUCGUGUAUCAUCAAGAGUACACUAAACGGUGACACUACCAAUUAUUAUUUUAAAGACACAGUAGAGUAGGAUUAGGACAAAAACUCAGUAAUUGCUUAGUGUUGUCGUUAAAUCUUGACCGUUCGAUCGAUCUAAGGGCUGUAAUCAAAAUCCAUGAGAUAGACGGACGCAAUCUCCUACCAGGACUAUGAGUACUUGGCUUCGACAUCCUAUAUAUACAACGAGACACGCCAUUUACAUGCAUACAUACAUCAUCGACGUUCAAGUUUCAAACCCUAACGUUGGCUCUUUCCGUCUUUUCUCGUCGCCUGUUUUUGUUCCUUCCAGAAAGUGGAAUCUGAAGAAUCCGACGGUAACGAUGUCGAUGAUAGAUAACGUGUUAAGGAUGAUAGAUAACUUCGAGGACUGGUUUAUAACCAAACGCCAAGAGCUUCAGAAAUCUGCGAGAGUCGCUAUGGAAGCUUUGCUCUGGGAACCCAGAAGUUUCCGGAACGUUUUGAAUUUGGCAAUCAAAUUGACCAAGGCAAUCGUAUUGGUGCCCCUUUGUGUGCUGGCCUUGUAUACUGUGCUCCUGAUUAGGGUGGGAAUCGCUUGUUUGAUCUGCGUCCCAAUACUUUUCAUUAUUUUCAUCGUCCUUGUCGGUGUCCGUAAGUUACUGACCAUAGACUUCGACUUGCAAAUUAUGUAACCAAGAUUUCUAGUUGUUUGUUCGUUGCUCACCAACUGUCUGUUUAAAUGACUGAAUGAGUUUUUUUGUUUCGUUUCUUUUCUUGCAGGUUACGGUCGGGCACACUAUCUGUUCUUCACAAGACGAAACCGCGCGGGGAUGUCGUAUGCCGACUUCAUUGACAAGUUCGGCGCGUGGUUGACAAACAAUCCUAUUCCACCUUUCGAAUCAUUUGGUGAAUCCGGUCGACAUUGGGCACAGUACAUGUGGGGCUUCAAAUUGGAAGAAGAUUGAGGAAGAUUUCAGAGUUACUAUGGAAUGUAUGUAGAGAUUAUUAGAUUGGAUGACCAUAAAAUUAAAAUUGCUGCUUCUGUUUAUUUUUCUCUCUCUAUUAAUUUAAUUUUUCUUUCUAAAUAACUACGCCAUUUAUCGGAGGACGUAUUGAACGACGUAGCAUCCGUAAGAACGACUUGUGACAUUACGAUACAAAAAAAAAAAAGAAAAAAAAAAGCAGUUUGUGACAAAAUAGCUAGGAUUAUGGUUAAAGUAUAGCAUCUAUAUCUAUAUGUUAUUCUUCAUCACUUGGAAGCAACUAUUUUCAAUUAAUUACAGGAGCACGACAGUGACUGAAACUUUAACAUAGAUAAUCGAACUAUUAGAGUCUAAGAAAAUUUAUUUGGCAAGGAAUUCGGAUUGUGUGGGUUAAAAGAGAGGCCAUACCCUCACUUUUUGUUAGAAACAGACUCUAUGUAUGUUGUUCAUCUCCUAUCAACUCGUUCUGUGAAAGUCCCCUUGUUUCUCAAAGUUGUUUAGGGCAAAUUGCUUAUGAUAUAGUGCUCGCUUAAGAUUGCAUUUUUUGCAUAAAUGUAAGGAGUGGAAUUGUUUGGCCAAUGGUUUUGCUAAUUAUGGUUAGUCAAUUUGGCUAAACUGUCUUAGGAAACGAUUUUCACUCUUUUUCAUUCUUUUGCGCUUUUUUAUUUAUUUUUCAAGCGGUUGAUUGAAUAAAGAUUCCAAUAAAGCGUCGAUGUUAUUCUUAGGCUAAUUAGAUGUCUUCAGUUCAUUUUUGGUAGUUGUAUGACGUAGGUUGAUUGUUGGAAUCUAAAUUCUCUACGUUACGUUAAUAGGUCAUUGUAUGAAUUGACGAUCCGACCGUUGGAUCGUCACCAAACUUUAGUAGUUUAUAAUACGUAAUAUUUGAGGACCACAGGAACUUACGGAUUGGGAAUCCAAUAUAUGGACCUUUCCGAAAUUGGAUUUGUAAGUUCAUAAAAUAAAAGGUUAACCGCCGUUUGGUUUUGACAAUUUGCGGAGAUCCGACCGUUGGAUCGUAAUGGGACUGUAGGAUGUUGUUCUAGAAGUAUAAUGUGGAUCUUUGGAAGCAACGGAUUGGAAAUCCAUGAUGCAGAUCUUCCGAAUUGAAUUACGUAGGGAUGUGUUUUAUGUAAAUUGUGUAUUUUAUCGUUACGAACUCUAAGAUGUGAUUUGAUAAUUGGUCAUAGGCGACGAUGGUUCGUGAUGUCUCGAUAUGCGUGCUAGAGAGUCGUGGCGCGGACCUCAGUUAAGUGGGCCUUUUUCUUUUUAUCGUACAUUAUAUAUAUAUAUAUAUGAUUAACAAUUCCACAACGUUUAUAAAAUUGCUUAUUGCGUAUAAUUAUUGUGAAUGCUUUGAAGUACUAAUGUGAACUACGAAUGGCUUGAUCCCUGUUUAGGGUACGUAGGCAGUCUAACGAGACGUUAGAUGCAGCCAUACAAUAUUUGAAACAGAAAUCUUGUUUGGGAAUUGAGCAAUGUGAACGAAAUUGGUGAAAAUAUGAGAUUUAACCUUAUAUUUUUAGUAAUUGGAUGUUGGUCAUAAAUCAAUGUGGAAGGAAUCAAGAAAUUGAAAUAAGGAAACAUAAGUAAUGAUAGUUAAUUAAACUAGUGUUUAGUUGGAUUUAUCCCCGAUAAUUAUUUCCCGAAAAUAAAUAAUUCGGGAGUAGGGGGCAUUAUAGAUUGUGCAAUUUACACCACAUUAUAUAUAUAUAUAUAUAUGUAUAUAUUGGAAAAAUAUUAUGAUAUGGUUGAGUUUUAGAUUUGCAUUAUGGCAUAUCCAUGUAUAUAACACCUGCACAUAAUUAUUGUCAACGCUUGAAGUGCAAAGGUGAAUGCAGGACACCCAGGUAAGUUCAGGUAAGUUUAUGGUAUUAGUUGAAAUGAUGGAGUUAUGGCAUGACUACAUGCAUGUUUUAAGCAACUCUGACACUGUCGUACGAGUUGCCCAUGAGUUGUACAUGUUAUGUUGAGAUACAUUGAGAGCUCAUAAACUUGCACCCAGGUGUUAGUGCUCCUGCCCGUGGCCAGGGCACAGUCUUUCACGUAAUGUUCACCUCCCACACCUUACGCUCACCUUAGAUCCAAGGUAGGUGCACAGUUCUAUCGUGCAGACCACUAUAGGUGGUUCUGACUCGUAGGUGACCCGUGAUUAUUCACACAGUCUUCAUGUGAUCGUAGCACUUGAGGGUAUUUAUUUACACUCAGUCAUGUCGUACAAACCGCUUUAGGUGGUUCCAACUUGUGUGCAGAGCUAUGGAUAAGUCGUACAGGUCACUAUAGGUGACUUCGAUUUAUGAGCUAGCAUAUGUGAUGAAAUAUGUAAUGAGCUAGCAUAUGUGAUGAAAUAUGUGAUGAGCUAGCAUAUGUGAUGAAAUAUGUGACGAGCUAGCAUAUGUGAUAAAAUAUGGGUAAGUCGUACAGGUCACUAUAGGUGACUCCUGUUGGGUUUUUUUUCUAACUCAUGAUAAGUUGUCCUAAGUCUAUUAGGAAUUAAUAGUCUUAGAGGAUUAAAUUGUUUUCCCAAUUGAGUUAGUUUCUCAAUUGGAGUAGGAUUCAUAACUAGAUUCCAAUUAGGAUUAAUAAUCCUUAUUGAAGAAGACCUUUAUUAUGUCUAUAUAAAGGGGCUAUUGUACUAAUUUUGAGGAGGGAGCAAAACAAUAAUUGUAUACCACUCUAGGGAUUAGAGUGGGAGAAUAUUGUAAAGUGUGUGCGAGAGAAAAGAAAAGAGAUAGUGUAUUUCUUGUUCUUGUUAUUUCAUGUUUUUCGUCAAAUCCUAGUUCUAGAGAUUUGGUAAGAUUAUUGGUUGUACUCAUUAUUGAUAUAGUGAAAGAUUGUUGUUACUGUCCCUUGGACGUAGACACAUAUUGCCAAACCACAUAAAUUAUUGGUGUUAUUUAUCUUGGUUAUUUGUUUUCGAUUUUCGGAGUUUGUUCUUGUUUUUCCCAUUCUUAAACGCGAUAUUCUCAACAAGUGGUAUCAGAGCCUAGUUUGGUUGAUAUCCGUUUAGAAUGGAGGGUGCAACCCGCUUUAAUUGGGUUACAAGGAAAUCAAGAGGAGGAUAUGCUUUACUAAAGGUGUUAUGAGCAAGCCAGCAGUGUGUCUGAUGCUGAUUGGACCAAGAUGAACAUAAGCGAUAUUUUCUGGUAAAGAAGUCUAUAAUUGCCUUUGCCAAUGACAAUGGUAAUUUUGAUCAGGGGGAGCCUGGUCAAGAGAAAUCUAAUCAAAAGGGUCUUGGUUAAUGAGUAGUUCGAUCAAGGGGAGCUUGGUUAUGGGUAAUUCGAUCAGGGGGAGUCUAGUCAUGAAAAGUUCGAUCAAUGAGAGUUUGGUCAAGAGGAGCAAUCCUAUUUUAGUAUACCUUCCUCAUGGUCUGGAGGGGGAGAUUGUUGGGUUUUUUCCAGCCCAUGAUAAGUUGUCCUAAGUCUAUUGGGAAUUAAUAGUCUUAAAGGAUUAAAUUGUUUUCCCAAUUGAAGUUAGUUUCUCAAUUGGAGUAGGAUUCAUAACUAGAUUCCAAUUAGGAUUAAUAAUUCUUAUUGAAGAAGACCUUUAUUAUGUCUAUAUAAAAGGGCUAUUGUACUAGUUUUGAGGAGGGAGCAAAACAAUAAUUGGAUACCACUCUAGGGAUUAUAGUGAGAGAAUAUUGUAAAGUGUGUGCGAGAGAAAAGAAAAGAGAUAGUGUAUUUCUUGUUCUUUCAGGUUUUUCGUCAAAUCCUAGUUCUAGAGAUUUGGCAAGAUUAUUGGUUGUACUCAUUAUUGAUAUAGUGAAAGAUUGUUGUUGCUGUCCCGUGGACGUAGGCACAUAUAGCCGAACCACGUAAAUUCUUGGUGUUAUUUAUAUUGGUUAUUUGUUUUCAAUUUCCGGAGUUUAUUCUAUUUUUCCCAUUCUUAAACGCGAUAUUCUCAACAACUCCGACUUAUGAGUUAACAUCAAUUGAUGAGAUAUGGGUACAAUCAUACAUGUCACCAUAGGUGACUCAGACUUGCAUGCUAGUAUGAGUUAUUAAUCACAUGAUUAUUGAUAUUGCUGAUGAGAUGCGGUGUUGUGGUAUAUUUAUGAUUUUUCUGGAAACUAUACAGGUGUUGUAGCGAGGGGUUAUAAUGUUUUAUAUGGUUUCUAUUAAAAUUUUAUCUCUAGGGCCACUCACCCUUGUUUUGUUUUCACCCUCCAGGUUUUAUUAGCUGAGAUUUCUUAUCAUCGAAGAUUCGUGGCGAUUCUUAGUAUUGGAGAUUCUUUCGAGGGUACGAUUCUUAAUCCACUCUACUGUACUUACUUAUACUCUAAUGUCACGUGUGAAGUGGGUUCCUUCCCGCUCACUAGCGCACUCGGGUAUUUAGGCACUCUUAGGUUUAAAUUUAUUCACAUGUUUUCACAUCAUCACACUUUAUGGUUACGUCACCUUCCAGGUGUAGGCCAGCGCAGCUCGAUUUGGAGUCCAAAUUCAUAUUCCGGGUCGGGGUGUGUUAAUGUAUCAAAAAAACUAUUCAUUUAUUUAUUUUAUCUAAUAUAUAAAGCCAAUGGCCUAAUAAAUAGUGUUUUUGGGUGUCACAAGCUUCACCAAAAAAAAAAAGGACAGAAAUUCCCCUCAAACAAAAAACUUCAAAAACAAUCCAAAUAAUGCAUUAUAUGUGGUAGGGGUAUUUUUGUCAUUUUAACAAUGUUUUUUAAUAAUUAAUUUUUUUAAUAAUUAGUACCUCACAAUAAGCUAGCAAUAAUGUGAUUCAAUCAGUUGUUCAUUAAAUAUUAUUUUCUCUAUUUUUAAACACGUUCAAAACAUUUUAAGAGUCGUGCGAUGCCGGUUAUAAAAAAGGUCUUCCCCACGCGGAUAAUAAUGUGAUUAAAUUAGUUGUCAAAUUAUUGUUUUUUUUAACAAACGAUAUUAUCUACACUAAGGUGAGGGGGUGGGUUUAGCCUCACAAUGAGUUAGUAAUAAUGUUAUUCAAUUAGUUGUUUAUUAAAUAUUAUUUUCUUUAUUCUUAAUGUAAAUUCAAUAGAUACCAAUUUUAUUAUGUGGAUUCAGCUGCUUUAAUUGGUUUAUGAGGGGUUUCUUCUAGCAUGAUCUAAGAUUAUUCAUUUACUUCAAAUAUAUUUGACUUUCCUUUUGUCAAUUUACGCAUAUAAAUACAUUUAAAACGUGUAAGUCGCGUAGGACGUCAUAAUUCAAAAAAUGUCUUCUGCACGAGCGUGAGUGCGUGCAUGAUGGAUAGUACAUUAUAUGAGAAUGAGACCUAUAUAAAUAUUUUACAAUAUAUUAUUUUACAAAUUUAGCCAACUUUUAAAUUAGCCCGUUAUAAACCGGCCAAGAAUAUUUAAUGGAUUUAUCGGGAAUUUUGAAUGACCGCCUCGUGCCCCAUGCACGGCCAGCAGGUUGAAUGAUCGCGGCUCUGCCUGAGUCAGACCGCGCUCCGGGCCAAGCGAACUGCCGUCGGAGCAGUGGAGUCGAAGCCUCACCGGUGCCGCCACAUCGCCACCACCGCGAAUAUUUUCGUGUACAACACUCAGCCUACUAGCAUACACGCGCGCAAUUCGGGAUAGCUACGGCUUUGGUUAGUUCUUUGGCGCAUUUUAUCGAACUUUUUGUAGGCAAUUGAAGGUUUAUGUUAUUCUUGGUUCGUUUCGAAGUUGAAAGUGUUCGGCUUGAUUGAUUUGACUUUAUGAAAGUGAGAGCUCUGUAAUUAAGAUAUUAUUUUUGAAGGAAUAUGGUGUUUUAAUGGAGUUAAUUUGGUUGUUAAUUGUCUGGUUUUGUGUUUUUAGAUACAACGCAUAUGAACUGAAGAGAUUGGGUCAUAAUUAAUGUAGACAAGGUUGUGACUGUUUCUGUAUUUCCAACUUCGGAUAUGCAGUAAUAUGCAUAGUUGUUGCCUUCUUUCGGAUAUGCAGUAAUAUGCAUAGUCGUUGCCCACAGAUUACCGUGAUUACAAUAUUAGAAAUCUGCACGUUGCCCGCGGAUUACCAUGAUUACUUUAUUAGGCACGAUGCCUUAUUUGGCCACUGUGGAAGAGGCAGUUGCCUACUCUGCACGGUGCUACUAAAUGUAUUGGAUUGACCGUUAAAAACGUGAGUUUUUAGUUUCAUUUUUGAAGAUCUUAGUACCUAUCUUUGCAGUCAUGUAUAUAAAUUGGUUUACACUUUACAAUACUGAAUUUUAAUUCAGCUCGAACAUUUUAUGGAACUCUAGUUGGUUUUGGUGUUACCAAUCAUCUAAGUUCAGACGAGGCUUUGUAUGGCUAUAAUUUUUAUGCCGGAACAAGUGGAGCUUGUUCAUUGUGAUUAUAAGGCAUGUGAAGGAUGAGAAACAUUUCUUUCAUAUGAAGAUACUCGCCACGUAUUCGUUUAUAUAUGUGUGAGAGAGCGCUUCUUCACACGAAAUCAUCAUUCUAUUCUUCUUAUGUGCAAAUGUGUUGCGCUGAUAAAAGAUGAAUACUUGGGGAGAUGAUGAUUGUAACAUUGAGUAGAAUAUCUAAUUUUCGCUUCAGCAUAUAGAUGAACUUAGGAUCUCACUGUUCCAGAACUUGCUGUUUCUCUGAUUUGCAUAUUGAUUUGUGACAGAAUCUUAUGGCUUGCGUUUUCUCUCGUGAGCAGGUUGUGUAUACUGAUACUUAAGAGGAUUUUGUUUUUAUUCUAUCAUUAAACAGGAUAUUCUCGUUGGGUUGCUGCAAUUUAGGACAUACAUCCAAAACCAGACCAAGUGGAGAUUGUGCGGCAAAUGAAGGAUGGGAAACAUUUCUUUCAUAUGAAGAAACUCGCCAGGUAUUCCUUCCAUAUAUUUGAUAGAGUGCUUCUUCACACGAAAUGAUCAUUCUGUUCUUGUCAUGCGAAAUAUGCGUGUCUCGGAUUUGCUUAGUAAUUAAUUUGUGCACAAGUUCUUAUGGCUUGAGUUUUUCCAGGUGAGCAGGUUGUGUAACAUGAUUUUGUUAUUAUUCUUUUCGUAAACAGGAUUUUCUCGUUGGGUUGCUACGAUUAAGAAAGUGAGGCCAGAAUACUACUUGUCCCAGAUGAAUGAUUAGUGCUCUGGUGAUCGUGAGCUCCAUGUUUAUGGGACUGCUGUUCCAGCGCAUGGGUGAAUUCUGACAAGCUGCAACACCAGGUAAUGUAGCUUGUACAUCAACUGUUUUAUGUUACCGUUAGUGUUGAGAUUAAUUUAUUGGGUAAUAAUGUACUCUGAUUGAUUCAAACAGGAUUAUGGUACCCUGGAGGAGGCCGAGCGGAUUGCUAGCGGGGAGCAUCGAUAGAAAAAGAUUGCCUGAGCUUGAAGGGAAACAAUCCAAAAAAAGUACAACAAAUGACUGAGACUUUAUUGUUAGCACAUUGAAUUGGACGACGUUCAAAGAAGACAAAUUUUCAACAGCAAACUUGAACCAGAAGAACCUCUUAACGAAUCUAUGUAGCUAUUUUUCUUAUUACUUUUUAAUUCUCUGUUCUUGAUGUUGAUUUCCAUCUUGCUCUUCCGGUUCAGACUGUGAACAACAAAACUGAAUCAAAAGAACCACUUGAGGAAAUCUACCAAGCUAUUUUUCUUGUAUUACAUUUUGAUUCUUCAAUCUUGAUGCUGAUCUUGUUCUUCCUCUUCAGACUGUAAUCCUCGAAAGCUACAAUUAUUGGCUACCAAUUGAAAAGUUUCAGUUAGAAACUCUUUCGUUGCAUACGAAUAAGCUCUGACAACUUUGCUGACAAAAAUUGUCAUCUGUCUCAUGAAAUUAACCCCCUCAAACAAGUAUGGACACAAGAAAUUUGCAGCCUCGCCUAUGAAGAUAAUGCACUGGACCCCCUUCGAAAAAUAGCCAACUAAGUCAAUGAAAGCUUUCAGGUCUUGGGCUGCUUUUGCUUCCAAAAACGAGCUUCGCAGAUUUGAUUACAUAUCGAAUUACUUUCUUGAUGUCACCCACCAAAUUCUUGAACAAGUCCGCAGUUUUCCACCGCUCAGAGGACCAAUAUUUUUCCGGUGAUGGGUUUUCCGGCCAUACACUUUGUAACGGUUGCAAACUCUGCGCUCAAUAGUGUAUCGACUUCUGAUCGGGUUGCCCCACGUUGAUCAUUGUCGAAAACCUUGAUGAGUUCUUGAAAACAUUGCAGGUCUGACCUCUCUUCAUCCCCUCGAAGCUUUCCAGCAACUGAUUGUUUAACAAACUCGAACUCAAACUCAAACUCAGACAUCAGUAGAAUAUCAACUUCUGACUUCAUGGAUGGAUUCUGCUUUUGUUCCAUUAAUCUCGAACGCCAUCUUGGUCAGUUCUUGUUCGUCUACUCGGUCUCCUGACAUUGUUGUUCUUUCUUUCGACGAAUGAUCUUUCUGGCGAAAGAAUCAGCGUGAGUGUGACGGAGAGAGGGUCUCUGUAAAAAGAAACCGAGAGAGAGAGAGAGAGAGAGAGGGGGGGAGAAACGAUUUUUGAUUUUGGUACGGUGCGUAGGUGUGAAUUUUGCGAAGAAGUUCAAUAUAUACUAAAACUGUUUAUCAACUGAAACUGUUUAUAAACACAGUAUAGUUCCGAUUUUACCCUUGCUUGGUUUGUGUUAUGAAUUCUGAUAUUUUGAGUAUAAUUUUGGUUUUUGGAAUUUCGAAUUUGUACCCUGACCUUGCUCUAAUUAAUUUUAAUUUCGUCAGUUGUUGUUGGGUUUGAGUAAAUUUCGAACCUUUUGUUUUCGUUCUUAAAAUUUUUGAGUUCUAUCUAUUAAAUAUUUGUUAAAAGACCCGAAUUUUCUAUUUGAACAAUUUGUAAAGCCUAUGAAAACUAAACAAAAAGUCAUAUGAUCUGUGAUUUCUUCAUUCCUAUAGGUGUAGAAGCUCUGUUCUCCCGUUUUUUGGCCAAUUUCAAAGGCUCUGAAUUGCUUAAUUUUCUUUAAAAAUAUUUUCAAUUUCAAAUAUAUUUUUUAUUUUUUUUUCGGUUUUCUGAUUUCUGGUUGUGUUUUAGGGCAUAAUAGUGGGAGUUUGAAUAAUGGAGCUGCAGCCAUGCAAUGGAGUAUAGCAGGAGGCAGAGGACCUUUCACUCCAUCUCAAUGGAUGGAGCUAGAACACUAGGUCUUGAUCUACAAAUACAUCCCAAUGUGCCUAUUUCGUCCACACUUCAUCCCAAUCAAGAAGGCCCUUAAUUCUGCAGGAUUUUUUUAUAUUUUCGAACGGAAUUCUCAGGCGCGCAAUUCAUAUAAUUUCUUCAUUUUACUAAAAAAAAAAAAGAUUUCCGCACACUUCACUUUUUUUUUCUUAUGCACGUGUUUGCUUAUUUUGUUGUUUGAUUUUUGCUUGAUUUUAUUUAAUUCAAAAGCUAGAAAUAAAUCUAAAUUUUUCAUGCCUUCAUUCUAAGUAUUUUUUCGAUUUUCGUGGGGUUGUGUAUGUGCAAUGAGAUGGGGUUCUAUCCAUUUGGGAUUCUCCAAUCACUGUGAAUUACAAGGAUUUCAUAGAUAAUGUACAGAUUAGGGAUACACUUGAGCCUAGAUAAGCAUGAAAAGCAUACGGUUUUGCUUCACCCAUCUAAUCAUAGAAUUGGGUACCAUCAAUUCAAAGGUUGUAGAACCAGUUUCUACAAUGAAACCGUAGUUGGCUGCGUGUGUUUGUGUUCAUUGGGAAUUUGGGAGAGAUUUGUUAUUGAGAGGGUAAGCCAGGCAAAAACAGAUUGAUAGUGUUGAGGAAUUGGGUAACAGUUUAAUUAUGUGUACAAUGAAGAAUCACAUAUGUUAUUAUUAAAAUGGGUCUGCACAAAUUUUGCAUAAUAUGAAGUCACCGUAAAUAAAUGGUUUUGCCAAAAUUAUUUCUUAUUUUGUUCCUUUUUUGUAAAUAGGGUUGUAAGAUUUCCACAUGUAUGUAAAUAGUAUUGCCUAUCAUAUAUACAUUUAUAACUUUCUAUAUAUGUUUUAUACGGUUUUAAAAACCCGCAGCAUCGCGUAGGGACACUUUCGCUAGUAAGGCUUAAAUGUCAAAAUGGUCCCUGUGUGAUAGGAUCAGACAUGAUAAAAAGGAAAAUUGCAAGAAAGUAAAUGCAGAAAUGGAAAAUAAAUUAAAGUAAAUUCAUAUCUUCAUUCAUAGUACUCAUUACACUAGAAAAAAGAGUUUAAAUACAUCCAAAGAUAAGUAGGGUUCGAGCUAUAGACGGGCCUAAUGGUAUUACAUAUGUAAUGGGUCUAAUGGUAUUACAUAUGUAAUGGGCCUAAUGGUAUUACAUAUCUAAUGGGCCUAAUGGAUAGUAAUAACAUUAGGUGGUCCAACUAGUCAUAACCGAAGCCUAAUAGCUUAGAGUUGCAUCAUUGUGUUAUAAUUAUAUGGCCAAUUUAAUAUUUGGCUAAUUUAGUCCCCGUGUCUAUCUAUGUUAGCCAAUUAAGGACAUUUCAUUCAAUCUCUUUUAAAAAAUUCAUAAGAAAAAUUAUAUGAGAUAUAAUUACCCUAACCUUUUACAUAAAAAUAACACAUAUAAGAAAUAAAACUUCCAAUCUGAAAAAUGUUUAAGGUUGCGACGUAGAAAAGAGAGGAGGUAAUGUUAGGGAGGAGGUCGGGAAGUUGGAAGGAGAAUAACUUCUUUUUUCUUUUUUUUUUUAAUUUUAUUUCAUUUUUAAAUAUUUUAAAUCAAAUAAAUAAUUUCAUAAAUAAGUUUAUAAUAAUUUAUAAUAAAAAUGGAGUUUUAACGAAAAGCUCCCAGAACUGUUCACUUUAACGAAAAACCACAUUUUUACUCUAAAAAUUCAAUUUUGGUACUAUUCACUUACAACAUUUUUUUGUCGUUUUCGUUAAAACUCAAAGUUUUCAAGCUCUUUUUAUUAAUUUUCCUUAAUAAAAAAUUACAAAAAUUAGAUGAAAAUGUUCUUAAUUGGCUAACGGAGGUAAACACAAGGACCAAAUUGGCCAAAUUGAAAAUACAGAGACUAAAUUGAUCUAAUGACUAAAACACAUGGACUAUUUUAACAUUUAAGCCAAGAAAUAAUAUAUUUUAACAUUUACGCAUAUAGAUGAGUUUCCCAGGACAAGAAAAUCUCUACCCAGCAAGUCAACACCCUGCCUUCUCUUCUCAAAACCUUGCCUGGCAGGCAGCAUAAAUGCUGCUGCAUACACCGGAAACUUAUUAUGGGGCCAUUCUAUUUGGGCUUCUUGUUUAUUUUCUGAUCUUAGGCUCCACUCGCUUGUCUUUACUCUCUUAAUCUACCCAGAUUUUGAAGUUCCCUCCCAUAAUGAUCGGUCCAAUUCAAUAAAGAUCUUGAUUUUGAAAUCUCUUUCCAGGGACCAGCUCCAGCAGGACCUAAGGCCAUCUCCAACCGAGGGCUGGCCAGAGGGCUCGUUUUAGCCCUCUGGCCCUCCAAGAUUCCCCAAGAUAUUAAUAUUUUAAUGAACAGUACAGGGCCAUAUUUGCCUCCGUCUCCAACCGAGGGCCAAAAGGCUCGUUUUAGCCCUGUCACGAAAAGCCGUCUCAAACCGAGGGUCAAAGGGCCAUAGGGCCAAACAUAAUUUAUUAUUUAAAAACUACAAUUUAAUGUUGUAUAAAUAGCUUAGGAAGUUAUACGAAAAAAAUAGAAUUGAAAAAAAAUAUGAAACAAAUUUUGUGAAAUAGAAGUUAUAGGAAAACAAAUAUGAAACAAAAUUUGAUUCAUAUGAAAAGGAAAAAAAAGGGAAAAAUAGAAGUUUAAAUUCAUUAAAAAAAAAAAAAAGGCCUAAUAAUCCAACGGCUACUAGCCGUUAUAUUAAAAAACAUUUCAAACUAUUAGUGUCGGUUAUAACCGACACUAAUAGUAGAAUUAUUAAAAAAAAAUAUCUUUAAUGUUGUCGGUUAUAAUCGACAGCAAUAGGAAAUCAUUAAAAAAAAAAUAGCCAGCCCGGGGCUGGCUGGCCGGCCGAAAGCAACCAGCCCUCCAGCCCUCUCCGAUCCCGUGGGGCCCUCCCAGAUUCCAGAUCCCUCUGGCCUAGCCCUCGGUUGGAGACGGUUUUAGGACUAUUUUCAGCCAUCUGGUCCUCUGGACCCUUCGGUUGGAGAUGGCCUAAGUCGCUAGGCAGGAACCAAGCUUUGGUCUCUGACGUGGUUGAUACGAGCGGCUUAGCCUGUGUAGGCCUUAUAAUUUUGGAAUGAGCAAGCUCCUGAGCAGCCUCAGUCAUGACAUCAAGUAUCAAUAUGCAUUGACUGAUAUCCAUUUUAGGUGAAUAAAGUAGUUUGUUUAAUGUCUCAACAGAUUCCAAUGGGCAUGUGACAAGCAAAUCAACCAAUGCUUUUUGUCUCGUCUUCAGCUGAUCUUCCUCACCUUCUACAGCCAAGCCAGAACAACGAAGCUGGACAAGUGUUCUCACAAAAUCACUGGCUACGUGCUUGAGCUCAUCAGGUGAUGCUCGGACAAGUUUUUCAGCAACACCAAGAGCAUUCUCCACCUGCAAUAUGAAAAUAAAAUUAAUGAUCCAGGAGCCAAGGAUAAUAUUCAUCCCGCUUGUGUAAUUUACUACCAAUGUUCUAAAAAUCGGCCUAGACGACGCUAGACGGUGAAGGCCCGCUGCGGGGCAAAUCAUUUCGAAAAGUCAGUCUAGAGCUAGGCAGUCCUAAACGACUCCUAGGUGGCAGGCUAGGCGGUCCUAAGAGGUCUUUUUAUUUUUAUUUUUUAUAAUUAAUUGCGUGCUUUCUUUUUUUGGUUUCAUGGCGGUAUAUUUAUAGAAAUGGUGUACCUAAUUUGCAAAUGAUGGAUUUACUACAAGUUCAUUCACUAGUAAAACGAAUUGGAGCACCUUUGAGGAGAUACAUACAAAGAAAAGAAAUAAAUUAGAUACAACAAGGUUAAAUAAUUUAGUCUAUUUCCAAUCCAAUGCAAGGAUCAUGAACAAGAAGAAUUUAGUCUAUCAUCCAAGAAUACUCCUUAUUAUGAUUAUAUGCUUACUGUUUUUUAAAUAUUGAACUUUUUGGAUGUAUAUACUUUGUGUAUUCUUCUACUUCUAUUUUUGCAUUUUAUCAUUCUUUUAUUAUCCAUACAAGUAUAGUUUUUUUUUUUAAGUGUAAUUAAGCACUUAUUUACAAGUUAUAUAAUAAAUUUAUAUAAAUCCGCCUAGGCCGCCUGGGCGCCCACCUAGACCCCGCCUAGCCGCCUAAUCACUAGGCCCCGCCUAGCCGCCUAGGCACUAGGCCCCUACUCUCCUCCCGACUAGCGCCUAACAUUUUUUAGAACUUAUGAUUAUUGUAAGAACAUUUGACAAAAUUUUAAACCAAUGAACAUGGUUUACUUACCCUAUCAGCAUCAUCAGAAUUCCGAAGUGCAGCAACUACGUCGACCAAUUGUGAAAUUACACAAGCGGGAUGAAUAUUAUCCUUGGCUGCUGAAAAUUACACAAAUCAUAUGGCUGUAAAGAUGACUCACUUGAAACAUCAGACUCAUUUCAUUAGCAUCGUCAUUUUCAUCGUCGUCCGAGACCGACUCGUAGUUUAGUGCAAGUGGAUCAACCAACUUAGAUUCAUAUGAUUUCCAAUUUCUACUCGUACCAUCACUAGAUUUAUGGGGUUAAGCCCUUUUUCAGCACUGAGGUAGAUGUUUCAGGAUUGUCGAUACCCUGUUGUAUGCAAUUUGACAUGUCAUCAAAAUAAAGACCUUACGAGAGCAUGACUCUAUGGUGUUUCCAACAAGUCCAGUUGAUAAUGUUCUCACUAGAUUAAUAACGUGCGCAUUCUAGAAUUUAUCGUCGGCCAACAUGGUCGGUCGAGUAUAAAUGUUUAGAAGACCCUAAAUUAUAUGUGCCUAGAGCUAGAUAGACCCCUAAUUUAUAACCUUUUGAUCUUGCUUCAUCUGCAGCUAAACCAAAAUCUGGACAGUCCCCAAUAUAAUUCUGUCAAAAACCAGAUAGCAACACCAUGUAAAAGCCAUAUUGGGUGUCUACACCCACACUUAUCAAUUUACACAAAUUUGAAAUUUGAAUCACUUGGACUUCAAAAAUAUUUGCACAGAAAUUCAAAAGAAGAUGAACAGUACUGGGCAAUUGAGACUCACCUAUAACUGCUACCGAGCUAUGCUGCACGGAAUAGUGAUGCACCGUGAAGAGAACUCGGCGCUGUUGACAAAGUCCCAGAAUAACCUUGAAAUUUAUAGGGGUCAAAUUUUAUAGCCGAAGGAGCAAUCAUUUACUGAAUUAUAAAGAAAAACCCUAAAUAAACAAUCAAUCAAACAGAACCAAAUCAUAUUUACCAGCUUCAAAAUUUUGAAAAUUUUCGUACUAAACCCAAUUAUAAAGGGAAUGAGUGUACUGUGUACCUAAUGAAGUAUUACACCACUGUUGAUGGCAGACUGGGUAGUGCAUGCAGCAUCAGUAUGCACUCCAUAAUUGUCUCUCUGUUUUUUCUAUAUGACAAAUGAUUUGGGAAUUAAUAGGGGUGCAAAAUGGAUAGAACCAAGAAUUGAAAUCAAGAGAAAACACACAUCCAAUUUGAUAACAGUCAAACUGCUAGUGUGGUGCAAAAUGAGCAAUUUUAAACUCGUAAAAUAAUUUGUACCCCUCUUCCCCCAUUUUCUGUGCAAUUCACCACCUAAACAAUGCAAUAAAAAACCAAAUGGAGGGAUUUUACACAUACAUAUAUCAUUCUGUCUCUCAAAUUUACACCAAUGAUGCAUGCAUGAACCUCAAUUAAUCCCGUAUUGCGAGUGAAAUUUCCAUUUUUAACCACUAAAUCAGAACAACCACUGCCGGGGAAGCAAACAUGAGCUACUUUCAUAAAAAAUUUAAAUUAAAGACAUAAACUUCACACAGCUAGAACCUGACAACCAGCCUAUAAAUUAAAACAAAAACCAGGCUCAAACAUAUGUAUUUCCAUAGAUGCAUGUAUAAAGCUGUACAUACACACCUGUAUAAUUGUGUAACCACAGAGGAUUUGGGAAAGCUUUCAACAUACCUGUGUAUCGCAGUAGCAAGUUGAAUUGCUAGCUUUCAUCCCUUUUUCGGGCCGGGUUUUGCAGCAUCUACAUUCACCUAUAGCGUUUAAAAUUUUCAGUCAGAGAGCAAGAAGAAACGUAAUAAAAUGCUCCAAAGGGUAAACCCCAGCAAGCAAUAGAGUAUAUAUUGAAUGCCAUAUGGCAAUUAAGAGUCAAAGGUACCUUAAAAAUAACAUCUCUAAAAUCAAUUUACCAAACCCCUAAAUCUAACAAUUUUAACAAAUACUAUAGCAUCAAUUGAUUUAACCCUAUACACACUUAAUUUCUAGCCUAUCAUCUACGAACAGAAUAAGUACAAUCUUCCUAGCCUCUGUCAUUAGCAAAUAGCAGCAGGGCAAGUUACAAUUGAUCAAUAAUAUUUCAGAUAUACAAAGUUUUAAAUAUGGUUCUAGUCAAAUGUAGAAAACUAACAUCUCUCCUUUUCUCAGCUAAUCCAUUUUUGCAUUUCCAACCAAUAAUCGAGAAAGUGAGGGGAGGGCGCUACAAAGAACGCAUAAGAAAAGAAAGAAAUUACAUUUGUGAUCAACCAUCAAAGUAACAAACCACAGUGAAAAAUCAAAUAUUUGGCUUCGCAUAGAGAAUUAAUUUUGUUUAAUGGAAUAAUACAAAAUCCCAGCCAAACAUUUCACACAACCAGGGCCAUCUAUUCCAGUUUCCAAGCUUCAUUCACAGAAAAAGAAUUGGGGCCAAUAUCGAUAAUGCCAUGAAAAUUAAGACGAUUUCAUAUUUGAUUUAGUGAAAUUUCACACAACCUAGAAAAUAUCAGCACAAUUUCAGGCCAAAAAUAAAAUGCAACAAAUAAAUAGGCCGUGCAAACCUAACCGCAUUGCACAAAAGAUUCGGAAAUGAUUUUUACCUUUUCAAUCAAUUGAUGCAGGCAUGGGCUUCGGUUAUGGUUCAGUCUCUGCAGGCAUGGCUUUCGGUUAUGGUUGUCUGGUAUAUUGGUUAUACACAAUGAUCAAUCACACACAAAGUUAUGAUAACACUUGAAAGAAUAAGGCAAAUCAAGAAGGAUAUUUCACUCAAAUUAGAUCAUACACACACUGUAUCGUCCUCUAAAUCCUAAGAGAAAAAGUGUGAACACCACAACCUCAGGUUCAAAAAUAUUGUGACUGAUCUAUAAAAUAUAGCAUAUCAUUUCAUUAGACCUAGCCUAAAUUCAGGUGCUUAAGCACAUUAAGAUAUAAUUUCUACCUAAAAGGAGACACCACAACAGCAGGAACAAGGCUUUAUAACUUUUUCUUUUCUGGCAAGUAAAUUAAACUGCCCCAAGCUAAUACAAUAGAAGCUUACUUUUCAACGGGAAGCUAGCUGUACUGUGAUCUUCCAUGAACCUACUAAAAUGGAAACAAAUUUCUACUCAAAUUGUAAGAAACAACAACAACAAAUUUCUACCCAAAAUAUAAAAAAAUGAAAAAAAAAACCCUAGCAAAUUCAUGUUAUCUUCAUUAUAAAGAUGCUUUUGGAGAAGAUAAACUAAAUGCAUCCACACAUCUGUAAACACACACACCCAUUUACUGUUUGAACAUCUGCUUCUCUUCCCAAUUUGCCAGAUGUUCCAAGUUCACCUAAUGAAAGAUAAAACAAUUACCAUUAGAACUAUCUUAUCAACGACUGCAAUUCCGAAACGGAUCAACACAGGCUUCGAAACACAUACAAAUCAAAAGGUAAACUCUACAACCUUAGAAACUUUAUUAAUAAGAUAGUUCAACACAGGCUUCGAAACACAUACAAAUCAAAAGGUAAACUCUACAACGCUUGCGGGAGGAGAUGACGACGGAGGCGCCUUCAAGAGCCGAUGCCUUGAGUGGAAGCCGUCACAAUUGCUACCUUGUCGUCAAAGGGUAAUAGGCAAACAAUAAAAUACAAAUUCAACAAAUCGGGAAAAAGAAAACAGAAAAGGAAAACCUUACACCCGAUGCUAUAAUCUGGAGGUGGAGCAUGGAGCUGCAAGCUGAGAAAGGGUAGACUGAGAAUGGCGAGAGAGAAUCGGCGAGGGAUUUGAGGGAAAUUACAGAGUGAGAAAAGGGAGGGAUGCUAUAAUCUCGAGGUGGAGCAUGGAGCUGCAAGCUGAGAAAGGGUAGACUGAGAAUGGCGAGAGAGAGAAUCGGCGAGGGAUUUGAGGGAAAUUACAGAGUGAGAAAAGGGAGGGAUGGGGGAUUCGAUGGAUGGUUACACAGAGAGACUCGGGAGAGAAAAAGAGGGAAUGAAAAGGGGAUGGAAACGGACGGAAAAGGCGAUGGCAAUUUUGUAAAUAACUCAAAAUCCAUCCCAAGUCACUGUUCAUAUGAAUAGUGCAAUUUCCCUUCCUACUUUAGACUAAAGUAAUGAUUUCCAAUUUCUACUCGUACCAGCACUGAGGUAGUUGUUUCAGGAUUGUCGAUACCCUGUUGUAUGCAAUUUGACAUGUCAUCAAAAUAAAGACCUUACGAUUACGAGAGCAUGACUCUAUGGUGUUUCCAACAAGUCCAGUUGAUAAUGUUCUCACAUGAUUAACAACGUGCGCAUUCUAGAAUUUAUCGUUGGCCAAUAUGGUCGGUCGAGUAUAAAUGUUUAGAAGACCCUAAAUUAUAUGUGCCUAGAGCUAGAUAGACCCCUAUUCGGAAUGGACACAAGUACAAAUGUUUGAGGGCGUAGGGUGAGAGAAUGACUUACAUAAUUUAGGGACACUGUUACGUUUCAUGCCAAUAAUACAACAUCGAUAUGUGUAAGUUUUUCUCUACAAAACAAUGUAUCACUGCAAUAAAAUGUCACAAUAAUAAUAUACUUGUGUCAUGUAAAUUACUUUCGUGUAUCAUCAAGAGUACACUAAACGGUGACACUACCAAUUAUUAUUUUAAAAGACACAGUAGAGUAGGAUUAGGACAAAAACACAGUAAUUGCUUAGUGUUGUCGUUAAAUCUUGACCGUUCGAUCGAUCUAAGGGUUGUAAUCAAAAUCCGUGAGAUAGACGGACGCAUUCUAGAAUUUAUCGUCGGUCGAGUAUAAAUGUUUAGAAUACCCUAAAUUAUAUGUGCCUAGAGCUAGAUAGACCCUUAUUCGGAAUGGACACAAGUACAAAUGUUUGAGGGCGUAGGGUGAGAGAUUGACUUACAUAAUUUAGGGACACUAUUAAGUUUUAUGCCAAUAAUACAACAUCGAUAUGUGUAAGUUUUUCUCUACAAAACAAUGUAUCACUGCAAUAAAACGUCACAAUAAUAAUAUACUUGUAUUAUGUAAAUUACUUUCGUGUAUCAUCAAGAGUACACUAAACGGUGACACUACCAAUUAUUAUUUUAAAGACACACAGUAGAGUAGGAUUAGGACAAAAACUCAGUAAUUGCUUAGUGUUGUCGUUAAAUCUUGACCGUUCGAUCGAUCUAAGGGCUGUAAUCAAAAUCCGUGAGAUAGACGGACGUAAUCUCCUACCAGGACUAUGAGUACUUGGCUUCGACAUCCUAUAUAUACAACGAGACACGCCAUUUACAUGCAUACAUACAUCAUCGACGUUCAAGUUUCAAACCCUAACGUUGGCUCUUUCCGUCUUUUCUCGUCGCCUGUUUUUUGUUCCUUCCAGAAAGUGGAAUCUGAAGAAUCCGACGGCAACGAUGUCGAUGAUAGAUAACGUGUUAAGGAUGAUAGAUAACUUCGAGGACUGGUUUAUAACCAAACGCCAAGAGCUUCAGAAAUCUGCGAGAGUCGCUAUGGAAGCUUUGCUCUGGGAACCCAGAAGUUUCCGGAACGUUUUGAAUUUGGCAAUCAAAUUGACCAAGGCAAUCGUAUUGGUGCCCCUUUGUGUGCUGGCCUUGUAUACUGUGCUCCUGAUUAGGGUGGGAAUCGCUUGUUUGAUCUGCGUCCCAAUACUUUUCAUUAUUUUCAUCGUCCUUGUCGGUGUCCGUAAGUUACUGACCAUAGACUUCGACUUGCAAAUUAUGUAACCAUGAUUUCUAGUUGUUUGUUCGUUGCUCACCAACUGUCUGUUUAAAUGACUGAAUGAGUUUUUUUGUUUCGUUUCUUUUCUUGCAGGUUACGGUCGGGCACACUAUCUGUUCUUCACAAGACGAAACCGCGCGGGGGAUGUCGUAUGCCGACUUCAUUGACAAGUUCGGCGCGUGGUUGACAAACAAUCCUAUUCCACCUUUCGAAUCAUUUGGUGAAUCCGGUCGACAUUGGGCACAGUACAUGUGGGGCUUCAAAUUGGAAGAAGAUUGAGGAAGAUUUCAGAGUUACCAUGGAAUGUAUGUAGAGAUUAUUAGAUUGGAUGACCAUAAAAUUAAAAUUGCUGCUUCUGUUUAUUUUUCUCUCUCUAUUAAUUUAAUUUUUCUUUCUAAAUAACUACGCCAUUUAUCGGAGGGCGUAUUGAACGACAUAGCAUCCGUAAGAACGACUUGUGACAUUACGAUACAAAAAAAGAAAGAAAAAAAAAGCAAUUUGUGACAAAAUAGCUAGGAUUAUGGUUAAAGUAUAGCAUCUAUAUCUAUAUGUUAUUCUUCAUCACUUGGAAGCAACUAUUUUCAAUUAAUUACAGGAGCACGACAAUGACUGAAACUUUAACAUAGAUAAUCGAACUAUUAGAGUCUAAGAAAAUUUAUUUGGCAAGGAAUUCGGAUUGUGUGGGUUAAAAGAGAGGCCAUACCCUCACUUUUUGUUAGAAACAGACUCUAUGUAUGUUGUUCAUCUCCUAUGAACUCGUUCUGUGAAAGUCCCCUUGUUUCUCAAAGUUUAGGGCAAAUUGCUUAUGAUAUAGUGCUCGCUUAAGAUUGCAUUUUUUUGCAUAAAUGUAACGAGUGGAAUUGUUUGGCCAAUGAUUUUGCUAAUUAUGGUUAGUCAAUUUGGCUAAACUGUCUUAGGAAACGAUUUUCACACUCUUUUUCAUUCUUUUGCGCUUUUUUAUUUAUUUUUCUAGCGGUUUGAUUGAAUAAAGUAAAAAAAAAGUCAUAAACAAAGAGAUAGGCAAGGAAAAGAAAGGGGAGUGUCAAAAUCAUUUUUCGACUGGUAAAUUCAACACAUUUUCAACUAAUACUCCUUUUAUAAAAAAUAAAAAAUAAAAAAUUUCAUUUUUCUUGUCAGAAUAUUUUUUUAUUAUUUAUUUUUUUAGUCAAAAUUUAAUAUUUCACGUCUUCAUGGACUCUCAUUUUUCUUAAUUAUUUAACUCACUAAUGAUAUUGCUCUAUUGAAAACAUGUUAGUUUUUUGUUGCAAUUAAUAUUUCUUAUUUGAACGGAUGAAGAUGGCCUUCAAUUUUAAGGAGGACUUGACUUGCAUGGAACAAAUGCACCGUCACAUGGUGCCAUGUGCCAAUAAAAUAAUACAAUGACAUAUGUUAGCUUUUUUCACAUAUCCUUGUGUUUACUGACACAGGACGCCACAGUGGCACUGAAGCCAUGCAAUACAAGUUGUUCUCACUUAAUUAACAUUUACAAUUGAACCUCUAUCAAUUUAGCUAAUAUUAAAUAAUCGAUAAGAUAAUUCCAAUUUAAUUUUAAGGUUAGGGGUGAUUUUCCGUCCAAUUGGAUCUGAAACAAGUAACCCAAUGCCAAUCCGAAAAAGUUUUGGAACAAAUAUUAGUUCCAAAUUAGGAAUUUUGUAUUUUCGAAAUUUAUCGAAAUUUCGGAAUUGAUUUUAUCUCAAAAUUUUUGGAAUAUAAUUCGAAUUUCCUACAUUUUGUAAGACUUUGAAAUUUUUUAAAAUUUUAUGUAUCUGCUGUUCAAUAUUUUUUAUGAUUUCUUUUUUUGCAACAUUUUGUAUGAAAUUAUAAUAGAUAAAAUAAAGAGUGAUUUUGUAUAAAAUCAAUACAAAGUUACCAUAUUGACAAUAGAUCAUCAAUAUUUAUGUUAAAUAUAAAUAGGUCAAUCAUGUAUUGUGAUACUUAAAUGCAUUUAAAAUAAACAAAAAUUGCAUAAUUUACCACUACAGCUGGCACCCACUUCAACUAGCACCAUCUUUCUCAUAUUUUUUAUAUUUUGGAAUAGGUUAAUACGGAUCAAACACUGCAACACGGUGUCUGUUUCCUAAUUCUGUUUUUUAUAUUUGGAUUCAGACGUUGUGUUGCAGUGUCCAUUUCACAGUUUUGUUUUUUUUCAUCAAUCACAUGCCUCAUACGUGCCCGUUUUUACUUUAGAUUCAGACACUGUAAUGCAAUGUCUAUUUCCCGGUAUUGUUUUUAUUUUUUGAUUCAGACACUACGUUGAACUGUUCAUUUCCUGGUUCUAUAUUUUUUCAUCACUCACAUGCCUUCUAUGCUUAACACCUCACGUGACUCCUGAUUUCUACAUUUGGAUUUAGACACUGCAAUGCAAUGUCUAUUUCCUGUUCUGUUUUUUACAUUUGGAUUCAGACACUGCAACGCAAUGUCUGUUUCCUGUUCUCUUUUUUUACAUUUGGAUUCAGACACUGCACCAUCGUGUCCGUUUCCUAGUUUUCAAUUGUUGAUCAUAGAAGUCUGUGUUUUCUCAUUUGAAUUGCUGACCACAAUGUCCCUUUUUUUAUUUCGCAUUGUAGACAUGUAAAUGGUGGUGGGAAAAACGCGAACGUAUAAGGAAACAGUUUCGUGAAAUGGGAGAAAUAAAAUCCAAACAAUUUCAAUUGCUUAAUUGGCAAUCGAAAUUGUCAAGCUCCAAGAAAUUGCGAAAGCACCUGUCUACAAUCGUGAAAUGGGAGAAAGCACCUGUCUUUGAUCUCCACAAAUGAGAAAGCCCCCGCCUAGCCGUCUAGGCACUAGGCUCCUACUCGCUGCCCGACUAGUGCCUAAUAUUUUUUAGAACCUAUGAUUAUUGUAAGAACAUUUGACAAAAUUUUAAAACCAAUGAACAUAUAUGGUUUACUUACCCCAUCAGCAUCAUCAGAAUUCCGAAGUGCAGCAACUACGUCGACCAAUUGUGAAAAUUACACAAGCAGGAUGAAUAUUAUCCUUGGCUCCUGAAAAUUACACAAAUCAUAUGGCUGUAAAGAUGACUCACUUGAAACAUCAGACUCUCAUUUCAUUAGCAUCGUCAUUUUCAUUGUCGUCCGAGACCGACUCGUAGUUUAGUGCAACUGGAUCAACCAACUUAGAUUCAUAUGAUUUCCAAUUUCUACUCGUACCAUUACUUGCUAACCAUCACUAGACUUAUGGGGUUAAGCCCUUUUUCAGCACUGAGGUAGAUGUUUCAGGAUUGUCGAUACCCUGUUGUAUGCAAUUUGAGGUGCCCGGAGUUCUUUUUUCAAGGGUAUGACAACCCAAACUCCCAGUCGAUAGUGUCCCCAGUGCAGCUAUCAUCAAGGUAUAGAGGAUUGUUGGGGUCUAUCACCUUGGAGAACACAAGCAAUACUGAUGGCCAUUUGCCGAAUUAAAUGAUUAGGGCUUUCUAGCCUACCUGCCAGCAAAGACAAGAUAUAACGGGAUGAUAAUGACCACUGGCGUUGGAGGAGAGAAUACUGAUAGAGACACGGAGAAGUAUUUACAGUUCACUCCUUUGAGAAUUGAGUGCAUCACAUCCUUGGUCUCGUUUAAUUCUUUUUUAGACAUGUUUUCCAUGGAAAGGCCUAUAGUUGCAGAUGCAUCUAAUAUUGCAAGAUUAAGGGACAAAAAAUUCCAAGAGAAGUAUAAUAAAACAAUGAACUUCUCUCUACUGCAAUGGGAUUUUUAGCAAGAUCUGCGCGCAGCGACAGAACAUUCAUACGUAAAGGCAUGCGAAAAAAGGUGUCGAUAUACAAAAACAAUGGCAUACCAAAACCACCGAAAGAGAUGCCAAAGUACCCUCAAGCCAAUCUCCAGGAAAAUCAACCAUCAGUUAUGAUCUUAAGAUUUCAUAAACUCCAUCUGAUUCAACGCCAUUCUCUACCGGCCUGGAGCGUAGGUAAUUUGACGCAUAGUUUUCUUCCCAAAACUCAAAUUUUCAAAAUUUACAGCCAAAUAAAAGCCGACAUAUUUCAAGGGAAUUCUAUACACAUAAAUUUUUAAAAACACAAUGGCAAGGUAACUAGAGCUAAAAAAAAAUACCAAUUAACGGAAACCGAGCAGAUGACGAAAAUGCGGCUCCUCCAUAGAAUGCGUGCCACCACUCUCUCCUCUCAUCUGCCGAAGGAGCCUCGGAACUAAGUAGCUGCACACACAACACAACAACAAAAGCUCAGAACUCAAGAAAAAUCGCAGCAACAAAUAAAUUUCGAUAAAAUUCACAAAUUUGCCAAAUUCAUUAGCUCACCUGCUCUCUGUAUUGCUCGUCAAUAGCACUUGAAGUUCCAAAUUUCACAUCAUUCAACUUCCAAAAAAUCAUUCUUUCACUUACAAUCAAACGACACAAAAAGUGAAAAAAGUUCAAUCUUUUGGUUUUGGAAAUUUCUCGGAAACCAAACAGGCGUUUCAGGAACUCGGGUAGAAGUUGGAAAGUUACCUGAGAGAAGAGAGGCGUCGAGAGGGAAGAGAAGAACAAGCGCGCAGAUGACUUGGUAUACGUGCUUCGCCUUCUUCACGGCUGCGAUUUCUUCUCUUCCACUUCGCUUCAUGUUUUGGAGCCUUCUCCUCCACGUUUGUUUGUUUCUCUCUGCAUCAAUCUGAAGCUUCUUGCAGCCGAUUUUUUGUUCACCGAUACGUAGUGAGUCUAUUUUUUCGGCGGAAAAAUAAUCAGUUUCGGGAAGAGACCGUUUCGAGACCUCACGGCUGCGUUUGAUUUCCAAAAAUACACAAAUUUUUUAGUUUUUAUUAUGUUAAUUUUAAUUUAAACUUUUUUUCCUAUACCAUUUGCAAUUAAUGGGGAAAGUUUGCGAAAAUAAUUUUUAUCGUCUUUUGUUCUGUAUUUAUCUUUUUUAUUUAAGUCUUUAGAUUUAUUUUUUAUUUAUGUCGUUUAAUAGUUUAAAAAUUAAAAUAAAUAUUAUAAAAAACAAAUUUUUGCAAACCUUCUCUGUAAUAAUUUAUAAUUUAAGCCAAAUCAAGCAUAAAAAAUAUAUUUAUUAUCAAAUAUCCUUUCCUUUUUAAUGUCAUACCCAAAAGUUAAAAAUAAAAAUAGUUUUAUUUUUUCUAGUAAUUUUUGGAGAAUAAUUUUGUUUAGCUAAUUGACCAAAAAACCAGAAAGUCUGUUAAACCUUAACAAACCCGAGUUGAAGCAUAGAAACGGCGGUGCUAAACCUCUUCUCUCCAAGCUCCGGGCCAAGCCGGUCCGGACCGCCUCGGGCAUCGCCGUCGUGGCCGUGAUGUCGAAGCCUCAUCGGUGCCCCCACAUCGCCACCACCGGUAAUAUUUGCGUGUACUGCUCCGGUGGUCCCGAUUCGGACUUUGAGUACAGCACUCAGUCUUACACUGGAUAGAAGCCUACUAGCUUGCGCGCAAUUCGGGCAACGUAUGGCUUUCUCUAGUUCAUUGACGCAUUUUAUCGAACACUUGAUAGGGAAUUCCAGUUUUAUGUUAUUCAUGAUUCGUUUCGAAGUUUAAAGUUUUUGGCUUGAUUGAUUUUUCACCAUGAAAUUGAGAGCUUUGUAAUGAAGAGAUUAUUUGAAGGAAUUGGUGUUUAAAAUUGGAUUAUUGAAGUUAAUUUGGUAGUUAAUCAUUUGGUUUUGUGUGUUUAGAUACAACCCAUAUGUCCAGGCUAGAAGCAGGAUAGAUCAGCUGAAGAGAUUGGGUCACAGUGUAGACAAGGUUUGGUCUGUUCUAUGUUUAGAGCUUAAAGAGUUUAUUUUCGGGUUUGCAGAUUUCCAUGAUAGAGUAAUAUGCAUAGUUGUCGCCUUAUAACUGGUACUGAAUUUGUGUUUUCAGGUCGAGCUCAUCUUAAUGGGCGGUACUUUCAUGUCGUUGCCCGCGGAUUACUUUAGGCGAUCUCCGAUCGAUGGCUGAUCAGAUGACUCGUUUUAGCCUUCUGGCCCUCUAAAAUUCUCCAAGAUAUUAAUAUUUUUAUUGAAUAGUACAUGGUCAUAUUUGCCUCCGUCUUCAACCGAUGGCCAAAGGGCCAUAGGGCUAAACAUAAUUUAUUAUUUAAAAACUGCAACUUAAAUUCAAAUUCAACGGCUAAGUGACGUCAGCAUGACGUUAGCUAACCGUUGUUUAAUGUUGUUUCAUGUUACUUAAUUUAAUUUAAUGUUGUAUAAUGACUUAGGAAGUUAUAGGAAAAAAUAGAAUUUAAAAAAAUAUAUAUGAAACAAAUUUUGUGAAAUAGAAGUUAUAGAAAAAAAUGAAAUUUAAAAAAAAUAUGAAACAAAUUUUGUGAAAUAGAAGUUAUAGGAAAAAAAAUAUGAAACAAAUAAUAAUAAUGUAAAAAAAAAUCAAAUCAAAUGCAACGGCUAGUAGCUGUUUCAUUUGAAUUUUUUCUUAAUAAAUCCUGUCGGUUAUAACCGACAGGAAUAACAAAACAUUAAAAAAAAAAUAGUCAGCCCGGGGCUAGCUGGCUGGCCGAAAGCAGCCAGCCCUUUGGCCCUUUGAAAUUCUGUGGGGCCCUCCCAGAUUCCCGAGCCCUCUGGCCUAGCCCUCGGUUUGAGACGGUUUUAGGGUUACUUUCGGCCUUCUGGCCCUCUGGACCAUUCGGUUGGAGAUGGCCUUAUUAGAAAUUGGAGUCCAUACGAGGAUGUGGCUCGUGACAUUGUUUUUGCUUGGCAAAGGAUGCUGGUUUUAAGGUCAGCCUAGUCCCUUAUCAUAAAACUCACUUACCUUCACCGUGGGAAAAGAACGGAUUUUGGACCUUUUAUAUCUACAGUGACAGGAGAUUAAUCUUUCAUCAAAACAAUUUGUGAGCCCAUAAUUAAGCGAGAAUAUUUAUCAAAAGAUAUGUGAUAUUCACACACUUCAUUUUACUUUUCACACAUCCUUCUAAUUUUCGGCCUUCAGAUCGGAUAAAUUGAAGAAGAUUAACGGAUAUAAAUUAACAAAGGGUGUGUGAGAAGUAAUUUGAGAUGUGUGGAUAGCACACCCCUUAUCAAAAUCUAAUUGGUUUUGGUGUUAUCAUUCACUUUAUCUAAAAGUUCAAGAAGAAGUAUGUGUUUGUAUUAGGGCUGGAAAAAAAUCCCAAAAAUCCCAAAAAUCCCAAACCAAACCGAAAAAAUCCCGAUCCCAAACCAAAAAAAUCCCAAACCAAAAAUCCCGAACCAAACCGAUAUUUUCGGUACGGGAUUCGGUUUUGAAUCUCAAAUUUUCGGUAUUCCCAUACCGAACCGAAAAUAAAUAUUAUAUAAUAUAUAUAUAUUUUUUUUCUUUUAAUUAUAAGAGAAUUAUUUCAACCGUUCAUUGUUUUAGAUUUAAUCUUUGCCGUUCAUAUGUUUUUAGGUCAGAAACCAUUUCACAACCAUUUCACAAACUUCACUUUCGUUCUAGCCGACCCUAAUCUCUUCUCUCGUCUCUGAUCUCUCCCUCAUCUAGCCGACGAGCCCUCAUCUCAUCUCUCUCUCUCUGUGACGAAUUCCGGCCAGCCACCGGCCCACCACCACACUUGACGAAUUGCAGAGUUCACUACUUCACUUCUUCCUCGUCCUUUCCUUCCACAACCCACGGUCCACCUCAGGCAUCCUCUUCCUUCUUCUUCUUCCUCCACCUCAGGUAAAAAAAGUUCGUAACUUCCGUGUUUCUUACUUGUAAAUUUAAGACUGUUUUGGAUGUAUAUGUUGUUCUGUUUGAAUUAAUGUUUGGGAUUUAAGACUGCUUGGUUGAACUUUGAACUCGCUGCUUGCAUGCCCUUCGUUUCACGGCGGUCGCGGCGCCCUACCCUCGGCCGGUGGGCAUCCCUCCGAUCUCACCUUCCUUGCCGGCGGUGGUUGCUGCUGAAAACGACGACCGCCUGUGUUUCCCCUUCUGGGUUUUUCGUCAUUUUUCAGAACACUUCGUUUUUUAUUAAGCUGUAGGAAAUGGUUACGGUUAAGCAGUUUCAAGAUGGUAACUUUUUAUCACAAUGCUCUCCAUUUUCUGUGCAAGGUUUAUGAUUUUUCUUGCUUUUGAUUUGAUGGGUUUGAAUAUUUGUGGUUGAAUUUUAUUGAGUAGUAUCUGUUUUUUAGUUAUUUUCUUGUUAUAUUUGUAUUGAUCGUGUUGUUUUUCGAUCGAUUUAUACUAUCAGAAGGACUUCAAAAUUUUGUUGCUUUUAUCGUUCCCAUGGAUUUUUUUCGAGUAUUAAUGAAGGAAUGUUUACAGGUAUAAAAAUCCCCUUGUACCGCUUCGGUAGCAAUUCGAUAUUGGAUGAUGGUUGUGCUGGACGCAUUUCAUGCGUGCUAGAAGGAGAAGAAGAAGAGAGUGUAUUAGAUUCUAUUGUUCUUGCUCAGGUAUGGAGCAUUGUGAAUUAUAAUGUUGCUACUUGUAGAUUUCUGUCAUUGAUUUAUAUGAAUUUUCUCGAUUUGCAGUGGGAAGAUCGAAUGUGGAAAUAUGGGUUUUUAAUCAUACUGCAAAUACAAUUCCAUCUUGCUUCUCUUUUGUAAUGCUAUCUCUGUAUUGCACAUUCUUUUUGUGCAGGAAGUGAUGCAAUUCUUUUAGGUGCAGAGACCCUGCGCGGUUUGUACCCUAAUUAUUAAAACUUUGGAUUGUAACUUAAUUAUUAAAACUUUGGAUUGUAACUAAUUUUUUUGCUUUUGGUUUGUAACUUAAUUAUUAAAACUUUGGAUUGUAACUUAAUUAUUAAAACUUUGGAUUGUAACUAAUUUUUUUGCUUUUGGUUUGUAACUUAAUUAUUAAAACUUUAGAUUGUAACUAAUUUUUUUGCUUUUGGGUUUGUUACUUUAUUUAUUUUAAAACCUUGGCUACCAUACAAGUGGAAAAUGCAGCUGAACUGCUCUUAUAAACAUUGCAGGUUUGCCCAAUAUUUUUUUUAUUUGGUUGAAUAAAAGUUAAGCCCAUAUGUGGGGGCUGUUACAUUCAGUGGGCAGACCCAAUAUUAGGUUUUUGUCCAAUUGGACCAAUAUUAGCUUUUUUUUGUCCAAAAGCCCAAAAUUAUUUUUGGGAUUCCCGAUUUGUCCCGAAAUCCCGAAACUAUUUCGGGAUUCCCGAAAAUUGGGAUUCCCGAAAAUUUGGUUUGGGAUCGGUAUUGAAAUUGGGAUUCCCGAAAAUUUCGGUAUGGGAAUCGGGACAAGGGUUUUGGUAUGGGAUCCCAUACCGAACCACCCCUAGUUUGUAUGGCUGAACAUAAAUAAAAAAUAUGGGCAAUAAUGUGAUUCCACACAAACCAAAUCUCACCUUUUUUUUUUUUGUUUCCUUAAACUUCAACUACAUGUGAUUAUAACAUGUCUCUAAUAUUUGAAAAAAAAGAAGUCACUCUCCCUUCUGUCCCCGCUCCUAUGUUUUUUCUCACUUUCUCUCUUCUUUUAUUUUAAGAACAAAAAUAAAAAACGUUCACACACACUUUAUAUGUGGGCGUCCACUAGUACUAUUAUUAAGCAAAGAGCUUUGUCAACUUUCUUAAAAUGACAACCAUGUUCUUAAUUUUCCUAUGUUAACCUUACUUUUAGUACACAAUAUUUAUAAAUAUAAGGACAAAGUAAUAAUUAUGUAAUAUAUUAAAAUAAUAAAAGAUAUGUCCACGUUAGAAGAAUCUGUCCCAUUAUUGUCCCAUUUUUCAAAAAUAAUUUUUUUUUUUUAAAUCUAAUCAUAUUAUUUAAUAAAUAAAAAAUGAAAUUGUUCACUCAGAGUGAUCUGCUGGUUUAUAUUUAACAAGGAGACCAUCCAGGCAUCAAUGAUUAACUGGUACGCAUGAUUGGUGUGUUCCCAGACCACCUAUGUGAUUGAAGACUUAUUUAAAAGAGUGGUCAAGAAAAGGUAGAGAUGUUGAGCUACUUGGAGUCUAAAGUUUGGCAAGAAAUAAGCCAUAGCACUUUGGUAGAUUGAUAUAGAAUUUAUUCUGAACUAUAAAUAUAUCAUGCAUGGUGGAACUGUUGCGGGAGUAUUAAUGAAAAUGAAUAAUUACGAUCAUUCGUUGGAGUCUUCAAUUAAUAAAAUAUGAGAUUUAUAAAACAUAAAAGUAAAAAGUAGUUGCGAGUUCAUUCUCGGAGUACCAAAAUCUAUGUUUAGCCUAAAGUCACUAAAUAAGGGAGCGAAGCCCCUCAGAUAAUGUCUGAUAAAAUGGUCAUAUUUGAUUUCAAAUUCGUGGACUGAAAAAUGAUUAUUAAAAAAAGAAAUUGAGUUAUCUGUUAAUUGGGUUAACAUAAUAAAAGGGUUGUGAUUUUCACACACCCUUAAUUACCUUUCCCACACCCCUUCUUAUUUUUUAAUACUUAAUUGAUAUCUUACUAUUUACUCUUCCAUAUAUACCUUUUUACUUUUUGACUUUUAAAAGUUGUUUUUUAUUUUUUGAUUGUGUUGUAGAUUGGAGUAGCAGCCCGAUUCUUCCCACUCCCCUGCUUUUUCCCUUGCUUUCUCCCGCUUCUUCCCCAAAACCCAGACACCUCCUGCUUUUUCCCCAAACCCAGACACCUCUCGCAGCCCGAUUCCCUCGCCGUCGCAAAUAUUUCCACUGCUUCUUCGAAGCCUCCCACUCCCUCCGCCGAGCCCAACGAGACCUAUUCUGAAAUUUCCACUGCUUCUUCUCUUUCCGUUCCCCUGUCCUCUUUAUUACUUCUUGUGAAAAACCACAAUGGAUGACCUAAUAAUAACAGAUGAAGAACCCCAGAUGAACAUUGAGUUGCAGAAGAUAUUGGAUAUGGCAUGCAAGGAGGAUGGCAUGGAAGAAAUUUCAGAAUGCAUUCCUCCUCUUAACACUUUUGAUGGUAAUUUUCUAAAGUAUUUUCUCAAAUUAUUAAGAUUGAUUUUGGAAUUUAGGGUUUUUGUUCUCUUCUUGCCUCAAUUUGUUUUUUAGGUUUAGUUUUUUCUUUCCCUAAUUUGUGGUUCAAAUGAUAAUUGAAUGAAUGAAUACUGGUGGUUUAAGAUAAAUGUAUCAUGUAACAAUGAAGUAACUGAAUCCAGGGGAAGAAAUAAGAAAAUCACGAAACUAAGUUUGUAAAUGUUUUUGACAUCAGAAUUUUUUUUACAAGAAUAACGAAAAAUUAGGCAAUGCUCAGAGACUAAGGAGCAAAAGAUUAAAAACUACCAUGCUUACGUGAAUGCACCGAGCAAUGCUCUAUAACAUAUUUUUCUCUCAUGUACACGGCAAUGCUCUAUAAUAGAGAAUAUUGAUUUGUGUUGGUUUUGGGGAAAUUAAUUUUCUAUUGGAAUCUAUUGGUCCCCAAUACACUUUAACUUAAUGGUAAAUUGGUAUUAGGUUUAAUUGUUGUGGUUUUACCUAGGCUCCAUGUUUUGGUGUAAACUUGAUAUAAUGCAUACAAUGCUUUGGUAUAAAUUUGAUACUUAAAUGUCUAGUCCAUUGAUAAAAAGUAUAUAUUCUACAUAUAUAAAUGUGUUGGUUUGUGAUAUAUAGGAAGUCAACCAACGAUUGAUGAGCCUGAUAAAAUGCUCUCUUUGUUGGCGAAAUGUUUUGAAAGUCGAGAAGACCUCAUCGGGAAAGUUCGUAAGAUAGCAUUAAUGCAAGGGUUUGCAACCGUUAUUAGAAGAUCUAAGACAAAUACAUAUGUUGCUAUUGGUUGUGAUAGAGGUGGGGAUUAUCGAGCCUCUAAAACUUCACUAGAUGAAAGAAAAAAAAACUCAGGAUCUCGCCUCAUAAAUUGUCCAUUUGAAGUCAAAGGGCGUAAAAAGAAAUGUGAAGAAUUUUGGAAGCUAGAGAUAAAAAGUUUAUUGCAUAACCAUGAACUUUCAAAUGACAUGUGUGGACAUCCUUCUUGUCGUCAAUUUUCACAAGAGGAAAUCUUACGAAUUAAAGAAAUGAGUAAGGUUGGUAUACCACCACGCCAAAUUCUAUCUUCGCUUCGGCAAGGCAAUCCUCAUCUUCAAGUAGUUUCUCGAAACAUCUAUAAUCUAAGAGCUAAGAUUGUGAAGGAGAGUCUAGCUGGGCGUCCAGUUAUUCAAGCAUUAUUAGAAGAACUUGGUGAAGGUGGUUUCACUUAUAACAUUGAGUAUGAUCAUGAAGGCCACUUGACUCAUUUGAUCUUUGCUCAACCCUUGUCUAUAGAGUUGACCAAGAGCUACCCAUAUGUUUUUGUGAUGGAUUGCACAUAUAAGACCAACAAGUAUAAGAUGCCAUUAUUGGAUAUCAUAGGAGUUACAAGUUUCAACACAUCCUUUUAUUCUUGUUUUGUUUUCAUGCAAAAUGAGAAAGAAGAGGAUUAUGUGUGGGCUCUAAAAAUGUUUAGUAAGAUUUUGGGAGUUGAUAAUCAUCCUAUGGUGAUUAUAACGGAUAGGGAGUUGGCAUUAAUGAAUGCUAUACGCAUUGUCUUUCCGAGUACUUCCAAUCUUUUGUGCGUGUGGCAUAUUGAGAAAAAUAUACUUGCAAAUUGUAAAGCUCAUUUUGAGGAAGAAGUUGAUUGGAUUGAUUUCAUUUCUACUUGGACAAUUUUAAAUCCAAUCUCCUAAUGAAACAUCAUUCAAUGAAGCUUGGAGUCGUUUUGAAGUUAAGUACGAGGAGAAGAAAAUUUGUUUUGAAAUAUAUUCUUGGUACUUGGCUUCCAUACAAAGAAAAGUUUGUAAGUGCAUGGUCAGAGAAAGUUACCCACUUUGGUAACCGUGUUACUUCAAGAGCCGAAGGUGCACAUGCAACGCUAAAAAAAUAUCUUCAAGUUUCAACUGGAGGUCUUCGCGAGGUAAAAGAAAAAAUAUGCCUUGCUAUUGAAAAUCAAUUUCAAGAAAUCAAAACUCAACUUUCAAGUGAAAAAGUUAGAGUUUCACACAAGUUUCGACUUCCCUUCUUCAAAGAGGUUGUUACUCAUGUAUCUAGAUUUGCAUUGAAUGAGUUAUAUAAUCAAUAUGAAGCAUCAAGUUCUUCUGAUCUUCCAUCUCAAUGUAAGGGUCAUUUUCUCAAGACAAUGGGUCUUCCUUGUGCUCACAUGAUUAGAGAGAUGAAUAUUGAAGUCUUGCAACUAAAUGACAUACAUCCAUAAUGACAUACAUCCAUAAUGGAGGAUUGAUAGAAGAUUGUUUGUCAAUGAUCGUCAUGUAAGCUUGGACAAUGAAUAAGAUCAAAUAAGCGGCCUUCUAUUGGAGUUUAAAGAUAAGUAUGAAAAGUUGCCUCUUACUCAAAAAGAGGAUACCAAAAGGCAACUUUGUGAAUUUAUUGAUACUUCUCUUCCAUUAACUCUUGAGCCUAAUGUUAAACCUCACAAAGGUCGUCCAAUGAGUUCUAAAAAUAGAAAAGAAUCAAGCUCUACAAAGCGUGGUCCUUCAAAGUUUGAAAUAGUGGAGAAGGCUCAAAAACGUGCUCGACGGGUAUGUCAUUUUUUUAUUUAUCUUUUAAUAUUGUCUACUAUGGUCAUGAUUAUUUAUAUAUACGUAUAACUUAAUGUUCAUUGUUUAUAGGUGUGAUGAGCAUAAUGAUUUGCCAAAGAAACUUUUUGUUAAUAAUAGCUUAGAUGUGUAAAGAACACAUUAAGGUACAUAUAUUUUUGUUGAUUUUUCCCCAUAAAAAUACUAAUUAAGUUUGUAAUUUUCUUUCCUUUUGUUGACAUGUUUUUAUUUUCUUGUAGGUUGGAGUGCAUGGGUUUCAUAUCUUUUUGGUAAUAUUGACAUCUCCUUUUGAACACAAGAUUAAAGGCCAAACAUAGUGUAGGUAGAAUGUGAAAGCUUGUAAUGAUAUCUGAUGUAUUUUUUGGGGCAUGAGGCUACUAUUAUGGGGAUUAAAGUGUAUGUGGAUUGCUUACUAGUAUUUUGUACAAUUCAUGUAACUUAUGCAUAUAUGCUAUAUCAUUAGGUAAUCGUUUUAUUUUUAUUUAUAUAAUAGGUGUUUUAUACUUGUUUUGGGAUCUCUCAGAUUAGGCAGUAGAGCUUGAGUUACAAAAGGAAUAUAUGGUUGAGUGUUAGAAAAAGAAAAAAACAAGUUUAAAAUAAAAUAACAAAAGUAUUUUAAAAUUUCAAUGGUCAAAAAGUAAAAAGGGUAUAUAUAGAAGAGUAAAUAGUAAGAUAUCAAUUAAGUAUUAAAAAAUAAGAAGGGAUGUGGGAAAGGUAAUUAAGGGUGUGUGAAAAUCACAACCCUAAUAAAAUAAGGAGAGAACAUUACAUUCAUACAUUAUUGAGUUAGUAGCUCACCCAUGACAAGUGUUGAAUUAGAGAAUUGAAAAGUAGUUUAUUUUUUUUCAAUAGGUGGUGGCGAGAAAAAUACAACCUACUCGGUUUCAGAAGACGAUUUACAAAUUGCCACGAAUAUCGAAGAAUUGGUCUUUGUCCAAAAGUUUUGGUUUUUGUCCAAAAGUAUUGGUCUUUGUCUCAUGCCGUAAUUAUUUUCCAAUUUUCAUAGAUUAUAUUCUUCGUCUCCAUCUUCAUCUCCGUCUCAUAUUUCAUAUUUAAUUUCCAUAGAUUAUAAUCUUCGUCUCCGUCUCAUAUUUCAUAUAUUCAUCGAGCUCAUCAACAAGGAGUCCAAUCAUUGCAACUCUUUUGUGAGCUUCCGUAUGCCCCUGAGUAUGUUAUUAUGCACUCUUACUACCAUAGAUAUCCUUCUAGAAUAUAUUUGGAAUAAAGUAUUACGUGCUUAUGAGCUUUAUCUCAUCAUUUGUUUUACUUUUUUCUCUUAUUAUAUAUGUCACUCAGAUUUAGAGCAUUCAGCCUUGAACACAAGAUUUUGAAUUCGAUUUCUUCUUCAUCAAUGUUGCUUGUAUAAUAGAAAGGGGUAAGCUAUUGAUUUGUACCAUUAAAUUGAAUUUGCUUUAUGAUCUUCCGUCGACCUUUGGACUUUGUUGCAGGUAUAAAAGUUGAUCCUUACCUUGAGCUCUAUCUUCUUGUAAAUUUUGGUAGAAUUUGGAGUUAGUCUGAAAAUUGAGAAACCACCAUGUGUGGCGGCGCGAGUGAAAGUCAAAAUUUAUGGAUUUUGGACAGCGAGACGUUCUCGAUGUCCUGAGCCCUUAUCCAAAAUCCAUUCAUUACGAUGGUUCGAUUAUUCAAUUUUUGGAAUAAUUGAGUAUGAUUUUUGUAAUUGAUGACAAUCUAAUUGUUGGAUUGUCGUACAAUUUUUUGAGCAUCCUAGUUAUUAGUUGUUUGAUCUUUGAGAACUUAUGGAUUGGAAAUCCGAUGUGCUAAUCUCCCGAAUUAAAUAACCUACGUUGUUGACCUUAGAGGACCUACUUAUCGACGGUUGACUUUUUAGUCAAUGUGCCCUAUUCUAGAGUGUCGUUGUUAUAGAAUGUUAUUGAGGCUUGAUGGAGCUUAGUUGUCUCAUUUCAAUGGUGUGUGGUUCUCGGUUGACAUGCAUCUCGAUUUACGUUCAAGUGGCACUUGGUCUCGUUUUAUGUGUCGGUCUUAUUAAGUUUCUUAAGUGGGGUUUGUGUAUUGUAUUAGGUUCCUUGGAGCGGAGUCGGUGAAUCCGAAAGUGCAAAUAACCCAGGUGAGUGACUUUAAUAUUAUAUGAUAUGGUUAAUACCCAUGAGAAUUUCCUUGUUAUGUACUUUGUGGAUAUAACAUGAAUUUACAAAUGAUUUUAUGGAAAUGUGUGCCACUAUGCUAUGUUUACUUGAUGAUGCUAUUGGAAAAUAUAUAUAUGUUAUGCCUGAAAAGAUUGUGGUACAUGAGGGCUAGUAGAAGACCGUUAACCCAAUACAUGGGGUAAUGUGGAUAAAAUCAGAAUCUGCACCAUGUAGAAGUGGUACAUGGAUGGUCGUGCUUGGUUAAUCCGCAAUGGGGGACCAUACUACUUUGGGAUCGUGCUUGGUUAAUCCAGGAUGAGUGAUCCUUAUUAUUUAGGUAUGUCCAUACAUAUUCAGGGGUGAUCAUGCUUGGUUAAUCCGCAAUGGGUGAUCACUCUCUAUUAGUAUCAGUAGGAGUGACUCUGCUUGCUUGGUUAAUCCGUUAUGGGAGGGGGGGACCACAUCCUAAUUGGUUACCUAUUGUAGGCCUCGGCCAAACUGUGUCUCUCUAUAGCCCUAGACUAUUUAUUACAUAUAUGAAAGAUGAGAUUGAAGGCAUGUGUGGCUCAAUCUAGAAAGUGAAUUGAAUCAAAUAGUUUACAUGAUGGUGUUGCCUUAAAGAGAAUGAUUUCGGAUGUAACUCAUUCCUACUCAUAACGAAGAGUUGUAAUGAUGAAAUAGAUACCAAUCUCAUUCCUACACGUGAUUGUAUUAUUGAUGUUGUGUCAUUCAUACACAACUUCGGGUUGUGUGAUGACUAAGAAUGUUGUUAGAAGACGUGUGGUGAGAUUCAAAUUGAUUAACCAUUCCUAUACGUAUAAUGAGGUGUAUGGUGGUUAAAUUAUGAAAUAUGUGGCAAUUGGACCCUUGUGAUUAUUCGGAAAAUGAGAAAGGCUAGUGGUGAGUUACAAUUCGAAGAGAAUGACAUAAUGAUAUUGACGGUGAUUAAAUUGACCCAGUAUUCAGAGAAAAGUCAUGUGAGGACAUAACACUACUUCGUAGCUUAUCCGGGUUUUGAUUUGCCUGGUGCACCAUUCCCAAGGCGUAGGGUUAUUUUGCAGAGCAAUGGGUAGAGGUUAGAGAAGAAGGUUGCAGGUUAUGCAGCUGUGUGGGCAUCGCAUUAGAGAAUAGGAUUGCCACCCUUUGUUGUAAGCUAUUUCCGCUAAGCUCUGAUGUAUAUUAUAUGUAUGAGUCUCAGUGACUCUUAUGUAUUUUAUAUUGUACUACUACUGUUCUACCGUCGCGUGUCGAUUCCGAACAUGUCGAUUGGGGCAUGACACUAUUACAUAUAUUGAACAUAUAAAAUGCAAAAUGAAAAUUUUCUAUUUUCUGUAAAGCCUAUAACAAUUUAUUGAAAAAAAUGAAAGUAUUCAACAAGUCUAUUACAAUAUCUUGAAAAAAUAAAAUGCAAAGUAAAAGUUAUCUAUUUUUUGUAUAGGCGGGUCUAGGCGGGCGCCUUAGUAGGUCUAGGCGUCAUUUAUUAAUUUGCAAAUUCCUAGGCAUUAAUCGGGGCGGUGGCCAACCGCCGGGCGCUGUUGGGAUUUUUAGAGCAGUGGUUAACAUGUUGACCCAAAACCUGUUAUUUCUUUGUCGUUCAAUGUCUGAUUAACGGGUCGUGAAAAAAAAAGUGUCUGGUAUUUGUGUAGAGUUCAAUCUACUAUACCCAAAACAUUCCGUUCUUUCGACGUGUGUACUUUCAUUUAACAACAAUUUUGUGGUACUUGUCAACUGCCACCUACAAAGAAUUGAAACUUUUGGUUAUCCUUAACACUGACAAAAAUCCAUGACAAUUGGUAGAAGAAUUAGAUUGAAUGAGUUCGAAAUUUUCAAUCAUAGAUUUUUGUUCUUGCACCAAAUUCUUUAAUUCUGUGUUCUUGCAAAAAAGACUCGAGAAGUAGUUUUCGGACUUUUGAAGUUUGGCCCUUUGUUAAACUGAAUGAAAGUUAAGAACAGAAAUUUAAAUUUCUUAAGUACCUUAUUUAGAUCUUGGUUUCGUUUUGAAAACUAAGCACAUAGUUUGUUAAAUACAAAAAUUUAUCCACUACAUUCUUUUUUUCUUUUUCUGUUGUUUUGAAACUUGUCUUUUCUGCAGACAGAUUGCAUACCAAGUAUCGAAAGCCAAAAUGGAGUCAGCUGCAUCACUAUUGAUUGGGAAAAUUGCGUUCAUUCUUGAGAACGAAGCAUCUUCCAUAGCGGCAGUCCGUGAUGAAGUUGAUGAGCUUAAGCUGGAGCUCAUAAGCAUGAAAUCUUUCUUAAUAGAUGCUGAAGGCAAGGAACCACAAACAGAAGGAGAGAAAACGUGGGUUACAAGCGUCAGAGAUUUGACCUGCGAUGCUGAAAAUGUCAUUGAUGAGUUCAUGUAUCACAUAUAUGACAAGAAGAGUGCGACUCCAUUUGCAAAAUUGCUCCACAGAACCAUUUACUUUCCAAAGAAUCUUUGGCAUCAGCAUCGAAUAGCCAAAAAAUUACAGAAAAUCACAAAAAAGAUCAAAGCCAUUCCAGAGAGGAAUGAGAGAUAUGGUGUCUCUACAAUAGAAGGAACAACUUCGGAUAGUGUUCCCAGAUGGGUGAAGAACAAAGCCGAGUCUUCUCUUUUAUAUUAUGGAAGACGAACUAAUCGGGAUUGAAGACAAGAAGCAAAGGUUAAUGGGGUUAUUGAUGAAUGGAGAGGAAAAUGAAAUGGUUGUGUCUAUAGUCGGGAUGGGAGGAUCAGGCAAGACAACUCUUGUUGCCAAUACCUUCAACAACGAAAAUGUAAAGCGGCAUUUUGACUGUUAUGCAUGGAUCACUGUUUCUCAAACUUUUGUGAUCGAAGACUUAUUAAAAAAUCUGAUCAAGCAAUUCCACCAAGGAAGAAAGGAAGAGGUGACUGCACAAUUGGAUUCCAUGAGUUACAAAGAAUUGUUAGAGAUGUUGUCGACAUACUUGAAGUCUAAAAGGUACCUAGUUGUAUUGGAUGAUGUGUGGGACAUUAAACUUUGGCAAGAAAUAAGGAUACCACUUCUUAAUAGACAUCAUGGAAGUCGAAUCAUGCUUACAACUAGAAAGAAAGACAUAGCAUUCUAUUCUUUUGAAGUUGAAAGUCGUCCUAUUGAAAUUGAACCCUUGGGAAACAAUGAAGCUUGGGAGCUCUUUAGCAAGAAAGCAUUCUCAACUUACGAUAAUAAAUCUUGUCCACCAGAGCUUGAAUCCUUAGCAUGGAAACUUGUGGAUAAGUGUGAAGGCCUACCUCUGGCAGUGGUAACUUUAGGUGGUCUAAUGUCUUCCAAGAGGUCAUCAUCGGAAUGGAGAAGCGUAUAUAACAGCUUAAAUUGGCACUUGACUAACCAUCCUAUGCUGGAACCAAUGAGCAGCAUCUUGUUGCUUUAGUUUCAACAAUUUGCCCAACCGGUUGAAGCCAUGUUUCUUAUAUUGUGCCCUUUUCCCAGAAGAUUAUCUCAUCAAAAGAAAAAGGUUGAUCAGGUUGUGGAUAGCUGAAGGGUUUGUUGAACCAAUUGAUGGGGUCACACCAGAAGAAGUUGCAGAGGGUUAUCUUGUGGAACUGAUUGUUCGUAGCAUUCUACAAGUUGAAAAGCAUGAAACUGUAGGACUAAGAGCAUGUAAGAUGCAUGAUCUUGUGCGUGAGCUUGCUUUGUCGAUAUCAAAGAAGGAAAAUUUCGGUGCUACGUGUGUUGGCAGAGAAAUAAUAGAUAAAGCUGAAAUCCGCCGAUUGUCAAUUCAAACAACUGAAGGAGAAAUUAAUUCUUGCACAGGUAUGUCAGAGCUUCGCUCAUUUCUUGUCUUUGGCGCGUUAGAGAAAUUGCCUUCUGGAUUCAAGUUGUUGAGAGUUCUAGAUGUGCAGGAUGCUCCAAUUGAUAGAUUUCCAGAUGAACUAGUGUACUUGUUCAACUUAAGAUAUUUAAAUUUGAAGAAAACUUUGAUUAAGGAGCUUCCAGAAUCCAUCGGAAGGCUUCACAAUCUUCAAACGUUGAACAUUUGUGACAGCAAGAUAAAGGCACUUCCAAAAGCAAUCUCCAAGUUAGUAAACCUACGCCAUCUAAUCAUGUAUAGUUACAUUGGUGAUUUGGCAGUCUUUAGACAUGUCAGUGGGACUAAAACAGCAUCGGAUCUAAGUAAAUUACAGAAACUGCAAGUUUUGGAUUCUGUUGAAUCAGAAGGAAAGAUUAUUAAAGGCAUCAGGAAUAUGACCCAACUUACAAGCCUCGGUAUUACAAAUGUGAAAGCAAGUGACGAGAUGGACCUCUGUGACUCCCUUCAAAAGUUAGAGCUCCUUCACGAUUUGUCUUUAAUGGCAAGUGAUGAAGAGGAGUUUCUUUGAGUUAAUGCACUACGUUCGCCUCCUCCAGACCUUCAAAAGGUUAUUUUGGCCGGAAAACUAGAAAAGGUACCUCUUUGGUUUGGUUCACUCCAUAACCUGACACGUAUGUAUCUACGUUGGUCUAGACUGGAAGAAGAUGUGCUACCUCACAUUCAAGCAUUGCCGAAUCUUGAAACGCUUGGGCUAUUUAAUGCAUAUGUUGGCAAAAAAUUGUGUUUCUCCAGAGGCUUCAUAAAGCUUAAGGAUUUGGUGUUGAGCAGUUUCCCGGUAUUGAAUAGUAUAGUUAUAGAGAAAGGGGCGAUGCCAAAUCUCCAGCUCUUAUCCAUUGCGUACUGCCUAGAGUUAAAGGCAUUGCCGCAGGGCAUUGAGUUCCUUGCUAACGUAGAACGCUUGACGCUGUCUUCUGUUCCAAUGCAACUUAUAGAGUCCGUAAGAGGAGGCAUGGAUCAUCCAAAGGUGCAACAUAUUCCUGAAAUCCACCUGCAUUAUGAGAGAGAAAAUAUAUGGUACCAUAAAAGCUUUUCUGGUAUUCACUCUCGCAAAAGGUAUGCACACUUUUAUCCUUGCAUAAAAAAUUUAUUACUGUUAGACUUACCACAUUUUUUGUAUCACAUUUGUACCAUAUUUUUUUUAUAGAGGUAGAGCUCAUCGACACAUAUGGAUCUCAUUUCUAUUAGAGAGGUGAUACAAAUGUGGUAAAAGUAAUAUUUUUGUAAAAAAGUAUUCCACAACUUAAUUAUUUGAACUAUUACGUUAGAAAGUUAAAAGGUUGGUGAUUUUUAUACUCCUUUUUUUUUUCUUAUGCGCUCCUCUUGUUUUGAUUCGUUAGUGUUUUGAUUUAUUAGGCCAUGAAAAAGAGGAAGUAGUGCAUCGGAGUGUAAAAAUCAUUUUCCCUCACAGUUUGCCUGUCCAAUCUUAUAUAGAAGUCCGGCAAAGACAAAAUAUGCAUGCAUUGAGAUUUUAUUUAGUAACUGUGUUUCUUUUGUUUUUUAAUGUCCUUUUUGUAGAAUCAAGCCUCAUAAGCACUUGUAAGACUGCAGUGAGUUCUCCUUUGUGCCAGUUGAUUUUACGGUGAAUCUCGACUUUCGUUAUAGUAACAAAGCUGACUAUAUACGUGUUGAGUGAUUCGCCUUGCAAGGAAGAAUUCGUCUAUUGUUUGUGUGUUGUGUGAAGUUGCAAACAUUGAUCGAUCUUGGUUUCUUAUUUGCCCUUUGUGAAAUUGAAUAAUGCCCAAGAUUCUAUUUGUGUAACUGAAACUUAUAUUAUUAAUUGCUUGCGUGUGUUUUGAUGUAAUAAUAUUGGUUUGGAACUGAAUCUGUCAUUGAUGAGAAUAAUGCCCAAGAUUCUGUUUGUGUAACAGGAACUUAUAUUAUUAUUUGCUUGCGUGUAUUUUGAUAUAAUAAUAUUGAUUUGGAACUGAAUAUGUCAUUGAUGAGACCAAUUCUAACUAAAUCAAUGAUUAUGACCCAUUUUUCAUUUUCAAUAUUUUUUAUUUUUUUAUCAAGUUUUCAAAUAUAUAUUGUUUUAGAGAGGUAAAUUUUAUGGUGGAUGUUUUAGCUCACUAUGAUUUCACUUGAAAAAUUAUUAGAUGGUACGGUAUUACUACGUAGGCCGGUGAUACUUCUAUUCAAAUUUUAACAUGUGUGCAGUUUCUUACAGCUGGAUUAAAAAGGUUUUUUAAUUUACAAUUAAUUUUUAUUUUUUAGUUUAAACAAAAUUAAAAGAACUAAAAAUAAAAGGCGUUUUGACAUAGAUGCCUAACUUUUAAAAUUAAAAAAAUUAACGAAAAUGACUUGAAAAUUCUGAAUUUUAAUGAUAAAGACAAAAUAAACUUUUUAAAAUUUUGAAAUAACCUUUUUUCCUCCCUUUUCUCUCCCAUGGCGACUGCAGUGCUGCCAGUAUCCGAGCCCGCCAGAAAGCAACCCCGAGCUGGUCGGGGCGGAUUCGAGGCCCAUGGACUAUCCGAAGAAGAGGCCCGGGUCAGGGCCAUCGCCGAAAUCGUCAGCUCCAUGGUCAACCUCUCCCGGAAGGACCAAAACGUCGAUCUAAACGCCCUCUAGACCACCGCAUACCGCAAGUACGGCCUCUCACGUGCGACGAAGCUGCUCAAAUGAUUGCAGCUCUGCCGGAGUCGGACCGUAAGGCUCUUCUCCCCAAGCUCCGGGUCAAGUCGGUCCCAACCGCUUCGGGCAUCGCCGUCGUGGCCGGGAUGUCGAAGCUUCAUCGGUGGCCCCACAUCGCCACUACCGGAAAUAUUUGCGUGUACUGCCCCGGCGGUCCCGAUUCGGACUUCGAGCGCAGCACUCAGUCUUACACUGGAUACGAGCCUACUAGCAAUUCGGGCAAGGUAUGGCUUUCUCUAGUUCAUUGACGCAUUUUAUCGAACACUUGAUAGGGAAUUGAAGUUUUAUGUUAUUCAUGAUUCGUUUCGAAGUUUAAAGUUUUCGGCUUGAUUGAUUUUUCACCAUGAAAUUGAGAGCUUUGUAAUGAAGAGAUUAUUUGAAGGAAUUGGUGUUUAAAACUGGAUUAGUGAAGUUAAUUUGGUAGUUAAUCUUUUGGUUUUGUGUGUUUAGAUACAACCCAUAUGUUUAGAGCUUAAAGAAUUUAUUUUCGGGUUUGCAGAUUUCCAUGAUAGAGUAAUAUGCAUAGUUGUCGCCUUGUAACUGGUACUGAAUUUUACUGGGUGCUGCACUGCAAAUUCCAAAACCAGCACGGGACCAGGCAGUCGGGUGGUCCUCAACGAUCUUCACAGAUGCUUCUUCGAUCUUCCGGAAGGUCUAGGGACCACCCAGGUCCUGUAAUGGAUCCGCCCCUGCCGCCACACACAACCUUUCACCUAAUUCCCACACGGAGGCAGAUUCUCUGCCCUCCCACUUCCCGUGUCUUUCUGUUUGUAUGGUCACGGUUAAGCCACGUCAACAUUUUAUAUUACUAUUCCUUUUUGUCUUAUUAUCUCUUAUAAAAAUAUAUAUAUAUAAUGUUAACGUGAUUUAACCGUGACCACAUAAAACGGGAGGACACGGGAAAGUGGGAGGGCAGAGAAUCUGCCUCCUUCCCACACACUGCGCCAACUGUUCGACAAUAUGCCUCAACCAAACCCCCCCGUCAUUAUUCUCCCGCCUCCCACUUCCGCCUACAUCCACCUCCCUUUCUGCCGGAAGCGCUGUCACUACUACGACUUCACAAUCGUCGCCCUCGGUGCUGCUUCCGCCAAACCGAAGGCGACCCGCAAAUGACAAACUACUUCCAGUUACUCUGCCGGGAAAUCAACUCCACAAAAGCCGAAAACAAGACCGACCGGCCUCCGGAGAAGGUGGUUUUUUGCAGCGGCACGCCAUCUCUUGUGCCGCCAAAGCUCGUGAAUUCCGUUUUGGAGACGUUCGAGGUUGAAAUUCGGGUUGAGUUCCCUCCAAGUCGAACAAGGCACGAAAUCUACGGUUUUAGUUUUGGAAUGAAUUUGGUCCUGAAGUUGGAGUUUUUUGUUUGCAGGUAUACACCAGGGGAGUUCCCGUUGCCUUCAGAAACGCGGUCUGCUGAGUUCUAUAAGAUGGCGUCUAGGACGCUUUCGGAUAUCACUGCAAACACAAUCUAACUUAUUGGAAGAACAAGCCUUUCUAUGCUCUCGGCCUUGGCUCCGCUAGCUAUGUCGAUGGCGUGAGGUUUUCGAGACCAAAGAGGAUGAAAGAGUACACAGGUUAUGUGGAGAAUAUGGAGAAUGAUUUGGUGGAGUGCGGUGAGAGUCCCCGUACGCUGCAGGACAUGGCCACGGACGUUGUUAUGAUCUCUCUUUGCAUGAAGAGAAAACAUUACAUUUAUGUACAAUUACUGCUUCGCUGAAUUAAUAUUUAAUAAAUUCGUCUUUGGUCUCACAAUGGGAUUAGGAUUUCUUCCCUGCUUUCACAUUCUUUUAUUUUAUCUUUCUUUUGCUAUAAAAAGUUAAUAUAAGAUGUUGACGUAGGUUAACCGUGACCGUUUAAGUAUGAGGGGAGGGAAGAGAGGGAAAAAAAGGGAAGAUAAUUCUACUCCCUCACGAUGAGCUACCAAUAAUGUGGUUCAAAUUCAUUUUUGACGAGAAUCGAAUUUAAGACAUCUCACUUAUAAAUGAAGAAAAAUAUCACUAGGCUGUAUUACCAAGUAUUUAUUAUAAUUAGUAUUAUAAAUAAUAAAAAAACAAAAGAUAAUAAAAACUGAAACAAAAAAAAAAGAAGAAAAAACCGUACCGUUCAAACUUCAAAGUCAGGGGGAGAGUAAGGGCUGGUUUGGUAUUGUUGUGCUUUGAAAAAAAGCUGCUGUGAAAAUAAGCGGCUGUGCUGUGAGAAUAAGCGGCUGUGAAAUAAAUCAGCAGAGUGUUUGGUAAACUUUUUUGUAAAAGUGCUUUUGAAAAAAAAACAGUCAAAUAGUGGGUCUUUUCAUUAAAGAAGCACUGUAGCUCCGUGUGCUUUGAAAAAAAAAGCCAUUUUUCCAAAGCUGCAAAUAGCAGCUUCAGCUUUUUCCUUUGAUUUCAGCUUAUUCUCACAGCAGCUUCCAAAAUAAGCCAUUUUUUUUCAGUUUACCAAACACCUAAAACCCUCACAGCUUUUUUUCAUGGAUGCUUUUUUUUUAAGCACCUCACUCCCAAACUAGGUCUAAGAGGGAGACCUCCCUUUCUCUGCCGCAUAUCUCCUGGUUUUAUUUUUAAUUUUUUUGGUAAAAAAACCUUCCUGAUCUUUUUACUCAUGUGUUAUUACCAUUUAUCGGAUGAUAUGUUUUCCCGCUUGUUCAGAUUGUUCUCAUGCUUGACCAAUGAGGGAAAAAAUCGUUUUCCACAAUCUAAUUUAGCACUCAAAAUACCAAGAAUGAAGAAUUAGGGUUUUGGGUUUAGUUUUGUUUACCGAACAAAAUAUUUUGGGUUUAGUUUAGUUUACCGAACAAAAUAAUUCAAAAGAAGAGCGAUUGCUCGAUACGCUUUGUGUGCUUCUUAAUUUUGUAUAAAUCGAAUCAAAUCAACAUACAGUAAAGACGGAUUUUCUCUCCUCCUCCUUACGAUCGUGACCAGUUGAUAUUUUUUCCUUUUGAGUUCUACUGGAUUAAUUGAUUCUUAUUCAUUUAAUAUAAUUGUUUAUUUAUUACUUAUAAUUCACAUCAUCAUCCAUGUCACUUAAGGUUUAAACUUUUCAACAAUAGUCUUAAUCAAGACCAUUGAAUGUUAUAAAGUCUAAUGGCUAAAAAAUGAGUGUAAAAAUAUUUGUCUCUUGAACAUAUUAUAUAUGUACUUUUAGAUAUGAAUAUAAAUUAUUCUCUACUAAUUUUUCAAUACGGUAUGAUAAUAUCGUCAGUAAUAUUAUCGAAUACCAAUAAAUAUCUAAAAUUUCAGUUUGCUACAAUACCGUGUCAUUAUCGAUCGGCAUAAAAUCGAUAUGGUACCGUUGUCAAUCGGUGGCACGAUAAGUGUUGAAUUAGAAACUGAAAAAGUAAUUGAAUUUUACUGGAAGUGUAUAUAAGCCUUUGUAAUGUGAAUUAAAAUUACAGUGUGCUUGGGUGAUUUUUCAAAACCUUGUGUUUGUUAUUUGAAAUAAGAGUUUUCUAUUAUAUUUUUUAUUUUAUUCGUGCACCAAUUAUUUUUCUACCGACCCCAAAUUCGAAGCGCAACUUUAAUUGACCUCACCACGCAAUUAUUGUCGGCGAGCAAAAUACAUCCUACGCGGUUUACAAAUUGCCACGUACAUCACAUUAUCAUCUUUGUCCAAAGGUUAUUGCCUUGGACCUCACUAGAGACAAAUGCUUUCUUAUGGUUGUACAAGACUAGAAAUUGGAGUUCAGAUUACAAACGAGGGUGUGGCUCGGGACACCAAUAGAGGUCAUACCAUAGCUGCAGUGGCUGAUUGUUUUUGCUUGGCAAAGGAUGCUGGUUUUAAGGUCAGCCUAGUACCUUAUCAUAAAACUCACUUACCUUCACCGUGGGAAAAGAACGGGUUUUGGACCUUUUAUCAAAACAAUUUGUGAGCCUGGAGAUAUUUUUCAAAUUAUUGUGCUCUCCCAUAAUUCAGCGAGAAUAUUUAAGCAAAAUCUAGUUGGUUUUGGUGUUACCAUUCACUUUGUCUAAGUUCAAGAAGAAGCAUGUAUUUGUAUGGCUGUAACCUUUAUGAAUUGCAAUAUUAAAAGCCUUGAGACUGAUCUCAUGCUACAUCAUUUAAUAAACAAGAUGGACCCGCCCAUCUCAUAUUGGAAACCUAUAUCCCUUCGCAACUCACAACAAUAAUUUAAUUGUGUUCGUAUCGUGCUUGCCAUGUUAAAUUGAGCCUCCUUGUUUUUCUCUUUAUUUUUAGUCGAAACUACAUACUCAAAUUUUAUAUAAUCUAUACUAUUAUUAAAAAAAAAGCCUUGUGAAAAUCUUUCCUACUGAGUGAGCUAGUAGCUCACCCCGUGACAUGUGUUGAAUCAGAGAUUUGAAAAGUAGUUGAUUUUUGCUGGAGGUGCAUAUAAACUUUUGUAAUGCAAAUCACACUGUGCUUAAUUGGGUGUUUUGUAGAAACCUUGUGAUAUAAAAUGAGUUAUCUUUUUUCUUUUCUUUUUAUUCGUGCACCAAGUGAGGUUAUUUUUCUACCAAGAGCCUGACAUUCUUUACUUUAACUUGGUGUAUUUUUACCCAUCACUCUCAAAUGUUAGUAUUGUUUACCAUUCUACACAUUUGAAAUUUAAACAAAUAUAACAAUGAUAUGCACUACACAUAUUUCAAAACUUAAAAUAAUGUAAUUGUGAGAAUUUGAAAGUAAAAGAGUACCACAAUGAUGAAAGCAAAAACCUUGCAAGAGUUUAUAAAAGGUUAGACUACUUCUCAUAUUGUUAAUUACUUUUAUAGUGAAACCUUAACUUUUCAUAGUAUCAGAGCAAGUUGGCCUACGUGUGAAGUCCAACGGUCACACGUGUUCCACGUCACCUAAUUCCUGUUGUUCACGUGUUUGAUUAGUAAGAAUAUAAAAGUAAAAAAAAUCUUAUAUUGAUAAAAGAAUAUCCUUUGCAAAAGUUUAUAAGAAAUUAGAAUACUUUUUAUAUUGUUUACUGUAUAAACUUUAAUAGGAGCUCACCUCGUUAAUGCACUCCUACGCCGAUUCCUAUCUCGAGUUUCAAGGUUUUGCAAAUUGCCACUUGCAUCAAAUUAUUACUUUUCUCCAUGAUUCUCGGUCUUUGUCGAAAAGUCUACGUAAACCAUUUGACGUAUUAGUUUUGUCCAAAAACAGUGGCCUUUGUCCCAUUAAAUAUGGGCAAGAGUUAAGGAUCCUCUACGGUUUCUUUUUGUGAAAAUUUGAAGGAUUAAUUAAUCGUGUGUAUUUAUUGUACAUUGUGUAACUAGAAAUUAUUUAAAUUUUAUAUUUAAAAUUAAAUAUAAAUAGUAUUUAAGGAAAAUUGAUCGUACAAUGUAUGAUGAACGAAUACGUUUAAUUGAUCAUCUGAUCUCAAAAAAAGAAUUCGAAGACCGAUCCUCGUCCGCGUCAUACCAAUUAGUUUAUAUGCACCUUGUUCGACCCCCAUUUUUAUUCACCACUAAAAAAAAUUAAAUUAAAUCUCGUUUUUUAUAAAUUCUUAAUCUUUCAUUUUUAUUAUCCCACCAGAAUAGGGACAAUCAAUUCACAUGGAAGAAUUUGUUUGGCCGAAUCAUUUCAUAGAAAUAUCAGUAUUUUGAUUGAUCUAAAUUUAUGUAAUUUAGUAAUUAUUCAAUUUACCGAGUGACAAAAAAAAUGAAUAUAAUCAACUAAAAUGAAAAUCAUUCUUUAUAUUAUCUUUUUAAAAAUUGCACAUCGUAAAAAGAUACAGUAAAAAUUCUUACUGCGAUUAUGACUCAUAAUAUUUAAUUAUCUCCUAAUACUUACUUCCAAUUAUUUUCCAUUUUUCAUAAAUUUGUAAUCUUCUUCUCAUAUUUGAUAUUUUCAAAGUUCAUUAACAAAGGAGUCCAACAAUAACGUUAAUUAUAGCCUAAUGCAAUUGAAGCAUAUCAUUGCAACUCUUUUGUGAGCCUUCAUAUUCCCCGAAGUAUGUCAUUCUGCACUCUUACUACCAUACAUGAUAUCUUUCUAGAAUUUAUCUGGAAGAAAGUAUAACUAUAAGUGCUUAUGAGCUAUAUCUGAAUUUUUUAUUUUUUUUUAUUUUUUUUUCUUAUUAUAUAUGUCACUCAAGUUCAAAGCAUUCAAACUUGAACACAAAAUUUCAAAUUCGAUUUCUUCUUUAACAAUAUUGCUUGUAUAAAAAAAAGGGGGUAAGUUAUUGAUUUGUACACCAUUAAGUUGAAUUUGGUUGCAAGUCUAAUCAAUGUUAUUUGGUGUUUUAUUUAAAUAAUUUAAGCAAGCAAAAAUGUCAUGUUUGUCGUGUUUUUGGUGUUUUCGUGUUCAUACCCGUUAUCGUAACGGGACGUGUCAUGUCGAACCCGUUACUUUAAUGAAUUCUUAACAAGUAAUCCAAUAACGACUCAAUUUGUUAACAGGUCGUGUCGUCUCAUGUCUCGUUAACAGGUCAUGGAAGAAUUUAAUACACCUAAUAUCUAGAUUUGGAUAACGAUAUCUUAUUAGGUUCUUAGUAGAUGACUUGAUAAUGAUUUUGGUCGUUAACGAAUUGCACUAUGUGCUAGUCAGGCGGCAAGCAGAGGCCUAUCCAGUUUUUUUUUUUAAUUUUAAUUAAAUUUAGAAAAUUGCUAUUAGCAUUCUAAAAAUCUAAUUGUACACUCCAUACUUUUUAUACUUAAAGUUAAUCAUAUUUUAUUCUCUGACACUUAAAAUUACAAAAAUACCCUUUACAAGCUUAGUGGAAAUCCUAAGUGGACAUUUGGGUUCUUGUCAUUCUUUGUCCCGUUCACAUCUUUCUAGGUAGUACAUGUCUUUAGAAACACAUGAGCACAAAAGAGGUGUAAAUCGAACUAUUUAUGCACAUUUUUUAAUGAGAUAAAAUAAUAAUUUGCACCAUCAUGAAUCCAUAACUUGUUGGUUGUCAGUAUUGCAUGCUGCAAACUGUGAUAUUGAGGAGUUAUUCGUUGGACUCGUUAAGCAAGUGGACAAGUAGACUCAUCUCUGUUUGUGUUUAAUAAUUAAGUCCCGUACAUAAUUAAUUAUUUUUUAGGCUUGAACCAAAGACACAUACAUGCUCUCGUUCACUACGAUUGCGUGAACUCAAACUCAUUAAAAUUUGAAGAUACGACAAAAAUUUUACGAAACUCGAUAUCAAGAGAUUAUUAUAAUUCUACUUUGAUCAGUGCACUACCAAUUAUUUAAUGUUUUUUUUCAAAUAAUUGGUUUUGGUAGGUGGAACGUAUCCACGUGACCACUCCUCUUCCCGGUGUAGUUUCAUUAUUUCUCGAGACAUUUACUGAAAUACAAAGUAGUACACCACGUGUCAUUAUAUCAAUGUUGAAAUAUAUGUGUUAAAAAAUUAAUAUCUUAACAAAUACAAUUUUUCACUACUUAUAUAAAAACACGUAAUGUACCACUCAUAUUCCCGUUACAAUAAAAAAUUUCUCCUUCCCCUCAAGUUUCACUCAGCUGUGCCACACUCAUUCUCUUGAAAAAUUGUGAGUGACACUGAUACCCUCUUAAAACUUAAAAAUUGUGAGAGAUACCCUCUUAAGUUUCCACACUAUAAAAUUCUCAAUUUCUGCGCAUGGGAUUGGUAAAAAGUAGGAGUUGUAUACAUGUAAUUAGGGUUCACGUUUUGUAAGUUAUAGCUCCUCUAAAAGGAUUUCGAAUUUCGAAUUUCGAAUUUCGAAGUUAUCGACCAAAAAAACCCUCCCCCCUCACCAAACCAAUCUGGUGUAUAUAUUAGGGAGAAAACUUCCAUAAAACGAUAGAUGUAUAUACUAUUUCCUAAUAGUAAUAGAAGAAUAUUAAAAGGCAUGAGCACGAAAAGCGCUAGUGAGUCUUCUAAUGUAUAAAUUUUCUUACGAUAAUGUGUAUAUUUCAACUGGUGACAAUAUCCUUUUUUCUCCUCCAAAACAUCAAUGCUAGUCAGUUGAAGAUAAAGAUUAAUUAAGCUGCUAAUUUGGAGUGCAACGUUUGAACCUUGGACGGCUACCUAUAUUCUUUUAACUAGUGGAAAACAAAGAGACAAUGGUUUGGCACCUUUUAUUAAUAUUAUUAUGCCUUAAAUGUUAAAAUGGUCUCUGUGUUUUAGUCACUGGGUUAAUUUAGUCCAUGUGUUUUCAAUUUGUUCAAUUUGGUCCUUGUGUUUAUCUCCGUUAGCCAAUUAAGAACAUUUCCAUUUAAUUUAUGUAAAAGAAUUAUAAAUUAUUAUAAACUUAUUUAUAAAAUUAUAAUUUAUUUGAUUUAAAACAUUUAACAUGGAAUAAAAUAAAAAAAUUAAAAGAAAAUUUAUCCUCCUCCCAACUCUCCAACUUCAUCCCUAACAUUACCCCGUCUCAUUUCUAUGUCACAACCUUUAUCAUUUUUCAAAUUGGAAGUUUUAUUUCGUAUCGGUGUUAUUUCUCAUUGAUUUGUAUUUUUCUGUAUAGAAAAAAGAUAAUUAUUUCUCAUUUGAUUUUUCUUAUAAAUUUUUUAAAAGAGAUUGAAUGAAAUGUUCUCAAUUAGCUAACAAAGACAAACAUGAGGAUUAAAUUAACCAAAUAAAAAAUACGAAGACUAAAUUGGCCAUAUAACUAUAACACAUGAACCAUUUUAAUAUUUAAGCCUAUUAUUAUUUUCCAUUUCUUUAAUUUAAUUGCUUGCGUUACUCACAUCUUUUAAGGUAUCAUAUACUUUACCUUUUCUUUAUUUUAUUAUUAUUGGCUUCUAUUCAUAUGGUCCGGGAUCAAACUAUUUAUAAUUCAUUGUCCUCCACACUUACUUUAGAGAAAAUUUGAAAUAAGUUCAAUUUUAUAAACUACUUUUGAAAUAAGUUCAAUUUUUAGUUAUUUUAGAUUUAUAUCAAAAUAUCCCUACUUUUUAAAGGCUAUUGCCCAUUAUAUUCCCUUUUAUCACCCAACUUCCAGUGAAGAAAAAUACUUUUUGUCAACCAUUUUUGUUUGACAAAUUUCCCACAUUAUGCCUCUACAAACAUCAACUUAAAAAAAAAAAGUUUCAAUAUAAUGAAUUCUUAAUAGGUGGCCCAAAUUAAGACUCGAAUAGUUAACAAAUUGUGUUAUUUUAUGUCCAAUUAGCGGUCAUGCAAGAAAUUAAUAUACCUAAUAUCUAGAUCUAAAAAACGAUAUAUUAUCAGUACACCAGCAGUUAAUCAGUUGUGUUAUUUUAUGUCCAGUUAAACUAAAUAACGUGUCACCAAUAAGAAAUAAACAUGUUAAUUAACUUUUAAGUAAUGAUCAAUUCACCAACUUUCAUAUGAUUUAAUUUACAAUUUUAGUCCAAAAAUUUAGUUACUCAAACAUUACUCCUACUCUUAUCAGUACACCAGCAGUUAAUUAAUAUAUUUUUUUAAAAAUCUGAUCGGUGGGACGCACCCACUUCCCCGUGUAGUUUGACUCUUUCCCUCCGAAAAUUUUUCGUUUUGACGGAAAUACGGAUGAUACACUAUUUAUUUUUAUGUAAGUGGUGAAAAAUUUUAAUUUUUAAAUUAUUAAUCUUUUAACACAAAUAACCCACCAUUUAUAUAGAGACACAUAAUAUACCAUUUCGUGUAAUGAAAACAUUGAAAAAUCUCUCGUUUCCCUCACGUUUCCCUCAGUUAUGUUACACUCAAUUGUCUCAAAACACUCAAACAGUCAAACUCUCUCAUUCUCACUCCUCUCCCUUUUCUCUCUCUUUCAACUCUCGCCAUCUCUCCCUUCUGUGCGUCAGAGAAGCCGAGCACCAGAGAGCGGCCACCCCACCGGACCAUCAAACCUCUGGCUCUCAUCUCUGUCACACACUCUCUUUCGACCCUCUAUAUGUGCACACGCUGCACAGAAACGCAGCAGGAACACCACCCUCAUUCGCCAUUUUUGAUCGACCGAGGUAAGGGUCUGGACCACUGGAUUGAUUUUCCCUUGUCAUUUUGAUGAAGAUUGACUCCUUGCAUGUAUGUUUUGGCGAGGUUGGAGUGCAGAAACAAUUCGGGAAACAUGUCCCCUUUUUCCGGCGAGGAGACCCGCGAGCCUCCUUGUUUUUUCUUUAUUUUUAAUUGAAAAUAUACAUACUCAAAUUUCAUAUAAUCUAUACUAUUAUACUAUUAUUAAGAAAAGAGGCCUUGUGAAAAUCUUUACUACUGAGUGAGCUAGUAGCUCACCCGUGACAUGUGUUGAAUCAGAGAUUUGAAAAGUAGUUGAUUUCGAUGGAAGUGUCGAUAAAAUUUUGUAAUGUAGAUUAGAUGCGUUUGAGUGUUUUGUUGAAACCUUGUGAUGUAUAAUAUCAUAAUAUGAGUUACUUUCAUUUUCAUUCGUGCCCCAGGAGAUGUUAUUUUUGAGAUGUAAUAUUCACAGAUUCAAUUUUACUUCUUACACAUCUUUCUAAUUUUUGACCGUCGGAUCAAAUGAAUUGAAGAAGAUCAACGGACAGAAAUUAAUAAGAGGUGCGUGAAAAGUAAUUUGUUAUGUGAGAAUAGCAUACCCUUUUUUUUUUUUUACUGAUUUGAAUCUUGAACCCGACACUUCUAUACUAUAACUUAGCGUACUUUUGCUUACCACUAUGAACGGAUAGUAUUGUUCAUUACUCUACUACUUAUUAUCAUUAGAAGAUUUUAAAUUUUGUCUAUUCUACUUGUAUAUUGAAAUUUAAAUUAAUGUAACAAUAGUAUUUAUUACACAUAUUUUGAAUUUAAAAUUUAAACUAAUGUAACGAUAUUUAUUACAUAUUUUGAAAUUUAAAUUAUGUAACAAUGAUGAAUAAAAUAGUGAACAUCAGCAAAAUUAUUUCCUAUAAAUUUUAAUACGAUCUCGAUUCUCACCUCGUUAAUGCAUCCUACGCGGCUUCCUAUCCCGAGUUUCAUGGUUUUGCAAAUUGCCAUGUGCAUCAAACUAUUACUUUUGUCCAAAAGUCUUGGUCUCUGUCGAAAUGUCUUCGUAAGGGUAAUGCUAGGGAGUUUAAGGAAAUUUAAUUAAUUUUUUUUAGAUUUUAUGAAAAGUUUUGAUUCAGCUCCUUUCAAAAUUCUAGAAGGAGAGGGUAGAUUUGUGAAUACCUAAAAUAGCACAGCAAAAUUUCUCAAUUCCCUCAAUUCCUUAACUUUUUAAUUUUUUUUAAAAUAAAUUUUUGAUUGAAUACACAUAAAAUGUUAUAAACUUUUUUGAAGUCCUAAUUAAAAAUUUCCAGAAUUUUAAUGAUUUUAAUAAUCUAUAUUAAAAUUUUGAUUGAAUACACGUUAAAUUUCAGAAAAUUACUUAAAAUCCUGAUUGAAUACUUCUAAAUUCAUUAAAAGAAUUAAAGUCUGUCAAAUUCUUAAUUGAAUACACAUUCCUAAAUUUGUAGACAAAAUGUAAAAUAAUGAUGUUUUAUCAAUAAAAUAAGCUUUUAUCAAAAUUUAAGUAAUAAUUCAUUCAUCAAUUUUCAUAUAAUUUAAUUUAUAAAAUUGUAUCUACAACUUUUGUCUCGCCACAUUACCCCUUCGUAAAUAAUUUGAUGUAUUAGUUUUGUGUCCAAAAGUACUGGUCUUUGUAUCAUCAAGCAUGGACAAGAGUUUGUGUUAUAGGCUAUAGCGAUUAGAUUACAUAAACCUAGUGCCCACGAGAAUAUGUACAAUCAAAUUAUUUUUUAAACAAACGAUUUUAAAUAGAAGAAUUUGUUAGGCCGAAUUAUUACAUAGAAAUAUUGGUUGAUCUAAAUGCAUGUAAUUUGGUAACUUACCGAUUGACCCAAAAACAAUGAAUAAAUCGACUGUAAAGAUGAUCAUUACCUAUAUUUCGUAAACAAAUACAGUAAAAAUUCUUACUGGGUUAUGACUCAUAAGAUUAAAUUAUCUCUCUAAUAGGCUAAUACUUACUUUUAAUUAUUUUCCAAUUUUUAUAAAUUUGUAAUCUUCGUCUUCUUCUCAUAUUUGAUAUUUCAGAGUUCAUUAAUGAAGGAAUCCAACAAUAACGUAAGUUGUAGCUCAAUGCAAUUGAAGCAUAUCAUUGCAACUCUUUUGUGAGCUUUCAUAUUCCCCAGUGUAUGUUAUUCUGCACUCUUACUGCCACAUAUAAUAUCCUUCUAGAAUUUAUCUGGAAGAAAGUAUAAGUGCUUAUGAGAUAUAUCUGAUUUUUUAGUUUUACUUUUUUUCUUCUUAUUUUAUAUAUGUCACUUAGGUUCAGAGCAUUCAGCCUUCAACACACAAGAUUUCAAAUUCGAUUUCUUCUUCAACAAUAUUGCUUGAAUGAAAAAAAAAGGGUAGGUUGUUGAUUUGUACACCAUGAAGAUGAAUUUGGUUGUAGGUCUAAUCAUUAUUAUUUGAUGUUUUUAUUUAAAUAAUUUUAGCAAGCAAAUGUCAUGUUUUAUUUUUCGUGUCAUACUCAUUAUCUUAACAAAUCGUAUUGUAUCAAACUCGUUAUCUAAAUGAAUUCUUAACAGGUAAUCUAAUAAUGACUCGAUUCAUUAAUGGAUCAUGCCGUUUCAUGUCCAGUUAAUGGUCAUGCAAGAAUUUAAUAUACUUAAUAUCUAGAUCUAGCAAACGAUUUCUAAUAAGGUUCUCAACGAGUGACUUGAUAAUGAAUCAUACUAGGCGCAAGUCGGGCAGCGAGCAAGGGCUAGCUUAGGCGGAGGGCCUAGGUGGUUUUUUUAAUUUUAAUUAAAUUUAGAGAAUUGCUAUUGGCACUGCAAAAAUCUAAUUGUACACUCCAAACAUUCUAUAUUUAGAAAAAAAAAAUCUUAUGAAGAGUAUACAGAGUGCUGAUAAUAAUUGCCUAAAUUUAUUAUAUAACAUAUAUAUAAACAUUUGCCUAUGCUUAAAAAAAAACAUAACAUUAUGUACAUAAAUUGCAAAAUAAAGGACAUAUAUAUUAUAAAGUAUUAGAACAUAUUGAAACAUAGGGAACAAACCUAAAAUAUUAUUUGUAAGCAUAAGCCUAUCGCAUAACAUCCUUGCAUCUUACUUGCUUAUUGUUACAUGUUUGUGCAGCGUCUCUUAGUUAUUUUGUACUGUCUUGGGCCAAGGAACAACUUCAUUGUAUAUUCAUAUACACCAUUUACGUUCGAUUUGGAUCCAGAGUUAGGUGCCAGCAUGUCUUUAGGUUAGAUGUUUGGACUCAUAUGUGAUGUGCUUAGUGCCCGCUUCAUGUGAUGUAGUACUAGAACGUAAAAUCUAAACCCAACAUUUUCCAUUGUCAAAAUAUCUCUGAAAUGGACUUGUGCGCGUACAUACAUUAAUGAGCAGUGGCUUAUGCUUUGAGAUGAUUGUUGUAUACGUACUCUGUAUUCUUCGACUUACGAUAUAUGUCGGAUACUAUAUAGUAGUACGUUGUAUUAUUAUUUUUGGGGAACAAUAUACUUGUUUUACAGCGAGGGGUUACACGUUUUCAAAAAGGUUUUCCAAGCUUUAUUUUGUAGGCCCACUCACCCUUAUUUGUCUUCCCGCUAGGAUUUAAGUGGUAGAGCUUUUAUGACAACGAGGAUUGCUGGCAAGCGCUGACAUAUAGGAGGAUUUCUCCCUUCGGUAUAAAUGUUCUUUAUCUUUUACUAUAAGUUACUUGUAUCUGUCAUCACUUGUGUGAAAAGUGUUUAACUCCACCCACAUGCGCACUCUAGAAUUAGUUACUCUAGGUUUAAAUUAGUCUACACUUUCCACAUCACCAUUACUUUAUGGCUUUGUCACCUUCCAGGUGUCGGCCAACACAACUCAAUUCAAUUGUCCAGGUGGACAUUUUGGGUCGGGGUGUGUCAUAAUGAGUGUUCAUCCAAUUAUUUAAUCAGUCUAUUACAAUUUAUUAAAAAAAUUACAAUGAAAAUUAUCUAUUUUCUGUAUAAGUAAGAGUUUUGACUUAGGCAGUCUAGGCGGGCGCCUAGGUAGGUUUAGGUAGACAAAAUUGUCAGGCCUUUGUGUAGAGUUCAAUCUGAUGUACCCAAAAUAUUCUGUUCUUCUUUUCGAUGUGUGUACUUUCACUUAACAACAAUUUUGUGGAACUUGUCAACUGCAACCCACAAGGAAUUGGAACUCAUUUUUGUCCUUAACACUGUCAAAAAACCAUGAUGUUUGGUGGAAGAAUUAGAUUGAACGAGUUCGAAAAUUUUCAAUCAUAGAUUUUUUGUUCUUGAACCAAAUUCUUUAAUUUUGUGUUCUUUGGAAAAAAGACUCAAGAAGGUAGUUUUCAGAAUUUUCGACUGAGUUUGGCCCUUUGUUUGUUAAACUGAAUGAAAGUCAAGAACAGAAAUUUAAAUUUCUUGAGUACUAGACAAUUUCGGUACCUUAUUUAGACAAUUUCGGCACUUGGUGCGAUGGCAAGUGCCUUCGCCCAUGAGCGGUAGGUCUCGGGUUCGAGACUUGGGAGCAGCCUCCAUAAAUGGGGGUAAGGUUAGCCGACAUUCACCUUUCCCAGACCCUGCGUAAAGCGGGAGCCUUGUGCACUGGGUACGACAUUUUUAAGAGGUCGCACUUGGUGCGAUGGCAAGUGCCUUCGCCCAUGAGCGGUAGGUCUCGGGUUCGAGACUUGGGAGCAGCCUCUCCAUAAAUGGGGGUAAGGCUAGCCGACAUUCACCUCUCCCAGACCCUGCGUAAAGCGGGAGCCUUGUGCACUGGGUACGACCUUUUUGUAGUUUUGAAAACUAAGCACAUAGUUUGUAAAAUAAAAAAAGUUUAUCCAUUGCAUUCUUUUUCUUUUUCUGUUGUUUUGAAACUUGUCUAUUCUGCAGAUAUAGAUUGCAUACCAAAGUAUCGAAGGCCAAAAUGGAGUCAGCUGCAUCACUAUUGAUUGGGAAAAUUGCGGCCAUUCUUGAGAACGAAGCAUCUUCCAUAGCGGCAGUCCGUGAUGAAGUUGAUGAGCUUAAGCUGGAGCUCAUAAGCAUGAAAUCUUUCUUAAUAGAUGCUGAAGGCAAGGAACCACAAACAGAAGGAGUGAAAACGUGGGUUACAAGCGUCAGAAAUUUGACCUGCGAUGCGGAAAAUGUCAUUGAUGAGUUCCUGUAUCACAUAUAUGACAAGCACAGUGCGAGUCCAUCUGCAAAAUUGCUCCACAGAACCAUUUACUUUCCAAAGAAUCUUUGGUAUAGGCAUCGAAUAGCCAAAAAAUUACAGAAAAUCACAAAAAAGAUCAAAGCCAUUCCAGAGAGGAAUGAGAGAUAUGGUGUCUCUACAAUAGAAGGAACAACUUCGGAUAGUGUUCCCAGAUGGGUGAAGAACAAAGCCCAGUCUUCUCUUUAUAUUAUGGAAGACGAACUAAUCGGGAUUGAAGACAAGAAGCAAACGUUAAUGGGAUUGUUGAUGAAUGGAGAGGAAAAUGAAAUGGUUGUGUCUGUGGUCGGGAUGGGAGGAUCAGGCAAGACAACUCUUGUUGCCAAUACCUUCAACAACGAAAAUGUAAAGCGACAUUUUGACUGUUAUGCAUGGAUCACUGUUUCUCAAACUUAUGUGAUCGAAGACUUAUUCAAAAAUCUGAUCAAGCAAUUCCACCAAGGAAGAAAGGAAGAGGUGACUGAACAUUUGAAUUCCAUGAGUUAUGAAGAAUUGUUAGAGAUGUUGUCGACAUACUUGAAGUCUAAAAGGUACCUACUUGUAUUGGAUGAUGUGUGGGAUAUUAAACUUUGGCAAGAAAAUAAGGAUACCACUUCUUAAUAGACAUCAUGGAAGUCGAAUCAUGCUUACAACUCGAAAGAAAGGCAUAGCUUCCUAUUCUUUUGAAGUUGAAAGUUGUCCUAUUGAAAUUGAACCCUUAGAAAACAAUGAAGCUUGGAAGCUCUUUAGCAAGAAAGCAUUCUCAACUUACGAUAAUAAAUCGUGUCCACCAGAGCUUGAAUCAUUAGCAUGGAAACUUGUGGAAAAGUGUGAAGGCCUACCUCUGGCUGUGGUAACUUUAGGUGGUCUAAUGUCUUCCAAGAGGUCAUCAUCGGAAUGGAGAAGAGUAUACAACAGCUUAAAUUGGCACUUGACUAACCAUCCUAUGCUAGAAUCAAUGAGCAGCAUCUUGUUGCUUAGUUUCAACAAUUUGCCCAACCGGUUGAAGCCAUGUUUCCUAUAUUGUGCCCUUUUCCCAGAAGAUUAUCUCAUCAGAAGAAAAAGGUUGAUCAAGUUGUGGAUAGCUGAAGGGCUUGUUGAACCAAUUGAUGGGGUCACACCAGAAGAAGUUGCAGAGGACUAUCUUGUGGAACUUACUGGUCGUAGCAUGCUACAAGUUGAACUAAGGAAUGAAGCUGGAAGACCAAAAGCAUGUAAGAUGCAUGAUCUUAUGCGUGAGCUUGCUUUGUCGACAUCAAAAAAAGAAAAGUUUGGUGCAACAUAUGUUGGCCGAGAUAUAGUAGAUAAAGCUGAAAUCCGUCGAUUGUCAAUUCAAACAACUGAAGGGGAAAUUAAUUCUUGCACAGGUAUGUCAGAGCUUCGCUCCUUUCUUGUCUUUGGCACGUUAAAGAAAUUGCCUUCUGGAUUCAAGUUGUUGAGAGUUCUAGAUCUGGAGGAUGCCCCAAUUGAUAGAUUUCCAGAUGAACUAGUGUACUUGUUCAACUUAAGAUAUUUAAAUUUGAAGGGAACUUUAAUUGAGGAGCUUCCAGAAUCCAUCGGACGGCUUCGCAACCUUCAAAACUUGAACAUCCGUGACAGUAAGAUAAAGGCACUUCCAAAAGCAAUCUCCAAGUUAGUAAACCUACGCCAUCUAACAAUGUAUCGUUACACUAAUUAUCAUUAUGGCUUUAUGUAUGUCAUUGGGAUAAAAGCAGCAUCCGAUCUAAGUAACUUACAGAAACUGCAAGUUUUGCAAUCUGUUGAAUCAGAAGGAAGGAUUAUUAAAGUCAUCAGGAAUAUGACCCAACUUACAAGCCUCGGUAUUACAAAUGUGAAAGCAAGUGACGAGAUGGACCUAUGUGACUCCCUUCAAAAGUUAGAGCUCCUUCACUAUUUGUUUUUGAUGGCAAGUGAUGAAGAGGAGUUUCUUCGAGUUAAUGCACUACGUUCGCCUCCUCCAAACCUUCAAAAGGUUUAUUUGGCCGGAAAACUAGAAAAGGUACCGCUUUGGUUUGGUUCACUCCAUAACCUGACACGUAUGCAGCUAUAUUGGUCUAGACUUGAAGAAGAUUUGCUACCACACAUUCAAGCAUUGCCGAAUCUUGAGAGGCUUGAGCUAGUUAAUGCAUAUGUUGGCGAAAAAUUGUGUUUCUCCAGAGGCUUCAUAAAGCUUAAGCGUUUGGAUUUGCGCAACCUCCCCUUAUUGAAUAGUAUAGCUAUAGAGAAAGGGGCGAUGCCAAAUCUCCAGGUCUUAGACAUUUGGGAAUGCAUGGAGUUAAAGACAUUGCCAGAGGGCAUUGAGCUCCUUGCUAACGUAGAACGCUUGAUUCUGGGUCAUGUUCCAAGGCAACUUAUAGAGUCCGUAAAAAAGAGGCAUGGAUCAUCCAAAGGUACAACACUUUCCUGAAAUCAGCCUGUAUUACAUGGGACACCAUGAAAGAUUGUCCGGUAUUCACUCUCGUAGAAGGUACGCACACUUUUAUCCUUGCAUAAAAAUUUGAGUAAUGCUAGACUUAUCACAUUUUACAUACUAUAUAUUGUGUACCACCUUUUUAAUAGAGGUAGGGUCCAUCAACAUAUGUGGGUCUCAUUUCAAUUAGAGAGGUGAUACAAAUAUGGUAUGAAAAAUGUGGUAAAAGUAGCAUUUUUGUAAAAAAAAUUCCACAAUGUAAUCAUUUGAACUAUAUUCCUCUUGUUUUUGUUCGUUAUUAUUUUGAUUUAUUCAAUUCUAAGGCUACGAAAAAGAGGAAGUAGUGCAUCGGAGUGUAAAAAUCAUUUUGCCUUAUAAUUUGCAUGUUCAAUCUUAUUCACAAGUCUGGCAAAGACAUAAUAUAUGCAUGCAUUGAGAUUUUAUUCAGUAACUGUGUUUCGUUUGUCUUGUAAUAUCCUUUUUGUAGAAUCAAGCCUCAGAAGCACUUGUGAGACUGCAAUCUUUUUUGCCAAUUGAUUUUGUGGUGAAUCUCGACUUUCGUUAUAGUAACAUAUCAGACUAUAUACGUGUGGAGUCAUUCACCCUGCAAGGAAGAAUCCGUUUGUUGUUUGUGUGUUGUGUGAAGUUGCAAACAUUGAUCGAUCUUGGUUUCUUAUUUGCCCUUUUUGAAAUUGAAUAAUGCCCAAUAUUCUAUUUGUGUAACUGAAACUUAUAUUGAUUGCUUGCGUGUGUUUUGAUGUAAUAAUUUUAGUUUGGAACUAAAUGUGUCACUGAUGAGAAUAAUGCCCAACAUUCUGUUUGUGUGUUACAAGAACUUAUAUUAUUGUUUGCUUACGUGUAUGUUGAUGGAAUAAUAUUGGUUUGGAACUAAAUAUGUCAUUGAUGAGACCAAUUCUAACUAAACCAAUGGUUAUGACCCAUUUUUCAUUUUCAAUAUUUAUUGUUUUUUUUUUUUUCAAGUUUUCAAAUAUAUAUAUUGUUUUAGGAAGGUAAAUUUUGUGGCGGAUGCUUUAGCUCACUAUGGUUUUAUUGCUAUUGAGAAUUAUUUGAUUUGAUGGUACGGUAUUACCAUGUCGGGUGAUAUACUUCCAUUCAAAUUUUAACAUGAGUGCAGUUUCUUACGGCUGGAUUAAAAACUUUUUUAAUUAUUUUUUUUUUCAGUUUAAACAAAAUUAAAAGAAAAAAAAAUUCUCAGCUCCUUCCGCCAAAGCCCCAGUUCCCCACCACCACCUUCAUUCCCUGCCAUCAAUUGCCAUGAUUGCCUGCCUCCUGAGAAAUCACAUCCACCGUCAUAAGAAAUAAUAUCAACCUUAAAGAAUUAAUAUUCACCUUCAACAUCCAGCAAUCAGUCCCCAGUGGCUCCUCAAGGACUCAGCCAUCGAAAUCCCCCAAAGCCCCAACGAAGUCUGAGUUGCGAACGGCUCCCUGCCGAAAUCUCCAUCUCGAAACACCGCCACGGGUCUCCAACAUCCGUUGAACUCGGCGUCAUCUUCCUCCGUUCCACGUCUGUACAAAUGGCAAGUUUGAAGUGAAAGUACCACAACUGACGUGGUGAUACUGUAUCAUUCUACAAUUUAUCGUCUCACGCUAGCUAACCCUCAUUUUUGGGACCAUUGCUUGCCUUAUCGCUCAUAAUGCUUGUAUGGGAUAGAUGUACAAGAAGAUUUAGUCUUUAAUAGAAAUUUCUUUGUUGAUAAAAAAAAAAAAAUGUGUGUAUAUAUAUAUAUACCGUAUUAGAAGAAAAUAAGUGAUUUUUGUAAAGUAAAUAAAUAAUAAGAAUAAUGUUAAGUACACUAAAUGAUGUGGCCCAAUCAAAAUUUUACUUUAAUUCAAGUUUGAUUUGAUUAAUAAUUGUAAUAAAAAUUUAGGGGUAUUUGUCGUUUUCUCCUCUGAACUUGUAAGGAAAUGCCAAUUUCCCCUUGAACUUUAAUUUUAGCCAAUUACCCCAAUGAACUUUUGUAAUUAGCCAAUUUACCCCUUGAUGUUAGAUUUGAGAAUUUUCCAUCCAAUUUUCCAUCCAACUCGGUCACAUGCAUGGCACAUGCCAAAUUUUUAAGGGUAAAAAAGUAAUUUUAUCCCUAAUGUAGACAUUCUAUCUUUAUUCUUCUUCUCUUCCACUAGUUCACUUCGUACAAUUUUGUCUAAAUUAGCUAUAGAAGUCUAAUUAGCAACUGAAAAAUAUUGGCUCAGUGCCCAGUUUACCAAAAUGAAAUUAACGAUUCUUACUUCGAGUGCUUUAAUAAAGUAAACAACAUCCACAAAAAAUAUGCAACAGACUUAACAGCCUUAACAGCCUUGCACCUAGCAUCCACAAAAAAUAUGCAACAGACUUAACAACAUCCACAAAAAAUCUACUGCAUAAUCCUAUUAAAAGACCAACUUAAUCUCAACACCAAAGGUUUUCAUUAACAGGACGAAAUGCCUUCGAACACAUUAUAGUUAUACUCUCCAUGGUCUUGGCUUUUUGGCAACACGUUGGGGUUGUGAUGCCAUUUCAUUAGCCUUUCUUGUGACUUGAUUCACACGACCGCCUCGGUACACCUAUUUGAACUCAACACGAAAGCAACAAAAAUGUUAGCAAACCCAAAACAACAAAAAUUAAUGUAUAACAAAUAUUUUUGUUUUUUAAUAAAAAAAAGACAGAUUCUUGUUAUUACAUGUAGUUUAGAAGUUCCUUGUGGCCUAGUUUGAGAUGGAGCAGCCCCCGAGUGAUGAUGUGCACCAGUUUCCUACAUCAAAACCAUUUAUACUCAAUUAUUUAUGUUCACCUAGCGACUAGAUAAGUGAUAUAACAAAACUCAAAAUAAAUACAAUCCUUAUUGAUCAAAUUACCUCUUUUGUGGGCACAAAACCUUGUUGUGAUUGUAGUAGCCUUUGUGGACAGCUUCUUUUGUUGUGUCCUUCCUCUCCACAGGUUUGGCAAUGCAUUACAACAUCAUAUUUCCUUAGCUUUGUUGGCCCCUUCUUUAUCUCAUCCGAUGCUUUUGUUCUUUUGCCUUUAGGUCUUCCAAGUUGCUUGUGGUAAAAAGGGGGUUUAAUAGGCCUAAGACCAGUUCUCUUCCACUGUUCUUUUCCAGGCAUAGGAGCAAUAUACCCUUCAUAACACCUAUCAUAAGCUGGCCUUUUGUAAAGUGAGUGAACAAACACUUGUGGACUAGCCUCCUUCCUAGCAAUUGCGGAUAUAGCAUGAGGUCAAGGAAUGCCACAUAGCUGCCACUUCCUACAAGAACAAGUGUGCCUUUCCAAAUCUACUACAAACAUACUACCAACCAAAGUAUGCACUUGAUAUUGACCAUUCCCUGAAUAAUUGGCAAAACAAUUGAAACCAUCCAUUUGAUUUUUUUUUCAACAAUCUUUAAAAUUCUAGGUCCAACCUGUUGGGUCCACUUAGCUUCUCUUAGCCUAGCCAUUCUCAACAUCAAAUAUUUUUGAAUCCUUUGUAACAUCGUAAUAAUCGGUUUAUCUCUUGCAUCUAAAAUUGCAGAAUUAAAUGACUCACACAUGUGAAUAACAAAUCACACUUUACUGAUGUUCUGAAAUGAGAUCUGCUCCAAUGGCAAGGUGGCUUAUCAGCUAGCCAUUUCACUGCCUUAUCAGAUUGAUAGACAAUCUGGUUCAACUUUAAAUGGCUUAUCAGCUAGCCACACAUAACCAGUUGAUAGACAAUCUGGUUCAACUUUAAGUGGACUUUCAAACCCUUGAUAUGUAUUAAUGCAGGGAUUUUGACGUGGAAAGAAAGAUAACUUGGUCAACUUUCAGUUGCUGAUCAACUGGCAUAGCCACCAGGCAAUCGCCAAACAUUAAACCAAAUGCCAGUACAAGUUUGUUGCUCAGUUCUAUCCGACAAGUCGCAUAAAUAUGGUACUUACACAAAUGUCUUCUAUCUUUUUCAAUAAUUACAACCCAUCCCCUUCUUGAAAAAUUUAAAAGGUUGAAUGGCGUGUGGGUGUGGCUGGGCUGGGAUUAGGGUGGGAGGGUGUGGGACGCAUAACUGAAUAAAACAAUGAAGGGACCCCAUAUACACACACGACUGGAAAAAUAACACGCAAAGCAAACCUUUCACAUAUUAAACAAACUGAAAAAGAAAAAGUGAAGACUUACUGUAUCUUGGAGGAUGCCCACCAUCCCUGACCACGAUACUCAUCGUUCUCAACUUCAAAACUCAAAAUACCUUCAAUAUUUGGUAGCAAUUUGUUGAUUUCACUGUCUAUUCUCCUUAUCUUUUCCCAGACUGUAACCCUAUAAUGCCCAAUUCUUUAUGGCUCGCCUUCCCCUGCUUCUCCAUAUACCCAACAACGAUUAGGUUUGGUUGUGGUGUAUGAUUACCAUUUUGUCCUCACACCAUUAGCAUGUGCAGAGCACGUGAUCGAAUUGGAUGGUAAAUUCUAAAAUAUAACGGCAGAGGGUAAAUUGGUGAUUUACACAAGUUUAUGGGGGUAAUUGGCUAAAAUUAAAGUUCAGGGGGGAAAUUGACUAUUGCUUACAAGUUCAGGGGGUAAAUCAGCGAAUACCCCAAAAAUUUAUAUGGUGUUAUACGUGUCAUAUCAUUUAGUGAACACAUUUGGCGCAUAAAUUUGGUGUAUAUAGCAUCACCCAAAAAAUAAUAUUAAAUGGGUGGUGUUAUUCAUAUUUCAUACACUCAUUUUUACGUCUCACACGUAUUUUUCAAUUUCAGGUCGUCAGAUCAAAUAAAUUGAAGAAAUCAAUGAACAAAAUCAACAAGAAUGUAUGACAAAUAAAAAGAAGUGCGUAAAUAGCAAUGUACUACCCUAAUAAUAAUAUGAUUGACCGGUUUGUGUAAAUAUCUUACUAAUACCAAAAAAAUAAAUAAAUGAUAUUCAUUAAAAACCUUUGUCGAUGUACAAUACACAAAUCUCACAUUCCUAAGGAAUUUAUGUAUUUUAGGUAAAGAAUAUAUAUGUCAUAUCCCGGCCCGGGGCGAAUCACUUCCUGGGCCCGCUCCACCACCGUAGCACGAUAUUGUCCACUUUGGGCCCCGACCACGCCCUCACGGUUUUGUUUAUGGGAACUCACACGAGAACUUCCCAGUGGGUCGCCUAUCAUGGGAGUGCUCUUGUGCGCUACUUGCUUAACUUCAGAGUUCGGAUGGAACCCGAAGCCAGUAAGCUCCCAAAAGGCCUCAUGCUAGGUAGGGAUGAGAAUAUACAUAUAAGGAUCACUCCCAUGAGCGAUGUGAGAUCUUACAAUCCACCCCCUUAGGGGCCCGACGUCCUCGUCGACAUAUCACAGUCAGGGUUAAGCUCUGAUACCAAUCUAUCACAUCCCGGCCCGGGGAGGAUCACUUCUCAGGCUCGCUCCACCACCGUAGCACAAUAUUGUCCGCUUUGUUUCUGGGAACUCACACGAGAACUUCCCAGUGAGUCACCCAUCAUGGGAGUGCUCUCGCGCGCUACUCGCUUAACUUCAUAGUUCGGAUGGAACCCGAAACCAAUGAGCUUCCAAAAAAUCUCGUGCUAGGUAGGGAUGGGAAUAUACAUAUAAGGAUCACUCCCCUGGACGAUGUGGGAUCUUACAAUCCACCCCCCUUAGGGGCUCGAAGUCUUCGUCGACACAUCACAGUCAGGGUUAGGCUCUGAUACCAAUCUGUCACAUCCCGGCCCGGGAAGGAUCACUUCCCGGGCUCGCUCCACCACCGUAGCACAAUAUUGUCCGCUUUGGGCCCCGAUCACGCCCUCACACGGUUUUGUUUAUGGGAACUCACACGAAAAACUUCCCAGUGGGUCACCCAUCAUGGUAGUGCUCUCGCGCGCUACUCGCUUAACUUCAAAGUUCCGAUGGAACCCGAAGUCAGUGAGCUCCCAAAAGGCAUCGUGCUAGAUAGGGAUGAGAAUAUACAUAUAAGGAUCACUCCUCUAGGCAAUGUGGGAUCUUACAAUAUAUAUAUAUAUAUAUAUAUAUAUAUAUUAUUGUUAUUUUUUGAGCAAACGAUAUUAUAUAAUUAAGGGGAAGUUGAGCUCUUACAUGACGGCUUGGGUUCAAAUCCCGUCGUAGUUAAUCUAACAAAAUCUAUCGUUUAACAAGAAAAAAAGGGGGAGCGGUAUGAUGUGGUUCAAAUUCGUCUUUGGCGAGAAUCGAACCUAAGACCUAUCACUUACAAGUGAAGAGGAAUACAAAUAUAUCAUAGUAAUGAGUGGCUUUAGGUUAAGAAUAUUAACAAAAAGAGCAUUCUAGAAUUUAGAGGUUGGGGUGUGAUAUCCACACACCUUUUUUUUACUUUUCACACACCCUUCUAAUUUUCGGCCGUUGGAUCGAGUGAAUUGAAGAAAAUCAAAGGGCAGAAAUUAACAAGAGGUGUGUGAGAAGUAAAAAGAUGUGUGUGGAUAACACACCCAUAGAGGUUGUGGUGUUUCAAACAAGUUCAGUUGAUAAUGUUCUCACAUGAUUGACAAAUGACAAAGAAUGCAUUCUAGAAUUUGCCGCACGGCCAACAUGGUCCGUCGACUGUAAAUGUUUAGAAGACCCUAAAUUAUACGUGCCAAGAGCUACAUAGACCUUAUUCGGAAUGGGUACAUAAGUACAAUGUAUGACGUUUUAUGCUAAUAAUACAAUGACGACAUGUGUAGGUUUCUCUUUACAAGACAAUUUAUCAUUGCAAUAAGAUGCCAUAGUGAUAGUAUAUUUGUGUCAUGUAAGUUACUCUCAUAAAAUAAAUAUUGUGGAGCCAAAAAUAAUUCUAAAAAUUCAGAAGACGACACGUGUACUUUAUUCCGAAGAAGACAAGAUUGACCUCAUUAAAUUAGGAGGGGCAAACAAAUACUCGCACGUGCACGUGCAACUUCUCGGGAAGUUCAAGCAGCUAACUACGACUGCUUAAACCUCUCUUGGGGGAAGUCACAAGUAUUAAAUAUAGGGUUAAUUACUAAAUCUUAUUUUUAAUACAUUCUCAAUCGAAGAUCAACUCAAUCAAGUAAGGAAUCCCUACAUAUCACAAUCAAUUAGGGAUGUUUCCACCAUUAUCCCAAGAUAGUUUCUCCUAAUUAAUAUAUUGGGAAUAUUUUUUCCUCAUUCAGAGCAACUCCACCCUUGGAGCCAUUCCCCCUGGCAAUCCACUAUUGAAUCCACCAUAUUGAACAGUAACUGCCUUUAAUGAAUAGUAACUAUCAUUAAUGAACAGUAAUUACCUUUUGCAUCUCCACCCUUGGAGCCCUCCCCCCUGACAAUAGGUAAUAAAAUAUUAUUAUUUUUUGUUUGUUUAAAUAAUACAAAAUAAAAAAAAAACAUUGAAAUGGGGCUGUAGGCCUUCGGGCUGACACAAAAAAAAUAAAAAAUGCCUGGCCCUUGGGCUGCAGGCCUGUCAAUUCCACACCCCCAUUGUGCUCGAGCUCUCCAAGGCUGGAGGGUUGUCCACCGGGCCUCGGGCCCUUUCCUGAUGCCUGUCCCCCAAGCAAUCCACAAGGGUGGACUUGCUCUCAUCCAACGGAUGAGAAACGUUUCUUUCAUAUGAAGAAACUCGCCAGUUAUUCCUUCUAUAUUUGUGAUAGAGUGCAUCUUCACACGAAAGGAUCAUUCGGUUCUUGUCAUGUGAAAUAUGUGUUUCUCGGAUUUGCAUAGUAAUUUUGUGCACAGAAUCUUAUGGCUUCAGUUUUUUCCAGGUGAGCAGGUUGUGUAACUUGAUUUUGUUAUUAUUCUUUUGUAAACACGAUAUUCUCGUUCGGUUGCUACGAUUAUCAGUGUGGCCGGAAUACUACUUGUCCCAAACGCAUGGGGAAGUGCUCUAUAUUGUUCGUGAACUCCGUGUGUUAUGGGACUGUUGUUCCUGUUCAUGGGUGGAUUCUGACAAGCUGCAACACCAGGUAAUGUAGCUUGUACAUCAACUGUUUCAUGUUUCCAUAAGUGGUGAGAUAAAUUUGUUGGGUCUGAUUGAUUCAAACAGGAUUAUGGUACCCUUUUGAUGAAGGAGGCCGAGCGGUUUGCUAGCCGGGGAGCAUCGAUAGAAAAAGACUGCUUGAGCUUGAAGGGAAACACCCAAAAAUAAGACUAAGGUUAGACUUUAUGCAACAAAUGACUGAGACUUUAUUGUUAGCAUAUUGAAUAGAAGGACGACGUCCAAAUAAUACAAAUUUUGAACAGCAAAACCGAACCACCUCCUAACGAAUCUACCUAGCUAUUUUUCUUGUGUUACUUUUUCAUUCUCUAUUCUUCAUGUUGAUUUCCAUAUUGAUCUUCUGCUUCGGACUGUGAACAGAAUUGAAUCAAAAGAACCAUAUGAGGAAACCAACAUCAAGUGCGCAACGGAAAAGUUGCUCCUUUUGUGACAGAAAGGUCAUGGUUCAAGUCGUGGGAACAAUCUAUCUGCAGAGUAAGGGUAAGACUGUAUACGAUAGAUGUCCUCCUCCUGACCCUCACAAAGUGGAAGACUUGUUGCCUUGGGGUCGUCCUUUUACUUUUUGAUUCUUAAAUCUUGAUGUUGAUGUCUGUCUUGCUCUUCCGCUUCGGACUCUAUCCUUUAAAGAUAUAAUUAUCGACUACGAACUGAUAAAUUUUAGUUAGAAACCCUUUCAUUUCAGAUGAAUAAGCUCUGACAAAAUUCGUCAUUUGUCAUUUGGCUCAAAAAAUUGACCCCCACAGGAAAUUUACAACUUCAACUAUGAGAAUUAUGCAUUGCACACUCUUGGAAAUAUAUAGCUAAACAAAUUUAUGAAACCUUUUAGCCCUCCGACUAUUUUGCUUCUUGAAAUGAGUUUCACGACUUUGAAUAGACAUUUAAUUCCUUUCUUGAUAUUGUCCACCAAAAUCUCGAAAAACUUUUGAGUCUGCUACCAUGCACAUGAGGAGCAAGCUUUCUGGCAAUGGGUUUUACUCGGUCCUCAAUAAUAUAUCAACCUCUGAUCGAGUCGCCCCACUCUGCUUAUUCUCCAAAACCUUCAUCAUCAGUUGUUGAAUGCAUUCCAACUUUGGCCUCUCUCCCCCUUCAAGCUUUCAUAAAUCGUCUUUCCAACAACUUGCUUAACGAUCUCAAACUUCAUCGACGCGUUCUGCUUUCUUCCAAUAAUCUCGAAGACCAUAGUGAUGAGUUCUCGUUCCUCUGAACGCUCCCUUGCCAUUUCUUGUUCUUUCUUUCUGUAUAUGAGUUUGAGAUCGUUAAACAAGUUGUUGGAAAGCCAAUUUAUGAAAGCUUGAAGGGGGAGAGGGCCAAAGUUGGAAUGAGAACUCAUCACUAUGAUUUUCGAGAUUAUUGGAAGAAAGCAUAACGCGUCGAUGAGGUCAGAAGUUAAUGUUCAGUUAAUGUCUAAGUUUGAGAUCGUUAAGCAAGUUGUUGGAAAGCCGAUUUAUGAAAGCUUGAAGGGGGAGAGAGGCCAAAGUUGGAAUGCAUUCAACAACUGAUCACGAAGGUUUUGGAGAAUAAGCAGGGUGGGGCAACUCGAUCAGAGGUUGAUAUAUAUUAUUGAGGACCGAGUUUGAAAUCAUUAUGAAGCGCGUUGCUGAAAAUCCAUUGCCAGAAAGCUUGCUCUUCAUGUGCAUGGUAGCAAACUUAAAAGUUUUUUGAGAUUUUGGUGGACAAUAUCAAGAAAGGAAUUAAAUGUCUAUUCAAAGCCGUGAAACUCAUUUCAGGAAGCAAAAUAGUCGGAGGGCUAAAAGGUUUCAUAAAUUUGGUUAGCUAUAUUUCCAAGAGUGUGCAAUGCAUAAUUUUCAUAGUUGAAGCUGUAAAUUUCUUGUGGGGUCAAUUUUUUGAGCCAAAUGAAGAAUUUUGUCAGAGCUUAUUCAUUUGAAAUGAAAGGGUUUCUAACUAAAAUUUAUCAGUUUGUAACUGAUAAUUAUAUCUUUAGAGGAUAGAGUCCGAAGCAGAAGAGCAAGACUGACAUGGCCAUCAAGAUUUAAGAAUGAAAAAGUAAAAGGGCAACCCCAAGCUACCAAGGUUCUCCGCUUUGCUAACAUCUAUCGUAUGCAGCCUUCAAAGGAACAAGCACUCAUCGUGAUGGUCUUCGAGAUUAUUAUAAGGAAGCAGAAUGUCGACGAGGUCAAAAGUUGAUGUUCAGUUAAUGUUCGUUUGAGGUCGUUAAGCACUCAGUUGCUAGAAAACCGGUUUCUAGAAAGCUUGAAUGGGGGGAGAUGUCAGAGUUGGAAUGCAUUCAAGAACUGAGGACAGAGGUUUUCAAGAAUGAGCAAAGUGGAGCAACUCAAUCAAAGGUUGACAUAUUAUUGAGGAGUUUGAAAUCGUUAUGAAGCGCGUUGCUGAAAAACCCGUUGUCAUGAAGCAAAGCAGUCGAAGAGUUGAAAGGUUUCAUAAAUUUGGUUGGCUAUAUUUCGAAGUGUGUGCUAUGCAUAAUUUUCAUAGUUGAAGCAGGAAGGUAGCCCAAUAUUCUUCGUCGCGAUGGAUGUACAUCCUGCUGACUCCAGUGCUCAGGAAGCUUGGAGGGCAUCUUAGACUGGAGUUGUAGGCAUGCCAUAGCCACACACGAAAAAAGUAUGAAAGCAACAGUUCAUGGGGCACAGGUAACUUCAAUGGACAUUGUGUCAGUUAAAAAACAAUUAAAGAAGAUAACAGAGCUUGCAAUGAAUGGAGAAAGGUUUCAGAGGGCAGGGCGUUUAUGCAUAGGCCUCUCCCCCAUAUACUAAAUAAAUCACUCAUCGCAUGAACAGCAUGUGAUUGUAGCUGUGAUAGGAGAAAUUUUUCAUUGUGUCCGUAAUACGAGUGGUACACUACGUGUUAUUACGUAGGAGGAAGUUUUAUAUUGUAAGUUGUUAAUUUUUUAACACAAAUAUCUCACCACAUAUAUUGUGACAUGUGAUGUAUAAUUCCGUGUUCCGAACAAGCGCUAAAAAAAUCUCUCGAUGAGAUGAAUACAAUUGCUCCAUUUAAGAGUAUGAAGUUCAAGAAAUGGUUGAUUUUUUAUAUUUAAAUAAAAAGUUUUAAAAAAAUGCAUUGAAUCAGUUGCAAAAUAAUUUUUAUAGUUUUUUUUCCUUCUGUAUUCUUUUUUUUUUGUUAAUUCAUUUUUAAUUUAAUAGUUUAAAUAUAAAAUAAAACCAAUGAAAUUACAGUUAUAACCUUUAAUACAUAACUAGAAGAAAAAAAAAUUAGAUAAGGAAAAAAUGUGGGCAUUAAUUCCACACGAACAACUUUUUGCUUUUUUUUUUCUUUGAACCUGACAAUCAUGUCACCUUAUCUUUACCCUCUAAACUCACACUCUCUCUCCUUAACAGCCAACCCUUUUUUUUAUGUCUACCAACCCUUUUUUUUGUUUUAUCAAACAAUAUUAUUUACACUAAGGGAUGAAUGAGUGAGUUAAGUCUCAUAAUGAGCCAGCAAUAAUGCAGUUCAAAUUUACCUUUGGCGAAAAUCCAACCUCAGACCUCUCACCUACCAAUGAAGAAGAAUAUCACUAGAUCGUAGUAUUGAGUGCCAACAGUUAAAAACAAAUAACUCCUCCCUUUAAAAAAAAAGGGAAAACUAAUGAAAAUGGUUUGAAAACUUUGAGUUUUAACGAUAAAAACAAAAUAAAGGGUAAAGUGAAUAGUAUCGGAAUUGACUUUUUAGUGUAAAAAUGUGGUUUUUCGUUAAAGUGAAUGGUACCGGGAGUUUUUCUUUAAAUUCCUUUAAAAAAAACCAAUUUUUGAGAAAAGUAAAAAUAAAAAUUAUAUUUCUCACAGAUAGUGUGUGUGGCAUUUGCUAGUAUACAUAAUGUGAGAAGGCUAAAAAGGCGACACUUUCAAAAUACCUAAAAUGCCCCCUCUUCAAAGAAUGCAAUUUAAUAAAACUACUUCAAAUACAUGACUGACUAGUUACUAAUAUAGUUUUUUAUAUUUUCAUUUAGCUUUCAAUAUACCUAAAAUGCCCCGUUUUCAAAGAAUGUAAUUUGACAAAACUACUUCACAUACAUGACGGAGUAGUUACUUAUAUAUCUUUAAUCUUUAAUAUUAGAAAGCGAGAAGGAGAGUUUGGUGUCUUAAGGCUUCACCAAAAAAAAUUGGACCAUAAAACCCCUCAAACAAAAAAAAAUCAAAACUGACAGAAAAAAUACAUAUAAAAACCCCAAGGCUAAUUUCGUCAGAAAAAAAAUAUAUUUCAUUUUUUAAAAAAUAAAAUUUUAGUAGAAAAAAUUUAAAACAACAAACGUGGAAGACACAACUUCAACCACGUUCAGCAGUUUUCGAAAAAAAAGGGAAAAAAACACGAAAAAUAAAAAAGGAAAAAACUUCCGUGCAAAAACUGAAACCCAUUAUCUUGCGAACUGAAACCCCAUUAUCUUGCCAUGCCGAUAGAAUUAAAACCCACUACGGGAUCCUGUUUUCUGGAAUCUGGAUCCGUCUCUCACUAACUCUCUCUCUCUCCCUCCUCCGCAGCCACCUCUCUUUCUCCCUCCUCCACGGCCACCGCCAGCCGAACCUCCUGUCACUAGCUCCUCCCAUCUAACUAUCUAUCCUCUCCAAACCACCACCGAUUUAAUCCCGAGGUAUACACUUUUUGGUUUUUCAAUUUUUUUAUUUAUUUUUAUUUGUUUCAUCGGUACAGGCUUUUGUAUUUAUUGUAUUAAUAGGAGAAAUAACCCAAAGAGAUGAUAAUUUGUAUUUGAUUUCAAUUGCCAGAGUCGAAGCUCUGAAAAGGGAGCAGCAUCCAACCGCACUAGCAACUUUCAUGUAAGCUCCGAUCUUCCUCUCGCUCUAUCUCAGUUACCCAUUUGUUGUUCAUCUGGAUCUUGCUUCGAUUAAGCUAUUUGUGACUUAAACCGUCGCCUUCAUUGCCAUCUUCUCCAGGUACCCAACUUCCCAAUGUAAAAAACUAGGGUUCCAUUACCCUUUCGAAUUUCUCUCAUUUUUUUUGUGAUUUUGUUCCUGGGUUUGAUUCUUUAAUUUGAUUUUACUGGAAGUGUUUUACAGUUUUGGGUUGGAGAGAAGGAGAAGGAGAAAAGAGAGGAAGCAUUUUACCGAGGGAAAGGUGAAACUCUGUUUGCUUCUUUUCCCAUACAGGUUGUUCUGAUUGGGAUCAGUUUUAACCCUCUUCGUCCUUUGCACACACAACCACUCCACCUCUUCUUCUUUUUAUUUUUUUUAUAUAUCCAGGACAGUUUGAAGAUUUUGCUUCCUUGGAAAUCUAGCGGCAAGAAAACAUCCGUACGUUUUGGUUUCAAAGUUGUUCUUUAUUGUUUCAGUUUAAAUAAUUUGAUUAUUUUUUUACGAAAAUUAUGCAGAUAAGAAGAAGUCCACCCAUUGAUACUUCCAAGUUCCACGUAAGAUGUUGGGGAUCCUAUAUUUGCUUUCUUAUAUGUUUCUACAAUUUGUCUGUGUCUGAGUGUUGAGAUUUUUGGGCUUAUUAGAGCACACUAAACCGAAUAGGAAUCGGCGAGCGAGAGAGGGUGGGUGGUGCCACUGCAAUCCUACUUCUUCUGCUCUUCCAGUGCCUUCCAGGUAUUUCUCUUCAUUAUUUCUUGCUUUGUACUCUUUCUAACUUAUAUUUGUUCCAUUUUUUUUCUCAAUUUAUAUGUUGCGGUGAGAAAUAUGUCCUUUAAUUGUCUUUUUCUGUCGGCGUUUGUGAUGAUUGCUAAUAAAAGAAACGUUUGUGAUUAACCAAACGACAUAGGUUUUGCAUCAGCUGAAGAUUUUGCUUCCUUGCAAAUCUAGAGGCAACAAAUUUUGUUGUAUGUUAACCAUUCUGUUUUCUAUUUGUUUUCGUAACUCUUUUUGCUUUCGAAGUUUACUGCUCGGUUAAAUUUUUGUACUAAAUUCUUCAAGUUGUUAAGAUUGGGUAAAUUUAGGGAUUCAUGAAUGGGUCCGUGGUUGAAGCUCAGGAAAAUUAGCUCAAUCGGAUCUGCAAAUGGGUUAAUGCCUACUGUCUUAAUUUUGGUUAUGGUGGUAUAUGUUCGGCUCCGUCCUAUUAGUUUGUGUUAGUCUAUUUUUUCCUUUUUGAAAUCCCCAAUGUUAUGUGUUCUAUCAAUUCGAUAGUGUACAUUUCAUGAAUCUUUUAACUGUGAUCUAAUUUGUGUAAGCAUCAUUUUCCAUUGUUGAAUUUCAAUGCUAUGUUUCCAUAUUUUCCUUCAAUUUUACCUUUAUUAAGAAUCAUCCAAAUUGAAAUUUCAGUUUUAAGAUUUCCAGAGGACUUCAACAUAUCAACUAUGGAGGGAAUUGAUAGAAGCAAUAUGUCAGAGGUUCUUACCUUAUCUCUAUUAUUCCUCUUCUAUAGAGAUGAUUUAUUUUUUCUUCUUUUUCAAAAAUAAAAUAAAAUUCAUUCUUUUUGGCAAUUUCUCAAUGUCGGUCGACAAUGAAGAAAUUCACUUCGGACAAACAAAUGUUCAAAAUUCUCAACAGUCAAACCAAAGUUAUCGUAGGAGCAAUCAACAAAGGCAAAGACGACAAUCUAUGAAUUCAUCACAGCGGGCUCAAAUUUCAAUGCGACGACGUGCCAAUUAUCAAACACGAUUGAACUCAGUAAAUAUAGUACAAAAUCAAACGGAAGUAAACCAAGAUGAUAUAGGACCAACAUCGGUGGGUAACUAUGAUUUCUUAUUUUUUUUUGUCUCUAUUAAUUAUAUAUUUGUAAAUUCAUAUGUUGUAUGAAUAUUUUUGUACAAAUUAUUAAGACACAAUCUAUUAAGAUUGAACGAAUAGUUAUCUUACAUUGUCAUUGCCUUUCGUACUAUCAAUGGAAACAUCCACUUAAUAAUUAUGUUAUGUCUAUAACAAUUUCAACAUUCGGAUUGUAUAUAUUUACCACAGUGACCAACGUUUUAACAAGUACCCCAACAAAAAAAAACAAAUAAAAAAGGAAAGAAAUAUGUCUGGAACGGUAAGUGAUAAAUUUUUUAUGUAAACUUGGAAUAACAGUUCAACUAUAAUAGUCAAGGGAAAAAUAUAAAAACAAUUACAAUUAUGUCCAGCCAUCUUCUAGAUUAAAAUAUUAAAAUAACAGUUAAACUUGGUAAGUGAUAAAAUUUUUACGUAAACAGCUUCAAAUUUAUUGCUUCCAAUUAUGUGCAGCCAUCUUCUAGAUUUCACCCUUCACCUCCAUACUUGGUACUAUACUUUUUAAAGCAUAUACAUUAACAAUUACAAUGGAAAAAAAACUAACACAAUACAUAUUUACAGGCGCGUAGCGCCCGUGAUGCAAAAAUGCCUCUCGCACGCACGCUAGUGCAGAGAGGCUAGUUCAUUAUUAUAUUUUUAAACACAUGUAAAUUCAGUUUUUUUUUUAAUUUAUGCAUAUAACGAAGAAGAGCAAAUUGCCACACGCCUGCGAGGCUAGUAAAGAAUAUAAAUUCAGGAGGCCAAAUGGUGAAUCAUUCAUAAUCCCAAAAAUACCCUCUCUAAUUAAAAGUUUAAAUAAAACAAUUUAAUUUCACAAAAAAUACAAACUAACAAAAGAAAAAAUUGUCAAAGGUGUAAGCGUGUAGCAAGAAACUACUUGCAAAAAGAGAGAAUAACAAUACGAAAAUCAUCUUUGUCACAUUUUAGACCAAAUUGACACAUUAAGAAGUUGCCAAAUUUUUUGAGAAUAUUACUAAAUAUGUCUCAUAUUUCAAAAUCAAAUAUCAAUUCGUUUUUGAAUUUCAUACCCAAAGUUAAAAUUAAAAAUAGUUUCAGUCUUUUUAGUAUUUUUCAUAGAAUGAAAAUAAUUAUAGCCAAUUGAUCAAAAAACAAUAAAGUUUGUUCAACCUUAGACCAUCUCCAAUGGUUGUGCUAAAAACCAAAUAUUUUAGCCCGAAAAAUUUAGUUUUUAGCCCAAAAAUAGUUUUUUUGCUCCAACUGUUAUAGCCUAAAAUUUUAGCCCGGGAUUAUUAAAGAAUGAACUUAGACUAUUUUUUUUCUUAAAUUAAUUUUUUUUAAUUAAUAUGUAGACUAUCGUAAAUUAAUUUUAUGAAUAUUCUAAUAAAUUUUUUUUUAAUUCCGAUAAAUAUUUUCAUUCGGUUCGGUGGAGCUCAUACCGAUUUCUGGGCUAAAUUUUGGGGGAAAUCUGGCAUUGGUUUAGCAUUUAGCAUUUAAUCCAAAUUUUCGCCUUGGGUUGGAGUGAGUUUGGGGGAAAACUUUUAGGGUAAUUUGACUUUUAGCCACCAGAGAUGAUCUUAACAAACACGGACUGUAGCUAGACUUGUAAACGGGUUGGGUUUAUUGGGUUUGGGUCGGGUUCAACCCGACCCGUUAAGUUAACGGGUCACCCGAACCCAACCCGUUAAGCUAGCGGGUCAUCCGAACCUGAUCCGUUAAGCUAACGGGUCACCCGUUUCACCCGUUAUCACCCGUUAACAAUUAUUAUUAUUAUUUUUUUGCAUAAAGUUUAUUUUUUGUUAUUAAGACUUUACUAAAAUUACUAAAAUAUCAUCAACUAAUGGGUGCUAACGGGUGUUAACGGGUCCUAACGGGUCUAACGGGUUGACCCAAAGUGACCCGUUAGCGACCCGACUCGUUAAGUAUCCACCCAAAUACAAAUAUUAACGGAUUGGGUCAGGUCGGGUUAACGGAUUGGGUCCAAAAUGUCUCAUAUUUCAAAAUCAAAUAUCAAUUCGUUUUUGAAUUUCCUACCCAAAGUUAAAAUUAAAAAUAGUUUCAGUCUUUUUAGUAUUUUUCAUAGAAUAAAAAUAAUUUUAGCCAAUUGAUCAAAAAACAAUAAAGUUUGUUCAACCUUAGACCAUCUCCAAUGGUUGGGCUAAAAGCCAAAUAUUUUAACCUGAAAAUUUUAGUUUUUAGCCCAAAAAUAGUUUUUCUGCUCCAACCGUUCUAACAUAAAAUUUUAGCCCGGACUUAUUAAAGAAUAAACUUAGGCUAUUUUUUUCUUAAAUUAAUUUUUUUAAAUUAAUAUGUAGACUAUCGUAAAUUAAUUUUAUGAAUAUUCUAAUAAAAAAAAUUUAAAAUUCCGAUAAAUAUUUUGACUCUGUUCGAUGGAGCUCAUACCGAUUUCUCGGCUAAAUUUUGGAGAGAAUCUGACAUUAGUUUAGCAUUUAGCAUUUAGUCCAAAUUUUCCCCUUGGGUUAGAGUGAGUUUGGGGGGAAACUUUUUAGGGUAAUUUGACUUUCAACUCACCAUUAGAGAUGGUCUUAACAAACACGGACUGUAGCAUAGAAACGGCAGUUCCUGUUAAACCUCUUUUCCUCCCCUCACUCUUCUCUCCCAUGGCAACUGCAGUGCUGCCAGUAUCCGUGCCCGCCAGAAAGCAACCCCGACCCGGUCAGGGCGGAUUCGAGGCCCAUGGACUAUCCGAAGGAGAGGCCUGGGUCCGAGCCAUCGCCGAAAUCGUCAGCUCCAUGGUCGACCUCUCCCGGAAGACCAAAACGCCCUCAGGACCACCGCGUGCCGCAAGUACGGUCUCUCACGUGCGCCGAAGCUGGUUGAAAUGAUCGCGGCUCUGCCGGAGUCGGACCGUGAGGCUCUUCUCCCUAAGCUCAGGCCAAGACGGUCCGAACCGCCUCAGGCAUCGCCGUCGUGGCCGUGAUGUCGAAGCCUCAUAGGUGCCCCCACAUCGCCACCACCGGGAAUAUUUGCGUGUACUGCCCCGGUGGUUCCGAUUCGGACUUUGAGUACAGCACUCAGUCUUACACUGGAUACGAGCCUACUAGCAUGCGCGCAAUUUGGGCAGGUAUGGCUUUCUCUAGUUCAUUGACGCAUUUUAUCGAACACUUGAUAGGGAAUUCAAAAUUUAUGUUAUUCAUGAUUCGUUUCGAAGUUUAAAGUUUUCGGCUUGAUUGAUUUUUCACCAUGAAAUUGAGAGCUUUGUAAUGAAGAGAUUAUUUGAAGGAAUUGGUGUUUAAAAUUGGAUUAGUGAAGUUAAUUUGGUAGUUAAUCUUUUGGUUUUGUGUGUUUAGAUACAACCCAUAUGUCCAGGCUAGAAGAUCAGCUGAAGAGAUUGGGUCACAGUGUAGACAAGGUUUGGAGAUUUCCAUGAUAGAGUAAUAUGCAUGGUUGUCGCCUUAUAACUGGUACUGAAUUUGUGUUUUCAGGUCGAGUUCAUCUUAAUGGGCGGUACUUUCAUGUCGUUGCCCGCAGAUUACCGUGAUUACUUUAUUAGAAAUCUGCACGAUGCGUUAUUGGGACACACUUCUGCCAAUGUUGAAGAGGCAGUUGCCUACUCUGAGCAUGGUGCUACUAAAUGUAUUGGAAUGACCAUUGAAACCUGAGAUUUUAGUUUAUUUCCGAAGCCUUUAAUUUCUCAUUCUUGUGUUUAAAUUGGCUGACAGUAAUUUUUUCGCUUACCAUCUUGUUUCCAGUUCAUCUGGUCGGUCCAGAAAGUUAACAAAGGUAGUUGUAACUUUUUAUUCUGCUGGAGGCCAGAUUAUUGCCUUGGACCUCACUUGAGACAAAUGCUUUCUUAUGGUUGUACAAGACUAGAAAUUGGAGUUCAGAGUACAUAUGAGGAUGUGGCUCGGGACAACAAUAGAGGGUCAUACCGUAGCUGCAGUGGCUGAUUGUUUUUACUUGGCAAAGGAUGCUGGUUUUAAGGUCAGCCUAGUACCUUAUCAUAAAACUCACUUACCUUCACCGUGGGAAAAGAUUGGAUUUUGGACCUUUUAUAUCUACAGUGACAGGAGAUUAAUCUUUCAUCAAAAACAAUUUGUGAGCCUGGAUAUAUUUUUCAAAUUAUUGUGCUCUCCCAUAAUUCAGCGAGAAUAUUUUAUCAUAUUCUAGUCAUUCAUGUUGAUUACUUUUGUUUCACACUAAUAAUUUUAUGCAUUUGCUCUAGGUGGUUGCACAAAUGAUGCCUGACCUUCCUAAUGUAGGGGUUGAGAGAGACAUGGAGAAUUUCGGGAGUUCUUUGAGAGCCCCUCGUUCAGAGAAAAUGGCCCUAAAAUUUAACCAACACUCGUGAUCUGUGGAACUGGACUCUAUGAGCUUUGGAAAACGGGCAGGUACCUGAGCAACUUGUGGACAUUGUAGCUCGGAUCCUAGCCAUGGUCCCCCCUUGGACGCGUGUUUAUAGAGUUCAGCGAGACAUUCCAAUGCCUUUAGUUACUUCUGGGGUUGAGAAAGGAAAUCUUCGGGAGUUAGCUUUGGCUUGGAUGGAAGACCUGGGCUUGAAGUGCCGUGAUGUUCGAACACGAGAGGCUGGAAUUCAGGUAUGUGGGUAGUCAUUCUUGUUUGAGCAUGUUUUUUGGAACUGAGGUUUUGAUUUGCAAGUCGAACAAGGCAUGAAAUUCGGGUUGUUGUAAGUGGAGCGAGUGAUGAAAUAUACGGUUUUAGUUUUGAAUGAAUUUGGUUCUGAAGUUGGAGUUUUUUUGUUUGCAGGUAUACACCAGGGGAGUUCCCGUUGCCUUCAGAAACGCGGUCUGCUGAGUUCUAUAAGAUGGUGCCUAGGAUGCUUUCGGAUGCAGGUUACAACCUAUAGAAAUUAGCAGUUACUGCAAGAGUGGAUAUCACUGCAAACACAAUCUAACUUAUUGGAAGAACAAGCCUUUCUAUGCUGUCGGCCUUGGCUCCGCUAGCUAUGUCGAUGGCGUGAGGUUUUCGAGACCAAAGAGGAUGAAGAGUACACAGGUAAUGUGGAGAAUAUGGAGAAUGAUUUGGUGGAGUGCGGUGAGGUACUGUAUGGUACGUAGACGGGACAAAACGGAUGUUGUUAUGGAUAAAUUUUUCAUUGGGACCGGAAUACGGAUGGUACAUCACAUGUUUUUAUAUAAAUUGUGGGAAAUUUUAUUUUUUAAGUUGUUAACUUUUUAACACAUAUCACACAAUUUGUAUAGCAAUACGUAAUGUACCAUCCGUGUUUCGGUCACACCAAAAAUUCUCUCAUUGUUAUCUUCUCUCUUAAAAUGAAGAGAAAACGUUACAUUUAUGUACAAUUAUUGCUUCCGCUGAAAUUAAUAAUUAACAAAUGCAUUAUGAUUCUUACCCUAUUAAGAUAGAUCAUAGUUAGGGGUGAAUUUGGGUACGGUUAUCGUACUAAAAUCCUUGUACUAAAUACCAUACCAAAUUUUGGGUUUGACACAAUUUAUUAUCAUUAUUAUGCCAAAUUUUUAGCAUAACUAAUUAUGGUAUGUCAAAUAGUUAUAGUUCGGUUAACAUGGUAUGAUCAUAGUAAUUACCACUUUAUUUUGAAUCACUUUUUCAGCCUAAAAUCUGUUUUUUUUUUUAUUUAUAAAUUUAUAUUUUGUUCCCAACCCAAUUGAAGGGCAACCCCUCUCCCUUUCUUCCAUCGUUCUCCGGCUUCUACUUCUACUGGUCACUAACUAUGAAAGGUAUGAGUGUCCGCCAUGGAUGACCGUGUUCUUGUCAACAAUUUAAUUUUCCAAUAUCUUCUUCUAUUGAUAACUUUACAUGGAGUGUUGUAAGUUGUAUGGUUUACAGGACGAGCAAAAGAAGGCUGGAGGUUCUACUCAUUUAACUUUAACAUAUUUUUUAUCAUUUAGUAUUAUGGUUUGGUGGUAUUCUUUUUCACUUGGAAGUGAGGGGUCUUAGAUUCGAAUUUCGUGGAUGGUGAAUUCGAUACCAAAUUAGAUUGGGCUUAACCGAACUCAUCCUCUCUAGUUUAAAAUAUAUCGAUGUACUAAAAAAAAAACUUAAACAUAUUUUUCUCAAAUUAUUUGAUUAAAUGACAUGGAUUAUAAUUAAUAUUUUUUAAUAAACAAUAUUAACUGCACUAAGGGGGAGGGGAUGGGCUACCAAUAAUGUGGUUCAAAUUCGUCUUUGGCGAGAAUCGAAUUAGAGACCUCUCAUUUAUAAAUGAAGAGAAAUAUCACUAAGCCGUAAUACUAAGUAGCUAUUAUAAUUAAUACUAACAUUUACCUACAUACUUUGUGUGUAUGAACACAUUUUUUUAGAAAAUGAGAAUGAGAGGGAGAGAAAGAGAGAGAAAAUGUGAGAGGAGUGGGAGGUUUUUUAUUUUGGUUUUUUUUUAAUUUUAAAUAUUAUGAUAUUUUAACAUCACCUGUAGGUGAGGUUUCAAUAAAAAACAAUAAAAUUUGGACCUAUGAAAUUACAUUAUUGCCCAUCAUUUUUUUGUGUGAUAGAAGACUAAGUUAUCUUCUCACUCUCUUUUGGUUGAUAAAGAAGAUUUCAUUAAUUAAUAGAGAUUAUACAUAAUAAAUAAAAUGAAAAAUAAUAAAAACUGAAAGAAAAAACUGUACCGUUCAAACUUCAAAGUUAGGGGGAGGGUAAGAAGGACAAGGAUUGUCUGCACUCCCACUUUCGGUGCCCUCCUGUUUGUGUGGUCACGGUUAAGCCACGUCAACAUUUUAUAUUACUAUUCAUUUUUGUCUUAUUAUUUCUAUAAAAAAAUAAUAUAAAAUGUUGACGUGACUUCACCGUAACCACACAAAACAGAAAGGCACCAUAAGUGGGAGGGCAGACAAUCCUUGUCUGGGUAAGAAACCUCUCAUUCUCUGCCGCAUAUCUCCUAGUUUUAUUUAUUUAUUUAAAUUUUUUUUUGGUGAUAAAAAAACCUUCCAGAUCUCUUUACUCUCUAGAAACUCAUGUGUUAUUACCAUUUAUCGGACGAUAUGUUUUCCCGCUUGUUCAAAAUGUUCUUACGCUUGGCUAAUGACAGAAAAAAUCGUUUUCCACAAUCUAAUUUAUCAUUCAAAAUACCAGGAAUGAAGAAUUAGGGUUUUGGGUUUAGUUUUGUUUACCGAACAAAAUAAUUCAAAAGAUCGAGCAAUUGCGCGAUAGGCUUUGUGUGCUUCUUAAUUUUGUAUAAAUCGAAUCAAAUCAACAUGCAGUAAAGAUGGAUUUUCUCUCCCUCCUCCUUACGUUCGUGACCAGUUGAUUUUUCUCUCCUCCUCCUUAUAUUCGAAUCAAACCGAAUAUCGUACCAAAUGGUUAGGGAUUGGUUUAGUAUGAAUCUUGAAUUUUUUUGAGAAUUUCGGUUUGGGAUCAAGAUUUUUUCGAUUUGGUUUGGGAUUUUUCGAAAUUUGCAAAUUCCGAACCAAACCAAAUGAUGUGUCACUAAUAAAAAAUAAGCACGUUAAUCAAAACUUAAGUGAUAAUCCAAUUAUAAAAAAACCAAAUCAUUUGGUUUACAAAAUUUGUAUUAAAAAUUUAGUCUCUCUAGAAUUACCCAUAUAUAUAUAGUUUUCCUCAAUAACUGUUUAUGCAUAAUUGAUAUGACAUGUCAUGUUUAGCUUUACAAAUACUCUUUUCAUACACUUCAAGUUUAUAUGACUAUUUGUAAACAUAAACCUAUGGCAUGACAUCCUUGUAUCUAAUCUGCUCAUUAUUACAUGUUUGCACGGUGUCUUUUAGUUAUUUGUAUUGUUUUGGGCCAAGGACCGGCUUCACAUGUAUCUUCACUUACACCAUUUACAUUCGCUUCGGAUCCAGAGGUAGGUGUUAGCCUAUCCCUAGGUUAGAUUUUUGGACUCGUAUAUGAUGCGCUUAGCACUAGCUUCCAUGAUGUAGUACUAGAAUGUAAUAUCUGCACCUAGCUUGUUCCAUUAUCAGAACACCUCUGCAAUAGACUUGUGUGUCUACAUACAUUAAUGAGCAGCGACUUACGCUUUGAGAUGACUAUUGUAUACUUGUAUACGUACGCUGUAUUCUUCGACUUACGAUAUUUGUUGGCUGCUAUACAAUAUUACAUAAUAUUAUUAUUUUUGGGAAACACGUUUUCAAAAAGGUUUUCAAAACUUUAUUUUAUAGGCUUACUCACCCUUGUUUUUCGCCCCUCUAGGAUCUAGUGGCAGAGCUUUGUGACGACAAUGAUUGCUGGCAAGAGCUGACAUGUAGGAGGAUAUCUCCUUUCAAUAUAAAUGUUCUUACUUUUUUAUUGUAAUUUACUUAUACUCUGAUAUCACUGUGUGAAAAGGUUCAACCUUACUCACAUGCGUGCUCUAGAAUUAGUUACUUGAGGUUCACCAUUACUUUAUGGCUUCAUCACCUCCCAGGUGUUGGCUAGCAUUGCUCCAUUCUGUUGUCCAGGUGGACAUUCCGGGUUGGGUUGUGUCAUAAUGAGUGCUCAUCCAAGAUAGUAUUCAAUAAAUCUAUUACAAUUUAUUGAAAAAAUAAAAUGUAAAAUGAAAUUUAUCUAUUUUUUGUGUAAGUGAGAGUCAUGACUUAGGCAGGUCUAGCAGCACCUAUGCUACGUAGGCCUAAGCGCCCUUUUUUAAUUUUCAAAUGUCUAGGACUAAUCGGGUCGGUGGACACGCCUAGGCAGCGCUCGGUGGGGAUUUUUAGAACAGUGAUUAAUGUGUUGACCCAAAACUUGUAAUUUUUCUGUCAUUCCAUGUCUAAUUAACAAGUCGUGCAAAAAAUUAUGCGGCCUUUGUGUAGAGUUCAAUCUGCUAUACCCAAAAUAUUGGAACUUUUUGUUAACUGCCGCCUACAAAGAAUUGGAACUGUCUGUUAUCCUUAAUACUGACAGAAAACCAUGACAUUUCGUGGAAGAAUUAGAUUGAAUGAGUUCGAAAAUUUUCAACCAUAGAUUUUUGUUCUUGAAUCAAAUUCUUUAAUUCUGUGUUCUUGGAAAAAAAGACUCGAGAAAGUAGUUUUCGGACUAAGUUUGGCCCUUUGUUUGUUAAAAUGAAUGAAAGUUAAAAACAGAUUUAAGUUUCUUGAUUACUAGACAAUUCGGGUACCUUAUUUAGAUCUUGAUUUCUUUUGGCUUGUGGUUUCGUUUGAAACUAAGCACAUAGUUUGUAAAAUACAAAAAUUUAUCCAUUGCGUUCUUUUUUUCCUUUUCUGUUGUUUUGAAACUUGUCUAUUCUGUAGAUAGAUUGCAUACCAAGUAUCGAAGGCCAAAUGGCGUCAGCUGCAUCAGUAUUGAUUGGGAAAAUUGCGGCCAUUCUUGAGAACGAAGCAUCUUCCAUAGCAGCAGUUUGUGAUGAAGUUGAUGAGCUUAAGCUGGAGCUCAUAAGCAUGAAAUCUUUCUUAAUAGAUGCUGAAGGCAAGGAAGCACAAACAGAAGGAGUGAAAACGUGGGUUACAGUUUGACAAAAAAAAAAAAAAAAAAAACGUGGGUUACAAACGUCAGAGAUUUGACCUCCGAUGCGGAAACUGUCAUUGAUGAGUUCCUGUAUUACAUAUAUGACGAGCAAAGUGCGACUCAAUUUGAAAAAUGGCUCCACAAAACCAUUUAUAUUCCAAGGAAUCUUUGGUAUAGGCAUCGAAUAGCUAACAAAUUACAGAAAAUCACGAAAAGAUCAAAGCCAUUCCAGAGAGGAAUGAGAGAUAUGGUGUCUCUACAAUAGAAGGAACAAGUUCGGAUGGUGUUCCCAUAUGGGUGAAGAACAAAGCGGAGUCUUCUCUUUAUAUUAUGGAAGACGAACUAAUUGGGAUUGAAGUCCAGAAGCAAAAGUUAAUGGGAUUGUUGAUGAAUGGAGAGCAAAAUGAAAUGGUUGUGUCUGUGGUUGGGAUGGGAGGAUCAGGCAAGACAACUCUUGUUGCAAAUACCUUCAACAACUAAAAUGUAAAGCGACAUUUUGACUGUUAUGCAUGGAUCACUGUUUCUCAAACUUAUGUGAUCGAAGACUUAUUCAAAAAUCUGAUCAAGCAGUUCCACCAAGGAAGGAAGGAAGAGGUGACUGAACAUUUGAAUUCCAUGAGUUAUAAAGAAUUGUUAGAGAUGUUGUCGAGAUACUUGAAGUCUAAAAGGUACCUAGUUGUAUUGGAUGACGUGUGGGAUAUUAAACUUUGGCAAGAAAUAAGGAUACCACUUCUUAAUAGGUAUCAUGGAAGUCGAAUCAUGCUUACGACUCGAAAGAAGGACAUAGCCUUCUAUUCUUUUGAAGUUGAAAGUCGUCCUAUUGAAAUUGAACCCUUGGGAAACAAUGAAGCUUGGGAGCUCUUUAGCAAGAAAGCAUUCUCAACUUACGAUAAUAAAUCUUGUCCACCAGAGCUUGAAUCCUUAGCAUGGAAACUUGUGGAUGAAGGCCUACCUCUGGCAGUGGUAACUUUAGGUGGUCUAAUGUCUUCCAAGAGGUCAUCAUCGGAAUGGAGAAGCGUAUAUAACAGCUUAAAUUGGCACUUGACUAACCAUCCUAUGCUGGAACCAAUGAGCAGCAUCUUGUUGCUUAGUUUCAACAAUUUGCCCAACCGGUUGAAGCCAUGUUUCUUAUAUUGUGCCCUUUUCCCAGAAGAUUAUCUCAUCAAAAGAAAAAGGUUGAUCAGGUUGUGGAUAGCUGAAGGGUUUGUUGAACCAAUUGAUGGGGUCACACCAGAAGAAGUUGCAGAGGGUUAUCUUGUGGAACUUAUUGUUCGUAGCAUGCUACAAGUUGAAAAGAAUGAAGCUGGAGGACUAAGAGCAUGUAAGAUGCAUGAUCUUGUGCGUGAGCUUGCUUUGUCGAUAUCAAAAAAGGAAAAGUUCGGUGCUACGUGUGCUGGCAGAGAAAUAGUAGAUAAAGCUGAAAUCCGCCGAUUGUCAAUUCAAACAACUGAAAGAGAAAUUAAUUCUUGCACAGGUAUGUCAGAGCUUCGCUCCUUUCUUGUCUUUGGCGCGUUAAAGAAAUUGCCUUCUGGAUUCAAGUUGUUGAGAGUUCUAGAUCUGGAGGGGAUAAGUUUGAGAAACAAACUUUCCUUAGUAAGCGUCUGGUGGAGUUCGCUGCGCGGACAUCGCUCUUGUCGCCGACGCCAGCAGUGCACAGUCUAAGCUGAUUUAUUGACGUUGGGAUUGGCCGUGACCAACAUAUUAGCUAAAAUCUAUAUCUAAGGUGAAUCGGGAAGGUGUCGAAUGCGAGCAGAUGUGUUGGAAUCUCCCUCAGACUCUACUAUCUGAGUUAUUGUGGCAUUCUUUUCUCACAAAAGAAAAAGGUUUGUGAGAGUCUUGGAACUCAGUAAGGUGCCUUGUACCUGUUCGACGAAUUGCCCCAGUCAAUCUGAAAGCUCUCUUCGGUACUAGCACCUCCUCCUGCCGGAAGCUUGAUCUGGCUCUGGUUGUUUGGUUGAGGUGCCUUGUACCUGCUCGACGAAUUGCUCCAGAGAAUCUGUUUUUUUUUUUUUUUUUCUCAGGGUGCCCAAGGUUUUCUGCGUUCAACCUUGCUUUAAGGUGUUGACAACUCUAAACUGAAUUAUCAUGGGCACAAAUAUCGUUUGUCCAUGGGGUUUUCUUGCAGAGACGGUUAUGCUGACAACUAAUAUGCCCCCCGCUCAACCAAUUCUGAAGGCAAGGACUUUUGCUUCUGUGGUUUCCAUCCCAAUUGAAGACGUCCAUCUCAGCUAACUUCCAACUCCGGUUGUGCGUGGGGACAAAACAUAUGUCAAAAUUAGCGAGGAUCUAUACCAAGAACAGUUGAAGUUGUUUCAAAAUAAUCUCCUUGGGCGUUUGCUCCUAAAAAAGGGUUCUACGCCAAUGAAGACCGGUGCCCUAAAAUCUUGCUUAGAAGAUGCAUGGCGCCCUACUGCACCAUGGAACCUGGUUCCUAUAGGUAAAGGUUAUUUUGAUAUCCAUUUCAAUAAGGAAGAUGAUAUGCGACGGGCAUGGGGUGGCGGUACGUGUACUCUUGCUACUGGUUUAUUCAGGUUAUCAAAAUGGACGCCAGAUUUUUAAACCAGGUGAUGUUCUCCCUCAAACUCAUGCUCAGGUAUGGAUCAAAAUUUUUGGUUUGAGUCAGGAAUAUUGGCAUCCUAGACACUUGAUGGAAAUUGCGAGAGGGGUCGGCACUCCCUUGCAACUAGAUUCAGCUACAAGGGAAAGGCAAUAUGGUUAUUAUGCACGUAUAUUAGUUGAUGUGUCAAUCUUUGCAGAUGAUUUACCUACAUCUCUUAUGGUUGAAAGAGAAAAGUCAUGGCUUCCCGGUUGAGGUGGUUUAUGAAAAUUUACCGCCCAAAUGUAGUCACUGUGGUUUGAUAGGGCACUUGGCUAAUUGUUGCAGACAACUUAAACAGAUGUCGAGAGGUCGUUCUCGUAGCCGGACGCGAAAGGGUGGUAACAUGGGGGACAACAAAACCGGAGAUCACUCUCGCAGUCAACUGCACAUGGAAUAUCGUCCCAUAAAAGAUACAACAAUACCGGUUAAUGUCUUUUGUGGGUCACAUGCUUCUGAACCUCUUCAACAGGUUGAUCAAUUGUUGCCUGCAGGUAUUGAGGCAGCGGAUGAUGGCAAUGCUGAGCCCAUUCUUCAGUCUCCUCUUGGAAUAACGCCAACUGUUUCUGGUAAUGUCAUACCAGAGACUGACACCGCUGAUACGCAUAUUAGUAUUCAAUCUCCUGGGAUUUCGCAUAUUAGCAAUUCUAUGACCGAAUCGCUGUCUCCAGAUGGAUCACAUCCUCAGAAUGGUCUUUCUUAUGGUCAGCAUUUGGGCAACACCAUUGUCCCAAACAAUCUUGGCCCACAUGAUCUCUGUGACGACUCUAGCACUCCUCCUGGCUUUGAACAGGUCGAGACGGUAGCUCAGAGUAGUCAGCAGUUGGGCAACACAGAUGUCCCAAAUAAUUUUGGCAUGCAGGAUCCUCAUGACAACCAUAGCAUUCCCCCUGGUUUUGAACAUGUUGCGACAUUAGCUAAGGAUGUCAUCGAUAUUGUCAAUCACAUAGAAGGCUGUGAUAUGGAUGGUUUUACUCCUGUGUUAUCUAAUAGUCAACGGAAAAAACAAAAGCAGCUUGCCAAUCUUAAUCAACCCUCUGAUAAACCAUAUCCAAGUAGGGUCUGAGGAAUACCAGCUCGUUAUAAAUGAAGGUUCUCUUCUGGAAUAUCCGUGGCAUUGGUAAUGAUGACUCUCGGAUGGAGCUCUCUAACAUCUGUCGGUUGCAUCACCCGAAUUUGGUUUGCAUUGCGAAGCCCAUGGUGACUUUUAAUUCUAUUUCAGCUGCUUAUUGGGACUCUUUAAAUCUAUCUGCUCUUACUUUUAAUUCUAGAGGAACUCUUGCUCCCAACCUUUGGUUACUAACAUCUUCGGCUUGUGCAGACCCUUUAGUUAUUUCUAUCUCUGAUCAACAGGUUACGGUUCGCUGUACUUUUGACCAUAUCCCAAGCCAGUUCACAUUUGUUUAUGCAAGCACUUCACCUAUCAAAAGAAGAGACUUGUGGGCUGAUUUUAUCUCUCUGCGCCCACAACACAAGUUCCAUGGAUGGCUAUUGGCGAUUUCAACGCUAUCCUGGGCGCCCACGAGUAGAUGGGAGGAGGCAGACCGUCCCAACCUUCAUGCGCUCAGUUUAGUAAUAUAUCUGACACUUGUAACUUUACCCACUUGAACACAUCUGGGGCAGCCUUUACAUGGUCUAAUGGCUGGAGGUCACGUGGUCGCACUGAAAGAAGGUUAGAUCGCUCCUUGUGUGAUAUAAGCUGGUUUGAUUCUUGGCCCCACUCUAAAUGCAUAGCAUUGCCAAAGGUAGUCUCAGAUCACAACCCCCUUAUCUUCUCUGGUUCUAGAGUUUUGAGCAGUGGUCAUCGUCCUUUCCGUUUUCAAUCAAUGUGGGUUCAACAUCCAUCUUUUCGAGAAACUGUAACUCAUUGCUGGAGAAAUACAGUUGUCUAUGGUUGUCCUAUGUUUAUCAUUCUGCAAAAAUUGAAAGCUCUAAAAACCUGCUUGCGCCAAUGGAAUUUUUCGGUCUUUGGUGACGUCCAUAAUAGAGUGGCUAAUGCUCGGCAUAAUCUUUCUAUGAUUCAACAAAGAAUUUCAACUGAGGGUAUAAAUAACGAUCUUUUCGAGGAGGAGAUUGUCGCCAAGACCACAGUAAUGGAGUCUCUUCAAAUGCAGGAGGCAUUUUGGAAAGAUAGAGCUCGUGUUAAGUGGUUAACUAAAGGGGAUAGAAAUUCUUCUUUCUUUCAUGCCUAUGCUCGUAUUAAAUCUUCCAGCUCUCAUAUCAGUUGUAUUCAUGAUGGAAACAAUCUUCUUACUGACCCGCUGGCAAUUGAGAACCAUAUUGUUAAUUUCUAUCAGACUUUGUUCGGCUCCUCUUUCACCCCUUCAGGUAUUGAUGAGGUUUGUGAAGUCAUCCAGCCGAUGGUCACAGACUCUGAAAAUGAUCUCUUAUCUGCAUUACCUACUGAUGAGGAAAUUAAAGAGGCAGUUUUCUCAUUAAGUGCUUCCAGUGCGCCAGGGCCAGAUGGUUUUCCAGGUUUUUUCUAUCACCACUGUUGGGAUAUUGUCAGCUUUGAUGUUAUUCAAUUUGUGAAGCAAUUCUUUCAAUCAAAUUGGUUAUACCCCAAUGCCAAUAGUAAUUUCUUAGUUUUGAUUCCGAAGGUGGAAGACGCUAUUUCCAUGACUCAUUUUAGACCUAUUGCUUUGGCAAACUUUCUCUUUAAGAUUAUUCCCAAAAUUUUGGCAGUUCGUCUUUCUCAUGUUGUUCAACGCAUUAUUUCUCCGCAUCAAGCUGCUUUUAUACCUGGCCGAUGUAUCACAGAUUGUAUUGGCCUUGUUUCAGAAUGUUUCAAUGUGCUUGACAAAAAAACUCGUGGUGGCAAUAUGGGAGUCAAAGUUGAUAUAGCUAAGGCUUGUGAUACUUUAGAUUGGUCAUUUCUAUUGCGGGUGCUUACUAACUUUGGGUUCUCCACUUGUUUUAUAGACUGGGUUUCUACCAUCUUAAGAUCUGCUAAAUUGUCCAUCCUAAUUAAUGGUUCCCCACAUGGUUUUUUCUCUUGUUCCCGAGGAGUGCGCCAAGGGGAUCCUCUCUCUCCGUUACUUUUCUGUCUAGCUGAGGAGGCUUUAUCAAGGGGCCUGAGUCGUCUUCAACUUGAUGGGCUUACUAAGCCAACUUUUGCUCCAAGAUGUUGUAUCUCUCCUUCUCACGUUCUCUAUGCAGAUGACUUAUUCAUUUUCUGUAGAAGUGAUGGUGUCACUCUGCGUAAUUUGCAAGGUUUCUUCGAUAGAUAUAGUAGAGCCUCUGGUCAAUUUAUCAAUAAGGCAAAAAGUACUUUCUACUUGGGCUCUACCUCAAGGCAUCGCAAAGCUGUGGUUGAGAGUUACUUGGGUUUCAAAGAAGGCAAAGCACCUUUUGUCUACCUUAGAGUUCCAAUCUUCUGUGGCAAGCCUAAAAGGAGUCAUCUUCAAGCCUUGGCAGAUAAAGCUAAAGCGAAGUUAACUGGUUGGAAGGGGAAACUUUUAUCUAUGGCAGGAAGAGUUCAACUCACUCAAUCAGUUUUUCAAAGUAUGCUCUUGCAUAGCUUUUCCGUCUAUAAGUGGCCUUCUUCCUUGCUAAGGCCUCUUUCAAGAUGUGCUCGCAAUUUUAUAUGGUCUGGUGACGUAACCUCCAAGAAGUCUGUUACCGUUUCUUGGCGUCAGAUUUGUGCUCCGAAGAAUGAAGGUGGUUUGGGUUUGCGUGAUCUUGGCCUCUCUUAAACACUACUGCUCUCUUAAAGCUUGGAUGGCUUAUUAUUACUACUGAUUCCCCUUGGAGUAUUUAUCUUCGGGAACGUUUCAAGCUACAUGGUCGCCUAUAUUCUUGUAGUUAUAAGCGAUCUUCUAUAUGGCCUGGUAUUAAAUCCAUUCUUCAUAUCUUGUUUCAGAAUUGUCGUUGGGUGAUUGGAAAUGGUUCUACUACUUCCCUUUGGGUUGAUAAAUGGCUGGAUAAGCCUAUUGUGGACGUCGUUGGUGCAACAGAGAUUGCUCCAUCUUUAUCUCGUACUAAGGUCUCAAAUAUUAUUCGUAUGGGAAAAUGGGUUAUUCCUUCUUUUUUUUCUUCUACUUUCCUAUACCUAACUAAUGAGAUUUUAGAAAUGCCUCUUCCAAUUGAUGAGGAUAAGGACGUUUUAAUUUGGGAAGUUUCUACAUCUGGUGUUUUUUCGUUCUCCGAUGGCUAUGAAAUUGUUCGUCAUCGGUUCCCUGUUAAGAGUUGGGCUUCCACUAUCUGGCGUCCUUUCAUCCCACCUCGUUACUCUAUUUUAGUUUGGAAGAUUCUAUUCAACAAGCUCCCAACGGAGGAUCAACUUCAGCGCCGAGGCAUCCCGCUGGCUCCAAUAUGCCAACUAUGUCACAAGAAUUCUGAAUCUAUUGAUCACUUAUUUUCUAGCUGUGAAUUUGCACAAUGUGCUUGGCGUUGGCUAGCUACCCAAUUUGGCACUAUUAUUCCACCUACGGGCUCCCUCUCUGAUCUUUGGCUUGUUUUUCUGUCAAAGCGGUUUUCUCCUCAUCUUCGCAAUGUCUGGCUAGCUUCAGGGUUUUUCUUACUAAUGGCCAUUUGGAAGAUGCGUAAUAAAGUGAAGUUUGAAGGCAAACCUCCCUCCUUCUCACGUCUAUGCCGCUCUACCUCGGCCUGGAUUAGGCAGGUUGGAGCUCUCACCCCUGGCCAUGUACGAGGCAUUUUGGAUAGGCAACUUUUAGUUUCUCUUGGAAUAUCGCCUAACUCCUGUAAAGCUCCUUCUAUUGUCCCUGUUCUUUGGCACCCCCCUCCUUUUUCUUGGGUUAAAGUGAAUACUGAUGGCCUUGCUAAAGGUAAUCUGGGUCCUGCGGCAUGUGGCGGGGUUUUUCGUGACUCUGCAGGUUAUUUUCUUGGUGGUUUCUCCCUAAGCUUGGGCCAUCGUACUUCUUUCUAUGCGGAGCUCCAUGCUGUCAUCCUUGCUGUCGAAUUGGCCCACGCGCGGGGCUGGCAAAAUUUAUGGCUUGAAAGCGACUCUUCUAGUGUAAUAUCAUGUUUUGCUUCUGGAUCUUUCUCUCCCCCUUGGUCACUCCAGACACGCUGGAACAAUUGUACUCUCCAUUUGCAGAACAUGGUCUUUCGUUGCUCUCAUAUUUUUCGAGAAGGGAAUGUUGUUGCUGACAAAUUAGCCAAUUUAGGGCUUCUAUCAUCUUCACUUGUUUGGCACUCCACUCCCCCUAUAGAGAUCCUUCCUCCUCUGCACUCAGAUUUCUUGGGCAUGCCAACCUACAGGUUUGUCUCCUCUUCUUGAUGUGUGUUCUCCUUUCUUUUCCUAACCUUUUUGGAUUCCCUUUUGUUUUGCAGCUUGUCUUGCAGGUUAUUACCUUUUAGGUUUUUAGAGGGGUUUGGGCUUAUGCCCGCCCAGUCUUUUCCUUGUAUUUUCUUUUCCAAGAGGGGUACGGUCUAUGUCCCCCCCUCUUUUGUAUUUCCUUUCUCAAAAGGGGUAAGGUGCAUGUCCCCACCUUUUUUGUAUUUCUUUUCUCUUGUUCUAUGAGGGGUUAGGUUUAUGUCCCCCCCUGUCUAGGUGUAUCUUCUUUUUUCUUAUCAAUAAAUUUCCCUCGUACCGCCGAGGUUCUCCAAAAAAAAAAAAAAAAAAAAAAAAAAAAAGAUCUGGAGGGUGCCCCAAUUGAUAGAUUUCCAGAUGAACUAGUGUACUUGUUCGACUUAAGAUAUUUAAAUUUGAAGGGAACUUUAAUUGAGGAGCUCCCGGAAUCCAUCGGACGGCUUCGCAACCUUCAAACCUUGAACAUCCGUGACCGUAAGAUAAAGGCACUUCCGAAAGCAAUCUCCAAGUUAGUAAACCUACACCAUCUAAUCAUGUAUUGUAACACUCUUGAUUUUACGGCCUUUAGAUAUCUCAAUGGGACAAAAGCAGCAUCUGAUCUAAGUAAAUUACAGAGACUGCAAGUUUUGUCAGCUGUUGAAUCAGAAGGAAAGUUUAUUAAAGGCAUCAGGAAUAUGACCCAACUUACAAGCCUCGGUAUUACAAAUGUGAAAGCAAGUGACGAGAUGGACCUCUGUGACUCCCUUCAAAAGUUAGAGCUCCUUCACGAUUUGUCUUGAAUGGCAAGUGAUGCAGAGGAGUUUCUUCGAGUUAAUGCACUACGUUCGCCUCCUCCAGACCUUCAAAAGGUUAAUUUGACCGGAAAACUAAAAGUACCUCUUUGGUUUAGUUCACUCCAUAACCUGACACGUAUGUAUCUAUUUUGGUCUAGACUUGAAGAAGAUGUGCUACCUCACAUUCAAGCAUUGCCGAAUCUUGAACAUCUUACCCUAUCUAAUGCAUAUGUUGGCGAAAAAUUGUGUUUCUCUAGAGGCUUCAUAAACCUUAAGCAUUUGGAGUUGGCCUGCUUCCCGGUAUUGAAUAGUAUAGCUAUAGAGAAAGGGGCGAUGCCAAAUCUCCAGUUCUUAGACAUUUAUUACUGCAUGGGGUUGAAGACAUUGCCACAGGGCAUUGAGUUCCUUGCCAACGUAGAACGCUUGAUUCUGUAUUCCGUUCCAAUGCAACUUAUAGAGUCCGUAAGAGGAGGCAUGGAUCAUCCAAAGGUACAACACAUUCCUGAAAUCCACCUGUAUUAUGAGAGAGAAAAUAUGGAGUGUCAUGAAAGUUUUUUCGGUAUUCACUCUCGUAGAAGGUACGCACACUUUUAUCCUUACAUAAAAAUUUGAUUAAUGCUAGAUUUACCACAUUUUUUGUAUCACAUUUGUACCACCUUUUUUUAUAGAGGUAUGGCCCAUUGACAUAUGUAGGUCUUAUUUUUAUUAGAGAUGUGGUAUAAAUGUGCUAUGAAAAUGUGGUAAAAGUAGCAUUUUUGUAAAAACCACAACAUAAUCAUUUGAACUAUUACGUUAGAAAGUUAAAAAGUUGGUGAUUUUCACACUCCUAUUUUUUUUUUCCUUAUACGCUCCUCUUGUUUUUGUUCGUUAGUGUUUUGAUUUAUUCAAUUGUUAGGCUACGAAAAAGAGGAAAUAGUGCAUCAGAGUGUAAAAAUCAUUUUCCCUUACAAUUUGCUUGUCCAAUCUUAUAUAGAAGUCUGGCAAAGACAUAAAAUAUGCAUGCAUUGAGAUUUUAUUCAGUAACUAUGUUUCUUUUGUUUUGUAACAUCCUUUUUGCAUAAUCAAGCCUCAGAAGCACUUGUGAGACUGCAGCACUUGUGAGACUGCAUUGAGUUCUCUUUUGUCCCAGUUGAUUUUACGGUGAAUCUUGACUUUCGUUAUAGUAACAGAGAUGACUAUAUACAUGUUGAGUCAUUUGCCCUGCAAGGAAGAAUCCGUCCAUUGUGUGUUGUGGGAAGUUGCAAACAUUGAUCGAUCUUGGUUUCUUAUUUGUCCUUUGUGAAAUGGAAUAAUGCCCAAGAUUCUAUUUGUGUAACUGAAACUUAUAUUAUUGAUUGCUUGCGUGUGUUUUGAUGUAAUAAUAUUGGUUUGGAACUGAAUUUGUCACUGAUGAGAAUAAUGCUUAAGAUACUGUUUGUGUAACAGGAACUUAUAUUAUUGUUUGAUUGCGUGUAUUUUGAUAAUAAUAUUGGUUUGGAACUGAAUCUGUCAUUGAUGAGACCAAUUCUAACUAAACCAAUGAUUAUGACCCAUUUUUCAUUUUCAAUAUUUAUUGCUUUUUAUCAAGUUUUCAAAUAUAUAUUGUUUUAGGUAGGCAAAUUUUGUGGCGGAUGUUUUAGCUUACUUUGGUUUUACCUGAGAAAUUAUUAAAUGGUACGGUAUUACCACGUUGGCCGGUAAUACUUUUAUUCAAAUUUUAACAUGUGUGCAGUUUCUUAUAGGCUUACAGCUGGAUUAAAAAGCUUUCUUAAUUUAAAACUAAUUUUUUUUUUCAAUUUAACCAAAAUUAAAAGAACUAAAAAUAAGAGGCGUUUUGACACAAAUGCCUAGGGUUUAGCUUUUAAAAUUUUGAGAUAAGACCAUCUCCAAUCGAAGGGUCCAGAGGGUCGAAAAUAGUCUGAAAACCGUCUCCAACCGAGGACUAGGCCAAAGGGCUUGUGGGCCCCACUAAACAAAAAAAGGCCAAAAGGCUAACCGAUUGGCCCAACCCAGCCAGCCAACCCCGGGCCGAGCCAGAAAUUUGAAUGCAACAACUAGCUAACAUCAGCUAGCCAUUAUAUUUGAAUUUUUUUUUUGGGCCAAAAUUUUUUAAAAAAUAUUUAAUUAUAGGCCUAGAAAGUUGAUUAGUUCAAUGUUGGGUGUUUGGAUGUUCCUUUUAUAAGCAUGUUUGGUUGCUCAAAUCUCUCCCAUGGACGAUGUGGGACAAAUAUAAUGGGUGCCACACAUGCAAGCUUUUGCUUGCUUAAAUCUCUCUCACAAACGAUGUGGGACAAAUAUAAUGGAUAGUUUUUAAAUUUAAGUUGUUGUAGUUUUUAAAUUUAAAUAAUAAAUUAUGUUUGGUCCUAUGACCCUUUGGUUCUCGAUUGGAGAUGUUUUUUUGUCACAUGACUAUGUUUGAUCCUCUGACCCUCGGUUGAAGAUGAUACAAAAUAUAACCAUGCACUGUUCAUUAAAGUAUUAAUUUCUUGGACGGACAGACGGAGAUGACAUAACCUUUUUUCCUCCCCUCCCUAUUCUCUCCCAUGGCGACUGCCGUGCUGCCAGUAUCCGAGCCCGCGAGACAGCAACCCUGACCAGGUCGGGGCAGAUUCGAGGCCCAUGGACUAUCAGAAGAAGAGGCCCGCGUUUGAGUCAUCACCGAAAUCGUCAGCUCCAUGGUCGACCUCUCCCGGAAAGGCCAAAACGUCUACCUAAACGCCCUCAAGACCUCCGCGUGCCGCAAGUACGGCAUCUCACGUGCGCCGAAGCUGGUCGAAAUGAUUGCGGCUCUACAGGAGUCAGACCGUGAGGCUCUUCUUCCCAAGCUCUGGGCCAAGUCGGUCCCAACCGCUUCGGGUAUCGCCAUUAUCGUGAUGUCGAAGCGUCAUCGGUGUCCCCACAUCACCACCACCGAGAAUAUUUGCGUGUACUGCCCCAGCGGUCCCGAUUCGGACUUCGAGUACAGCACUCAAUCUUACACUGGAUACGAGCCUACUAGCAUGCGCGCAAUAUUCCUGAUAGAGUAAUAUGAAGAUACUCGCCAGGUAUUCGUUCUUCAUAUGUGAGAGAGUGCUUCGUUACAUGAAAUGAUCAUUCUAUUCUUGUCAUGUGCAAAAGUGUUGAGCUGAUGGAAGAUAAACACUUAAAAAGAUUAUGAUUGUAAUAUUGAGUAGAAUAUCUAAUUUAAUUUCGCUUCAGCAUAUAUAGAUGAAUUAAGGAUCUCACUUUUCCAGAACUUCUUGUUUCUCUUAUUUGCGUAGUAAUUUGUGCAUGGGUUUUACCGAUCGAGCAGGUUGUCUAUACUGACACUUACCAUGAUUUGUUUUUGUUCUUUUUGUAAACAGGAUAUUCUAGCUGGGUUACCGCGAUUAAGAAAGUGUGGCCGGAACACUACUUGUCCCGAACUCAUAGGAAAGUGUUCUAUUGUUCGUGAACUCCACGUUCAUGGGACUGCUGUUCCAGUUCAUGGGUGGUGGUAUCCACACUUCUCUUUUAUCUUUCUCUUUCCUCUUAAUUUCCAUCUGUCAGAUCGAAUGUAUAAAAAAAGAUUAAAUGAUAGAAAUUAACAGAAAGUGUAGGAGGUAAAAACGAGUGUGUCAAUAUCAACACCCUUUUUAGAUUGUUGUAAAUGUCAUCCAUUGAUUCACCUGGCUGGCUCACUUUCGUACAUUUUUGUUCGUUUGGUCUACUUUUGUGACGCAAAAAUCUUAAAAAAAGAAGGAAAAAUACAGAUAUAAAAAAUUACAGACAAUCCUUGCAAAACUGCAAUGGAAAAUAAGCCAGAAGAUUGAAACUAUGGCACAGUUCAUUCUUUAUAGCAAAAUCUACUGCAAUAAGAGACUGAGACCUUACCUUUCCUCCUCUAGGAAAAAGCUUCCGUUUCCCCGAGCAAGUAUGAGCAUGACAAAAUUGGUGCAAGAAAAACUCUACCAACAAAUCAAGGUGUAAGGACAAGUAUAAAAACAAUAACCUAUCUGAAAUUAUAUCAACAAGAGCAAAAAGAAAUACCAUUAAGACGGCGGGCUGAAGGACUUUGAUUAAUCGGAAAACAGCUAUUGGCAAGACCCUACAUUAUAAAAGGGGAAAAAGUAAAAAGGAUUAAACAAGGUAACGUACAAGAAUCAACAAUACAACCAAUUAUAGUGCCUUAAAGCAACCUCACAUAGGUGGUGAUUCCGUGCAACAGAUGCAGGAUUGCAUUUGGUUUUGCUCGACUUGGUAUUCAUCACAGCAUCGCAAUGCAAAGCUCCGCAUAAAUCAGCUAAGCACUUGCUGCCACUCGGCAUUCAUCAAUUUUUUUUCAAAGAGCAAAAGAGAAACCAUAUGACGGAAACAAAAAUCAUACAUACGAUUAAAGAUAUAAUAGAAAAGAUAGAGAUCAAAUAAAUUUAUAAUCAUCUAUUGAUGUAUAAUGCAAGUAUGAUUGAAGCAGACGCAGAAUAGCUCUUUGGGCUUUGAAACAACUCCAGAUGCUAACUACCCUUCCCCCGGAGUACCAAGGUACAAAAUACACAUCUUAAGGAAAGAUUAUCACUUGGAUAUCUCUUUAUCUGUGUUAUACAAUGCUAUCUUGUACAGAAGUUUAUGCCAUGUAAUUGUUCUUUGUCAUUUUUUAAGAAAUAGUUUUAUGAUCUAAUUUAUUGCAUCAUGCUACAAGCCUACAACUAAAAUGAUAACUUCAAAUUUGCUUAAUUAUUUUUUUCGAAAGCACGUUUAUGAAACCCCAACACAACAGGGAACUGAUAAACAUGGACUAGAUGCAAACGCUUUUAAAAGAAAAGUUCUUUCAUUUGCAGAUAAGCUGAAUAGAGAUAAUUCGAGGGUUUAUCAACUAGAAGGACAAAAUAUAAAUAUAACAGAGGAUAACAAACGCACACUUUUAUCCUUGCAUAAAAAUUUGAGCAAUGCUAGAUUUACCACAUUUGUAUCACCUCUCUUAUAGAGGUCAGACUUAUCAACAUAUGUAGGUCUCAUUUCUAUUAGAGAGGUGCUACAAAUGUUGUAUGAAAAAUAUGGUAAGAGUAGCAUUUUUGUAAAAAAAAAUUCCACGACCUAAUCAUUUGAACUAUUACGUUGGAAAGGUUGGUGAUUUUCAUACUCCUAUGUUUUUUUUCUUAUGCGCUCCUCCUCUUGAUUUUGUUUGUUAGUGUUUUGAUUUAUUCAAAUCUAAGGCUACGAAAAAAGAGGACGUAGUCAUCGAAGUGUAAAAUCAAUUUUCCUUGUAAUUUGCAUGUUCGAUCUUAUUCACAAGUUUGGCAAAGACAUAAUAUAUGCUUGCAUUGAGAUUUUUUUCGGUAACUGUGUCUCUUUUGUUUUGUAAUAUUCCUUUUGUAGAAUUAAACCUCACAAACACUUGUGAGACUGCAGUGAGUUUUUCUUUUUACCAAUUAAUUUUGUAGUGGAUCUCGCAUUUCGUUAUAGUAUCAGAGCAAACUAUAAAUAAGUGUUAGAGUCAUUCGCCCUGCAAGGAAGAAUCCGUUGUUUGUUUGUUUCUUAGGACGACUAGGUGCCUGAGGAAAAUCCGUGUAUUGAUAUAAACCUAUUGUUCUUGUAGCUUUUCGAUAAAGACCCGAAAUUUCCACCUGAGCUCUGAAUAUUUUCAAUUUCAAGUUCUGGACUUCUUCUGCAACUGGGUCUUGCCAAGAAACUGGUGUAUUUGCAGAGAGGUUCAUGACUGAAGUUGCAGUGAAGGAAAGCUGAGUCUGAGUGUUAAUUGCAGAAGUUCCGAGUUGGAAAUUAGUCGGGGAAGAAGAAGGGGAGAGGGGGGGAGGGAGUUUGGGGGUUGUGGAAGAGAGAAGAGGGUGAAAAGCACAGGUGAUAAGCCAUUUUCCUUCUCUGUAUCUUGGUUUGACUCACUUUUGCCUUUUAUUCAUAAUAUUUCAAAGCAAUUGCAUGAAAAGCAAGGAAAAUAAAGAAUUGAAAUAGGGACAAGUGGGGUGCUGUGUUUCAUGAAUGAAAUGAUGUUGUGAAUGAUAUUUGACAAGAAAAGAGGCCGGAGCUCUUGGAGUGAAGCUUUAAUGGAUGACAAAUGGAUGUGAACACAGUCGACCAGAGCAAUGAGCUUGAACUCGAGUAAAAAGCGAUGUAGUAUUUUUGUGUCAAAUUUUUAUUAGUUAAAAAAAAGUUAUAAUAGUUGGAUAAAAUUUUAGUCACAGUCAAAAUUUGAGUAAUGAUAUUCAUACCAUAUUUUUUAUACCACCUCUGAUAUGGACAUCCACAUCAUUUGAAAAAUUUGCAAAACCCAAGAAAAUGAAGGAGAAAGACUCUUCGUAUAUCACAAUCAUCAUUUAAUUAACUAAUUUUUCUUAUUAUUAGUUUAUUAAAUAAUAAACUAAAUUUAAAAAUCUGAUUAAUUCAAAUGAUGUGGUUGUAUACCACCUAAAACGGUAUAAAAAUGUAGUACAAAAAUAUGGUAUGAAUAAUAUUACUUCCAAAAAAUUUAAGCCUUUGUCAUUAGUUUUUCUUAUAAAAUAAAGGUUAUCUAUUUUCUUUUUCUUUUUAUUCGUGCAGCAAGUGAGGUUAUUUUUCUACCGAUUCGAAUCCAGAGCUUGACAUUCCUUACUUUAACUUGGUGUAUUUUUAAUCAUCAUCGUCAAAUAAUGAUAAUAUGAUUCACCACCCUACUUAGUAUCAUUAAAUGAUUUUAAAUUUCAUCUAUUCACUAAACAUAUUUUGAAAUUUAAACUAAUAUAACAAUGGUAUUCACUACACAUAUUUCAAAACUUAAAAUAAUGUAACUGUAAGAAUUUGAAGGUAAAAGAGUCUUACAAUGGUGAAAGGAGAAACCUUGCAAGGGUUUAUAAAAGGUUAGACUAAUUCCCAUAUUACUAAUUAGUUUUAUGGUGGAACCCUAACUUUUCAUAGUAUCAGAGUAGGUUGGCCCACGUGUGAAGCUCAAUAGCUACAUGUGCUCCACGUCACCUAAUUCGUGUUGUUCACGUGUUUGGUUUGGAAAUUAGCCACACGUGAGAAUAUGAAGAUAAAAAAGUUUCACGUUGAUGAAAAUAGAUCAUUUGCAAAGAUUUAUAAAAAGUUAAAUUACUUCUUAUAUAAUAAACUAAUUUUAUGAUAAAAACUCAAUUUUCUUAAAUAAUAAUAAUAAAUAAAGUGAUGUACGUGCACAAAAAUAUUUCCUAUAUAAACUUUAAUAGGAUCUCACCUCAUUAAUGCAUCCUAAGCCGAUUCCUAUCACGAGUUUCAAGGUUUUGCAAAUUGCCACAUGCAUCAAAUUAUUACUUUUCUCCAUGAGUCUCGGUUUUUGUCAAAAAGUCUACAUACAUAAACCAUUUGACGUAUCAGUUUUGUCCAAACAUAGUGGUCUUUGUCCCAUUAAAUAUUGGCAAAGAGUUGUCUUAUACGGAAUAGGAUCAUCUCCCAUUUUUUUUUUGUGAAAAUUCGAAUGAUCAAUUAAUUGUAUAUUGUGUAAUUAAAAAUUAAUUUUAAUUUUAUAUUUAAAAUUAAAUAUAAAUAAUACUUAAUGAAAACUGAUCCUACAAUAUACGAUGUAUGAACAAAAUUAAUUAAUCUUCGGAUCCACACAAAGAGGAUCCAGAGAGGAUCCUCGUUCGUCUUAUACCUCCUCUUCGGAUCCUCUUUGUGGGAAUCCGAGGGAUAAAUCAAUCUUGUUUCUUCAUCGUAUAUUGUGCGAUCAAUUUUCGUUAAGUACUAUUUAUAUUCAAUUUAAAAUUUAAAAUUUAAAUUUAAAAUGAUUUUUAACCAUACGAUGUACGAUGAACGAAUAAGAUUGAUUGAUUCUCCGAAUCCCCACAAAAAGGAUACAAAGAGGAUCCUUGUCAUUAUUGCAGGUUGUAGACUGUAAUAUUAAGGGGCUAAUCGUUAGAUUCGUUAAGCAAAUGGACAAAUAGGCUCAUCUCCGUUAGUAUUUAAUAAUUAAGUUUCGUACGUAAUUAAUUAUUGUUUAGGCUUGAUCUAAAGACAGACACAUACUCCCGUAGUGCUCUCCUCACUACGAUUGCGUGAACUCCAACGCAAUAAAAUUUGAAGAUACGACAAAAAUUUUACAAAACUCGGAAUAUCAAGAGAUUAUUAUAAUUCUACUAUGAUCAGUGCACUACCAAUUAUUUAAUGUCUUUUUUCUUCUUCAAAUAAUUGGUUUUGGUCGGUGGGACGCACCCACGUGACCACUCCUCUUCCCCGUGUAGUUUCACUCUUCCCCUCACGUUUCACUCAGCUGUGCCACACUCAUUCUCUUGAAAAUUUGUGAGGGAUAGAUACCCUCUUAAACUUAAAAGUAGUGCUUCUUCCACCGGAGGUCUUACUUUUGCUCCUCCCCUUCCAUAAUUUGGGUUUUGGUCUUUCACCUUUCUAUAAGUAAAGCCAAACCCCAACACUAAUUUCUCAAUGUUCCUCCCUUUUAAAGUAUGUAAAAAUUACGGGAGCAUUUUUGUUUACUAUUAUGAUUAUAGUGUAUACUUAUUGUAUAUCUAAUCAUUUGAUACGCGGUUAACUUUCACAUUGAAUAUUACUUUUUCAAUUUAAAAAAAAAUAAUCAAAGUUAAAUGAAAAAACACGUAACAAAUAAUUAAGUGUAUAAUAAGCAUAUACCAAAAUUUAUAACGGUGAGCAAAAUGCUCCCAAAAAUUAAUCUUCACUUUCCUCUUCUUUCUUGUAUCUCAUAAGGAGAACCUACUGCUGUUUUCAAGUUUCUACACUAAAUAAAAUUCUCAAUUUCUGCGCAUGGGAUUAGUAAAAAGUAGGAGUUGUGUACAUGUAAUUAGGGUUAACGUUUUGUAAGUUAUAGCUCCUCUAAAAUGAUUUCGAAUUUCGAAGUUAUCGACCAAAAAAACCCUCCCCCCUUCACCAAAACAAUCUGGUGUAUAUAAUAUGGAGAAAGCUUCCAUAAAACGAUAGAUGUAUAUACUAUUUGUAUCAUACUUGACCAAUCCCGAAACUACUGAGCACCGGUCAACGUUAUACCGUCAAGGACCCAGAAGAGUUUCUCUCCAACCGGAAGGCUAAUCACAGUGCGACAUGUGUCGACAUCAGAAGCCAAUUAUAGCACGACAUGUGUCAACAUCAGAAGCCAAUCACAACAUAACACGUGUCAAUGUCAGAACAAAGCUAGAAACUAUUUUCUAUAAAAGGAGAUCAUUCUCCCACAAUAUUUCCUAAUGUCAUUUGUACUAAAUCAUUCCCUAGUACUCACUAAAUGAGAGCUUGAACUUAUGUAAACCCUUCACAAUUAAUGAGAACUCCUCUACUCCGUGGACGUAGCCAAUUUAGGUGAACCACGUACGUUUGCUUCCUUGUCUCUAUCCGUUUACAUACUUAUCCACACUAGUGACCGGAGCAAUCUAGCGAAGGUCACAAACUUGACACUUUCUGUUGUACCAAAGUCCUCACUGAUUUUGUGCAUUAACAUUUGGCGCCGUCUGUGGGAACGACACUUAUUCCCACUCUCUUCAGCUUUGUCAAGUUGGUUUCCACCAUUCGUACACUUUCUUUUAACCAUGCAUCUCUCUUUAACAUGGGGAGCGAAGGAAGCCACAAUACACAAAAUGACACCCAUUUUGCACCUAGUGCGAAGCAACGAAAGAAGGAAGGAAAGAGGGUUGCUCUUCAAGCUAAAGUCGAUAAGCUAGAAGUUCAGAACAACAAGAUAGCAAUGAAGGAUGAGGUCCUCCAGGAGCAAUAUGAGAAGCUCUUCGAGAUGCUCCACGAAGCUAGGCAUGCUCAAACAUAUGAACUCGUUGCCCCCAUGGAAGUUAACUAUCAACUGGGUGCCCCCCAACACAGAGGGUCACCUGCCUUCGACAUAGAUAUCCCUGAUAGGGAGCGAGCUACCCAUCGAUAUGAUAAUCAACAUGAGACUUCUCUCAAUCCAGUUGCUUCAACCCGAAGCAGGAGAAGUGGAGGAAUACUCCUCCUUGCGGAAGCGGCAGAAUGAUCGAAAGCUGUUUAUCGCAAUUGUCGGGACUUCCUGAAGCAACGUCGAGAGAAAUCCAUCCACAUAAGCUCAAAGAUCAAUGACCCAAGGGUUUAUGAGAUACGCGGUCCUCUACCACGGCCCAGGCCGACUGCCAAUCUAGGGAAGGAAUGACAAGUCCCAGAGGAAUAUGAAGGUAUAGGGGACUCGGAGGUAUUCCGACAGACUCGCCUUAGAAGUCAGUGCAGUGAGUCCAAGGAAAAACCACAUGCUCUUGUUCAAACUUUCCUACUUCCAAGAGGCAAUGAAGACUUACGGAAGAAAAUUCCAGUGGUACACGACUACACUCAAGACCCCCUUGUCCUACAGCUCAUUGAGGAAGUAAACAAAGUGAAGGCCGAACAUCAGGCCGAGAUACCUGACUAGAACCAACCCAGGCCUGGCCUUCUCACAAGGAGGAUCCUCGACACCCCCUUCAAGCGAAGACAAAACAAAAGCUUGGUUUACAACUCUAUGCUGGAAGGGAGGACCCGAUUAAACACCUUAACCUCUUUGAGUCCACCAUGGCAUAUCAGAUGCACACCGACGAAGAGCGAUGUCUUCUCUUCCCUUCCACCCUCUUUGGCGGAGCUUUAAACUGGUAUUAUUGUCUUCCACCCGAGACAGUAGACUUAUUUGAGGAACUAAGGAAACUAUUUGUCUCUCAACACAUCUUCCAGACCAAUCGCUUACAUUCUGCAUAUAAGUUGUACACUAUUCACCAGAAGCCAGACAAGUCACUACGAGAGUAUGUCGGUCGCUUCAUCCAUGAGUAUUCUCACUGCGCUGAGGCAGAUGACAAAAUCGCCCUCAAAGCCUUCACGACAGGCCUACGUGAUUGUUUCUUCAAGCACAUGAUCAAUUCCAACACUUGGAAGACUUACUCUGAGGUGAUGACACAAGCUUACAACCAUGCCUCUGCCGAAGCAAGGACAUACCAAGGGAACCCCCAUAUGGUUAACCCCUAUCAACAAGUGGGAAGUGGAAGUCAAGUUCUACCAAGUGAAGAGAUCUUGGCCAUUUAGACACCCAUUGCAUCAUCUCUUGCCUCAUUUAGCUACUCGCUAAGUCACCAAACAUAUUUGUCUCUUGGUAAGAGGAAGGAUUUUUACUCUCACCAAGCCCAUUACAACAAGAGGGAUAAAAGUUUAUAUCAAGACAACUAGGGGUGAACGUACCGUCGACUAUUAUGACUAUAGGGCCAAGCCUUACUCUUUCAAAGUGGAGGACUAGGUACUGAAGGAAAUGCUAUUAUAAGAAGGCAUACACAUUACAAAUGUUUUGACUCUUAACUGCCUGAGAUCUUUUGUCUCACAAGCCAUUCGACAAAUAUUUAAAGAAGGUAUGUUAGAGAUACAGGUAUUUGGUGACGUCACGUGUCGAUUCUGGACGUAUGUUGGGAUCAGGGCGUGACAGAAAAGCUCACGGUACUGUUCAUUUUAACGAAAAACCAUAUUUUUACACUAAAAAGUCAAUCAUGGUAUUAUUCACUUUAUCGUUAAAACUCAAAGUUUUCGAACCAUUUUCAUUAGUUUUCCUUAUAAAGAAUUGGCAGCGGUGUUGAGCUACUUGGAGUCUAGAAUCUGGCAAGAAACAAGAAUUGCACUUUGGUAGAUUGAUGCAAAAUUAUUAUGAACGAUAAAUAUGUCAUACUUGGUGGAAUCGUUGGAAGAGUAUUAAUGGAAAUGAAUAACUAUAAUCAUUUGUUGGAAUCUUAAAUUGGAAAGUAUGAGAUUUAUAGAAACAUGGAACUAAAAGUAGUUGAGUCUACGCUCGGGGCACCUAGAUCUAUGUUCUGCUCAAAGUCACCAAAUAAGGGAGCGAAACCCUUUCAGUUAAAAUCAGAUAAAAUGAUCAAAUUGAGUUUUGAAUUCGUGGACUGAAAAAUGACCAUUGAAAAAAGAAAUAGAGUUAUUUGAUGAUUGGGUUAACAUAAUAGAAUAAAGAGAAAACAUUGCAUUCAUGCUUUAUUAUUGCUUCUGCUGAAUUAAAUGCAUUUUGAUUUUACCCUAUUAAGCUAGUAGCUCACCCAUGACUAGUGUUAAAUUAGAGACUUAAAAAGCAGUUGGUUUUAUGGAUGUUUUAAAAAGUAGUUGGUUUUACAGAGGGUUUUUUUUUUUUAAUUUGUUUUUUAACAAACAUUAUUAUUUACAGUUAUAUUAAGGAGAUGAGGUGAACUAAGUUUCACAAUGGGUUAGUGAUAAUGUAGUUCAAAUUCACCUUUAACGAGAAUCGGACCAAAGACGACUCACUAAUAAGUAAAGAAAAAUAUCACUAAACUGUAGUACUAAGUAACGAGUUAAUAGGACCUCACCUCGUUAAAUAUUGUCGGCGAGCAAAAUACAACCUACGCGGUUUUAGUUUCACGGUACACAAAAUGCCAAAAGUAUUGGUCUUUCUUUUUUCUAAUCAAACAAAUAGUAUUGGUCUUUGUCUCGUGCCUUAGAUUAUUUCCAAUUUUCAUAAAUUAUAAUCGGUCCUUCUUUUUAAAUCAAACAAAAAGUAAUGGUCUUCUACCAAAAAACAAAAAGUAAUGGUCUUUGUCUCAUGCCUUCCAUUAUUGUCCAAUUUUUUAAUCAAACAAUGGUAUCGGUCUUUGUCUCAUGCCUUCAAUUAUUUUCCAAUUUUCAUAAAUUAUAAUCUUCAUCUUUUUCUCCGUCUCAUACUUGAUAUUUUCAUCGAGUUUAUUGACACAGGAGUCCAACAAUACCGUAAGUUAUAGCUUAAUGCGAUUGAAGCAUAUCAUUGCUACUCUUUUGUGAGCUCUCAUAUGCCCCAGAGUAUGUUCUUCCAAUUGUUUCUAAUUCCAAAUUGAAUUUCUCUAAUUUUACUUGUUUCUCCGUUGGAUCGAAUGAGAAUAGAUAAGAGCGAGCUCCAAUCCCUUCGUCUCAUAUUUGAUAUUUUAUUUUCAUUGACAAAGGAGGAGACCAACAAUAACGACUCAGAGCAACUGAAGCAUAUCAUUGCAACUCUUUUGUGAGCUUCCACAUGCCCCAGGGUAUGUUAUUCUGCACUCUUACUACCAUAUCUAAUAUCCUUCUGGAAAUUUUCUGAAAGAAAGUAAGGGCUUAUGAGCUACAUCUGACUUUUGUUUCACUUUUUCUUCUUCUUAUUAUAUAUGUAAUUCAGAUUCUGAGCACUCAUCAUUAAACACAAGACUUCAAAUUCGAUUUCUUCCUCAACAAUUACAUAUGUUGGAAAAAUAAAAUGCAAAAUAAAAGUUAUCUAUUUUCUGUGUAGACGGGUCUAGGCGGCUGCCUUAGUAGGUCUAGGCGUCAUUUCUUAAUUUUCAAAUUCCUAGGCAUUAAUUGGGGCGGUGGCCGACUGUCGAGCGCCACUGGGAUUUUUAGAACAGUGGUUAACGUGUUGACCCAAGACUUGUUAUUUUCGAAUCGUUCAAUGUCUGAUUAACGGGUCGUGCAAAAAAUUGUGUAGGAUUUGUGUAGAGUCCAAUCUACUAGACCCAAAACAUUCCGUUCUUUUCGACGUGUGUACUUUCAUUUAACAACAAUUUUGUGGUACUUGUCAACUGCCACCUACAAAGAAUUGAAACUUUUGGUUAUCCUUAAACACUGACUAAAAUCCAUGACAUUUGGUGGAAGAAUUAGAUUGAAUGAGUUCGAAAGUUUCAAUCAUAGAUUUUUGUUCUUGAACCAAAUUCUUUAAUUCUGUGUUCUUGCAAAAAAGACUCGAGAAGUAGUUUUCGAACUUUUGAAGUUUGGCCCUUUGUUAAACUGAAUGAAAGUUAAGAACAGAAAUUUAAAUUUCUUGAGUACCUUAUUUAGAUCUUGAUUUCUUUUGGCUUGUGGUUUCGUUUUGAAAACUAAGCACAUAGUUUGUAAAAUACAAAAAUUUAUCCAUUGCAUUCUUUUUUUCUUUUCCUGUUGUUUUGAAACUUGUCUAUUCUGCAGACAGAUUGGAUAACAAGUAUCGAAGGCCAAAAUGGAGUCAGCUGCAUCACUAUUGAUUGGGAAAAUUGCGGCCAUUCUUGAGAACGAAGCAUCUUCCAUAGCGGCAGUCCGUGAUGAAGUUGAUGAGCUUAAGCUGGAGCUCAUAAGCAUGAAAUCUUUCUUAAUAGAUGCUGAAGGCAAGGAACCACAAACAGAAGGAGAGAAAAACGUGGGUUACAAGCGUCAGAGAUUUGACCUGCGAUGCUGAAAAUGUCAUUGAUGAGUUCCUGUAUCACAUAUAUGACAAGCAAAGUGCGACUCCAUUUGCAAAAUUGCUCCACAGAACCAUUUACUUUCCAAAGAAUCUUUGGCAUCGGCAUCGAAUAGCCAAAAAAUUACAGAAAAUCACAAAAAAGAUCAAAGCCAUUCCAGAGAGGAAUGAGAGAUAUGUGUGUCUCUACAAUAGAAGGAACAAGUUCGGAUAGUGUUCCCAGAUGGGUGAAGAACAAAGCCAAGUCUUCUCUUUAUAUUAUGGAAGACGAACUAAUCGGGAUUGAAGACAAGAAGCAAACGUUAAUGGGGUUAUUGAUGAAUGGAGAGGAAAAUGAAAUGGUUGUGUCUGUGGUCGGGAUGGGAGGAUCAGGCAAGACAACUCUUGUUGCCAAUACCUUCAACAACGAAAAUGUAAAGUGGCAUUUUGACUGUGUUGUGCUAGGAUAGCACAAAACCUUAUGGAACAAACUCUUGAUAACCCACAGGAAAUAUAUCAAAUGAAAUGCAAGAACAAAAUAUUAAAGACACCAAGAUUUUAACGAGGUUCCUCAACAGUCAGUAUAACUGGAGUACGUCCUCGGAGCAGUAGGAGCUCACCCAAUAAUCCACUAUCAACCAAAUGGGAGUUUACAAAGUGUUGGCAAUCUCACAACCCAAAUAACCCAAUACACCCAAUAGCUCUCACACACCACAGAAACAAAUAGAGAAAGCAAUAUAAUGAAUAAUUUCUUCUCUAUACAUGUAGCUCAAAGCUAUUACAACAAUAACUAUGAUGGAUGAUUGCUAACCAAAAAGAAGAGCACCUUCUUCUUCUUUUCUGCUCUUAGUUUUCUGCUCUCUGCAGCUCUCUUUGCUCUCUCAAAGAUGGGCUACUAAAACAGAAAAAUGGUGCACACUUCCUCUAUCAUUCUCACUUCCGUAUCCUCACUUCAUCAAUACAAAAGCACCCAAUAAAAAAUUCAAAAACAUCAUCAUGACCAUCAAUUUUUCAUUUCAACAAACAUAAUCAUGAUGCCUCCUCAUCAUGAUGUCUUUCACCUUUUUUUAUUUUGAUUUGUUUAUUAGCUGAAAGUUGUUUUGUUUUGUUGUCCACUUGGCCACUUGGCCACAAUUCAACAGACUGUUAUGCAUGGAUCACUGUUUCUCAAACUUUUGUGAUCGAGGACUUAUUCAAAAAUCUGAUCAAGCAAUUCCACCAAGGAAGAAAGGAAGAGGUGACUGCACAAUUGGAUUCCAUGAGUUACAAAGAAUUGUUAGAGAUGUUGUCGACAUACUUGAAGUCUAAAAGGUACCUAGUUGUAUUGGAUGAUGUGUGGGACAUUAAACUUUGGCAAGAAAUAAGGAUACCACUUCUUAAUAGACAUCAUGGAAGUCGAAUCAUGCUUACAACUCGAAAGAAAGACAUAGCAUUCUAUUCUUUUGAAGUUGAAAGUUGUCCUAUUGAAAUUGAACCUUGGGAAAACAAUGAAGCUUGGGAGCUCUUUAGCAAGAAAGCAUUCUCAACUUACGAUAAUAAAUCUUGUCCACCAGAGCUUGAAUCCUUAGCAUGGAAACUUGUGGAUAAGUGUGAAGGCCUACCUCUGGCAGUGGUAACUUUAGGUGGUCUAAUGUCUUCCAAGAGGUCAUCAUCGGAAUGGAAAAGCGUAUAUAACAGCUUAAAUUGGCACUUGACUAACCAUCCUAUGUUGGAACCAAUGAGCAACAUCUUGUUGCUUAGUUUCAACAAUUUGCCCAACCGGUUGAAGCCAUGUUUCCUAUAUUGUGCCCUUUUCCCAGAAGAUUAUCUCAUCAAAAGACAAAGGUUGAUCAGGUUGUGGAUAGCUGAAGGGUUUGUUGAACCAAUUGAUGGGGUCACACCAGAAGAAGUUGCAGAGGGCUAUCUUGUGGAACUUAUUGUUCGUAGCAUGCUACAGGUUGAAAAGAAUGAAGCUGGAGGACUAAAAGCAUGUAAGAUGCAUGAUCUAUUGCAUGAGCUUGCUUUGUCGACAUCAAAAAAGGAAAAGUUUGGUGCUACGUAUGUUGGCAGAGAAAUAGUAGAUAACGGUGAAAUCCGCCGACUGUCAAUUCAAACAGCUGAAAGAGAAAUUAAUUCUUGCCCAGGUAUGUCAAAGCUUCGCUGCUUUUUUGUCUUUGGCGCUGGCAUAUUUAUGUUCAAGAAAUUGCCUUCUGGAUUCAAGUUGUUGAGAGUUCUAUAUUUGGAGAAUGCUCCAAUUGAAAGAUUUCCAGAUGAACUAGUGUACUUGUUCAACUUAAGAUAUUUAAAUUUGAAGGGAACUUUAAUUGAGGAGCUUCCAGAAUCCAUGGGACGGCUGCGCAACCUUCAAACCUUGAACAUCCGUGACAGUAAGAUAAAGGCACUUCCAAAAGCAAUCUCCAAGUUAGUAAACCUACGCCAUCUAAUCAUGUAUUGUUACGCUGUUGAUUUGAUGGCCUUUAGAUUUCUCAAUGGGACAAAAGCAGCAUCCGAUCUAAGUACAUUACAGAAACUGCAAGUUUUGCAAUCUGUUGAAUCAGAAGCAAAGAUUAUUAAGGGAUCAGGAAAUGACCCAACUUACAAGCCUUGGUAUUACAAAUGUGAAAGCAUGUGACGAGAUGGACCUCUGUGACUCCCUUCAAAAGUUAGAGCUUCACUCUUUGUUUUUAAUGGCUAGUGAUGAAGAGGGGUUUCUUCAAGUUAAUGCACUACAUAACCUGACACGUAUGUGUCUACAUUGGUCUAGACUUGAAGAAGAUCUGCUGCCUCACAUUCAAGCAUUGCCGAAUCUUGAAAGGCUUACCCUAUUAAUGCAUAUGUUGGCGAAAAUCUGUGUUUCUCCAGAGGCUUCAUAAAGCUUAAGCAUUUGCUGUUGGGCAGCUUCUCGGUAUUGAAUAGUAUAACUAUAGAGAAAGGGGCGAUGCCAAAUCUCCAGGUCUUAGACAUUGGGAACUGCAUGGGGUUAAAGGCAUUGCCGCAGGGCAUGGAGUUCCUUGCUAACGUAGAACGCCUGGAUCUGUAUUCUGUUUCCAAUGCAACUUAUAGAGUCCGUAAGAGGAGGCAUGGAUCAUCCAAAGGUACAACAUAUUCCUGAAAUCCACCUGUAUUAUGAGAGAGAAAAAUAUGUGGUGUCAUGAAAGCUUUUCUGGUAUUCACUCAAGGUACACACUUUUGUUCUUGCAUAAACAUUUGAUUAAUUCUAGACUUAUCAUAUUUUUUGUAUCAUAUUUGUACCAUCUUUUUUAUAGAGGUAGGGCCCAUCAUCAUAUGUGGGUCUUAUUUCUAUUAGAGAGGUGGUAUGAAAAAUGUGGUAAAAGUAGCAUUUUUUUGUAAAAAAAAUUCCACAACAUAAUCAUUUGAACUAUUACGUUAGAAAGUUAAAAGGUUGAUGAUUUUCAUGCUCCUAUUUUUUUUUUCUUAUGCACUCCUUAUGUUUUUGUUCGUUAGUGUUUUGAUUUAUUCAAUUGUUAGGCUACGAAAAAGAGGAAGUAGUGUAUCGGAGUGUAGAAAUCAUUUUCCCUUACAAUUUGCAUGACCAAUCUUAUACAAAAGUCUGGCAAAGACAUAAUAUGUAUGCAUUGAGAAUAUGUAUCCAUUGAGAUUUUAUUUGGUAACUGUGUUUCUUUUGUAUUGUAAUAUCCUUUUUGUAGAAUCAAGCCUCAGAAGCACUUGUGAGACUGCAGUGAGUUCUCCUUUGUGCUAGUUGAUUUUGCGGUGAAUCUCGACUUUCGUUAUAGUAACAGAGCUGACUAUAUACGUGUCGAGUCAUUCGUCCUGCAAGGAAGAAUCCGUUCGUUGUUUGUGUGUUGUGUGAAGUUGCAAACAUUGAUCGAUCUUGGUUUCUUAUUUGCCCUUUGUGAAAUUGAAUAAUGCCCAAUAUUCUAUUUGUGUAACUGAAACUUAUAUUAUUGAUUGUUUGCAUGUGUUUUGAUGUAAUAAUAUUGGUUUGGAAUUGAAUCUGUCACUUAUGAGAAUAAUUCCAAAGAUUCUGUUUGUGUAACAGAAACUUAUAUUAUUGUUUGUUUGCGUGUAUUUUUUGAUGUAAUAAUAUUGGUUUGGAACUGAAUCUGUUAUUGAUGAGACCAAUUCUAACUAAAUCAAUAAUUAUGACCAUUUUUCAUUUUCAAUAUUUAUUGUUUUUUUUAUCAAGUUUUCAAAUAUAUUGUUUUUGAGAGGCAAAUUUUGUGGCGGAUACUUUAGCUCACUAUGAUUUUACUUGAGAAAUUAUUAGAUGGUACGGUAUUACCACGUCAGCCAGUCAUACUUCUAUUCAAAUUUUUAACAUGUCUGCAGUUUCUUACAGCUGAAUUAAAAAGCUUUUUCAAUUCAAAAUUAAUUAAUUUUUUUCAGUUUAAACAAAAUUAAAAGAAUUAAAAAUAAGAGGCGUUUUGACACAGAUGCAUAGCUUUUAAAAUUUUGAGUUAACCUCUUUUCCUCCCCUCCCUCCUCUCUCAUGGCGACUAGUGCUGCCAGUAUCCGAGCCCGCCAGAAAGCAAUCCCGACCGGGUCGGGGCGAAUUCGAGGCCCAAUGAGCAGCAUCUUGUUGCUUAGUUUCAACAAUUUGCCCAACCGGUUGAAGCCAUGUUUCCUAUAUACUGUGCCCUUUUCCCAGAAGAUUAUCUCAUCAAAAGAAAAAGGUUGAUCAGGUUGUGGAUAGCUGAAGGGUUUGUUGAACCAAUUGAUGGGAUCACACCAAAAGAAGUUGCAGAGGGUUAUCUUGUGGAACUUAUGUUCGUAGCAUGCUACAAGUUGAAAAGCAUGGAGCUGGAGGACUAAGAGCAUGUAAGAUGCAUGAUCUUGUGCGUGAGCUUGCUUUGUCGAUAUCAAAAAAGGAAAAGUUCGGUGCUACGUGUGUUUCCAGAGAAAUAGUAGAUAAAGCUGAAAUCCGCCGAUUGUCAAUUCAAACAACUGAAAGAGAAAUUAAUUCUUGCACGGGUAUGUCAGAGCUUCGCUCCUUUCUUGUCUUUGGCGCGUUAGAGAAAUUGCCUUCUGGAUUCGAGUUGUUGAGAGUUCUAGAUGUGCAGGAUGCUCCAAUUGAUAGAUUUCCAGAUGAACUAGUGUACUUGUUCAAACUUAAGAUAUUUAAAUUUGAAGAGAACUUUGAUUGACGAGCUUCCAGAAUCCAUCGGACGACUUCGCAACCUUCAAACCUUGAUCAUCAGUAACAGUAAGAUAAAGGCACUUCCAAAAGCAAUCUCCAAGUUAGUAAACCUACGCCAUCUAAUCAUGUUUCGUUACACUGGUGACCAUUAUGGCUUUAUAUAUCUCAAUGGGACAAAAAGCAGCAUCCGAUCUAAGUAAAUUACAGAAACCGCAAGUUUUGCAUUCCGUUGAAUCAGAAGGAAAGAUAAUUAAAGGCAUCAGGAAUAUGACCCAACUUACAAGCCUCGGUAUUACAAAUGUGAAAGCAAGUGACGAGAUGGACCUCUGUGACUCCCUUCAAAAGUUAGAGCUCCUUCACAAUUUGUUUUUUAAUGGCUGGUGAUGAGAGAGAGGAGUUUCUUCAAGUUAAUUUGACUCUCCAGACCUUCAAAUUGACUUAAUUUGACUGGAAAACUAGAAAAGGGUACCUCUUUGGUUAGGUUCACUCCAUAACCUGACACGUAUUUAUCUACGUUGGUCUAGACUUGAAGAAGACGUGCUACCUCACAUUCAAGCAUUGCCGAAUCUUGAAAGGCUUUCGCUAAUUAAUGCAUAUGUUGGCGAAAAAUUGUGUUUCUCCAGAGGCUUCAUAAAGCUUAAGCAUUUGAGGUUGUUCAAGUUCCCCUUAUUGGAUAGUAUAGCUAUAGAGAAAGGGGCGAUGCCAAAUCUCUAGGUCUUAUGCACUGCGUACUGCCUGGAGUUAAAGGCAUUGCCGCAGGGCAUUGAGUUCCUUGCUAACGUAGAACGCUUGAAUCUGUAUUCUGUUCCAAUGCAACUUAUACAGUCCAUAAGAGGAGGCAUGGAUCAUCCAAAGGUACAACAUAUUCCUGAAAUCCACCUGUAUUAUAUGAGAGAAAAUAUGGAGUGUCAUGAAAGUUUUUCCGGUAUUCACUCUAGGAGAAGGUACGCACACUUUUAUCCUUGCAUAAAAAUUUAAUUAAUGUUAGACUUACUACAUUUUUUGUGUCACAUUUGUACCACCUUUUUUUUAUAGAGGUAGGGCCGAUUGACAUAUAUGGGUCUUAUUUUUAUUAGAGAUGUGGUAUAAAUGUGGUAUGAAAAAUGUGGUAAAAGUAGCAUUUUUGUAAAAAAAAAAUUCCACAACGUAAUCAUUUGAACUAUUACGUUAGAAAGUUAAAAGGUUGGUGAUUUUCACACUCCUAUUUUUUUUUCCUUAUACGCUCCUCUUGGUUUUGUUCGUUAGUGUUUUGAUUUAUUCAAUUGUUAGGCUACGAAAAAGAGGAAGUAGUGCAUCAGAGUGUAAAAAUCAUUUUCCCUUACAAUUUGCAUGUCCAAUCUUAUAUAGAAGUCUGGCAAAGACAUAAAAUAUGCAUGCAUUGAGAUUUUAUUCGGUAAUUGUGUUUCUUUUGUUUUGUAAUAUCCUUUUUGCAGAAUCAAGCCUCAUAAGCACUUGUGAGACUGCAUUGAAUUCUCCUUUGUCCCAGUUGAUUUUACGGUGAAUCUCGACUUUCGUUAUAGUAACAGAGCUGACUAUAUACGUGUUGUGUCAUUUACCCUGCAAGGAAGAAUCCGUCCAUUGUUUGUUGUGUGAAGUUGCAAACAUUGAUCGAUCUUGGUUUCUUAUUUGCCCUUUGUGAAAUGGAAUAAUGCCCAAGAUUCUAUUUGUGUAACUGAAACUUAUAUUAUUGAUUGCUUGUGUGUGUUUUGAUGUAAUAAUAUUGGUUUGGAACUGAAUUUGUCACUGAUGAGAAUAAUGCUUAAGAUUCUGUUUGUGUAACAGGAACUUAUAUUAUUGUUUGAUUGCGUGUAUUUUGAUGUAAUAACAUUGAUUUGGAACUGAAUCUAUCACUGAUGAGACCAAUUCUAACUAAACCAAUGAUUAUGACCCAUUUUUCAUUUUCAAUAUUUAUUGCUUUUUAUCAAGUUUUCAAAUAUAUAUUGUUUUAGGUAGGCAAAUUUUGUGGCGGAUGUUUUAGCUUACUAUGAUUUUACCUGAGAAAUUAUUAAAUGGUACGAUAUUACCACGUCGCCCAGUAAUACUUUUAUUCAAAUUUCCAGUAAUACUUUUAUUCAAAUUUUAACAUGUGUGCAGUUUCUUUCAUGCUUACAGCUAGAUUAAAAAGCUUUUUUAAUUUAAAAUUAAUUUUUUUUUCAGUUUAAACAAAAUUAAAAGAACUAAAAAUAAGAGGCGUUUUGACACAGAUGCCUAGGGUUUAGCUUUUAAAAUUUUGAGAUAAGGCCAUCUCCAAUCAAAAAGUCCAGAGGGCUGAAAAUGGCCCAAAAACCGUCUCCAACCGAGGACUAGGCCAAAAGGCUCGUGGGCCCCACUGAACAAAAAAGGGCCAAAAGGCCAAUCGAUUGGCCCAACCCAACCAGCCAACCUCGGGCAGAGCCAGAAAUUUGAAUGCAACGGCUAGCUGAUGUAAGCGUGACGCUAACUAGCCAUUAUAUUUGAAUUUUUUUUUGGGCCAAAAUUUAAAAAAAUAUAUAUUUAAUUAUAGGCCUAGAAAGGUGAUUAGUUCAAUGUUGGGCGUUGAGAUGUUCCUUUUAUAAGCAUGUUUGGUUACUCAAAUCUCUCCCACGAACAAUGUGGGACAAAUAUAAUGGUUGCCACACAUGCAAGCUUUUGCUUGCUCAAAUCUCUCCCACGGACGAUGUGGGACAAAUAUAGUGGGUAGUUUUUAAAUUUAAGUUGUUGUAGUUUUUAAAUUUAAAUAACAAAUUAUGUUUGGUCCUAUGACCCUCAAUUGGAGAUGAUUUUUUGUCACAUGGCUAUUUUUGAUAAAAAAUUAUAGCUAUGCACUGUUCAUUAAAGUAUUAAUUUCUUGGACGGCCACACCUUCGGUUGGAGAUGGCAUAACCUCUUUUCCUCCCCUCCUUAUUCUCUCCCAUGGCGAUUGCAGUGCUGUCAGUAUCCAAGCCCGCCAGACAGCAACCCCGACCGGGUCGGGGUGGAUUCGAGGCCCAUGGACUAUCAGAAGAAGAGGCCUAAAACCUUAUUUUAUCUUAAUAUUACAUAAUUACUGUUUUGUCCUCCUUAUGUAAAUAUUGUGAAUCAAAAGUGAGGGUAAAAUAGGAAAAAUAGGGAUAUGAUUGUCAUUUUAUCAAAAGAUAUAAAAUUACUAUUUUGCCCUCCUUAUGUAAGUAUUGUGUAUCAAAAGUGAGGGCAAAAUAGAAAAAAGGGGGCAAAAGAUACAAAAUUACUAUUUUGCCUUCCUUAUGUAAGUAUUGUGUAUAAAAAAUGAGGGUAAAAUAAGAAGAAAAAAAAGGCAAAAAGUUGACAAGAAUGAUUCUCUUAAUAAUAGUAUAGAUUAUAAAUAAUAAAUAAAUAAAUAAUAAUAAAAACUGAUAAGAACAAAAAAAAAAAAAAAAAAACCCUAUUGUUCAAGCUUCAAAGUUAGGGGGAGGGUAAUGGACAAGGAUUGUCUGCCCUCCCACUUUCCAUGCCCUCCCAUGCCCUCAUGUUUGUGUGUGCUCAGGGUUAAGCCACGUCAACAUUUUAUAUUACUAUUCAUUUUUGUCUUAUUAUCUCUAUAAAAGAAACAAUAUAAAAUGUUGACGUGGCUUAACCGUGACCACACAAAACAGAAGAACACGGGAGGACAUGGAAAAUGGGAGGGCAGACAAUCCUUGUCCGAGGGUAAUAGACCUCUCUUUCUCUGCCGCAUAUCUCCUGGUUUUAUUUUUAUUUAUUUUUGGUAAAAAAAAACCUUCCUGAUCUCUUUAUUCUCUAGAAACUCAUGUGUUAUUACCAUUUAUCAGACGAUAUGUUUUCCCGCUUGUUCAUAUUGUUCUCACGCUUGGCCAAUGGGGGAAAAAUUGUUUUCCACAAUCUAAUUUAUCACUCAAAAUACUAGGAAUGAAGAAUUAGGAUUUUGGGUUUAGUUUUGUUUACCGAACAAAAUAAUUCAAGAGAUCGAGCGAUUGCUUGAUACGCUUUGUGUGCUUCUUAAUUUUGUAUCAAUCGAAUCAAAUCGACAUGUAGUAAAGACGGAUUUUCUCUCCUCCUCCUCCUUACGUUCAUGACCAGUUGAUUUUUUUUCCUAUUGAGUUUUAUUGGAUUAAUUGAUUCUUAUUCAUUUAAUAUAAUUGUUUAUUUAUUACUUAUAAUUCACAUCAUCGUCCAUGUCACUUAAGGUUUAAAAUUUUCAACAUUAGUCUUAAUCAAGAUCAUUGAAUGUUAUAAAAUCUAAUGACUAAAAAAGAGUGUAAAAAUACUUGUCUCCUGAUCCUAUUUUAUAUGUAUUUUUUAUAUAUGAAUAUAAAUUAUUAUCUAUUAGUUUUUCAAUACAGUAUGAUAAUAUUGUUGGUAAUAUUAUGGAAUACUAAUCACAUACCAAAAAUUUCAGUUUGCUACAAUAUCGUGUCAUUAUUGAUUAGCACAAAAUCGAUAUGGUACGAUUAUCAAUCGGUGGCACGAUAUUGACAAAAAAAAAAAUCACCCUAGAGUUAGUAAACUCACCCGUGACAAGUGUUGAAUCAGAGACUAAAAAAGAAUUGAAUUCUACUGGAAGUGUAUAUAAACUUUUGUAAUGUGAAUUAAAAUUACAGUGUGCUUGAGUGAUUUUUCAAAACCUUGUUCGUUAUUUGAUUUGAAAUAAGAAUUUUCUGUUAUAUUUUUAAUUUAUUCGUGCACCAAUUAUUUUUCUGCCGACACCAAAUUCGAAGCGCAACUUUAAUAUGACCCCACCUGGCAAGUACUGCGAGCAAAAUACAUCCUACGCGGUUUCAGUUCCACGAUUUACAAAUUGCCACACACAUCACAUUAUUAUCUUUGUCCAAAGGUUUUUGUCUUCGUCUGAAAUUAUUGGUCUGUCAGAAAGUAUUCGUAAGAGCCAUAAAGUAUUGGUCUUUGUUUCAUGAAACAUGACUUCCAUCCUAACGUGCAAUUGUUUCUAAUUCUAAAGUGAUUUUCUCUGAUUUUUACUUGUUUCUCUGUCGGAUCGAAUGAGAAAAGAUAAAAGGCUCAUGAAAUUGACGUGUGGGGUUAGGAAUGGUUAUAUUCUAUGAGUGAGCUCCAGUCCCUUCGUCUCAUAUUUGAUAUUUUUAUUUUCGUCGACAAGGGAGCCCAAAAAAUAACGACGUCGGAGCAACUGAAGCAUAUAAUUGCAACUCUUUUGUGAGCUUCCAUAUGUCCCAGGGUAUGUUAUUCUGCAAUCUUACUACCAUAUCAAAUAUCCUUCUAGUAAUUUUCUGGAAGAAAGUAUAGGGGCUUAUGAGCUACAUCUGACUUUUGUUUCACUUUUUUUUCUUAUUAUAUAUGUAAUUCUGUUGGAAUGCAUGCAAGUCAUAUGUUUUGUUAAAAUGCAUGCAUGAAAUAAACAUGUUGGAUGACUAGUGAAGUUAGGCUAGUCAACAUUCUUUGUGUAAAUUAGGCAAGUUAGGCAAGUUAGGAAAUUAGGCAAGUUAGGCUUAUGUUCUCUUUCUUUUCCUAUAUAAUGUUUCAUCUUGUAAUUGUUUUGAUAUGAAAUACACAUCCAAAAUUCUACAUGGUAUCAGAGCAGGAACUCGAAAUUCCUGGCUCUGUUGAUCGUUUCCGCUAAGUUUCUUUUACUCUAAGCCAAGAUGGCUGGAGAACAUUUACUCUAAGCCAAAAUGGCUGGAGAACUUUUACUCUAAGCCAAGAUGGCUGGAGAACAUUUACUCUAAGCCAAGAUGGCUGAAGAACAUUUACUCUAAGCCAAGAUUGGCUGGAGAACAUUUAUUCUAAGAAGAUGCUGGAGACAUUAUGCUGAGAGCUCGAUGGAUGCUUUAGCUCUACCUAACGUUGUUCAAGUUUUGCGGCACGAAGCCAUUUCAAGUUUGUUUGUUUGCGGCACGAACGAAGUCAUUACUGUUUUGUUUGCGGCACGAAGCCAUUUCAUUUCAGUGGGAAUUUGGUAACAUGGCGCAGCAAGAAGCAAAGCGUUAUUUUUACUAAACCUCUUCCUACGGUUCAGUUCAUGCGCAUUCUGUCCAAGCUUGGCUCAAGGAAUCCCCUCGAUCCAGCUUGAGGGGGAGUGUUGGAAUGCAUGCAAGUCAUAUGUUUUUUGUUAAAAUGCAUGCAUGAAAUAAAUAUGUUGGAUGACUAGUGAAGUUAGGCUAGUCAUUAACAUUCUUGUUAGUAAAUAGGCAAGUUAGGCAAGUUAGGCAACAAGUUAGGCAAGUUAGGCUUAUGUCUACUUUCUUUUCCUAUAUAUAUGUUUCAUUUGUAAUUGUUUCUUCAUGAAAUACACAUAAAAAAUUCAACAAAUUCAGAUUCUGAGCAUUCAUCAUCAAACACAAGACUUCAAAUUCGAUUUCUUCUUCAACAACAUUGCCUGUAAAAAAAGGGGUGAGUUAUUGAUUUAAACGCCAUUAAGUUGAAUUUGGUUGGAAGUCUAGUCAAUAUUAUUUGGUGUUUUAUUUUAAUAAUUUAAGCAAGCAAACGAGUUAUAUUUAUCGUGUUUUCGUUGUUUUGUCAUAUUCGUCAUUUUAACAGAUAAUAUUGUGUCAAAUAUGUUAUCCUAAUAAAUUCUUCACAAAUGACCCCAAUAACGACUUAAUUCGUUAACGAAUUGUGUCGCCUCACGCAAUGAUGAAGCCAAAAAUUAUCAAGAGGAGGGGCAAAAGUUAAACGGUUUAAGGUCCCCAAAAAAUGUGGACAUCCAUUCGAGGCCGAAGUCUAGUGUUUACAUGAAGAAUAUGUGAACUACCUCGAAUAUUUGUAGGAUAAUUUGCACUAACUGAAUAUUCAAAGUAGGAAUUGGACAUGACCUGACCUAGGCGGAUUAGGCGAAUUUGAAUUUUUUUAAUUAUAUAUUGUAUAAAUAAGUGUUUAUUUAUUAUAUACAUAUAAUAUCUAAGAACAUUGACUAUAAAACAUACAAUAUAUAAAAAUAUAAAAAAAAAAAUUUUACUUUGUUGUAUUUAACAGUAGGAGAUAAAAAUUCAAAUGAUUACAAGUUUUUAAUACUUUACAAAAUAUUUUUUAAAGUUCGUAUGAAUUUAUAGUAAAUUUGAAGAUAAAUAAUAAUGUAAAAAAAGUUAAAAAAAUAUUGAAAAAGUGGGCAAAUUAUUCAAACAAUAAUUAAAAAACAAAACAAAUCUCAAUAUAAUCAGCACAUUAAAUAGCUAGCUAUGUGGCCCAAACUUAUUGGGUACAAUAAUUGAAAAACCAAAUUAAAGUGGGUAACUUUGAAACGGCAUGUGGGGUGGGGUGGGUAAGAGAGAAAGUUACUUUUUAGUAGCUGCAAAAUUGGGUAUUUUGAAAAGAAAAAAAAAAGGAGAGCCUGGGCGUAGGAAACCCAGAACACCAAAAAAUCAGAUGGGACCAAAGGGACGGAACCACUGAUCCUAGACUUGAUUUUCGGCUUGGGGAGGGGCGACCCUUAUGUAGCUUUGCCCAUGAUCUCAUGCCUAUUUAAUAGGUCAUGCAAGAAAUUAAUAUACCUAAUACUAAUUUAAUAGUUGGGAACUCCCCCGUGAUAAGUGUUGAAUUGGAUCAGAGAUGGAAGUGUAUAUAAACUUUUGUAAUGUGAAUUAAAAUUACAGUGCGCUUGAGUGAUUUUUCAAAACCUUGUGUUUGUUAUUUGAAAUAAGAGUUUUCUAUUAUAUUUUUAAUUUUAUUCGUGCACCAAUUAUUUUUCUACCGAUCCCAAAUUCGAAGCGCAACUUUAAUAUAUGACCCCACCUCGCAAUUAUUGUCGGCGAGCAAAAUACAUCCUACGCGGUUUCAGUUCCACGGUUUACAAAUUGCCACGUACAUCACGUUAUCAUCUUUGUCCAAAGGUUUUUGUCUUGGGCUGAAAUUAUUGGUCUUUGUCAGAAAGUAUUCGUAAGGACCAACAAGUCCUGGUCUUUGAUUCAUGACUUCCAUCAUAACUUGCAAUUGUUUCUAAUUCUAAAGUGAAUUUCUCUAAUUUUACUUGUUUCUCCGUCAGAUCGAAUGAGAAUUGAUAAGAGGAUCGUGGAAUUGACGGAAGGGGUUAGGAAUGGCUAUAUUCUCCCUUCGUCUCAUAUUUGAUAUUUUUAUUUUCAUUGACAAAGGAGCCCAACAAUAACGACGUCAAAGCAACUGAAGCAUAUCAUUGCAACUCUUUUGUGAGCUUCCAUAUGCCCCAGGGUAUGUUAUUCUGCACUCUUACUACCAUAUCUAAUAUCCUUCUAGAAAUUUUUUGGAAGAAAGUAUAAGGGCUUAUGAGCUACAUCAGACUUUUGUUUCACUUUUUUUUUUGUAUGUAAUUCAUAUUCUGAGCAUUCAUCAUUAAACACAAGACUUCAAAUUCGAUUUCUUCCUCAACAAUUACGUAUAUUGAAAAAAUAAAAUGCAAAAUGAAAAUUUUUUAUUUUCUGUAAAGCUUAUAACAAUUUAUUGAAAAAAAAAUAAAAGUAUUCAACAAGUCUAUUACAAUAUCUUGAAAAAAUAAAAUGCAAAGUGAAAGUUAUCUAUUUUCUGCCUAGACAGGUCUAGGCGGUGCCUAACUAGGUUUAGGCGUCCUUGCUUAAUUUUCAAAUUCCUAAGCAUUAAUUGGAUCGAUGGCCAACCGCCUAGUGCCGCUGGAAUUUUUAGAACAGUGGUUAACGUGUUGACCCCAAGACCUGUUAUUUUCGUGUUUUUCAGCGUCUGAUUAACGGGUCGUGCAAAAAAUUGUGUGGUAUUUGUGUAGAGUCCAAUCUACUAUACCCAAAACAUUCCGUUCUUUUCGACGUGUGUACUUUCAUUUAACAACAAUUUUGUGGUACUUGCCAACUGCCACCUACAAAGAAUUGAAACUUUUGGUUAUCCUUUAACACUGACUAAAAUCCAUGACAUUUGGUGGAAGAAUUAGAUUGAAUGAGUUCGAAAUUUUCAAUCAUAGAUUUUUGUUAUGGAACCAAAUUCUUUAAUUAUGUGUUCUUGCAAAAAAGACUCGAGAAGUAGUUUUCGGACUUUUGAAGUUUGGCCCUUUGUUAAACUGAAUGAAAGUUAAGAACAGAAAAUUAAAUUUCUUGUGUACCUUAUUUAGAUCUUGAUUUCUUUUGGCUUGUGGUUUUGUUUUGAAAACUAAGCACAUAGUUUGUUAAAUACAAAAAUUUAUCCAUUGCGUUCUUUUUUUCUUUUUCUGUUGUUUUGAAACUUGUCUUUUCUGCAGACAGAUUGCAUACCAAGUAUCGAAAGCCAAAAUGGAGUCAGCUGCAUCACUAUUGGUUGGGAAAAUUGCGGCCAUUCUUGAGAACGAAGCAUCUUCCAUAGCGGCAGUCCGUGAUGAAGUUGAUGAGCUUAAGCUGGAGCUCAUAAGCAUGAAAUCUUUCUUAAUAGAUGCUGAAGGCAAGGAACCACAAACAGAAGGAGAGAGAACGUGGGUUACAAGCGUCAGAGAUUUGACCUGCGAUGCUGAAAAUGUCAUUGAUGAGUUCCUGUAUCACAUAUAUGACAAGCAAAGUGCGACUCCAUUUGCAAAAUUGCUCCACAGAACCAUUUACUUUCCAAAGAAUCUUUGGUAUAGGCAUCGAAUAGCCAAAAAAUUACAGAAAAUCACGAAAAAGAUCAAAGCCAUUCCAGAGAGGAAUGAGAGAUAUGGUGUCUCUACAAUAGAAGGAACAAGUUCGGGUAGUGUUCCCAGAUGGGUGAAGAACAAAGCCGAGUCUUCUCUUUAUAUUAUGGAAGAUGAAUUAAUCGGCAUUGAAGACAAGAAGCAAACGUUAAUGGGAUUGUUGAUGAAUGGCGAGGAAAAUGAAAUGGUUGUGUCUGUGGUCGGGAUGGGAGGAUCAGGCAAGACAACUCUAGUUGCCAAUAUCUUCAACAACGAAAAUGUAAAGCGGCAUUUUGACUGUUAUGCAUGGAUCACUGUUUCUCAAACUUUUGUGAUCGAAGACUUAUUCAAAAAUCUGAUCAAGCAAUUCCACCAAGGAAGAAAGGAAGAGGUGACAGCACAAUUGGAUUCCAUGAGUUACAAAGAAUUGUUAGAGAUGUUGUCGGCAUACUUGAAGUCUAAAGGUACCUCGUUGUAUUGGAUGAUGUGUGGGAUAUUAAACUUUGGCAAGAAAUAAAGAUACCACUUCUUAAUAGGCAUCAUGGAAGUCGAAUCAUGCUUACAACUCGAAAGAAAGACAUAGCAUCCUAUUCUUUUGAAGUUGAAAGUCGUCCUAUUGAAAUUGAACCCUUGGGAAACAAUGAAGUUUGGGAGCUCUUUAGCAAGAAAGCAUUCUCAACUUACGAUAAUAAAUCUUGUCCACCAGAGCUUGAAUCCUUAGCAUGGAAACUUGUGGAUAAGUGUGAAGGCCUACCUCUGGCAGUGGUAACUUUAGGUGGUCUAAUGUCUUCCAAGAGGUCAUCAUCGGAAUGGAGAAGUGUAUAUAACAGCUUAAAUUGGCACUUGACUAACAAUCCUAUGCUAGAACCAAUGAGCAGCAUCUUGUUGCUUAGUUUCAACAAUUUGCCCAACCGGUUGAAGCCCUGUUUCCUAUAUUGUGGCCUUUUCCCAGAAGAUUAUCUCAUCAAAAGAAACAGGUUGAUCAGGUUGUGGAUAGCUGAAGGGUUUGUUGAACCAAUUGAUGGGGUCACACUAGAAGAAGUUGCAGAGGGCUAUCUUGUGGAACUUAUUGUUCGUAGCAUGCUACAAGUUGAAAAGAAUGAAGCUAGAGGACUAGGAGCAUGUAAAAUGCAUGAUCUUGUGCGUGAGCUUGCUUUGUCGACAUCAAAAAAGGAAAAGUUUGGUGCUACGUAUGUUGGCAGAGAAAUAGUUGAUAAAGCUGAAAUCCGGCGAUUGUCAAUUCAAACAACUGAAAGAGAAAUUAAUUCUUGCACAGGUAUGUCAGAGCUUCGCUCCUUUAUUGUCUUUGGCGCGUUAAAGAAAUUGCCUUCUGGAUUCAAGUUGUUGAGAGUUCUAGAUCUGGAGGGUGCCCCAAUUGAUAGAUUUCCAGAUGAACUAGUGUACUUGUUCAACUUAAGAUAUUUAAAUUUGAAGGGAACUUUAAUUGAGGAGCUUCCAGAAUCCAUCGGACGGCUUCGCAACCUUCAAACCUUGAACAUCGUGACAGUAAGAUAAAGGCACUUCCGAAAGCAAUCUGCAAGUUAGUAAACCUACGCCAUCUAAUCAUGCAUCGUUACACUGGUGAUCAUUAUAGCUUUAUAUAUGUCAAUGGGACAAAACCAGCAUCCGAUCUAAGUAAAUUACAGAAACUGCAAUUUUUGCGAUGUGUUGAAUCAGAAGGAAAGAUUAUUAAAGGCAUCAGGAAUAUGACCCAACUUACAAACCUCGGGAUUACAAAUGUGAAAGCAAGUGACGAGAUGGACCUAUGUGACUCCCUUCAAAAGUUAGAGCUCCUUCACUCUUUGAUUUUAAUGGCAAGUGAUGAAGAGGAGUUUCUUCGAGUUAAUGCACUACGUUUGCCUCCUCCAUACCUUCAAAAGGUUUGUUUGGCCGGAAAACUAGAAAGGGUACCUCUUUGGUUUGGUUCACUCCAAAACCUGACGUGUAUGAUUCUAUAUUGGUCUAGACUUGAAGAAGAUGUGCUACCUCACAUUCAAGCAUUGCCGAAUCUUGAAGGGCUUGAGCUAUAUAAUGCAUAUGUUGGCGAAAAAUUAUGUUUCUCCAGAGGCUUCAUAAAGCUUAAGCGUUUGGAAUUACUUGACUUCCCCUUAUUGAAUAGUAUAGCUAUAGAGAAAGGGGCGAUGCCAAAUCUCCAGGUCUUACGGAUUAGGCGUUGCGCGGAGAUGAAGACAUUGCCGCAGGGCAUCGAGUUCCUUGCUGACGUAGAACGCUUGAUUCUGUUUUCUGUUCCAAUGGAACUUAUGGAGUCCGUAAAAGGAGGCAUGGAUCAUCCAAAGGUACAACACAUUCCUGAAAUCAACAUGUAUUACGAGAGACAAAAUAGGUGGUGUCAUGAAAGCUUUUCUGGUAGAAGGUACGCACUCUUUUAUCCUUGCAUAAAAAUUUAAUUAAUGCUAGACUUACUAUAUAUUUUGUAUCACAUUUGUAACCCCUCUUUUAUAAAGGUAAGGCCCAUUGACAUAUGUGGGUCUCAUUUUUAUUAGAGAAGUGGUACAAAUGUGGUAUGAAAAAUGUGGUAAAAGUAAGUUUUUGUAAAAAUUUGUAAAAAAAAAUUUCCCCAACGUAAUCAUUUGAACUAUUAUGUUAGAAAGUUAAAAGGUAUGUGAUUUUUAUACUCCUAUUUUUUUUUCUUAUGCUCUCCUCUUUUUUUUGUUUGUUAGUGUUUUAAUUUAUUCAAUUGUUAGGCUACGAAAAAGAGGAAGUAGUGCAUCGGAGUGUAAAAAUCAUUUUCCCUUACAAUUUGCCUGUCCAAUCUUAUACAGAAGUCUGGCAAAGACAUAAACAUGCAUGCAUUGAGAUUUUAUUCGAUAACUGUGUUUUUUUUUGUUUUGUAAUAUCUUUUUUGUAGAAUCAAGCCUCAGAAGCACUUGUGAAACUGCAGUGAGUUCUCCUUUCUGCCAGUUGAUUUUGCAGUGAAUCUCGACUUUCGUAAUAGUAACAUAGUUGGCUAUACACGUGUUGAGUCAUUUGCCCUGCAAGGAAGAAUUCGUUCGUUGUUUGUGUGUUGUGAAGUUGCAAACAUUGAUCGAUCUUGGUUUCUUAUUUGCCCUUUGUGAAAUUGAAUAAUGCCCAAGAUUCUAUUUGUGUAACUAAAACUUAUAUUAUUGAUUGUUUGCGUGUGUUUUGAUGUAAUAAUAUUGGUUUGGAACUGAAUCUAUCACUGAUGAGAAUAAUGCCCAAGAUUAUGUUUGUGUAGUAUGAACUUAUAUUAUUAUUUGAUUGCGUGUAUUUUGAUGUAAUAAUAUUGGUUUGAAACUGAAUCUGUCACUGAUGAGAUCAAUUCUAACUAAACCAAUGAUUAUGACCCAUUUUUCAUUUUCGAUAUUUAAUGUUUUUAUCAAGUUUUCAAAUAUAAAUUUUGUGGCCGAUGUUUUAGGGGGGUGUAUUCAAUUGAGAUUUUGAGAGAUUUUAAUUCUUUUAAUGAAUCUAGAGGUAUUCAAUCAGGAUUUUCAGUGAUUCUCUAAAAUUCAAGGUGUAUUCAAUUAGAAUUUUAAGAUAGUUUAUUAAAAUCCUUAGAAAUCCGGGUGUAUUCAAUUAAGAUUUUGUUGACCCUAGAAACUACAAAGCCUAUGUGGCGCGCAUGCCGAGUAAUUAAUAAGCUAACUACGUCAUUCGGUGAAUGCGGGGCGUGCCAACUCGUCGGCCGAGCUCGGCCGAGGAGUAAAUUUUGUUGAUGUUGCGUUGGGUGCGCGACUGACUUCUGCGUCUUGCGAUUGCGGCCGAGAAAGGAACACGUCUCGGCCUUUUGGGCUCUCGAACCUGAAGACAAGGUUACUAUUCUUACGAAGUUCAAUAUCAAAUUCGGCUUUCAAUGUGCCGAAUGAAAUAACUGUAACACCUCACUUCGCCGAGAAGGCUGAUGAGAUGACCUCAACCAAUAAGGAUUUAGAAACCCUUCUCGACGGAGACUUGGAUAGGUAAUCAACCGCUCUCGCCGCAGUGUUGUUGAUGCCAACGGAAGAUACUGCGAGAACGACUAAUUCUACGGUGACAAAGCUAUCUAUGCCGACUUAAGAUAUCACCGGUUGCUUCCACAGUGCUGUUGAUGCCAACGGAAGAUGUGUCAGCGAAAAGGAAAAAGAAAAAUCACAAGUUGUGAGAAUUUGCGCAGGGCAAUUUUGUGUUGAUUUGCAGGGGCUUUGAAUGAUGUGCAACCUCUUAUAUUUAUAGCAAUGGCUCCCCCCAAGGUCGAGUUAAAAACCUACUCGGACUAGGUUUUUCUUUCCCUGAUCAGCAUCAACUCAACCAGUCCUACCUUCACUAGGACUGUGAACCUAGUCCUUUACCUGAGCUGGAUUCACUUCCGGGUCUUGCCGAGACUCCUUAUUGCACUAGGAUUCGACCUCUUGCGUUAUGACCUAGCCGACCUAGGUUUGGAGGCCCACAUACUGAACGAUCCAUGGUAUUCUUGUCGCAAGGCUUCCCGGGCCGAGAAUGACCCUACACUCGGCCCAAACUGUUAUUUUGGGCCCAAACAUUGCCCCCUCGCUUCUGAGGUCCUCGGCCUGAAUUCUUUUGGCCGAGUUUCGGCCUUGAAGAAGCGAAUCUACCACUUAGAACCCUAAUGCCCGAGUUCCAAGGCGCAUUUAUUGAACAUGAUUGCACGAUCUUGAUCCUGUUAACCGAACCCGCCACGUGGCGUCCUCUAACACGACCAAUCCUAAUAAUGACGUCCAAGGCGUGCGGCUGCCUGAACCGUCUUGCCAUUAUGACCACUAUCUCAAUCCGCGAGCCACUUCCUCAAGUCGUGAGCCCACUUGUCAUCGUGCAGGCGUCGAAACGUCUUCCGCCAUUAAUUUCGCCGUCACACGCAAUCGUGCGCCCCCAACAUCUGAAACCUUCGGUCUUUUCAACUGCAUUUCCCAAAUGUUCAUCAUGAUCAACGAUUCUUUCGGUCGAUUUUGCCCUUUGUUUUGAAUUUCAAACGAUUGCCCUUCCUGCCAAAAGCCUAUAAACUGAAACUCUCUCAUUCGCACUUUACGCUCCCAAAACUUUCUAAAAACCCUUGCUCUUAUUCUCCAGCACAUUUCUUUUUCCAGGUCUUCGUCUUCAAAUCCCCCAACCCAGAAAACCCUUUUACACCGUGCUUCCUUCUUACAAUGGCGUCCUUCAUCUCCAAGCUUUCCAGGGAACGUGACCAACAUCAGAAGAUUCUUGAUCGGAGCUCGAUCAAGACUAUACGGUUUGAAAGUGACAUGAGCACCGUCCACCAAAUCUUAGGUCCUCUCUUCAAGGCUACAAUACCGCCGACCAUUACUGGUCUUCUCCAGGAGCACUGCCUAACACCCUUGCUACAAGGGUUUGAAUAGUCGAGAUGGGAUGCGGCGAAACCCCAAGGCUCCUGGCCCUCGACGACCACAUCCUGGGCAGCCUGGGUUGUUCGAAUGGAACGGCUCUUCGGCGAGCAAUGGAAAGCCCUCGGUAUCUACGACGCCAUCCUCCUCUCGUCAAUGGAUGUCGUUCUCGACAAGGAGCUUCUCCUAGCCGCCUUGUGCUUCUGGUGCUCGGCCACCAACACCCUGGUUCUUCCUCUUGGUCCCAUCGGUCCCACCAUCCUUGAUGUCACCGCCAUUCUGGGGAAUUCGGCAACCGGGAUCCCUAUCGACGCGGCCCUCUCUGGGCACCUGUCGAAUAUUGAUCUGAGGAUGCUUUUUGAUCGACGAGCCUUCGAGGCCUUGAACCGUGACGGUCAAAUCUCGUCGAAAGAAGACAUCCAGAAGCUCCACAAGAACUUCUUUAAUUACAAUACCCUCUAUCUUCACUUCGCCGGCCGAUGAGAGGAGGACCUGCGAGAGGGAGAGCAUGAAGCCUUCCUCUUCUAUUGGUACAACAAGUACAUUUGUUGUACCAAGUCAAACAAAUGCUUGGUCGAGAAUAUGCCGGUAACCGAGGCCCUGGCCAGUGGUCACGUCCUGGCACUGAGCUCCAACAUUCUCGCCCAUCUCUUCCGCUGCCUGGCCGAGGCGACCCUCCACAAAAUCGAUCCACACCAGAAUGGUCCCCUCUGGGUCUUCCAACUCUGGUUACAAGUUUACUUCGCCUCCCUUCGGCCGGCCAUAGCUGACUUCUCACCAACGGAGGCGCUUGGACCUCAGCUGGCCUCUCGACCAACACCUCCCCAUCAAGCCAAAGAGGUAUUUUGGUACCUCUUCGCUCUCGACGACUUCUCCAACGACGAGUUCCUGAUAUGUCGUCGUCGAGACUACCCUUCCUCCAUCAGGCUGCCUACCUCUACGUGGGGCUCGGAGCAGGACGCCGUUCUUCGUCAGACCUGGGGGUCGUUUGUGCUUGCUCGCAACCUCCCUCUCGGCUGCGAUGGGAAACGGUCGGGUUGGGAAGUAUAUCAUCCGAACUUCCUUGCCCGACAGUUCGGCUAUCUUCAGGGUUGCCCCGUCCCCCUUCUCUCCUCCCGAACAGUCCUAAGCCGUGGACGUGAACCUCGUUCCUCGAAGAAAGAAUGUAAAACUGCCGCGAUGGAGUUCCAAGAGUACUGCCAAAAAUUCCGCCUUCGACCGGCCACCCUAGAAACCUAUUGUACUGACACCUUCGGUGAGUGGUGGGAAAAUUACACCCAGGAGUUCUUUGGUGCUCCGGUCGAAGAGGUGCUGAACAAACUCUUCGGCGACCGACCUAAGAAAGCCUCGGCCCCACAAACUCAAGGUAAUUGUUUCAUUUCUCCUAUUUUCCUUCAACCUUGCAUAUUGAUUUGCCUUACUGAAUUGUUUUUUAUCUUCUUAGGUAGUCGGCCUUCGAGAAAAACGGAGGCUGUUGCCGCGGCCAUGGUCGAGAAAAAAUCGGCCGUGGUUAAAAGGGAUAAGGCUGCUGGUCGGGCCGUGCUGACCAAACGCCCUCGCCAAGAGGCCGAGCCGGUCGUCGAACCCCCACCGCCUGGCAAGCGGGUAAAACAGCUGGCAAAGAAGGGUGCACGGGAGAUCCACGUCAUCUCCAAUCAAACCACAGGGGCGACGACUCCCAGUGUUUCCCCUUCUCCUGCCGUUGUUCAACCCUCAGUCGAGAAACAACCCGCCCCGGUCGCAGCGACAGUUCGAACGCAGCCUAUCUCUGGGACUGGUACACCAGUUGUGUCUCCCUCCGUCGAGGAAACACCCGUUCCAAAAAAGGUGGUUUCUGCGACCGAGGGAACAGCCCCUAAAAAUCCAAAACCCUUGGUCUUCAUUCUGGAAGAGAGUGAGGGGAGCGACGAGGUCCCGCUGGCAGAUCGUCCUCACUCUCGUCGGCAACCUCUCCCAAGGUCCGAGAUGGUGGUUCAAACCGGCCCCUCCACGGCUGAUCGUGGUAAGCGCCCGGUCGAGGAACCGACGGCGGCGGCCGAACCCCUCGCUCCUUCCCAGGACCAGGAUGUCCCUGCCUCAUCCGAAACAGCUAUUCCGGUCGGCCCAUCUGCAGCCGACCGUGGCAAAUGCCCGCUCGAGGAACCCGAGGCAACGGCGGAAUCGCCCGUUCAUCCUCAAGACCAAGGCUUCCAUAUUCCUCCACAGGAGGUUACCUCGGCCUUCGUAAGUAUCUUCGACCAUCUUUCCUUGAUUGCUUUUUUGCUUUAGAAUUCUAAACGAGGAAAAUAAUAAAUGUCAGGUGCCUGUACAUUCUUUUCACCGACAAUUCUAUGCGCCGAAGGGCGUUAUCUAUAUUUCUUGGCCGCCUCAGUGGCCAUCAAACGUAGAUAACCUCCAUCGGCCGCGUGAACUGAGAAGCAACCUGAGACACUGGGCUCGGCCAUUGAGUUCUUUAGGUUUGAGCAACGAUCCUGGGGACAUGGCCGAGGUCUCCUCUCGGCAGGUUAAAAAAACGAAACCUUCUUACUAUUCUCGCCCUGCAUUCCUUUAAGCCUAAACUGAUUUGUAUAUGCAGGCUUCGUGGGAGGUCGAAUUCAAAGCCUUCCUCUCCAGCACAACUGCCGAGUCCGGCCCUUCGGCUGCUCCGACUGAGGCUACCGAUCCAACCGCUCUAACCCAGCUGCGAGAAGUUCUAUCGCUUUCAGCACCGCAAGUACUCAAGCGCAACGGUCUUGAUCUACUUGGCGUGUGUCUGAACGAUCUUGGGGCCGACGGUCGCCUGAGCGGAAAUGCCAUCGUUCGGGCAUCGUCUGCUUUGGAGCGGGUUCGGGAGACAUUCAGUGUCUUCCAGACCGCCCUAAAGGCCGAACAGGACCUGCAAGCUACCACGGCCGUUCAAGAUACUCUCCGUCCGAAAAUCGACUCUCUAAGGGCAAAAGGAGAAGUACUAGCUGAGCUCGACCGUCAGAUGGCCGAACUGGCAAAACGUCGAUCGGCCAUCGCGUCCGAGCUUGCUAGAGACUUCGAGUCGGGCAAAAAAAGAUCGCCUAACUGAGUACGCGGCGACAACAAAGCGGGUCGAGCGGUUGAAGCUGGACAAAAAGAAUCGGCAAGCUGAAGUUAUCAUGGCCGAGGUGCGGUGGUUGGAAUUGAAGGCCCUUCUCAGCACCCUCUUACCUUCUUCCCCUUGAAUGUACUUAGUUUUAUCCUGAAUGACCUACUUAGCUUGUACAUGCUCAUCAAUCUUAAUGAGAUGGUUUUGUUUACUCUCACAUUUCCCACGUUACCGGGUAAUACUUUUUCAAAAACUUCCCAUUGAUCGGUAAUCUGUGAACUACACCGGUUCGGUCUUUAAGAUGAUACGCCCCAUUUCCGUAUACUUUAUGCACAAUGAACGGCCCUUCCCAAUUCGGGGACCACUUGCCGAACCUAGGAUCUUUUAGUCCUACGGGCAACACCGUUUGCCACACUAAUUCACCCUCGCCGAAUGUUUUCUGUCGCACCUUUUUAUUAUAGGCCCGCUCGACAAUCUGUUUUUGUGUGCCACCAAUAAGUUAUAAGCGUCAAGUCGCACUUCUUCCAAAUCUUCUAGUUCCUGUCCCAUGGACUGAUUAUAUUCGGCGCUAAACAAACUACUUUGUUCAAUUAAUCGCAACGAAUUUAUGCUCAACUCGACUGGUAACAUUGCAUCGUGUCCGUAGGUUAAUGCGUACGGGGUUGUCGCAGUCGCCGACCGGGGCGACGUUCGGUAUGCCCACAAUGCCUCGUUCAACCUCAAAUGCCACAUGCCAGGCCUUUCUUUUAUUAUUUUUUCGAGGAUGCCGAUCAACACUUUAUUACUUGCCUCGGCCUGCCCAUUCGCCUGUGGAUAAUACGGUGUGGACUGUUCCAGCCGAAUUUUCAAAUUUGCCGUGUAUUCUUUAAACCUUUCGGCUGUGAAAAUUGUUCCAUUGUCGGUUAUGAUCGUUUCCGGUACACCGAACCGGGUCACAAUGUGUUCCUCCACGAAGUCGCAAACUUUUUUAGAUGUUAACUCGGCGUAUGAUUUUGCUUCGACCCACUUAGUAAAGUAAUCAGUUGCGACUAUUAUCCAUGCAUGCUUAGCAGCUCCAGAAGUCGGCGUGAUUUUGCCGAUUACGUCCAUGGCCCAUCCUCUAAACGGCCAUGGCUUAAUGACCGAAUGUAGUGACUCGGCCGGGACCCUUUGUAUAGGCCCAUGGAUUUGGCACUGUACGCAUCCUCGUGCAAACUCGAUACAAUCUUUCAGUAUUCUUGGCCAAAAAUAGCCGUGUCGUCGGAGUAGCCAUCGCAUUUUCCGUCCGGAUUGAUGAGCUCCGCAUACCCCUUCAUGAACCUCUGCGAUCGCCCGAGCAUUCUCUUGGGGGCCGAGGCAUAGCAGUAACAAACCAUCUUCAUCCUUUCGGUAUAACUCGUUCUGGUACGUGACAUAGUUCGUGGCGUGCACCCGUGUCCUGCGACUAUGUUUCCCGUUAUGAUUGCCAAUGUACUGCAUAAUGGGUGUUCUCCAAUCAUCCGGUAUCACCUCGGUCGUGCAAAUCUCGACAGAGUCCUGCCGAUCUAACAACGAAGGUAAGGACAUAACCCUGGUGCGUAUCACGUCGUCCCGUCGGAAGAUUUGCUGGUUAACCAAGGCCGGGUAUAACUGUCGUAUCACUGGUAUCUCUUGGCCUAGUUUUCCCCCCAAGAGUUGUGCGCCGGAGGCAAUUUGAGCCAAUUCAUCCGCGUCGGUAUUAUAACACCGGGAAAUAUGUUGAAAUGUAAUACCGUCGAAGGAUUCGGCCAAAUAGCUGGCGACCAUAUGGUAAGGUGCCAGGGUACAACUCAUGCAACGAAAGGAACCAUUAAGUUGGUUAAUCACAAGCUCGGAGUCACCGAGGACGAGGGCGCGGGUUGCCCACAGGUCAUGGAGAAUUCCAAGGUCGACGAUUAGGGCUUCAUAUUCGGCCUAAUUGUUGGUGCAAUCGAAAUCCAACUUAAGUGAAAAGAACUAGCGAUCGUGAUUCGGGGAUUGAAUGACAAUUCCCACGCCCGCCGAAGAUGACGUACUGGAGCCGUCAAAGUACAUCGUCCAGUGGUUGUCGCGCGUCUGAACCAUGCCGAUGUCAACGUCGUUGCCCCCAAAACCGUAUGGGGAGGGAUGUUGAGCAAGGAAAUCAGCCAAUGCUUGGCCCUUGACGGCUUUCUGAGCUACAUAUUGCAAGCUAAACUCGGACAGUGCCAUGGUCCAUUUCCCAAUGCGGCAUUUUACGAUCGGUCGGGUGAGCAUGUAGCGGAUGACGUCGGUCUGCGCAAUAACUUGGGUGACCGAUGGGAGCAUAUAAUGCCGAAGUUUGGAAGCGGCGAAAAAAACGGCUAGGCACAGCUUCUCGACGGCUGGAUAAUUGAUCUCUGGUUGACUGAGAUUACGACUGAGAUAAAAAAUAGCCUGUUCCCGUCCGGCGUCGUUAUCUUGCGCGAGGAGACAACCGAUGGACUCUUCGGCCGCCGAGAUAUAGAGCUUAAGAGGCUUACCGCGCCAGGGAGGAACCAAGACAGGUGGGUUCGUGAGAGAGACUUUGAUUUGCGUAAACGCCGCCUGAUGCUCGUCGUUCCACACAAAUUUAUCUGAGUCCUUGAGUUUUAAGAUUGUGGAAAACGCUUUCAUUUUUCCUGCCGAGUUGGCAAUAAAUCGGCGGAGGAAAUUGAUCUGUCCGAGUAAAGACUGGAGCUGUUUCUUCGUCGUUGGGGGUGGGGCAGUGAUGAUUGCGCGUGCCUUAUUCUCAUCGACUUCAAUCCCACGAUGAUGUACGAGGAAACCAAGAAAAUUCCCGGCCGAUAGACCGAAUGCACACUUGGCAGGAUUCAUCUUGAGGUUGUGCUGACGCAUGCAGAGGAAAGCCUGUCGGAGAUCGUCCAAAUGUGUCUGUCGGCGUUUAGAUUUGACGACAACAUCAUCGAUGUAAACUUCGACGAUGGUGCCAAUUAAAUCAUGGAAUAUGGUGUUCAUCGCCCGUUGGUGCGUGGCGCCGGCAUUCUUGAGGCCGAAUGGCAUGACAACCCAUUCGUAAGUGCCGAAUGCCCCCGGGCAACGGAAAGCAGUUUUGUGCACAUCGGCUUCGGCAAUAAAUAUUUGGUUGUACCCGGCAUGUCCAUCCAUAAAGGAUAAGAUCGCAUGAUUCACCGCGACGUCGAUUAACAGAUCUGAAAUCGGCAUUGUAUACUCAUCUUUGGGAGUUGCCAGAUUCAGAUUUCGAAAAUCGGUGCAGAUGCGCAGUGCACCAUUUUUCUUUAAUACAGGAACGAUAUUUGCCAACCAUUCGACAUAUCAAGCUGUCCGAAUGAAUCCGGCUUUCAAAAGCCGAACUAGUUCGUCCUUGAUACUGAGUUGUACUUCGGUCGAGAAUCGACGAGGCGGUUGACGGAAAGGUUUAAAUCCGGGCUUAAUACGUAAUUCAUGCUCAACCAGAGUACGAUCUAAGCCGGGCAUUUCAUGAUAACUCCAAGCAAAACAAUCUUUGAAUUCCGUAAGCAAGGUACGAAACUCGUCUUUCAUUCGUUGGGGAAGUAAAGCACUAAUAAACAAAAGCCGUGGGUCAUCGGCCGUCCCAACAUUAAUCUCUUCUAAAGGGUCCUUAACUAGGGGCCGACGAUCUUCGAGCUCGGCCGGGACGGCUCGAAUUUUAUCAAAAGAUAAUACAGGCCCAUUAUCUCCCUUAGCAAGGAACUCGACGAGGUUGACGCCCGAAUUGGGUUGCUUAGAUAUCGUAUACCAAUGGGCCAGCAGUCGUUCCAUAGUAGAUGAAACCGCGGCCCUGCGUGUUUCCCGAUCGGCGUCAAACAUCAGCUUCGGGGAGGAAGUUGGCUAAUCCGAGUCUCGCCGAAUCCUGCUGGACAAUCUCGGCGCCAACCUCGAUAGCUUUCUGAACGGAAAUCCGAGUCGGCCGUCCCUCUUCAUUGAAGCCUUGCAAAGUAAUAUAGCCGACGUGAUCGUCAUAAUACCGUGCUUGGAUCAUGUUAGCUUCGAAGGGCUGGCUAUCAGCCGGAUGAACAGUGACCGAUUUGCCGUCCCAAAAAACAAGCACUUGGUACAAUGAGGAAGGAAUACAACUGGUUUGAUGAAUCCAAUCUCGGCCGAGCAGUACAUUAUACUCGGUUUUGGAAUUAACCACGAAAAAGGCGGUCAUGUGGGUGCGACCGGCAAUAUUUAUAGUUAACGGAAGUACACAUUUGGUGUGGGAUUUGUCACCGAUAAAACUACUCAUUGUGAUUCCUGACGGAAUAAGCUCGUCAUUUGAACGGCGUAAGGCCUUCAUGAUAUUCAGAGGCAUGAUAUUGACGGUAGCUCCACAGUCGACAAAAACUUUAGAAACUGGAUAUCCCUCGAUGUGGGCCCUCACAUACAGUGGCUUUAAAUGGUGAAGCUUGGCCGACGAUGAACGAGGGAACAAUUCGGCCAAAGCGGCCUUUAGACUAUCAUCUUUUGCUGUUGACUCGCCUUCAGCAAUCGAUACAAAAUCAACAUGGUCGGGUUCCUCGGCAACCACAUCUCCAUCAAGGAAAUUUGGUUAAGCCGUGCUUGAUUGAAAAUCGGCGGGUAACACAUGGACCAUACUGAUUUCCAUAUUAUCCAGGACUGACGGACCCAUCUGGUCAAGACCCUCCUCGUUUGGUUGGUCGGCGACUACGGACUCAGGUGUCGUCAGAGUCGGACAACGAGACUCUUCUGUCCCUUCUUCAAUGACGUCACUCGGCGGAGCUGCUUCGGCCACUUGUUGGUUCUGCGUGACCGCCUCAGGUAAGGUUGAGAUUGACAAUGAACUUGGGGUCAGGACCUGAACCUGCUCCUGGUAAUGUAGCCGAGCAUCCCUAGUGUCGAGAUAAGCAUCCAGACGAGCAAUACGUGCGAUUUCAUCGGUUGUAAGGCCGAAGAGAGAAACCGCCGAAAAUACUUCAAAGUGAUAUCGUAAAUACUGAAGGUCUUCCAGCGAGAAAGGAAGGUUGGCUACAUCGAUAUCGGUGUACGGGUCGACUUCAAAUCUAAAGACACGAGCUUCUCGUAUGUGCUGGAACCUUGCUUUCAAUCCUGGAUCUGAGGUCUUCUGGAUGAUCCGCUCAGCAUCCGGACAAGUUAGGACAAGAUCAAUGGUGUCUUGGCAUGCCUUCGGCAAACCAUACAGAUCGUUGGCUGAAUGUUUCUUAUGAAAUUCUCGCAUAUAUUCCAAAGACUCCCCAAGGAACGGGGGAUGCAAAUUUCGUCGAAUUUUGACCAAAGGUUCUUGUAUAGCCGGCGGGGAUAAUUUGCUUUCGGCCUCUUGCCUGAAAUGUUCAAGGCGUGCCUUCAUCUCCCCUGGUCGAAUGAGAAGUUUGAUCCGUUUAUCAGCUUCUUUAAACGUGGUCUCGACAUCUCGAUCGACCAGCCGUUUCCCCUGAACCAACUCUGUCAUAAUUGCUGGAGGUGGUCGCUCAUCAUCAGUGGCAGCUGUGUCCUUCGGCCGCCACUUAGGGGCCGAAGUUUCUUGGGCUGUUCGGCGGUGAGCCAUGCAAUCUAUCCGUUGAUGCCGGCGUUUCUGAGAUUUGGACAACGCGGUGUAGACGCCCUUCGAAGAAUGAUAUGUGUACCAACGUUGAUCUCUAGGCUCGGGAGGCUUGAAGGUCUUUUGGCUCCGCGAUGAUUCUGAACUGCUAGAAUUACGCUUAUGGUAAUCAUCGUCAUAGAAUGAAGCAUCAAAAUCGAGGCGCCGCCUGACCGGGAGUGUCUCUUCCAUCCGUACUUUAGGACCGAGCCUCUCAAAAACCCCGUGAUGUUAGCCUUCGUUGGCUACCUUUUGCCGAGUUGCGGCCGCAGGUUGCGAAAGAAAGCUUCUCCUUUGGUUCACUGUUGACCUUCGCUCUACAUUUCCUGCACAAAACCACCAUCCCACUGUCUUCAUCGGUGCUAUAAUCCAUCAUAGGUUUGACAAUAGCUGGCCCCGUUAAAGCCGUAGGUGGUUUGUUUGAACGAAAAUCGGCCAUGAACCGUGGCCGAAAAUUCUGAUUCCGCGGGCGUUGCGUCUCAACCACUUCGGCCUUGCCUUUCCCUUUGUCCUUGGGUAGGUACGCGUCGACCAUAUUUACUGUUGCCGUGGGGAACGGAUCAGUAUCAACACUCAUCCUCUUCUCGGGAAACUUCAGUUUGCCAUUAUCAAUCCAGCUUUGGACGUUAUCGCGAAAUACAACACAAUUGUUUGUCGUAUGUUUGCUUGAAUUGUGGUAUUUGCAAUACACAUUUCCUUUAAGCUCUUCGGCCUUAGGAAUGUUAUGACCAGGCCGAAGCUUGAUGAUUCUUGCUGAUAACAGUUGCUCGAAAAUUACGUCAGCCUUGGUAAUAUCAAAAGUAUAAACCUUUGACGGUUUCAAUGUUCCUUCAGUGGCCGAGCGACUUUUGGCUUCUCUAGAAUCAACCUGAGUCAAUGCCUUGCAAACGUAUGGCUUAUCGAUCACUAUCUCAGCCGCAUCCACACUAACGCAUUCAUCCUCGGUUGAUGCAUAAUUGACAGUAGGGUUUUUGUAAAUCGUUCCCCGAGUUGGAGUCUUCGAAGUCUUUUCCUCGCGGAGCAAAUAAUCAUACUGCUCGACAUGUUGGGCUAAUUCGUACAUAUCCCGAAAAUUUGCCCCCAAGAAUUACUUUUUGUAUUCAACGUCAAGGCCGUUCAAAGCAAGCCUGACAAAUUCGACUUCGGGUAAAGGCACUCGGCACCAAUUCCUAGCUGAUUUGAACCUGGUAAGAUAAUCCAUUGGUGACUCAUCAGAUGCUUGAGCCAUCCGUGCUAAUGAAGAGACUGACAUCUCCAUCCCCGGCCGAUAAAACUGCUCGUGGAAUUUCUCGACCAACUCAUCCCAGUUUUGGACGGAAUUAGGAGGGAGAUUGAUGUACCAGGCAAAUGCCGAGCCGGUCAAUGAAAAGUUGAACAGCCAUAACUUAUGGAAAUCACUAUUAACAUCUCCGCAUUGCGCGGUGAAACGAGCCACGUGUUCCAACGAAGACAGAGACGAUUCACCGGCAAAAAGACUAAAAUCUGGGAUCUUGAAACCCUUCGGGUAUCCAAACGUUUCCACGUAAGCUGGGUACGGAUGAAUAAACUUGGGAAACUUCGGCCCUUUCUUCAUGGCCGAGUCGAUCAUCCGCUGAACUUUGGUCAUAUCAACAGGUGUUGCUUCGAUCCUCUGGUCGGUUCCGUCUGACCUACUAUUCGACCCUCAUCCUUUUUCCAAGUUAAUUGGUUUGAGCGGAGCAGGAAUAGGCUCGGCCGGUACAAUCGGUACCGGGUUGUUUUCUGGUGGACAAUGUUGGAGAAGAUCGAAAGGCCUGCUGCCACCAACUUUACUAACCAGCAUUUCGAGCAGCCUGGUUUGUCGAUCAUUUGAACUGAGUAUCGCGUCAUGCAGCUUGUCAAUGCCUCGACUAAACGUCUGCUCGACUGACCGAGACUGCUCGUCUAGUCGCUUUCGAAGAAACGACCUUGUCGGUGGAUUAGAUCCUUCACCACCAUCCUCGUCGCACUCCUCUACUAUCCAUUCAGUGAGAACGCAGGUGUUUCUGUUAGGGAUGUCUAGCCCACGGAGCUGACCGCCGAGAUUAACUUCUCUCUCUCGGCGGGUCGCGCUUGUGGACUCAGGUGUCACAGCGCUAAGGGGAUUCUGCGCCUGUGGCACACUUUGUCUCGUGCUUUGAUUCGGCAAAUCGGCUGUCGACUUUCCCAUAGUUGUUUUCUUUUUUACCGAUCGUGUUUCAAUUGGCAUGAACUUCGUAGUUUAGCACUGGGUCCCACUGGGCGUGCCAAAAUGUUGACCCUAGAAACUACAAAGCCUACGUGGCGCGCAGGCCGAGUAAUUAAUAAGCUAACUACGUCCUUCGGUGAAUGCGGGGCAUGCCAACUCGUCGGCCGAGCUCGGUCGAGGAGUAAAUUUUGUUGAUGUUGCGUUGGGUGCGCGGCUGACUUCUGCGUCUUGCGAUUGCGGCCGAGAAAGGAACACGUCUCGGCCUCUUGGGCUCUCGAACCUGAAGACAAGGUUACUAUUCUUACGAAGUUCAAUAUCAAAUUCGGCUUUCAAUGUGCCGAAUGAAAUAACUGUAACACCUCACUUUGCCGAGAAGGCUGAUGAGAUGACCUCGACCAAUAAGGAUUUAGAAACCCUUCUCGACCGAGACUUGGAUAGGUAAUCAACCGCUCUCGCCGCAGUGCUGUUGAUGCCAACGGAAGAUACUGCGAGAACGACUAAUUCUACGGUGACAGAGCUAUCUAUGCCGACUUAAGAUAUCACCGGUUGCUUCCACAGUGCUAUUGAUGCCAACGGAAGAUGUGUCAGCGAAAAGGAAAAUGAAAAAUCACAAGUUGUGAGAAUUUGCGCAGGGCAAUUUUGUGUUGAUUUGCAGGGGCUUUGAAUGAUGUGCAACCUCUUCUAUUUAUAGCAAUGGCUCCCCCCAAGGUCGAGUUAAAAACCUACUCGGACUAGGUUUUUCUUUCCCUGAUCAGCAUCAACUCGACCAGUCCUACCUUCACUAGGACUGUGAACCUAGUCCUUUACCUGAGCCGGAUUCACUUCCGGGUCCUGCCGAGACUCCUUAUUGCACUAGGAUUCGACCUCUUGCGUUAUGACCUAGCCGACCUAGGUUUGGAGGCCCACAUACUGAACGAUCCAUGGUAUUCUUGUCGCAAGGCCUCCCAGGCCGAGAAUGACCCUACACUCGGCCCAAACUGUUAUUUUGGGCCCAAACAGAUUUUAAAGAAGUUUAUAACAUUCCAGGUGUAUUCAAUUAGAAAUUGAUUUUAAAGAAUUUGGGAAAGUUGAGGAAUUAGAGGGAAUUUGAGAGAUUUCGUAGUGUAUUUUAAGCAUCCACAAAUCUCAACUCUUCCCAUGAGAUUUCGAGGGAAUUGAAUCAAAAUUUUAUAUGGAAUCUGUACAAAUCAAUUAGACUCCAUAAAAAUCCAUGGAUUUAUAAAUCCAUUAAAGUCUCUCAAAUUCUCAAUUAAAUACACCCCCUUAGUUUAUUAUAGUUUUAUCUGAAAAAUUAUUAGAUGGUACGGUAUUAUCAGGUCGGCAGGUGAUUCUUCUAAAAAAAAAAGGUCGUACCCAGUGCACAAGGCUCCCGCUUUACGCAGGGUCUGGGAAAAGUGAAUGUCGGCUAGCCUUACCCCCAUUUUAUGGAGAGGCUGCUCCCAAGUCUCGAACCCGAGUCUUGGCAGGUGAUUCUUCUAUUCAAAUUUAAACAUGUGUGCUGUUUCUUACAGCUGAAUUAAAAAGCUUUUUGAAUUAUUAUUUUUAAUUAAAAGAACUAAAAAUAAGAGGCGUUUUGACAGACUUAAAAUACCUCUUUUCCACCCCGUCCUCUUCUCUUCCAUGGCGACUGCAAUGCUGCCAAUAUCCGAGCCCGCCAGAAAGCAACCCCGACCGGGUCGGGGCGGAUUCGAUGCCCAUGGACCAUCCGAAAAAGAGGCCCGGGUCCGAGCCAUCGCCGAAAUCGUCAGCUCCAUGGUCGACCUCUCCCGGAAGGGCCAAAACGUCGACCUAAACGCCCUCAAGACCACCGCGUGCCGCAAGUACGGCCGUUCACGUGCCCCCACAUCGCUAUCACCGGGAAUAUUUGCGUGUACUGCCCCGGUGGUCCCGAUCCGGACUCUGAGUACAGCACUCAGUCUUACACUGGAUACGAGCCUACUAGCAUGCGCGCAAUUUGGGAAAGGUAUGGCUUUCUCUAGUUCAUUGACGCAUUUUAUCGAACACUUGAUGGGGAAUUCAAGUUUUAUUUAUUCAUCAUUCGUUUCAAAGCUUAAAGUUUUUGGCUUGAUUGAUUUUUCACCAUGAAGUUGAGAGCUUUGUAAUGAAGAGAUUAUUUGAAGGAAUUGGUGUUUAAAAUUGGAUUAGUGAAGUUAAUUUGGUAGUUAAUCUUUUGGUUUUGUGUGCUUAGAUACAACCCAUAUGUCCAGGCUAGAAGCAGGAUAGAUCAGCUGAAGAGAUUGGAUCACAGUGUAGACAAGGUUUGGCCUGUUCUAUGUUUAGAGCUUAAAGAAUUUAUUUUCGGGUUUGCAGAUUUCCAUGAUAGAGUAAUAUGCAUAGUUGUCGCCUCAUAAGUCAUAACUGGUACUGAAUUUGUGUUUUCAGGUUGAGUUCAUCUUAAUGGGCGGUACUUUCAUGUCGUUGCCCGCGGAUUACCAUGAUUACUUUAUUAGAAAUCUGCAUGAUGCGUUAUCGGGACACACUUCUGCCAAUGUUGAAGAGGCAGUUGCCUACUCUGAGCAUGGUGCUACUAAAUGUAUUGGAAUGACCAUUGAAACGUGAGUUUUUAGUUUAUUUUAGAAGCCAUUAAUUUCUCAUUCUUGUGUUUAACUUGGUUGACAGUAAUUUUUAGCUUACAUUCUAGUUUCCAGUUCAUCUGGUUAGUCCAGAAAGUUAACGAAGGUAGUUGUAACUUUUUAUUCUGCCGGAGGCCAGAUUAUUGCCUUGGACCUCACUUGAGACAACUGCUUUCUUAUGGUUGUACAAGACUAGAAAUUGGAGUUCAGAGUACAUACGAGGAUGUGGCUCGGGACGCCAAUAGAGGUCAUACCGUAGCUGCAGUGGCUGAUUGUUUUUGCUUGGCAAAGGAUGCUGGUUUUAAGGUCAGCCUAGUACCUCACAGAUUUUGGACCUUUUAUAUCAUAAAACUCACUUACCUUCACCAUGGGAAAAGAACGGAUUUUGGACCUUUUAUAUGUACAGUGACAGGAGAUUAAUCUUUCAUCAAAACAAUUUGUGAGCCUGGAUAUAUUUUUCAAAUUAUUGUGCUCUCCCAUAAUUCAGCGUGAAUAUUUUAUCAUAAUCUAGUUGGUUUUGGUAUUACCAUUCACUUUGUCUAAGUUCAAGAAGAAGCAUGUGUUUGUAAUUGUAUGACCGUAAUCUUUAUGAACUGCAAUAUUAAAAGCCUUGAGGACUGUUUACAAAAUGCAUUUUUGCUGUGUAUUCUUGUCGUUCAUUUUGAGUUACUUUUGUUUUUGACACUAAUAAUUGAGUAAAUUACAUAGUAGCCCCUCAGGUUUGAGGUCAAUUACAACCUCAUUCAACAACUUUAAAACAUUUCACUUUCAUACAUCCAGUAUCAUUUUAUUUCAAAAUAACACCUUCGUUAGAUUUUCCAUCUAUUAGUCUGUUAAAUGCUGACGUGGCUACCACAUUUAUGCUGAUGAGGCUGCCACGUGGCAAAAAAAUAAUUUUUUAUUUUUUUUUAUUUUUUUAAAUCUAAUCUUCUAAAUAUUAUAAAAAAUAAAUAAAUAAAAUAAAAAAAAAAACCUAAAAGCUUUACCCGCAACUAGGCCUGGCAAACGGGUCGUGUUAGUCGUGUUCGUGUCGUUUUCGUGUAACACCUGUUAUCUUAAUGGGUCGUGUCGUGUCACACCUGUUAUCUUAACGGGUCCUUAACAGGGGUAAAGUGACCCGACCCGUUAUGACCCGUUAAGAAAAAAAAAAUUUCUUAAAUUUGCACAUACCACACAUUGUCACAUAAAUAAUACUUCAAAACAUUAAACACACAUUUGUCAUUUAAGUACUACAUCUACACUCGAAAAUAAGAGCAUCAUAAAAAAUACAUUCAUACACUACUAAUUUAUUACAGAUAUUAAAUGUGCAAGGAUAUGCAAAAUGAAAGCGUUUUUGUUUUCAAGGUUGUGAAACCUUUCUCAAAAGUUUAAACCUUACCAAUGGAACUCAAAACUUAAUGAAAGUGACCCACCAGAGUGUUUAUUCGUACUUUCAUUACGUAUAACAUAAGAUUUUGUGGUAUCCACUAGUGUAAAUAUUUUAAAUUGAAUAUCGAAUUCAUUCAUUGUAUUCAUAUAGGGUCAAGGAGUGUAGUUAUAAAAAAUCAUCAAAAUCGGAGUUAAAAUAACCGUUAAAUUGUGAUUUUUCGUUUAUAACCGUCGAAAAGUUUUGUCCCGUUACUUAAUCUUUAAAUGUUUGUUUUUUGCAAUUUUUGGCGUAUGCGAUCUCGAAGCAUAUACAAACAAGUAUGACGGUUAGAUCGUUGAAACUAGUUUCGUAGAAUGCGUAUCUCAUCAAAACAAUAGAUUCACUAACACUUAAGAGUUUAUUCUUACUUUCAUUAAGUAUAACAUAAGAUUUUGUGGUAUCCACUAGUGUAAAUAUUUUAAAUUGAAAAUCGAAUUCAUUCAUUGUAUUCAUAUAGGGUCAAGGAGUGUAGAUGUAAAAAAUCAUCACAAUCGGAGUUAAAAUAACCGUUAAAUCGUGAUUUUUCGUUUAUAACCGUCGAAAAGUUUUGUCCCGUUAUUUGAUCUCUGAAUGUUUGUUUUUUGCAAUUUUUGGCGUAUGCGAUCUCGAAGCAUAUACAAACAAGUUUGGCGAUUGGAUCGUUGAAACUAGUUUCGUAGAAUGCAUAUCCCAUCAAAACAAUAUAUUCACUAACAUUUAAAGAUUUUACUCAUACUUUCUUCAAAUAUAACAUAAGAUUUUGUGGUAUCCACUAGUGUAGAUAUUUUAAUUUGAAUCUCGAAUUCAUUCAUUGUAUUUAUAUAGGGUCAAUAAGUGUAGCUGUAAAAAAUUAUCAAAAUCGGAGUUAAAAAAACCGUUAAAUCGUGAUUUUUCAUUUAUAACCGUUGAAAAGUUUUGUCCCGUUACUUGAUCUCUGAAUGUUUGUUUUUUGCAAUUUUUGGCAUAUGCGAUCUCGAAGCAUAUACAAACAAGUUUGACGAUUGGAUCGUUGAAACUAGUUUCGCAAAAUGUGUAUCUCAUCAAAACAAUAUAUUCACUAACACUUAAGAGUUUAUUAAUAUUUUCAUUAAGUAUAACAUAAGAUUUUGUGGUAUCCACUAGUGUAAAUAUUUUAAAUUGAAGAUCGAAUUCAUUCAUUGUAUUCAUAUAGGGUCAAGGAGUGUAGCUGUAAAAAAUCAUCAAAAUUGGAGUUAAAAUAACCGUUAAAUCGUGAUUUUUCGUUUAUAACCGUCGAAAAGUUUUGUCUCGUUACUUGAUCUCUGAAUGUUUGUUUUUUGCAAUUUUUGGCAUAUACAAUCUCGAAGUAUAUACAAACAUGUUUGACGGUUGAAUCGUUGAAACUAGUUUUGUAGAAUGCGUAUCCCAUCAAAACAAUAGAUUCACUAACAUUUAAAGAUUUUAUUCAUACUUUCUUCAAGUAUAACAUAAGAUUUUGUGGUAUCCACUAGUGUAAAUAUUUUAAAUUGAAGAUCGAAUUCAUUCAUUGUAUUCAUAUAGGGUCAAGGAGUGUAGCUGUAAAAAAUUAUCAAAAUCGGAGUGAAAAUAACCGUUAAAUCGUGAUUUUUCGUUUAUAACCGUCAAAAGUUUUGUCAUGUUACUCUAUCUCUGAAUGUUUGUUUUUUGCAAUUUUUGGCGUAUGCGAUCACGAAGUAUAUACAAACAUGUUUGACGGUUGGAUCGUUGAAACUAGUUUCGUAGAACGCGUAUCCCAUCAAAACAAUAAAUUCACUAACACUUAAAAGUUUAUUCAUAAUUUCAUCAAGUAUAACAUGAGAUUUUGUGGUAUCCACCAGUGUAAAUAUUUUAAAUUGAAGAUCGAAUUCAUUCAUUGUAUUCAUAUAGGGUCAAGGAGUGUAGAUGUAAGAAAUCAUCAAAAUCGGAGUUAAAAUAACCGUUAAAUCGUGAUUUUUCGUUUAGAACCGUCGAAAAGUUUUGUCUCGUUACUUGAUUUCUGAAUGUUUGUUUUUUGCAAUUUUUGGCGUAUGCGAUCUCGAAGCAUAUACAAACAAGUUUGACGGUUGUAUCGUUGAAACUAGUUUCGUAAAAUGCGUAUCUCAUUAAAACAAUAAAUUCACUUAACACUUAAGAGUUUAUUCAUAUUUUCACUAAAUAUAACAUUAGUGUAAAUAUUUUAAAUUGAAGAUCGAAUUCAUUCAUUGUAUUUAUACAGGGUCAAGGAGUGUAGCUGUAAAAAAUUAUUAAAAUUGGAGUUAAAAUAACCGUUAAAUCGUGAUUUUCGUUUAUAACCGUCGAAAAUUUUUGUCUCGUUAUUUGAUCUCUGAAUGUUUGUUUUUUGUAAUUUUUGGCGUAUGCGAUCUCGAAGUAUAUACAAACAUGUUUGACGGUUGGAUCGUUGAAACUUGUUUCGUAGAAUGCGUAUCCCGUCAAAACAAUAAAUUCACUAACACUUAAGAGUUUAUUCAUACUUUCAUAAAGUAUAACAUAAGAUUUUGUGGUAUCCACUAGUGUAAAUAUUUUAAAUUGAAGAUCGAAUUCAUUCAUUGUAUUCAUAUAGGGUCAAGGAGUGUAGCUGUAAAAAAUCAUCAAAAUCGGAGUUAAAAUAACCGUUAAAUCAUGAUUUUUCGUUUAUAACUGUCUAAAAGUUUUGUCUCGUUACUUGAUCUGUGAAUGUUUGUUUUUUGUAAUUUUUUGCUGAUGCGAUCUCGAAGCAUAUACAAACAAGUUUGACGGUUGGAUCGUUGAAAUUAGUUUCGUAUAAUUCGUAUCCCAUGAAGUUCAAUGGUGUGUGUGUGUAUAUAUAUAUUUAUUUAUUUAUUAAGUAGAUUUAAAUCUAUUUAUUUUGUAUGUAUAAUUAUUAUAGUUUUUAGGGGUAUAAAAUUUAAUAUAUAUAUAUAUAUAUAAUUAUGAUAGUUAAUAUUUUGGGGUAUAAGUAUUAUAGUAUAUAUAAUUAUUAUAAUUAUUAUAGUUAAUUUAAUAUAUAUAUAUAUAUAAUUAUUAUAGUUUUUAGGGGUAUAAAAUUGUUAAAUUAAUAUAUAUAAUAAUUAUAGUAUUUUUUUUAGGGUUAUAAAAUUAUUAAAUUAAUAUUCUGCUUAUCGUGUAUCGUGUUACUCACGUGUAUACCCGAAACAACCCGUUAUCUUAACAGGUGCUUAUUGGGUUACCCGAUAACAACCCGUUUCGUUAUCGUGUCGACCCGAACACCUGUUAAUUUCAUGUUGUGUCGUGUCGGGUUAUCGGGUCGUGUCAGGAAUUGCCAGGCCUACCCGCAACCCCCAAAACCAGAAACCAAUUAAUCCCAAACCCACCUCCCCAUUAAUCCCCUCAGAAACCCAGCACAGCAACCUCCUCCUGCCCCACCCCCCAACGAACCAUUCCCGUCAAAUCCCCCUUCCCCCGACGACCCAUUCCCGUCAAAUCCCACCCCCCCUCCCCGACGACCCACUCCCGUUAAAUCCCCAUUCCCCCGACGACCCACUCCCUUCAAAUCCCACCCCCCCCCCCGACGACCACUCCCAUUAAAUCCUCCUUCCCCCCAACCCGAGCCGAGCCUUUUCCCUGCAACCCAAUCCCACAAAUUCCACCUCCCAAAAAUCAUUCCCUUCACCAUCUUCAUCCCCACUCCCAAUCCCAACACCACCGAACUGCUCACCUUCCACUUCAUCUGUCCUUCCUCCUUCACCCUCCUCACAGCCUCCUCCAACACCCCCGCCCCCGCAAGUUCCAAUCUUUAAGGUCCCAAGCCGCCGUUCCAGCAUCCGGUUCAACCAAUCAAGCCGUUCGAACCGCUAAGGAGGAAGGCACAUGCGGUGGUGGCCCAGCGGAGUUGUGUGGAUUUUGGAUCUGGGGAGUUUGGGGUUCGAGAGAGAGAGCGAGGAGAGUGGGAGGAGGGUCAAACCGCUGAGGAGGAAGGCGUUGGCGGUGGUGACCCGGCGGAGUUGUGUGGGUUUUGGAUCUGGGGGGUUUGGGGUUUGAGAGAGAGAGUGAGGAGAGUGGGAUGAGGGUCGGGGGAAUGGGUUUCUGGGUUUCUGGUUUUCAAUUUUUUUUUUUUAAAUGGGUUUUUGGAUUUGGAUUUGCUGAUUUUUGGAUCAAGCCAUAGCACGUGGAAUUGUAGGAAUUUGCAAUGUUUGGUCCAUGCCAUGGCGAGGAAGGGAUGAAGGGUGCAGGGAGGGAGGAAGUGGCAUGAAGAGGGAGAGAUGAAAGGUGCAGGGAGGGAGGGAGGCACGGGAUGAAAUUAUGGGUUUUCAAUAUUUUUUUUUUUUGUUCAAUAGGGUAAUAAAAAAUUAUUAUUUUUUCCACGUGGCACACAUUUGGCAACCACGUGGCACAAAUGUGGCAGCCACGUCAGCAUUUAACAGACUAAUGGAUGAAAAAUCUAACGGAGGUGUUAUUUUGAAAUAAAAUGGUACUGGAUGUAUGAAAAUGAAAUGUUUUAAAGUUGUUGUAUGGGGUUGUAAUUGACCUCAAACCUGAGGGGCUACUAUGUAAUUUACUCCUAAUAAUUUUAUGCAUUUGCUCUAGGUGGUUGCAUGCAUGAUGCCUGAUCUUCCAAAUGUAGGGGUGGAGAGAGACAUGGAGAGUUUUCAGGAGUUCUUUGAGAGCCCCUCGUUCAGAGCAUAUGGGCUUAAAAUUUAUCCAACACUCAUGAUCCGUGCAACUGGACUCUAUCAGCUUUGGAAAACGGGCAGGUAUAGAAAUUACCCACCUGAGCAACUUGUGGACAUUGUAGCUCGGAUCGUAGCCGUGGUCCCCCCUUGGACGCGUGUUUAUAGAGUUCAGUUAGACAUUCCAAUGCCUUUAGUUACUUCUGGGGUUGUGAAAGGAAAUCUUCGGGAGUUAGCUUUGGCUCGGAUGGAAGACUUGGGUUUGAAGUACCGUGAUGUUCGUGCACGAGAGGCUGGAAUUCAGGUAUGUGGGUAGUCAUUCUUGUUUGAACGUGUUUUAUGCAACUGAGGCCACAAACAUGACCCCUCAAAUCCCUAGAAAAAAUCUUUACUAAACAUUUUUGCUGGUUCUAGGACAUACAUCACAAAAUUAGGCCAGACCAAGUGGAGCUUGUUUGUGGGGAUUAUAUGGCAAAUGAAGGAUGGGAAACAUUUCUUUCAUAUGAAGAUACUCUCUGGGUAUUCGUUCUUUUUAUGUGAGAGAGUGCUUCGUCACACAGCGAUUUGUAUAGAUUAUAGGGAUUAUAUUUGAUUAGACAUUCACCUCUCCCAGACCCUGCGUAAAGCGGGAGCCUUGUGCACUGGGUACGACCUUUUAGCCUUAUUAGGUUUUUAUUUGUUUCCCUGUAUAGUCUACUUACUUGUAUAGCACUCUUUGUAAACCCUAUUUAUACUCUACUCUCAGAGAGAAUAAUAUAUCAUAAUUUUACCCAUAUACUGUUUGACUUGGCAUCAGAGAAGUAAAGUUCUGGUGACCGUGCGUGCCCACCAAAACCAAAAAAAACCUCCUACCCGUGCAAAACCCUAAUCUGAGAAACUCUAAAUCUUGUCGUUGCUGUGGAAAUUUUUCUGUGAAAAUUUUCUGCGUUCGUGUCUUGCUAUGUUGAUUGUUUCCGCUGUUAUUUGGUGUGUGUGUUCUACAACCAUGGCUGGUGAUGAUGAUGUUAAACCCAACUCCGGUUCAUUUGGUACCAAGGAUGAACGACCCUACAGUGAUUAUUCUGCUCCUAUUGCACAAGAGAAAUUAGAUGGCUCCAACUAUGUCUCCUGGUCUCGUAACGCCUUUCUUACGAUAACUGGACGACGUAUGGCGGGGUUUAUCAAUGGCAAAAAACCUGCUCCUAAGGAUGGUGAUUCUGUGGAAUACUCCGAAUGGGAAGAGGAUAAUUGUUUGGUACAAAUAUGGCUUUUCAACUCUAUGACUCGGAGUGUGAGAAGUCUCUUUGAGCGUUGUACUUCAGCAUAUGAUGUGUGGGAGGCUGCAAGGAAGACUUUUACAGUCACCCAAAACAGCUCCCGGUUGUUUCAACUUCGAAGACAGUCCGUGACUACAACCCAAAAUGGUGAAUCUAUUGCUAUGUUUUAUGAGAAGCUUCAUGUUAUCUGGGAGGAGAUUGAUAAUCUUUGUGCUAACCCACAUACCAAUCCUAAGGAUGUGGCUCUUCGACAUAAGGAAAUUGAAUCUGAGAGGGUGUAUGAUUUUCUUGGAGGGCUUGAUCCACAGUUUGAUGGUGUUCGUAGCCGUAUCUUGGCUAUGACUCCGGUGCAUUCUGUCUUGGAGGCGUAUGCAUUGGUCGUGGAAGAAAGCACACGUCAAGUCACUAUGCUUGGGGUGCUGCUGCUUUGAAGAUUGGUACAAGCCAGCAUCGGACAAAUGGUGCUUCCUCAACUGGCGGUGGUGGUCGUCAGUCGUCCCUUGUGAGUGCACAUUCCGGAGGCUCUUCGAACUCCAAGUCUGCCGUCUCCCGCCCUCCUGCAGCAAAGGCUCAACCUGGUUCUCGUGAAUGUGCCCAUUGUGGAGGUGAUCAUCUUUUAGAAAAAUGUUUCCAGCUUCAUGGUGUUCUAGAUUGGUUUCCUGAGUACAAGGCCCGUAAGUUUGGACCCAAAGCUGCUCAUGUCGUGACUGCAGACGAGCUUGAGUCGCCUCGUCCUUCCAUGAAUUUGAGUGUGACAAAUUCCGUACCAGGUAACGAUUUCAAUACAUGGAUAAUUGACACUGGUGCUACUGAUCAUGUGACUUAUAAUUCUAAGAUUUUUGAUGAGUUGUCUAGCCAAACUCGUGACCCUUUUAUCACGUCUGCCAAUGGUAUGCCGUCUCCAAUUACUGGAGAAGGCACAAUCACACUUACCCCUACCUUGUCCCUAGCACAUGCGUUUUUGGUACCCAAUAUUAAUUGUAAUUUAUUAUCUGUGGGACGAUUACUGGACUCACUAAAUGCCUAUGCUACUUUCUAUCCUACAUGGUGUAUGUUUCAGGAUCUCAAAACCCACGAGACGAUUGGACGUGGUAAAAGGAUAGGGGGGUUAUACUACUUAACUCUACCAACAGACGUGGUUCGUGGUAGUCUUGCUAAUAAAGUUCAGAGUGGCAGUGACAAGGACAAACAUGAGUUGUGGUUAUGGCAUCGUCGCUUGGGACACCCUUCUUUUGGAUAUCUUAAACCUUUAUUUCCUUCACUAUGUCGUUCAUAUGAUGAGACUUGUUUUAAGUGUGAAACAUGUGUAUUGGCCAAAAGCCAUCGUACUGUUUUUCCGUUAAGUAAUAAUAAAGCUCUUCAGCCAUUUGCGUUGGUACAUUCCGAUGUAUGGGGUCCUGCUAAGAUUACUUCAAAUGGAUUUCGUUGGUUUAUCACUUUUAUUGAUGAUUGCACCUGUUUAACUUGGGUUUUCUUGAUGAAGAAUAAAAAUGAUGUGACAUCUAUUGUACAAGAAUUUACUGCCAUGGUAUCUACUCAGUUCUAGACUAAAGUCAAAGUGCUUCGGUCUGAUAACGGAGGAGAAUAUGUGAACACUGCCUUGAGUUGUUUCUUUCGUGACAAGGUAUUAUUCAUCAGUCGACUACUCCGUUUACACCCCAACAAAAUGGUGUGUCUGAGCGGAAGAAUCGCCAUUUACUUGAAGUUGCUCGUGCUUUGCUCUUGGGAAUGUUGGUCCCUAAUUAUCUUUGGGGACUUGCAGUUUUAGCCGCAUGUUAUUUGAUCAAUCGGACUCCUAGCCGAGUUCAUGAUUUCCGCACACCUUUUGCAGUUUUACAAGAACAUAUCUCACCUAUUGGUAUCUCCAAGCUUCCUCCCAAGGUGUUUGGAUGUGUUGUGUAUGUGCAUAUUUAUUCUCAUCAACGGAGUAAGCUAGAUCCUUGUGCUCUUCGAUGAGUGUUCAUUGGGUAUUCAAAUACUCAAAAAGGUUACAAGUGUUAUCAUUCUCCUACUCAAAAGACUUAUGUCUCCAUGGAUGUCACCUUCCAUGAAGAGGUCCCGUAUUUUGCCUCAUCAUCUCCUAUCCCUCCACUUCCCGAUGAGAGGGUUUGCGAAGUGUUUAGUGAAGGAGCGACAGAAAGUGCAGGAAAUAGUGAUAUUGUGAGGUUGCUCGAGCCACCUUGUCUUACCAGACCCCAGAAAUGUGGGAGGAGAGCUUGAGGUUUACGGUAGAAGCUUGUCUUACCCAUGUGUCAGUUUAUGAUUUGCAAGUCGAACAAGGCACGAAAUUCGGGUUGUCGUAAGUGGAUUGAGUGAUGAAAUCUACGGUUUUAGUUUUGGAAUGAAUUUGGUCCUGAAGUUGGAGUUUCCGUUGCCUUCAGAAACGCGGUCUGUUGAGUUCUAUAAGAUGGCGUCUAGGACACUUUCGGAUGCAGGUUACAACCUCUAGAAAUUAGCAGUUACUGCAAGAGUGGAUAUCACUGCGAACACAAUCCAACUUAUUGGAAGAACAAGCCUUUCUAUGCUUUUGGCCUUGGCUCCGCUGGCUAUGCCGAUGGCGUGAGGUUUUCGAGACCAAAGAAGAUGAAAGAGUACACAGGACGAGGAGAGAAGGGACAUCGCUGCAGGUGAAUUCAACACCUUGCUAGUAAACGAGGACGAGACUGAAAGAAGUCCUGCCUACAUUCGGUUUAGUGAUCCAGAUGGUUUCCUUUUGUCGAACGAAUUGAUAGCACUUGCAUUUGCGGUUGUAGCUCCAUAAGCUAAAGAGCCUUGACGCAACCUCACAUAGGUGGUGAUUCCGUGCAACAGCUGCAGGAUUGCAUUUGGUUUUGCUCGACUUGGUAUUCAUCACAGCAUCGCAUGAAUCGGCUAAGCACUUGCUGCCACUCUGCAUUCAUGACAUUUUUUUCAAAGAUAGAGAUCAAAUAAAUUUAUAGUAGGCCUUGGCUACUCUUGUGGGUGUCCAGUUGGUGCAGCAGCUCUCUCAAUAAAUCCUGGAUUUUGUUCAAAUAUAUACUCUCUGUGUUUGUGUGUAGAUAAUUAACAUAAUUAGUUCGCUAAUCAUCGAUGUCUUCGCAUGAUAUGUUUACUACGGGUACUGAUACCACGUAUACAAUCCUCGAGUGGGCGAUGGCUGAGCUUACAAGGCAUCCAAGGGUCAUUACUUGAAGGCGGUGAUCAAGGAGACUCUUCAACUACACCCUUCAGUUCCGCUACUGAUUCCCAGGCUGUCAACCGGCGAUGUGAAAAUACACGGUUGCAACAUUAAAGCCAAGACACAAGUACUGGUCAAUGUAUGGCGGAUUGCAAGAGAUCCUAAGCGUACAAAAAACCGAACAUCGAAAGUACCCUGUCGAGGCCGUUGCUUUCCUGUACGAAAUUCCAUCUUUCUGAAAAUGUACGGUAGAGAGGAAGCUGCAGGGUUCCAACAAGUGGUUUAGAUUGGAUUUGCUGUAUUUGGUGUUGUACUGGAUUUGCUGUAAUGUAUCUGUAUUCUUGUCUUGGGUUAGACAAAAAUGUAUGUACUUUUGUUAUAUGCUAUCAUAUGCUUGUGCAUCUUUUAUCGAAUCCAACGACGCUCCAAACAAUGAGAAAUUAGGGAAAUAACAGCAAUUAAACACAGUAGGCAGCAGGUGUUCCAAGUUCUCGCACUCAAAAAGCUACCAUGAAUGAACAGCAAUUAGAAAGGAAAAGGGAAACCUCGAUACAAGUACUUCGGUUCUACACAAAUUCGGAGAAAAAGACAAAUACAACUUAGUUUCAUCUAAUUAAAAGUGAAAACGCACAAGUUGCUAUGCUCUGAAGUUCCUUAUGACCACAUUCAAAAUGCAGAAAGCCUACCUACAGGUCAAUGACACGAGAUAGCUUCUGGAUGCGGUUCAAUAAGAAGUCCCCUUGCUUGAUGGUUGCUUGGUACAGUGAAUUCUUAGCAUCAGGAUGAUUGGUUUCUAAAACACCGGCAACUUUGUCAAUCUUGCAAUGAAGCUUCCCUGCUGCAAUGAAACGAGAUAGCUCCCUGUAUGUCGUAGAAUGGGUUAGCUAUAUGCAGAAAACAUGUAAACGUAAAAUACUUAACAGCAUCUCCACGAAAUCAAGGACCAAAUUUUUUAAAACUAUAUAAAGUAAACCUGAAACGAGGUAACCAUAAGACUCAGUCACUUACAGAUCAAUGAAAUCCACGGUCAUGCCAAAAGCUUUAGCCAUAGCUUCAAUGGUAACACUCUUGUAGGACUCCAAGAACUGAGAAUAAACAACAGUUCUGAUCUCCCUCAUGUAAUAACGGAAGUGUGGGUGCAAAUAACGGUCCAACUUUAUCUGCUCUGUCAGGCCAGCUGAAAAACAAAAAAGAAAAGAAAGAAAGAAAGAAAUUACAACUAUGAAAUUUAUUGAUUUGGUUGAUAUAUGACCGGAGAACUCAUACUCCAUUAGCAUCCAAUCUCACAAAACUAUAUCACCUGUGUAAAGCCUAAUUCAACAAGUUAUCCAAGUUCUUUUCCGCAUCAGCAAUCCUAAACAAAGCCAACCAUAUAACUAGGUAACGGAAAUUACUUGAUCGCAAUGGCUAUAAUAAUAGUAUAAACAACAAUAUUUUUCACACUAUACAAUUCAAACAAAUCUUGUCAACCUGCUUAAUUUACAGUAAAACUCCCAACGGAUUGCGAUUAAGUCAAUGGAGAAAUCAUGCUUCAUCAGCAUCCGAUCUAACAAAAAUACAUCACUUGUGCAAGCCUAGUUCAACAAGUUCCAAAGCAAUUACAAAUUUUCAUUGCUUCGAAUCACAGUGAAGAGUUCAAAGCAUAAAUUUCAAUCCCUAGUUCUUUUUCUCACAAUUCUCAGUAACCAAACAGAAUCUGGACCAAAAUCAAAAUUAAAAUCGAAAAAAAAAAAAAAAACCUCAAUAAAGCACUCACUUUUCAUCGAGCUUCUUGAGCUCCUCCUGGUUCUUCGCCCUCAUCGAGUCCAUAACGCCCUGGUCCAGCUCGAGCAUUGAUUCGGCGACUAGGGUUUCGUACAACGGCGCCAUAUCUACAAAAUCCCCCAAACCGAAACUCAAUUCCCGAUACGCAAAAACCGAAAUUGAAAGCACAGGCAAUGCGAAAACCAGUUCAGCUUAGUAAAAAACGGGCGAUCUUACCGUCGGCUUUGACGGAGGCAAAAACCUCCUCCCUUAGUUGGACCUUUUCGAUGUCCGGGACAUCGGAAUGGGAGAGGAGGAAGAGCUUGUUUGCGAGCACGAGGUGCGGCUGCUGCGUCCCCUCUUGGGCUUCCAUUUGGAAUCGGUGGUGGUGACUCGGUCGGUGAGAUAGGUCCCCGAGUUGGGAGUUCUUUGUGCUUUGCUUGAAGGAGAAGCGAAACGACGGUGGGGUUUGGCCUAGUGACGGGUGUUUACUAUCUCGCUCGGUAACAGGUUUGUCUUUUUCAACACGAAAGGUAAAUUGGUAAUCAGCCUAGAAUGAAAAUUUGAUUGGGCUUUAAAUUAUUUUUAUAGAUAUAAAAUGAAAAUUUUGAAUCGAACUGGACCGGAUUAUAUAUGCACUUUUUAUAAGGUGAUUUCUAAAUCGGUAAAUUGCACUCUUUAUAAAGUGAUCUUUAAAAUCGUUGUUGCUAGAAUCAGAUCUCUUUUACCUUAUUUGAUUAGUCGUGACUCGUAAUCAUGUUAGUUUUGUUCCUGGUAGACAAAUAUCAAUUGAGGUAAAAACAAUCUAUGUUUUUCGUGAAAAAAUACCAAUUGAAGCAGGGGAUUUUUUUUUUUCAAACAACAAAGAGCUGGGUCAAAUAUUCAAUCAAAUGAAUUUGAGCAUGUUUCUCAUCUCUUCUCAACAUAAAAUAACACGAAAAUAACAGGUUCAGGUCAACACGUUAAUAAGUCGGGUCAUUAUCGGAUCAACUGUUAAAAUAACAAGUAUAACACAUAAACGACCCAAAAUUGAACACAUAAUCUCGAGGGCAUUGGGUGAAUGUUAUUAAAAGUUUAGUUCAUAUCUCCAAAAGUAUGUUACUCUACAUUCUCACUACUAUCCUUCUAUAAUCUCCAAGAGUAUUUAUGUGGCGGUUCUCUUUUUAAUUUGUUCUGGUUCUAUCAUGUCCCUAAUUUUUUGGUUCCUACGUUCUCAUUACAACAUGCCAAGCUAAUUAAGUCCGGCUCAAUCGUGCCUCGUGUCGUGCUCGUAUUAACUCAUUUAAUAAACAAGAUGGGUCGGCCCAUCUCAUAUUUGAAACCUUUAGCCUAGCGCAACCCAUACCAGAUAUCUAAUUAUACUUGUGUCGUGCUUGCCAUGUUAGACUGAGCUUGCUUGUCUUUUUACUUUGUUUUUAAUUGAAAAUAGAUACUCAAUAUAAUCUAAACUACUUAUUAAUAGAAUCUUUUUUAUCAAUCAAAAGAGAGUGAAACAAUUAUUUAGUCUUCUAUAAAAAAAAAUAUGGACAAUAAUGUAUUUAAUAUUAAAAUACAAAAACCUCUUACUCCUACUCUCACCCACAUUCUCUCUCCCUCCCUCCUUCCCAUUUUAAGAACAAAAUAAAAAUGCUUAUGUUAAUGUUAUUAUAACAUAGAGGCUCUGUCAACAAUCAUUUUUCUAAAAAUGACAAUCAUAUUCUUAUUUUUCAUAUUCUAACUUUUCUUCUAAUACACAAUAUUUACAGUUAUUUAGUACUACGGUCUAGUGGUAUUGCUCUUCACUUGUUAGUUAGAGGUCUUAGGUUAGAUUCUCGCUAAAGGCGAAUUUGAACAACAUUAUUCCUAGCCCAUUAUGAGGCUCAACCCACUUCUUCCCUUUAAUGUAGAAAAUAUUGUUUCUUAAAAAAAAUACACAAUAUUUACAAUCUAAGGACAAACCAAUAAUUAUGUAAUAUAUUAAAAAAAUAUGUCCACGUUAGAAAAACUGUCCCAUUAUUGUCUCAUCUUUUAUAAAUAUAUAUAUUUUUUUUAAUUUUAAAAACUAAUUACAUUUUUUAAUAAAUAAAAAUAAAUAAAUAAAUAAAUGAAAUUGUUCAUCUGCUAGUUUAUAUUAGAGUAAAUUGUAGCUAUGGUCCCCUAACUUUAACUCAUUGGAGCAAUGGUCCCUCAACUAAAAAUCCAUUAUCAUUGGUCCCUCAACUCAUCAAAACGUACAGCUAUGGUCCCUCAACUAAAAAUUCAUUACCAUUGGUCCCUCAACUUUAAUUCAACUGGAGAAAUGAUCUCUUAACUUUAACCCAAUUGUAGCAAUGGUCCUUCCAACAUAACUCGUUUUGAGAAAAAAUUGACGUAGUUGACGAAAAUGACCAUAAUUACACACCUUGAUGAGUUGAGGGACCCUAAUUAUAUGAAUGGUUAUUCCAACAUAACUUAUUUUGACAAAAUUUUGAUGAAAUUGAUGAAAAUGACUAUAGCCACACAUUUUGAUAUGUUGAGAGACCAAUGGUAAUGAAUUUUUAGUUCAUGGACCAUUGCUCCAAUUUGAUUAAUGUUGAAGAACCAUUGCUACAAUUUACUGUUUAUAUUAACAACUAUUGUUACCAAGACCAUCACCGAUUGACUGUUAUGCAUGGAUUGGUGUUCCCGGACCGAUUGAUUGUUAUGCAUGGAUUAGUGUGUAAAGAUAUGAACAUGAGUAUACGGUGAACAAGUGUCAGUUAUUUGGUCCAAUUAGUAUAAGAAAGCCUUAUAGGAAGAUGAAUGUGAGUUCUUGUUGAUAGAGGAAUCUGUCAUGGAGAAGAACCAACAUACACGAGGAAACAUGAGUUGUUUCCUAAUCGGAUUGUAAUAGGAAAUCCUCAUUGGUUUAGGAGAGGUAUAUGUAUAUAUAUAUAUAUAUAUGCUGUAAUCUCUGCUCUCAUAGACACGCUCAGUCAAGAACUAAGUCCUAUUCUUAGUUAGAGCAUUAAGAGUUCUACCAGAGAGGAGAAGAGUUGCAACAUACAGAAUUUGGACAACUGCUGCAAUGGAAUAUUCGAAUGGAGGUUCAUCAGGUUAAUGUGAAUACAUCAGUUCAUAUUUAAAAGGUUUUAUGCUUUCUUGAUUGUGUUUUACGUGGCUUAAAUCUUGAUCUUGGCUAAUUGAAUCUAACAUGUGGUAUCAGAGCUUAGAUUUAAGUUCUUAAAAUCAAUCAAGCACGGGUCAAUGAAAAUCGCCAUUAUCAGGUUUCGAAACCGGUUCUAAAUAUUAAAACAAUUUUUCCUAAACGGUGCGUUUUUGAUAAAAUUAGGUUAGAUUAAUAUGACUGUUGGUAUUCGAAAUCGGCGCGGUUUUUCUUUUGGGGUUUUUCUGGGUUUUGUUCUUCUGCAAAAGAGGACUUUAACUCGUCCCUCUUAUUUUGACCCGUUCACUUGCAAUCCGAGUAAUCCAAAUCUUGUUAUUGAGUGUUCAAUACCUGUCCAAAAUUGUUUCCGCUGCUAGGUAUUGAUGGUUGUCUCUUUAAAAGGUAUGUGAUCUUCAAAACUCGGAUCAGAAAAAUGAAUACCAUGAAUCUUGCAUAGAGAUUUGUAUAAUGAUUUUUUGAUGAACAUGAAAGCAGUCAUUCUUAGCAUAUGAUUUAGUUUCUUAAAAUAAUGCAUCUUAAUGGUCUGUAUAAUGAAAGAAGCCAUUCAUAAGAUGAUUGUAUCUGGUUAAAUCUAUGCAAAUUUAUUGUCACUAUUAAGAUCAUAAACUGAGAUGUAUAGAACAAAUCAGUGUGAUGGUUGAUUCUGAUUAUAUGGUGAUCAGUUCAUGAUCUAUUCUGAAAUCAAUAAUCCUAUAUGCGCCUAUCAACUGGUUGUUGUUAAGAUUGUAUAUAUGGAUAUUGGUUAUAAAGCUUUGAUGUGCAAUAGACUGUGAAACGAAAUCAGAACUUUGAAUGUUCAUAUGGUGAUUUCAGGUUCAUCGAUGUCUGCAAUAUCAAUGAAGACCUUAAACUUAGCAAAUAUUCUGAUCCUUACUGGUGGUAGCAAUUACAAGAAGUGGAGGAGGGAUAUCAACUUGCUAUUGACUCUAAAUGAGUUUGAUAUAGCAAUUGAAAAUCCCAAGCCUGUAAUUAGUGAUCAAAGCACCAGAGCUGAGAAGUCAGAUUUUGAGAGGUGGUCAAGAGCUAAUAAGGUAGCACUUUCCAUCAUAGAAGUUGGAAUGACUGACACUAUCAGGGGGGAAUUAAGAAACCAGAGCUUGCUAUGGAUUAUUUGGCUGCAAUUGAAAAGAAAUUCAAGGAGUCCGAGAAGGCAGAAGUAAGCCAGUAUAUGUCUGUGUUGACUCAAUACAAGAUUGAAGAUAUUGGUUCAAUAAGGGAUCAUAUAAUGAAAAUGUCAGAUGCUGCCGAGAAGCUAAACUCCAUGGAGAUAAACAUUGGAGAGAAGCAGCUUGUGUUCAUGAUUUUUCAAGCCCUCCCUACCAAGUAUAGUCAGUUAAAAGUCUCUUACAACACUCAGGACAAGAACUGGGGCAUAUAUGAAUUGAUUGCACAAUGUGUGCAAGAGGAAACUCGGCAAAAGCAAGAGAAAGGCAAGGAGAUCGAAGAAGCAAAUUAUGUGCAACCUGGACGAGAGAAGAGAGCAUUCAAUAAAGGUAGCUCUUCAGGUCCUGAAAAUCUAUCAAAUUUAAAGCUAAACCUAAAGAUGUGUCUAAACUUAAGUGUUUUUGGUGCAAGACUAAAGGGCAUUUAAAAGUUGAUUGUGAAAUUUUUAAAGAUUUUGUGAAGAGCAAAGAAAAGGAACAAGUACUUGUCUGUGUUGAGUCAAAUCUUUGUGAAGUACCUGUUGAUUCUUGGUCGUUUGACACUGGAUGCUCGGUUCACAUAACUAAUUCUUUGAAAGGUUUUCAAAAACAAAAGGAGAUUGGAAAUACUAUGUAUCAUGUCUAUGUGGGGGAAGGGACUAAGGUUGCAGUGCAUUCCAUUGGAGUAGUAAACUUAAAACUAAAUUCUGGUUUUGUGUUACAACUAAAAGAUGUGCUCUAUGUGCCUAAAAUGAGAAGAAACUUGCUCUCUGCUUCUAAAAUAAUAAAAGAUGGUUAUGCAUUCUCUGCUGAUGACGUAUGUUUGAAAAUUUUUAAGAAAAACAGUUUUCAUAAAAUUUUGGGCAUUACCCUCUUGUCUGAAAAUCUCUGGAGACUAGAGUGUAUAGUUGAGUUUGUUGAUCAGUCCGUUUUUAAUGUCAAUUCAAAAAGAAUGUUAGAACAUGAUUCAUCUUUUAUUCUUUGGCAUAAGAGGUUAGGGCACAUCUCUAAAGAAAGGAUUCUUCAACUUUGCAAAGCUGAACGAAUUCCCAAACUAGAUUCUGCCACUGUGAUAGAAUGUGUUGAUUGUUUGAAAGGAAAAAUGACCAACUUUAGAAAACUAGAUGCCAAAAGAAGCAAAGGGUUACUUGAAAUCAUUCAUACUGACAUCUGUGGUCCUUUUCCAGUCAAAACCAUAUGUGGAAACAAGUAUUUUGUUAACUUUAUCGAUGACUUCUCUAGACUGGGAUAUACUUUUCUGAUUAGAGAAAAAUCCGAUGCCCUUAAAUGUUUUAUUGUUUACAAAACUGAGGUUGAAAAACAAUUAGGUAAAGUUAUUAAAAUUGUUAUAUCGGAUAGGGGAGGAGAAUACUUUGGCAGGUACACUGAAUCAGGACAGCAAAAGGGACCAUUUGCACUAUAUUUAGAGCAAAACGGCAUUGUAGCUCAGUAUACAACACCGGGGACACCUCAACAAAAUGGAGUCUCGGAACGAAGGAAUCGAACUCUUAUCGGUAUGGUGAGGAGCAUGAUGUCAAGAUCCAAAUUGCCUGGUUUCUUGUGGGGAGAAGCCUUGAAGACAGCAAAUCAUAUUUUAAACAGAGUACCGAGCAAAUCUGUUAUCUCAACACCUUUUGAGUUAUGGCAUGGCAGAACACCUAAUUUUGAAUACUUUCACGUUUGGGGUUGCAAAUCAGAAGCAAGGUUCUAUAAUCCUAAUGAAAGAAAAUUAGAUUCAAGGACUCAAUCUUGUUACUUCAUUGGGUAUCCUGAAAAGUCAAAGGGCUACAGAUUCUAUAUUCCUCAACAUCACACUCGGAUCCAAGAAACGCAUAAUGCAGUAUUCUUAGAGGAUCAAGAUGUUACAGAUCUGUCGCGGGAAAAUUUCAUUUUUGAACAGAUGGAUCAGCUACAUGACAUCCCAGAAGCCCUCAACUACUCUCAGGUUCCAUUAUUCAGUCAGCCAUCAAUUAAUGAAAGAGAAGAAACACUUGCAGAUUCGGAUUCUCCCACUGACCACACCAUGGAAAUCGAUGAUCAACUUCCUGCACCUGCACCUGCUUCAAAUUCUGACCAACCAGUGUUAAAUGAACCCAGAAAGUCCACAAGAGUCAGGAAAUCAACUGCUACGAGUGAUUAUGUUUACUUGCAAGAAGCAGAUUUUGACAUUGGUGAUUUGGAUGACCCCAUCUCUUACUUUCAGGCCAUUGAAAGUUCACAGUCAACUCUAUGGCAGAAUGCUAUGAAAGAAGAACUAGAUUCCAUGUAUAAAAAUAAUGUAUGGACACUUGUGGAGUCUAGCCCUCAAAUCAAGCCUAUAGGUUGUAAGUGGGUGUACAAGACCAAAAGAGAUGCUCUUGGUAAAUUUGAGAGACACAAAUCACGAUUAGUUGCAAAGGGCUUCACUCAACGAGAAGGUAUUGAUUACAAUGAUACUUUUUCCCCAGUCUCUUCUAAAGAUUCAAUGCGAGUUGUCAUGGCAUUGGUUGCACAUUUUGACUUAGAGCUGCAUCAAAUGGAUGUCAAAACAGCCUUUCUUAAUGGCGACUUAGAGGAAUGCAUCUAUAUGAAACAACCAACUGGAUUUGUUGAAAGGGGGAAGGAAAACAUGGUUUGCCAGCUCAAUAAGUCCAUCUAUGGGUUAAAACAGGCCUCUAGACAAUGGUAUUUAAAGUUUGAUCAGAUUGUCUCUUCUCAGGGAUUUGAAGAAAACAAAUUGGACGAUUGCAUUUAUCUUAAAUUUUCUGGUUCUCAGUUCAUUUUUUUGGUACUUUACGUUGAUGACAUUCUUCUAGCAAGUUCUUGUCCACAGUUAUUACAAAGAACUAAGAGGAUGCUCAGUGAAAGUUUUAAUAUGAAGGAUCUAGGAGAGGCACACUAUGUGUUGGGGAUUGAGAUUGUACGCAAUAGACAGAAAAGACUACUUGGCUUAUUGCAAAAGGGUUACAUUGAUAGAGUAUUACACUGGUUCAAUAUGGAGAAUUGUAGUUGUGGACAAGUUCCAGUUAAUAAAGAGGAUAAGUUCUCCAAGAGUCAGUGUCCGAGGACUGACUUGGAGACAGAGAAAAUGCAAGGUAAGCUUUAUGCUUCUCUGGUGGGAAGUCUCAUGUAUGCAACUAUAUGUACACGGCCUGACCUUGCUUUUAUAACUGGAAUGUUGGGAAGGUUUCAAUCAAAUCCAGGUGAAGCACAUUGGAUAUCUGCCGAAAAGGUUCUAAGAUAUUUACAAAGAACCAAGAAUUUCAUGUUGGUUUAUGGAAAUGGCGAAUCUUUGGAACUUGAAGGAUAUACUGACUCUGAUAUGGCUGGUGAUAUAGAUGAUACAAAAUCGACCGGUGGCUAUAUCUUCAUGUUAAAUGGUGGUGCAGUUUCUUGGAAGAGUGCUAAGCAAACUGUGAUAGCCACAUCCACUAUGGAGGCUGAGUUCGUAGCUUGUUUUGAAGGGAUGAAACAAGCUGUGUGGUUGAAGAAUUUUCUGACUGAUUUAAAAAUUGUAAAAUCGAUUCAGAAACCAGUAAGGAUGUUUUGUGAUAACAAUUCUGCUGUGUUCUUUGCCAAGAAUAAUAGAAGAACUUCUGCCUCAAGGUUAAUGGAUGUAAAAUUUCUUAAAGUAAGAGAGGAAGUGAAGAAGGGGAUGAUUGAAGUUCAGCACAUCAGCACUGUUUUUAUGGUUGCAGAUCCUCUGACUAAAGCACUGCCUAUUGGAGAAUUUCAGAAACAUGUAUCUCGGAUGGGAGUGUUAGAAACUCUAGAUCAGUGGGAGUAAUUGAUCUGUUUCAGAAAGUUUGAAGGUUGCUGCUAUGUGAGUAAUUCAAUUUGGGACCUUGUUUACAUUUUAGUCUGAGCUAGCUUACUUAGUUAUGUUUAGUUUGUUAGUUUGUUUUAUAUUUUAAUAAGAGUCUUUGCUUCGAAACCUAAGGCUUCCAUUUUGGAGUAUUGUGGUUUUGAUAAUAGACUUUGUUGGAUUCAUAUGGUACUUUGCAAGGACAAUUUGUUUGUUUUAAAAGUUUAUAUGUUUCAUGAAUUUUAUUCAGUUAAUGAAAUGCUGUUUUUCAUUGAAGAUUGAUAUAGAUUGUGAUCUUUUGAAAAGUGGGAGCAUGUUCUGGAUUAGUGUUGUUAAUCAUGUGUCAUAAUUGCAGAUUGGAUACAUGUGAGUCUUGAAUCAAUGAUUGUUUGGUAGUAAUCUGAGAUUCUUGGCUUCUGUAUUUUGAAAUGCAAUGGGACGUUGGUCAUGAUGAUAAAAUCUUGAAUAAGGCUAUGUGAUCACUUUUUAUAAUUGGUAAAGGCUGUGCUUGUUCAUGUCUCAUGUUCAAGUGGGAGAAUGUAAAGAUAUGAACAUGAGUAUACGGUGAACAAGUGUCAGUUAUUUGGUCCAAUUAGUAUAAGAAAGCCUUAUAGGAAGAUGAAUGUGAGUUCUUGUUGAUAGAGGAAUCUGUCAUGGAGAAGAACCAACAUACACGAGGAAACAUGAGUUGUUUCCUAAUCGGAUUGUAAUAGGAAAUCCUCAUUGGUUUAGGAGAGGUAUAUGUAUAUAUAUAUAUAUGUUGUAAUCUCUGCUCUCAUAGACACGCUCAGUCAAGAACUAAGUCCUAUUCUUAGUUAGAGCAUUAAGAGUUCUACCAGAGAGGAGAAGAGUUGCAGCAUACAGAAUUUGGACAGCUGCUGCAAUGGCAUAUUCGAAUGGAUGUUCAUCAGGUUAGUGUGAAUACAUCAGUUCAUAUUUAAAAGGUUUUAUGCUUUCUUGAUUGUGUUUUAUGUGGCUUAAAUCUUGAUCUUGGCUAAUUGAAUCUAACAUAGUGUUCCCAGACCACCAAUGUGAUUGAAGACUUAUUUAAAAGAUAGGAGUUUUAAUGAAAAACUUACAGUAUUGUUCAUUUUAACGAAAAACCAUAAUCAAUCCUGGUAGUAUUCACUUUAUUGUUAAAACUCAAAGUUUUCAAAACCAUUUUCAUUAGUUUUUUUUAUAAAGAAUUGGCAGCAAUGUUGAGCUACUUGGAGUCUAGAAUCUGGCAAGAAACAAGAAUUGCACUUUGGUAGAUUGAUACAAAAUUAUUAUGAACGAUAAAUAUGUCAUACUUGGUGGAAUCGUUGGAUGAGUAUUAAUGACUAUAAUCAUUUGUUGGAAUCUUAAAUUGGAAAGUACGAGAUUUAUAGAAACAUGGAACUAAAAGUAGUUGAGUCUCCGUUCGGGGCACCUAGAUCUAUGUUCUGCUCAAAGUCACCAAAUAAGGGAGUGAAACCCUUUCAGUUAAAAUCAGAUAAAAUGAUCAAAUUGAGUUUCGAAUUCGUGGACUGAAAAAUGACUAUUGAAAAGAGAAAUAGAGUUAUUUGAUGAUUGGGUUAACAUAAUAGAAUAAAGAGAAAACAUUGCAUUCAUGCUUUAUUAUUGCUUCUGCUAAAUUAAAUGCAUUUUGAUUUUACCCUAUUAAGCUAGUAGCUCACCCAUGACUAGUGUUAAAUUAGAGACUUAAAAAGCAGUUGGUUUUAUGGAUGUUUUAAAAAGUAGUUGGUUUUACAUAGGAUUUUUAUUUUAUUUUAUUUUUUAAAACAAACGUUAUUAUUUACAGUUAUAUUAAAGGGAGGGGUGAACUAAGUUUCACAAUGGGUUAGUGAUAAUGUAGUUCAAAUUCACCUUUAGCGAGAAUCAGACCAAAGACGACUCACUAAUAAGUAAAGAAAAAUAUCACUAAACUGUAGUACUAAGUAAUGAAUUAAUAGGACCUCACCUCGUUAAUUAUUGCCGGCGAGCAAAAUACAACCUACGCGGUUUCAGUUUCACGGUACACAAAAUGCCAAAAGUAUUGGUCUUUCUUUUUUCUAAUCAAACAAAUAGUAUUGGUCUUUGUCUCGUGCCUUCGAUUAUUUCCAAUUUUCAUAAAUUAUAAUCGGUCCUUCUUUUUUAAUCAAACAAAAAGUAAUGGUCUUCUACCAAAAAAUAAAAAGUAAUGGUCUUUGUCUCAUGCCUUCCAUUAUUGUCCAAUUUUUUAAUCAAACAAUGGUAUUGGUCUUUGUCUCAUGCCUUCAAUUAUUUUCCAAUUUUCAUAAAUUAUAAUCUUCAUCUUUUUCUCCGUCUCAUACUUGAUAUUUUCAUCGAGUUUAUUGACACAGGAGUCCAACAAUACCGUAAGUUAUAGCGUAAUGCGAUUGAAGCAUAUCACUGCUACUCUUUUGUGAGCUCUCAUAUGCCCCAGAGUAUGUUCUUCCAAUUGUUUCUAAUUCCAAAUUGAAUUUCUCUAAUUUUACUUGUUUCUCCGUUGGAUCGAAUGAGAAUAGAUAAGAGCGAGCUCCAAUCCCUUCGUCUCAUAUUUGAUAUUUUUAUUUUCAUUGACAAAGGAGGAGACCAACAAUAACGACUCAGAGCAACUGGAGCAUAUCAUUGCAACUCUUUUGUGAGCUUCCACAUGCCCCAGGGUAUGUUAUUCUGCACUCUUACUACCAUAUCUAAUAUCCUUCUGGAAAUUUUCUGAAAGAAAGUAAGGGCUUAUGAGCUACAUCUGACUUUUGUUUCACUUUUUUUCUUCUUAUUAUAUAUGUAAUUCAGAUUCUGAGCACUCAUCAUUAAACACAAGACUUCAAAUUCGAUUUCUUCCUCAACAAUUACAUAUGUUGAAAAAAUAAAAUGCAAAAUGAAAGUUAUUUAUUUUCUGUGUAGACGGGUCUAGGCGGCCACCUAAUUAGGUCUAGGCAUCAUUUCUUAAUUUUCAAAUUCCUAGGCAUUAAUUGGGGCGGUGGCCAACUGUCGAGCGCCACUGGGAUUUUUAGAACAGUGGUUAACGUGUUGACCCAAGACUCGUUAUUUUCGAAUCGUUCAGUGUUUGAUUAACGGGUCGUGCAAAAAAUUGUGUAGUAUUUGUGUAGAGUCCAAUCUACUAAACCCAAAACAUUCCGUUCUUUUCGACGUGUGUACUUUCAUUUAACAACAAUUUUGUGGUACUUGUCAACUGCCACCUACAAAGAAUUGAAACUUUUGGUUAUCCUUUAACACUGACUAAAAUCCAUGACAUUUGGUGGAAGAAUUAGAUUGAAUGAGUUCGAAAGUUUCAAUCAUAGAUUUUUGUUCUUGAACCAAAUUCUUUAAUUCUGUGUUCUUGCAAAAAAGACUCGAGAAGUAGUUUUCGGACUUUUGAAGUUAAGAACAAAAAUUUAAAUUUCUUGAGUACCUUAUUUAGAUCUUGAUUUCUUUUGGCUUGUGGUUUCGUUUUGAAAACUAAGCACAUAGUUUGUAAAAUACAAAAAUUUAUCCAUUGCAUUCUUUUUUUCUUUUCCUGUUGUUUUGAAACUUGUCUAUUCUGCAGACAGAUUGGAUAACAAGUAUCGAAGGCCAAAAUGGAGUCAGCUGCAUCACUAUUGAUUGGGAAAAUUGCGGCCAUUCUUGAGAACGAAGCAUCUUCCAUAGCGGCAGUCCGUGAUGAAGUUGAUGAGCUUAAGCUGGAGCUCAUAAGCAUGAAAUCUUUCUUAAUAGAUGCUGAAGGCAAGGAACCACAAACAGAAGGAGAGAGAACGUGGGUUACAAGCGUCAGAGAUUUGACCUGCGAUGCUGAAAAUGUCAUUGAUGAGUUCCUGUAUCACAUAUAUGACAAGCAAAGUGCGACUCCAUUUGCAAAAUUGCUCCACAGAACCAUUUACUUUCCAAAGAAUCUUUGGCAUCGGCAUCGAAUAGCCAAAAAUUACAGAAAAUCACAAAAAAGAUCGAAGCCAUUCCAGAGAGGAAUGAGAGAUAUGGUGUCUCUACAAUAGAAGGAACAAGUUCGGAUAGUGUUCCCAGAUGGGUGAAGAACAAAGCCGAGUCUUCUCUUUAUAUUAUGGAAGACGAACUAAUCGGGAUUGAAGACAAGAAGCAAACGUUAAUGGGGUUAUUGAUGAAUGGAAAGGAAAAUGAAAUGGUUGUGUCUGUGGUCGGGAUGGGAGGAUCAGGCAAGACAACUCUUGUUGCCAAUACCUUCAACAACGAAAAUGUAAAGCGACAAUUUGACUGUUAUGCAUGGAUCACUGUUUCUCAAACUUAUGUGAUUGAAGACUUAUUCAAACAAAUGAUCAAGAAGUUCCACGAAGGAAGAAAGGAAGAGGUGCCUGAACAUUUGAAUUCCAUGAGUUAUGAAAAUUUGUUAGAUAUGUUGUCGACAUACUUGAAGUCUAAAAGGUACCUCGUUGUAUUGGAUGAUGUGUGGGAUAUUAAACUUUGGCAAGAAAUAAUCAUGCUUACAACACGAAAGAAAGACAUAGCAUUCUAUUCUUUUGAAGUUGAAAGUCGUCCUUUUGAAAUUGAACCUUUGGAAAACAAUGAAGCUUGGGAGCUCUUUAGCAAGAAAGCAUUCUCAAGUUAUGAUAACAAAUCUUGUCCACCAGAGCUUGAAUCAUUAGCAUGGAAACUUGUGGAAAAGUGUGAAGGCCUACCUCUGGCAGUGGUAACUUUAGGUGGUCUAAUGUCUUCCAAGAGGUCAUCAUCGGAAUGGAGAAGAGUAUACAACAGCUUAAAUUGGCACUUGACUAAGCAUCCUAUGCUAGAAUCAAUGAGCAGCAUCUUGUUGCUUAGUUUCAACAAUUUGCCCAACCCGUUGAAGCCAUGUUUCCUAUAUUGUGCCCUUUUCCCAGAAGAUUAUCUCAUCAGAAGAAAAAGGUUGAUCAAGUUGUGGAUAGCUGAAGGGCUUGUUGAACCAAUUGAUGGGGUCACACCAGAAGAAGUUGCAGAGGACUAUCUUGUGGAACUUACUGGUCGUAGCAUGCUACAAGUUGAAUUAAGGAAUGAAGCUGGAAGACCAAAAGCAUGUAAGAUGCAUGAUCUUAUGCGUGAGCUUGCUUUGUCCACAUCAAAAAAUGAAAAGUUUGGUGCAACAUAUGUUGGCCGAGAAAUAGUAGAUAAAGCUGAAAUCCGUCGAUUGUCAAUUCAAACAACUGAAGGGGAAAUUAAUUCUUGCACUGGUAUGUCAGAGCUUCGCUCCUUUCUUGUCUUUGGCACGUUAAAGAAAUUGCCUUCUGGAUUCAAGUUGUUGAUAGAUUUCCAGAUGAACUAGUGUACUUGUUCAACUUAAGAUAUUUAAAUUUGAAGGGAACUUUAAUUGAGGAGCUUCCAGAAUCCAUCGGACGGCUUCGCAACCUUCAAAACUUGAACAUCCGUGACAGUAAGAUAAAGGCACUUCCAAAAGCAAUCUACAAGUUAGUAAACCUACGCCAUCUAACCAUGUAUCGUUACACUGAUUAUCAUUAUGGCUGGGAUAAAAGCAGCAUCCGAUCUAAGUAAAUUACAGAAACUGCAAGUUUUGCAAUCUGUUGAAUCAGAAGGAAAGAUAAUUAAAGGCAUCAGGAAUAUGACCCAACUUUCAAGCGUCGGUAUUACAAAUGUGAAAGCAAGUGACGAGAUGGACCUAUGUGACUCCCUUCAAAAGUUAGAGCUCCUUCACUAUUUGUUUUUGAUGGCAAGUGAUGAAGAGGAGUUUCUUCGAGUUAAUGCACUAAGUUCGCCUCCUCCAGGCCUUCAAAAGGUUUAUUUGGCCGGAAAACUAGAAAAGGUACCUCUUUGGUUUGGUUCACUCCAUAACCUGACACGUAUGUCUCUACGUUGGUCUAGACUUGAAGAAGAUGUGCUACCUCACAUUCAAGCAUUGCCGAAUCUUGAAAGGCUUGGGCUAAUUAAUGCGUAUGUUGGCGAAAAAUUGUGUUUCUCCGGAGGCUUCAUAAAGCUUAAGUGUUUGAAUUUGGGCAACCUCCCCUUGUUGAAUAGUAUAGCUAUAGAGAAAGGGGCAAUGCCAAAUC